CUAACUGCUUGUAUAUAUUUAAAAGAACACUUCUACAGGCUUUGGAAAACUAUCAUCCACAUUGAGUAAUUUGGAGAUCCUUGACUUAAGUUUCAAUUACUUGAAUGAUAGCAUUUUGUUAUCUUUGAGUGAGCUUUCCUCUCUCCGGUAUUUAGACCUAUCAUACAACCAAUUUGAAGGAUCAAGUCAUCCAAGAGGUAAAUUAAAUUUGGUCUGGUGUAAGUUUUUAUUUGUAUAGUAGAGUUUGAGGAUGGUCUUCUAGGCUUGGUACCUAGUUUUCCAUUCUUUUUAUCCGUUGUAAUUCCACUUUUGCUUUAGUAAAAUUUUCAUAUAGCUAAGAAAGAAAAAAACAAUUAACAAGUAAUUAUGUAUAUAUAUCAGGUUUUCAAUUGCUUUCAAGACUCAAUAACUUGGAAACUCUUGAUUUAAGUUGGAAUUCUUUGAAGAAUAGCAUUUUGUUCCAUAUGAGAAAUCUUUCAUCCUUGAAGACUUUAAGAUUGAGACGUAAUCAGUUGAAAGGAAGGCUGGAUCAUAUUCAAGGUAGACUGAUUUUACCUGUUUCUUUUCAACUUUAAAAAUCAAUAUGUAUAUUCAAGUUUGAUUUCAUCAUACGAUCAAUAUAUAACUAAUCAAUACUUGGGAUUGAAUUUUAGGGUUGAAUAAUUUGACAAACUUGAAAUACUUGGAUUUAAGUGACAACAGCAUUGAAAGCAUCUCAAACCAAGGUAUAAGUACAGUAUUUAUAUGUCAAUUCAUAUUAAAGGUAGACUGGUUUUAUAUGUUUCUUUUUUACUUUAAAACCAAUUUUUGUUUAAGGGACAGUUAAUGUUGCAAUAUUUCAAAAUAGAGUAAAUUAAGUAGGAAGGUAUCUCAAACAAAGUAUUUAUAUGUUGAAUCAAUUAAGUUUUACUUGUAAAAUGUAGCUUAUCAAUUCAUGGGAAAGCUUGUAAAUUGGCUCUUCCUUCUCAAACAAACAUUUUUCCUAGCUAUUUAUAUAUUGAAUGAUAUUAACUAUACUAAUUAUUUUCUUCCAAUGAUAGAUGGAACACAAUGGAGGCUAACAAACUUAGAGGAACUUGAUUUAAGUAAUAAUCUCUUUCGGAACAACACAAUUUCCUUUCCUCAGGGGCUUUCAAGCCUAAAGUACAACAACAGUUUGCAAGGCUCAUUAGAUACUAAAGGUACUAAAGCUAUAACUUUGUUUUUCUUGAUAAUUCUUUCUAGAACCUUUUAAAAUUAAUUGUUUCAAAUUUGAGCAUUCAGAUUUCACGUUUGAGGUUUUUCAUCUUCACUUCAAGUUUUAGAUAUACUUUUUUUUUAUUUCAUUAAAAUAUUAAGUAGAAAUUAAAAUUAUUAACAUAAUGAUUUUUUGAAUUGGACAUGGAUAUGUAUAGGAUUGAGAAAUUUAACAAAUUUGAAGAAACUCGAUUUACGUUGGAAUCAAAUUGAAAGCUUUCAAUCCUUUAAAGGUAUGCAUUUAUAUUUAACCAAUUACCUAAAUUCUUACAUAUAAUUAAAUUUUAUGCCAAUUCAUUUUAGUGAUGAAAUUAUAUAAAUCUUUUGUAGAUGGUGGUUCAAAAUUGGAGUUGACCCACUUGGAAGAGCUUAAUUUAGAUGCAAAUCUCUUCAAUACUAGUGUAUUUGCAUCCCUUAACAAGCUUUCAAAUUUGAAAUCUUUGAGCAUAAAGUUACAAUGAAUUGAAAGGAUCAAUAGAUACGAAAGGUAAAAAUAUUAGUUUUUUAACAAGAAUAUAAUAAUGUUUUAAGAGAAUAUAAUGAAGUUGAUUUGUUAAUUUUGUUUUCCUAGAUUUGGAUGCAUUUAUCAAGUUAAGGGAACUAUAUUUGAGCGACUAAUGAAUUGAAAGAUUUGGUGAUCCACCAAGGUAUCAUUUAAUUAAACUUCUUUUUUUUUCUAAUUUAGAAAUUUAGUUUUUAUCUCAGAUAUUAUAAUAACGGUUAUUGUCAUAAAUAUUAAUAAAGUUAUAUCAUAUCAUACUUGAAAGUAAAAUAUGAGUUUGGUGAAACAUUUUCUAAAUCCUCCAUUAUAAUGUGUUUCAACUUUAGUUUGAAAUUAAAAUUCUUUAAAAUUUUCUUAAUUUUAAAAUAUUAAUGUUUAUAAUUAUUUUGUUUGUAAAAAUAUAUUUUUUAAAAUAAUUUUUUUAAUUUUUAUGAGAUAAAAAAUAAUUAUAACAAUAAAAACAAUGAUAUUACAAAUAAAUAAAAACAUAUAUUUAUGAGAAAAUAUGUAAUAUAACUAUAUUUUAAUUUCAUAUUUUUUUAAUAGUAUAAAACAUAAAAAUACAUAUUAGAGUUACAUAAAUCACAUUUUUUUUGCCAAAAAUAAAUAAAUAUGAAUUUUGAAUAAUUUAAAAAAAUCUUCAAUUUUAUGAAAUUUAAACAUACAUUUAGAGGUGCUUAAACUUCCAUCGCAAACUUUUUAUAAAUUUCAAAAUGCACAUGAUAUUAACAUAUGUCUACAUACUCUUUAUAAAUUUGUAAUUUAAUUCUUAUACUUUUAUUUUUAGGAAUUUAGUCCCUCUAUUUUAAAAAAAAAAUUCAAAAUCCAAGUUCAAUAGUUAAAAUUGUUAAUUUUUUUUAAAAAUAAUUAGUUGGUGUGACAUUUUGAAAUAAAAAAACUUUGGUAGCAAUGUAACUAAAAAAUGACAUAAUGAAAAUGGAUUUAAUAAAACAAUUUUAACAGUAUUAAUAAUUAGACUUGAAUUUUGAAAUUGAGUAAAAUAAAUGGCAUAAAACAUAAAAAUACACGUUAGAGUUAAUUAAAUGGCAUUUUUUGGCCAAAAAUAAAUAAAUGUCAAUUUUGAAUAAUUUAAAAAAAACUUCAAUUUUAUGAAAUUUAAACAUACAUUUUGAGGUGCUUAAAAAUUUUUUUCCAAACUUUUUAUAAAUUUCAAAAUGCACAUGUUAUUAACUUUUUGGUUUAAAAAAUGUGAUAGGUCUACGUACUCUUUACGAAUUUGUAAUUUAAUUCUUGUAUUUCUAUUUUCGUCAAUUUCCCUCUAUUUUUUAAAAUUUAAAAUCCAAGUUCAAUUGUUAACAUUGUUAUUUUUUUAAAUUAAUUUAUUGGUGUUGACAUUUUGAAAUAAAAAAACCUUGGUAGCAAUGUAACUAAAAGAUGACGUAAUGAACAUGGAUUUAAUAAAAUAAUUUCAAUAGUAUUAAUAGUUAGACCUGAAUUUUGAAAAUUUAUUUUUGUAAAGAGAAAAAUAUGCACAUUAGAUUUAAAUAAAAAUAAUAUUUUUUUAGUUUAAAAUUUUCUAUUUUAUAAUAGAACCAUGAUUUAAAUAAAUGAAAUUUUGAAGAGUUGCCAAAAAAAACUAUGUAGGUGAAAUUUAAAUAGAGAAUUUGAGAAGCUGAAAGUCUCUUUCGGAAUUUAUAAAUUUUAAAAUUCAAAAGGAUGUAUUUUGACAAUUUUAGGGCAAUGAUUUAGUGCUUUAAAAUUUUGAUUUAAUAUGGAGAAUUUAAUUAAAAAUUUAUUUAUUAGAUUGUAAAAUAUUUCUUAACAUUUAUAAUUGAGUACAAAGUAAAUUAAGUUUAAGGGAAAAUAUUAGGUACUAUUAAUGAAACUCUUUUCUUUUAUCAAAUUUUUUUUAAAAAAAUCUGGUUUUUAAAAAAAAUCGGGGUGGUACUAUUAAUGAAAUUCUAAACUUGAUAAGUAGGAUUGAGAUAAUAACAAAUAUAUUAUAUGGUAUAAUAAAAUAUUAAAAAAAGAAAUAUUUAAAAGAAAUAGGUUACUGGCCAUUUUUUAACUUCACUUGUAGAGUUAAAAAACUCCAUUACUAGUACCAAAUACUAAUAUUAAGGAAUUAAAUGCUAAAUUAAUUUCAAACAUAUUUAAAUCUGAUAUGAAUCAAGAAAAAAUUUAUUUUGAAAUUAUAUUUUAUCUUAGAAUGCUAAAAAAGGAUUAGUUUAAUUAAUAAAAUGAAUAAAUAGUUAUGUUAAGAUUUGGACAUUCUCUAUUAAAAUUUUAUUUUAUUGAUGAAAACAAAUAUUUAUAUAUUUCUUUCACUUACAGAAAAUAAGGGAUUGAGAAAUUUGAAAGUUUUGUUUCUUUAUCACGCUUUCACCGAUGGAAGCAUUCCAUUACAAAAUUUAGUGGAGUCUUUCUCAUCAGUUAAAGCCUUUCAUCUACAAUACAAUUAUCUGAACAUGACUCUGGCUACUCAAGGUAAGUGAAAGUCAUUAUGUUCUUUUCCAAAACAGCUUACGUUUAUUAACAUCUAAUACCUCUUCCCAUCCUAUAGAAUUAAAUGUGUCGAGCAAUGUGGAGGAAUUAUAUUUUGACGGAUCUACUCUCAACACCAACAUUUUGCAAAGCAUUGGAGUAUUCGCUUCUCUUAAAACAUUGUCUUUACAUGAUUGUGGACUUAUCGGUCCCUUACCUAAUCAUGGUAAAUAAAUUUAUGGGUCAAAUUGACUUCUUUAUGAGCCUUCUGGGAUAUAAUAUCUCCUAUUCUGUUUAAUAGAUCAAAUUUAAUUAAAAUUUCUUCAAUGAAUUUAUAAAUUUUUCAGGAUGGUGUGAUCUAAGGAACCUUGAAGUGUUGGAUGUGAGUGGGAAUGCACUUGAGGGGAUGCUUCCUCAUUGUUUCAGUAACUUGACAUCUCUUCGUGAGUUACAUAUUUCAGCAAACCGUUUUCAAAUUCCACUAUCAUUCGCACCAUUUGCAAACCUUUCAAACCUCAAAGUCCUUUCCGGUGAUGAAAACAAGAUGGUAAUGGAACCUUCCUUUUAUACCUCAGUCCCAAAGUUUCAAUUGACCAGCAUCAGUUUGUCAAAGUGCAUUACAUCUCAACAACUCAAUCUUGAACUUCCUACCUUCCUUUACUACCAAUAUGACUUGAGAUAUGUGGAUCUUUCUCAUAACAAUUUCAGCGGAACAGUCCCAACUUGGUUGUUAGAAAACAACACAAAGUUAGAAGUUCUCAUCUUGAUGGGUAAUUCCUUUACUGGUCCUCUCUCAUUUUCGUCAGCUCUUAUUUCUAAUGUAUCUUCAAUUGACAUAUCUGAAAACAAAUUACAAGGUCAAAUUCCGACUAGUAUAUGUUCAACUUUUCCACAUUUGUGGCGGUUAUUCUUAUCCAAGAAUGCUUUUGAAGGUAAUAUCCCACUUUGUUUAAGUGUCAUGAAGGACUUAUCAUUUUUAGAUCUAUCAAACAAUCAAUUGUAUGGAAAAGUACCAGAAGAGUUGAUCGCGAAAGGCUCACUGACCAUUUUGAGACUAUCAAAUAACAAGCUCAGUGGAAAUGUAGUUCCUGUGGUUCUCAACUCAAAUGGGGUGCAGAAUUUAUAUUUGGAUGGAAACAAUUUUUCAGGAGAGAUGACAAAUGUUGAUUUGUCUACUUUUGAGUUUCCAAAUUCAAUAAGGGAAAUUGAUCUUAGUAACAACAAGUUGCAUGGAAAGCUCCCAAGAUGGAUAGGGAAUGCAUCGUUUUUGGAGAGAUUAGCUUUGUCCAACAGCGGUUUCGAGGGUUCUAUUCCAAUGGAAUUUUGCAAGUUGAAUAGGUUGGAAUUUUUGGAUCUUUCCCAAAAUCAUUUAUCUGGAUCUAUACCGUCAUGUUUUAAUCCACCAAACAUAGAGCAUGUCCACCUCCACGAGAAUAGACUGAGAGGUCCACUAUCACUUGCUUUUUAUAAUAGCUCCUCUCUAGUGACUUUAGAUCUUAGAGGAAACAAUUUGACAGGUAAUAUUCCAAAAUGGAUUGACACAUUUUCUUCUUUGAGUGUUCUUCUCUUGAAAGAUAAUCAUUUUCACGGUAAAGUUCCAAUUCAGUUAUGCAAGUUGCAUUCUUUAAGCAUCAUAGAUCUUUCUCAAAAUAUGUUUUCUGGUCCUAUACCUUCUUGUUUGGGAAAUUUAUCUCUUCCAAUGCAAACGAAGAAGAUUCUAGACAUUGGGAUCUAUAGGCAAUCUACAGAAGAGGAUGAAUCAACACGCAUUAUGAUAGCAAAUCUGGGACUGGAUUCUUACUACCCUUACAGCUACUUUGAAGAAGUAAUAGAGUUCACAACAAAGAGUGGGUUCUAUUCGUACAAGGGCGACAUCCUUUCAUAUAUGACUGGGAUUGAUUUAUCUUGCAACAACUUAACUGGUCAUAUCCCACCAGAAUUAGGGAACUUGAGUGAAAUCCAUUCUUUAAACCUUUCACACAAUAAGUUGACCGGAGUUAUACCCUCGUCAUUCUCAAAACUUCAUCAAAUUGAGAGUUUGGACCUUUCUUACAACAACUUGAGUGGUGAAAUCCCCAAUCAAUUGGUAGAGUUGAACUCUUUGGAGGUUUUCAGCGUGGCAUUUAACAACUUUUCAGGUAGUAUUCCCGAACCAAAAGCUCAAUUUGGGACCUUUAUUGAAAAUAGUUAUGAGGGAAAUCCGUUUCUUUGUGGAGUUAUAUUGCAUAAAAGUUGUUCCAAAACCGAUUCACCAUCAACGAUAUCAACUGUAUCAGAAGAUAAAUGAGAAGAUGGUUUGAUAGAUACUUAUGAUUUUUGUGUGAGCUUUUUGGUUUCUUAUGUAGUUGUGUUGUUGACAAUUUUUGUUGUCCUCUACAUAAAUCCAUAUUGGCGAAGAGCUUGGUUUUCUCUAGUUGGGAAAUGCAUUACCACCUGUCACUACUCAAAUGUGGGCAAUUCUUACUUAUCACAUUUUCAAGCGAUGUGUUUAGCUACUCAAAUUGCGAUUUGAUUUCCACACCUAAAUGUUUAAUUAUGCUAAGUUGAGCGAUAAUGAAUAUUUUGUUGAUUUUUGCAUUUUGAAUAAAAGCUCUUUUACCUUAUGGUUUUAUCAUUUUCAACCAACUAUUUCUUUUUUCUUCUAUGAAAUUUAAUGUAAAAUCAUAAUCCAUUAUUAUGUAUAUGUAAUAUCUCUUUAAAUUAAAUUAAAUUAAAUUAACUGCCAAGCGUUCACUAGUGCAUACUAAAAAGGAAAUCUAAUGUAAAAUUAAAUAACAUACUAGAAAAUUGAAUCUAAAACUGGAAUAUUUUAAAACCUCACAAAUAAUGCAAUUCUUUAUUCCUCUUUUCCUCUCAAGUUAUUUUGUAUCAUGUUAUAUUUUACAUAAUUAUUCGUAUCAUUGAAUUUUAAAAAAAAUUUAAUAUUUUGAUAUCAUGUUCAUAUUAUGCUUUAAUUCACAAUAUAUUUUGUAUAAUAUGUUAUAACAAUUCAAUUUAAAAAACAAGCAAUUAUCUUAUUUUUGCAUACCGUAAUAUACAUUUACAUGUUAAUAAUUCUUUGUACAUAAAUUUUGACAUGUUCGUAUAUUCGAGUCAUUAUAAUUUUAUUAUUUGUAAUAUGACAUGUUUUACUUACCCUUAAUAUUGUGUCAUGAUAAUUAUAACUCGAUUGGCAGUGUACCAAAUAUUUUUCUAAUAAAAAAUAGUAUUUUAUUCUAUUUACCAAAUCUUUAUCAACUUUAUAUUCUCACCAACAAAACAUACAUUCAAAGUUCAAAUAAGUUCCACACCCAUUUAUGCUCAUCAUCAGAAAGCUGAAAUAUUCCACUCUAAUUAACAUUAUGAUUCUGUAAACAACAAAAAAGUGUGAUCUUUUUUUAAAGCUCUUUUUUUUCUUUAAUGAAAUGGGAUUGGUAAAAAAUCCGCACAUGUGUCGUGUGUGAAGAAGGUCAGGUUGUCUAUUCAUUCUCUAAUAAGUAGCUAAUUAUAGUUGAUCCUACAAAAUCAAAAUUAAUUCAGGUAUCUAUAUAUUCUGAAGACUGGACAGACCUUAGAAGCUCCUUCAAAUUUGCAAGAACAUGUCGUGGUCCUAAACUCUUUACACCGAUGAAAUUCAAAAGUUGCUCUAUAUCCUGCAAUCACAGUAAAGAUUAUGCAAGCUUUUCAGAACGAAUAACAUAACAAGCAAAAGGCAAUCAAAAUACUGUGAUCUCGAUAAUGUUCUUUGCCGAAAAGGAACAUAAACAUAACCUGAAAACAUCAGUGAAGGCUCAUCAGAUUUGCUUAGCAACCUUACAUACACAUGUAAAAAGCUUUGCUUUUGGAUGUAAGGUGUGACUAUCAUCACAGUCUUUCCUAAUUAGCUGAUAACCCUAUAUCUAACAUUAAUCAUGGCUAAGCAAAUUAACAUACAUAAUGUAAAGGAAUUUGACUAUAAGAUCCAACAUAAAACUUAAUAAAAGAUAAUCAACAUAGAAAGUUAAAAGGCAAUGCAAACUUAUUACAAUGAUGCAAGUGGAUCAAAAGAAAGCACUCUAUAAGGAAUUUGCAUUUAAGGCAUUGUAAACAGAAAAAAAAAAUAAAACUUUUUGGAAAGUAUUUUCAAAGAGGAGACAAACAGGGUAGAAAAAAUGUUUGGUCCUUCCUUUUUCUAUUUCUACUGUGGUGAAAAAGCCUUUUUGGGUUAAAAGUGUUUUUACACUGCAGAAGUGUUUUUCCACUGCAGAAGUGACGAAGAACACAUAGCUUUUGUAGUCAAAAACCUACUGCUUUUGGCUUUUGCAUUUCGAAGUGAAAAUUAUAAAAAUACUCUUAGAUUAAUUUAUAUUUUAUAUAUUAUUAUAUUAAUUGUUUAAAUCUUAUUUAUUAUUAUAUUUAAUUUUUUUCAAAAUAUUUUAUAUAUCAUCAAUUUUAUAAAUAAUUUAAAUUAAUUACUUAAAAGGUAUUUAAAAGUUAUAUUUCAUGUAUCAUUAUAUUAAAUUAUUUAAAUAUCAUAUAACUUGACUAAUUUUUUUCUUUCUACCAUCAUGUCUAAAAAAGACAUUUUAACUUUCAACUGCAAUUUUUGGCAGCAAUGAACAACACUAAAAACUAACAAACACACUUUUCCGCACCACAUUUCAACAACACUUUUUUCUAAACGCACUUUUGAACUAGUCCUUAGUCUAUCAUGCAUCAACUCUUCAUUUUUCUUUAACUACCCAUGUCCGACUUCGAACAUGGAUAUGGAGAUAUGACCAAGUCACAGUGACAUAGUUUUUAGUUAUGGGGAAUGGGAUUCGAGUGCUGGACCUCCUUUUAGAUGCAUGGUGGGACUUCAUCACAUUUUUCAAAUUUGUUGAUAAUCCUUCACCUAAUCUGCCGGUGAAGUUUAUAGAUAGUCUUAAGUGUCUAUCACAAGAACCUAGAUAUUGUAAAUCCAAUAUCUUCCAAACAAUUCAACCAUGAUAUUAAUGAUGAUGGAAGCAAGAUUAUCCACUAUCAAUGACAUAAAAUGAGCUGUAAAUGCUGACGAACAAACAUGCACUGUUUUUCCAACCUGUGGAUUGAAGAGCAUUGACAAGCUAACUUUGCAGACCAUUUGAAUCCAAUACUAUACAUAAAAAUGCCAAAGGAGAAUAAUUCAUCUUGGAAAAAGAAUUACUAAUAUGCAAAAGCUUACCUUGUUUAACAAGAAAACAGCAUAUGCUGCUCUUGUCGUGUCUUGACCUUCUAAAAACAGCGGAAAUUCUGCCAGCUUUACAUUUGCUGAAAGUGUUGUAUCCAAUGACAAAUCAGAAGAUGCAGGGUCUAUUGAAGACGCAUGGUCAUUAAUAUAUGAGCGAGAACCACCCAAGCGCAGAGGAUAACGCAAGGGAACUUGUAAAUAGGAUGCAAUUAGUGAAACAGCCUGCAAAUGAUGAAAUAACAGGAAACAAGAAACAAUAAUAGGUAUGAUUAAAAUUAUAGCCUCAGCAUGAGAAACAAACAAUCAAGAUGCAACCCACUAUACCAUAUUACCAUCCUAGCAAUUAAAAAUUACUACAGCAUCUUCAAGCAACAAGGGAUUGUAGGUGGUAGGUCAAAAAACUUGAUAUCCACAGCUUGAUAUUAUCAGAAAAAACAAAUUCAGUAAUAAAUGAUAACUUCACAGAAGAAAUAGAACGCACAUGUGCAACAUAUCCCAAGGCAGUUGCAGAUCUCUGAACCUCCUUUUUGUCAGUGAAAAAACUCAUCUUUGUAAAAGGAAGCAAGGUGAGAUUCAGACCUAAAAUUGUCAACGAUCCUUGAUUGACGGGCUUUGAUGCAGAAGGAUUCCCUAUUGAAGACAGGAACAAAGGAACUUCAUAUCAGUACAUCACCAGACACCACCUCUUUGUGAAAGUCAAAAGAAAAUUCAAAAAAAUAUCAUCAUGAAAGUAAGAGAUAUGUAAAAAGCUCAUAAUAUUCAAGAGCAAAAAAAAAUUGUUUUGAUAUGAGGAGAAUUGAAUAGUAGAUUGCUAAAAGAGGAAUAACUGAAUACAACCAUUAUAACCAAAAGAAGAGUCAAGUGAUAGGUAAUGGUACUCCCUAAGCUGUUUAGGAAUCAUAAAAGACUUGUCCAGUCGACAAAAAUAACUCAUUUUAUUCUCCCCUAGUAAAACAUCAUAUUGGACCAACCAUAUUUGAUAUCAAAGGAUAUGCAUAUCCAGGCAUGCCAUUUAUAGAUAUUCCCAGUGUUACAAGAAGGAAUUGUUCAAGAGAAAGAAGCUGCUAUUGUUGGUAAAGUUUUCCUCAAACCAUUUUGAACAUCCAAAAUCUCAAGAACAAAAAAGAAAACGUAGGAGGAAAUAUAACAAGCAUCACAACGGGUUCUCGAUGAUAUAAGUGAGAGGAUAAAUGUUAAUUAAGAUUAUAAAAAUAAACCACAAACUAAACAGGAAAGACAUGGAUUUCAAAACGAGGAGACUGGCUGCUAAUUAAAACCAUAUGCGGCGUUGUCUAGGGCGCAAGGCACAUUCUAGGUGCUAACCUUUAUAUUGCCUCAAGCACAAGGCACAAAAGGAAGCGCUAGCCUGAGUGCAGUAAAGCGCAAUACGUAUAUGUGAGAGUUUUUGCAAGUCUGUGUGUCUAUAACAUAAAAGUUUUAAGAUAUAUGGUAAACUCUAAAGUGUGGUCUGGUUUAUCCACAAAACUUGCAAAAUUUUUAUAGGUGAAUACUUAAAUAUUGAGAAUUAUAGAGUUUGAUAUUAUCCCUUUCUUAUUAGUAAAGGUGUAUCAAAUGAAAACAGUAGAAAAUAAAAUAAAAUAUUGAGAAAUUCAACAAGGCAGGCUUUUUCUAAUGCCCAUUGCCUUACAAAAAAAGUGUGCCUAGGUGCACCAGGCAUACGCUUGAUCAAAUGGACCUCACCUGGAAGGGUCCAAGGCGUUUUGUUGUAUAAAACUAAGGCGUAGGCACGCCUAGGCGCAUGCCUUGACAACACUGACCAUAUGUUGGCUUUAUUGCAAAGCAUUAGCAAUCCAAAACUACUAGCACAUUACCUAAUCUACUACUGCUAGAAUAGGACUCAAGUUCUUGCUCCUGUGCAGGUCCAACCAAGAUCUUUACAGGAUACAAUAAUGAAACUUGUGAUAUCAUAUAUUGUUGCCUUGCUCGAAGCUUCCUUUGCACAUUUUUAAGUUUAACACAACCCCUUUCUUCAGUGAGUAAUCUAUUUGCUUCCUGUGAUAAAAACAACAUAUAAUCAAUCAUGCCACGCAUGCAAGACUACCAACCAACUAUCUAAUAAAAGAGACAAAGAAGUAGGAGAGCAAGAAGGGGAUAACCCUUGACUAUGCAAAGGAAUUCAUAGAAUGAGAAUCAUCUCAUCUAAGCCCCUCAACCACCUUCACAGGGGGUGGAGGUGCAAAGAGAGAGGUCUUAUUGAUCCGAGAGGAGAAUAUAUAACAUCUAAAGCUGAAUAAGAAGAAACCUUCAAAUAUAUCAUAAAUUCAGAAUUCAUGAUAAUAUAAAAAUGAAAUUCCAAAGCUAAUUUAAGCUAGAAUAAAAAUGCUUCACCUGUAAUCGCUUCCUUGCUACAGAAAGAGAGGUACCAGCAACCAACAAUGAUCUUACUUCAGUACUCAGCAUUUCCUCCUGUUUUUUAGCAUCCUCUGUUGCAACUUUGCAACGAGUUGACAUGUUUGCCAUAACUACUUUCCUUGCCUCUAGUCUCUCACGCAUUUCCUCAAGCUCGUUCAGUUUAUUCAAAGACUCAUUUUUUACCUGCACAGCAUGUUCCCACCCAUUAAUCAGUGGGCCAAUUAAUUAGGUCACAGAAGACAAAACUAAAUUAUCACUCACCAGGUCCCCUUGAAGUGUCAUAUGGCUUUAACAAUUCAACGUGCAAUAUCUAGUAAAAGUGAAAUAAACAUAGAAGAAUGCAAAUGCAAUUCUUAAACGCCUUUAAAUGGACAACAUGAAACAGUUUAAGAGCCCUAUAAAACAGAAAAGUGGAAAAAAAAUCUGAAAAGGAAAAAAAAUGAAUUGAAACAAUAAAUCCAUCUGGUACAAACAGCAACAAAUCUCGAAAUAAGCCUUGGCUUUAGCCCAUUAAAGCCCGGGCAUCCGGCCGAAUAAACAGUGACUGCCAUGUCAACUUUUUGAGACGGUAGAAAAGAGCUCAAAAAUCUCAAUUUCCAAAAUUAAGGACAUAAGAAGGAAAACAAUGUACUUAUUCUUACAGUAGAAGAGCAAAAUGAAACUAAAUGAAGGAUAAGGGAACUGAUGCGAAUUGACAUUGUUAUUUUUGGGACUAAAAAGAAUACGCAGAUUGAAUAUUUAAGAUUUUGUAAGGGAAAAGUUCCAUUCACCAACACAAUUAUCAUCGCCCUUUAUCCCAGUAAAGCUUAAUUGACAAUUUUUCUGUCUCGUGUUCUUGCUAAAGCAUUUGAGCAACCCAACAGAAAUCAUUAUAUGUCAAACUGAAAUGAUUGGCUUUAUCAAUUUCACAACCUAUACUGCCCAACCUAGUAAGUAAUUUAGGUGCAGACACCAGAAAUCUAUUUUCUUUGCACUCUACAACCAAAUAGCCUACCACUUAUCAAUCAAACACAGCUGAAAACUUCAGUGAGGAAACAUUAUGUAAACUGAAAAAACUAUAACUUCAACUUGAUUCAUAGCUCGGUAAGUUCAGGGAACUUGGACUUCUACCACCAUGAUCCAGUUCGAUGUGAAACAGUGAUCCAUAUCACGCAUAUCAGUUCCCGCAACAAGAGGUAAAACAGCAAAUUAGGUAAACAAUGAUCCAACUAUAUUUCAGAAUAGCAACAUUGAGCAUGAAAGCUAAAAUUAUAGCAUAUUAUGGGUCCUUGCUCCCUACAACUACAUAUAAAAUUACUAAACAAUAUUACUACAUUAAGGAUCCAGAAAAACUUGGUUUCAAUUGUUGAUCACUUGAUCCAACUAUUUUAGAAAGUUUAUUCUUCUUUUUCCUUUCCCUUAUUUUCUAAAUCAGGAAAAACAGUAGCAUAUAAACUGGAUUACUACUCCAAUUAAGUUUCUAAAAUUUCAGCAAUAUCCCUUUAACCUUUUCACUCAAGUCACUACCCCCCCCCCCCAAUUAACAAAUAUAUUCCCAGUUUCCCUUUCACUUCAAACCCCCCCCCUUUUUUUUUUCUCUACCCAAAUUCAGCUUACGUUCAAAAACCCAAAAUUGGUUUGCUAAAAAAACAUAAUUUUCAAACCCAAAGGUAACCUAAUUUUAAUCAGAAAAAAAAAAGAAGCAUUACCUGAAUUAGUGAAUGGAGUUUCUCUUGAAGACUUUAUUUUAAAAUUAUCUUAUACUAUUUGCUUUAAAUCGAUUUUUAUUAGUUAUUUGAAACUCGUUUUCAUGUACUAUUUAUUUUUUUAUCACUUAUUUAAAUUGUUUUACAUAUCUAUUUUUUAAACCCUAUUUUAUUAUAUUUUACUUAUUUUAACUUUUUUACAUAUUUCAUUAUAAAUAUUAUUAAUUAUCUAUAUUGAGUUUUUCAUUUAUGUAUUACUUAUUUAGAUAAAUAUAUACUAUUUUGUGUAUUACUUAUUUUGAUUUUCUUCUUAUACAAUAUUACUUUAAAAUUCAUUUAGAUAUUAUUAUUUCACAUAGUAUUUAUUUUUAUCUUCAUUUUUGAUCUAUUUCAAACUCAUAUAUAUUGUUUAUUUUGAAAUUUUAUGCACAUGAUUUAUUGUUUAUAUUGAUGAUUUUAAAUUUCCUUUCUUGUAUUUUUAUUUAUUUAUUUUAAAACUUGUUAUACUUUAUUUGUGUUAAUUUGCUUAGUUUUUCUUUCAAAAUUAACUUAUAAUUCAUUAGCUUUUAAUGUUAGUAUUUGCAUAAUAUGUGAUAUAAGAUUAUUGCUCUCAUGUAUUGCUUAUCUGUAUAUAUUGAUUAUUUGUCAUUCAUUAGUAUAUAUUUUGUUUUACGAAUUAUCACUUCUCGCGUUGUACAUUAUCAUUUCCAUCGCGUUUUAUUUGCUCAAAAAUUAUGUUUAAUAUGGCUUAAGUUUUGAAAUCAUUUUAUCCAAAAGCUUCCAAUAUAGCAUAACACUCGGUGUUUGGGAUUUUUGAAAAGAUCGUACUCUAACUUACGAGGUCUCGAUUUUUUGAUAAUUUCAAAUAUACGAACCUUUUUAAAAAAAAAAACAAGACACAUUUACUUAAAAAUUAUCUCAAGAAUCAAAAAAAGAUCGUGUCCCAACUUACCGGAUAUGAUUUAUUAUCUGAAACCGAUAUGAUCAAGAUUUUUAAAAAUAAAUAAAUUUUGGUGUUUAUUCUCGUUUCGGGAUUUAAGAUAUUGUGUCCUAACUCACGGGAUAUAAUUUUUUUCUCGAUUAACGAGAAAUACACCCUUCUUUAAAUUUUAACAAAAUGGUCAUUUUUUUAAAUUUCUUUUCGAAAUUUUAAUUUUUCGACAUUAAGACAUUAAUUAAUCGAUUAGGUACUAAUUUUGGGCAUGACGGGGUGCUAAUCCUUCCUCGCAUGUAACUGACUCUCGAACCCGUUUUUCUUAAAUUCCAUUGACCAAAAUCAUUGUUUUAAUAAAAUCAAAAUGUUUUAUCAAAACGAUUGAAUUGCAAGGUGAUCCAAUCACACAUAAAAAAAAUGUCGGUAGCGACUCCCUUUUUUUCAUUUUCAAAAUAAAAGUCAACACUAUUUUUGUUUUCAAAAAGUGGUUUCGACAAAAUUGUUUAAAUCUUACUUAUUAUUAUAUUUAAUUGUUUUUCAAAAUAUUUUAUAUAUCAUCAAUUUUACAAAUAAUUUAUAUUAAUUACUUAAAAGGUAUUUAAAAGUUAUAUUUCAUGUAUCAUUAUAUUAAAUUAUUUAAAUAUCAUAUAACUUGACUAAUUUUUUAAUUUCUACUAUCAUGUUUAAAAAGAACAUUUUAACUUUCAACUGCGAUUUUUAGUAGCAAUGAACAACACUAAAAACUAACAAACACACUUUUCAGCACCCCUUUUCAACAACACUUUUUUCUUAAAGUACUUUUGAACUAGUCCUUAGUCUAUCAUGCAUCGACUCUUCAUUUUUCUUUAACUACCCAUGUCCGACUUCAAACAUGGAUAUGGAGAUAUGACCAAGUCAGAGUGACAUAGUUUUUAGUUAUGGGGAAAAGGAUUCGAGUGUUGGACCUCCUUUUAGAUGCAUAGUGGGACUUUCAUCACAUUUUUCAAAUUUGUUGAUAAUCCUUCAUCUAAUCUGCCGGUGAAGUUUAUAGAUGGUCCUAAGUGUCUAUCACAAGAACCUAGAUAUUGUAAAUCCAAUAUCUUCCAAACAAUUCAACCAUGAUAUUAUUAAUAAUGAUGAAAGCAAGAUUAUCCACUAUCAAUGACAUAAAAUGAGCUGUAAAUGCUGACGAACAAACAUGCACUGUUUUUCCAACCUGUGGAUUGAAGAGCAUUGACAAGCUAACUUUGCAGACCAUUUGAAUCCAAUAAUAUACAUAAAAAUGCCAAAGGAGAAUAAUUCAUCUUGGAAAAAGAAUUACUAAUAUGCAAAAGCUUACCUUGUUUAACAAGAACACAGCAUAUACUGCUCUUGUCGUGUCUUGACCUUCUAAAAACAGCGGAAAUUCUGCCGGCUUUACAUUUGCUGAAACUGUUGUAUCCAAUGACAAAUCAGAAGAUGCAGGGUCUAUUGAAGCUGCAUGGUCAUUAAUAUAUGAGCGAGAACCACCCAAGCGCAGAAGAUAGCGCAAGGGAACUUGUAAAUAGGAUGCAAUUAGUGAAACAGCCUGCAAAUGAUGAAAUAGCAGGACAUUAGAAACAAUAAUAGGUAUGAUAAAAUUAUAGCCUAAGCAUGAGAAACAAACAAUCAAGAUGCAGCCCACUAUACCAUAUUACCAUCCUAGCAAUACCUGCAAAACUUUCAUCAAAACGGUAAUAACACUUUUGGACAAUGUGUCCUAUUUUACCACACAACUGGCAUUGGGGCCGAUUGUUUGAAAAACCACCCUCACGGCCUCAUCCUCGAUGGAAACCUCUAUUGCAUUGAAAACCACCUCUAUGUGCCUGUUUGUUCCCUUGAUAGCCACUGUUAUAAUCAUAACACUUGGUCCGAUCACCCUCAUCACAAUCUUGUUUACUAGCUAUGUUAGCUUGUUCGAGAACACUAUUCAAGAACUCAAGUUCUCGAGCUUCACAAUCAAGCAGCAUCUCAAUCAACAGACCAAGCGACACAGCAGUAGCUGAAGCUACUACCCGUACUGAUUCACACUCAACUGGCAACCUUGCAAGAAUGAUGCUAACCAUUUCUUGAUUUGAAAUCAAACAACUCGUUGCAACCAACAUAUCACACAUGGACUUGAUCUUAGACAAAUAUUCUUUAACAAACAGAUGACCCUUUUUCUGUGAAUACAACACAUGAUGCAUACUGGACAAUUUUACCGUCGACUUAGUCGCAAGCCUUUUUUUCAAUAGUUUCCCAAAUAUAAUAACUAGUACGAGCACUAGUAAGAUAGGCUAGAAUUUCAUCACUAUCAGUUGAAAGUAACCAAGAAGCCAAUAGCUUAUCUUGUUGCACAUGUAAAACAGAAUCAGAAUCUUCUACUAAUCUCCCAUAUUUAUCCACUACAAACUGUGCUAGUACACUAAUAGCACCCAAAACAAACUCAUGCAGACCGUAUCAUUCAAGGAUCAACAUAAUUUGGAGCUUCCAUAAAACAAAAUUAUACUCACCAAGCUUUAUUGUAUCGUGCUUAGGAAAUUGUUGAAGACAUCUACAACUGUUGAGGUGGGUUUUCUUUAAACAUACUCAUUCCAACAAAAAAAAAAUCUACGUUAGUAUGAUUAAUUAGAAAGUGAUUAAUUCAUUAUUUAGUUAGAAGUGAUGGCCUUAAGAAAAAAAAUGACAUUAUUUUAUUUGGCAUUGUUAAAAGUGUUAGUUACUGAAAUAAUUAAUGAGAUUAUAAAAGUGAAAGAAUCAAAUUAUGUCAAAAGUAAAGUAGAGGGUUUUAAUCCUAAAUUUGGGUAUAAUAAAGGGACUAACACCAAAUAAUUAUAAAAUUUUCAAAUAUUUUAAAAUUAAUUUUAAAUAUUAAUUAAAUACAAAUUAUAAAAAAAUAAAAUAAAAAUCCCCAGCGCAGUGAGGGACAUAUUCGAUAUCAAUAAUUAUAAAAUCUGUAGUUGUAAUAUUUAAUUGAUAUAAUAUAUAAAAUUUGAGGGUUAAAUUUGUUAUUAUACAAUUUUUUUAACUGCCGUGUCACUUUGCAAUUUUUUAUUUUAAGGAGUCAUCAAAAUAACUAAACUAUGUAAUGUGAGUGCUUAAAUUACAAAAUUUUUACUUUAAUGUGAGUGCUUAAAUUACAAAAUUUUUACUUUAAGUGUUUAAAUUUUUAAAAAAAAUUAUAAUUAAAUAACAAUCUAUAUGUAGUUUGCCCAAAAAUUUUAUAACCCAAACUACACAAUUUUAUGGCCAUCUCCCACUUUUGAUAUCUCUUUGGCCAUUAGUUAAGAUGGGAGGGGAAUGACUUAUUCAAGAUUAGUGUCAACAUUAGAUUUAAAACCUACGGAAGUCAUGUUUCAAUUUUUUUAUAUAAUAAUAUAACAUUUAAAAUUAUAUUAUAUCUAUAAAAGAACUCAUUGGAUUAGGGUUUUUUUUUUUAAUUAACUUUCCAUUUGUUAUUAGAAAACAAAACUAAAAAUGCAUCAAACAGGGCUCUGAUAAAAAAUUAAAAAAAAACCAAAAUGUUUAGGUUUGGUAUCGUUUUACUUUUACUUUAAAAUCAGUCUAAUCUGUAUCAUGCUCACACCAAACAUAUGAAGAAAAAAAAAAGUGAAAUAGUAAGGAUAUUAUUAAUUUCAUUCCAAGACAAAUUUUAGCAUACCCAAUUAGGUCCUUGGGUUAAUCUUAUGUUUUUUGUUUAGGCAUUCAGCAUUCUUGGCGUUUAGUUUAGUUAGAAUUUUAAAUUAUGAUAGAUCUGAAACUUUGGUAUUUUUGUGCAAAACUCAACCUCAAAGCUUUAUUUGUUGUCUAAAUUAUUUUAUUGAAGCCUAGGAAUUGUUGUUAUUGUUUCGGCUAAUUGACCUUAAAGCAUCAAAUGCCUUUUUUUGGAUGGUCAUAUUCCUUCCAAGGGCUGAAUUACUAAAAGCCCAUGAAGUAUCCUUCUUUUUCUUAAGUGAGCCUCUGUUUCAAUGCCGCCAAAAUUUUCUUUAUCCACAUGGAAGCUGACCUGCCAUGAUGAUGUGGUAAAAAAAUGAACAAUUUGUAUUUUUUGAAAAAUAUAACACUUAAGAACUUUCUUUCUUCUUGCCUCCCAAUUCUCACCACCAAUUCCUUAGCCCAAAUCAGUUUUGGCCUCCGACAUUGAUCAUAACAAAAGUAAACUUUCUAUUAGAAAUAAUUUCUUUUAUGUACAAAUUAAAGGGUAAGAUAUUGUUUGGGUACAAAAAAAGCAUAUGAGCUUACUUUAGAAAAGUGACAACGUUGGGCUCUUUUAGUAUUCUAUCCUCCCACCAACUUUGUCCAAUGUUUUUUGCCUUAUCACCAGACAGUAAAAGGGCCUUUGACCUUUUCAGGCUAAGCGCUGCCUGGUGCAUGUAGGGGGAAAAGGCCUUCUAAUUGAAGUUCUCUUUAAUAUCUCUUUAAUUGUUUCUUAAUUGUAACAAAGGGAUAAUAUCGAACUCUCUAUUUCUCAAUAUUUGAGUAUUCAACACCAGGCAUGGGAUCAUAUGGAAAUAUGCAUAUGGUUGACAAAAGAAAGAAAAUUUGGAAAUGUUUAUUUAAGUAGUAACUGCUGGUUUUCUUGGAUGCUUUCUUGUUAAUGACUACUGUUUGGGCAUGUUUAUUUAAGAAUUGCCCCCAAGUAGUUUCUUGAAUCAUCUAAAAUUGGAAAAAAUAGUCUUAUGGUAACUCAUUAAAGUAUUUGAAAGUAUGCACAAGCUAAUAACAUUUUAGAAAUUAAAAUUGAAGAUCGGUUUUUAGGGUAUCAUGUCCAUAUUAAGCAUCAUCUUUCCAGAUUACUGUUCUCUCUCUCUCUCCCUCUCUGUGUGAUAUAUUUCUCAAGUGAAAGGUAACCUUCUUCACUUGAUUUUGACUUAAUUUUGCAGUCACCACGAUUGUAUAAUGUGUACAAGCAAAUGGGAAUUGUAAAAUCUUUUCAGAAUAUUCUGGACAAUGUUUUCAUUCCACUAUUUGAAGUUACAGUUGAUCCGAAUUCUCAUCCUCAACUACACGUGUUCCUAAAAAUGGUGAGUUCUAUGUUCAUCGGAGAACAUACUGUGCUAUAAUAAGAGAUUUCGGAAAAUAUAGUUAAAAAAUGCUUCUUUAUUGGAAUGACCUGCAUUAUAGCAAGCUGAAUAAAUGAUGCCUUAACUUUAUUCAUUGUGUUCUCAUAAUUCUUUAAAACCAUUCGAAAAUUCUAUUGAGCCACAUUAUAUGGUUAAUUUUUGGGUCUGUACUGCAUACUGAACAUGUGUACAUCCUUGCGAUUUUAGAUGGAUGGAGUUGGACAGCAAAGCAAUUGAAAAAAACCCAAUUUAUGGUUUCUAAAUGUUAGAUCAUUUAUGGUUUCUAGUUUCAAUUUAAAAAAAAAAAAUCCAAAUCAGCCAACUAAUGAAAUUUUCAACGAUGUUAGUUAUUUUAACUAAUCCAUAACAUGUUUGCUUCUUCUUCUUUUUUUUAGCCUAGCAGCAAUGUUAGCCUCUGGACUAGUUACCGCCCUCCUUUUUCCCCUCCCUAUUAACCCUUUUUAUUUUUCUUCUCAUUCACUCCAUGAGUCUUCGUUCUUUUCAGUUUACAGAUUUAUUUUGUGAGUAUUUUUGUUGUCUUUACAAGUUGUAAUGGACAGUUGACAAUGGCUAUCAUCAUUGAAACACCACCGACCACCAACACUUUCUUUUAGAAAGUGGGUACCUCUUCGUUGACUACUUAAUUUGUUUAUAUUUUGAGAGUUUCAAAAUAAUAAAUGAUUUCAUGACUCGGUUUAGACUCAUGUUUUUUUUCCAUUGUUCAAUAAGUUUUUACUUUUAAAAGUUUUUUUCUACUCUUAUAGUAAGCUUUUUAGUCUUGCUUUUGCGAGUAAUUUUAGGGUUGGUUUUGUCGCCAUCCCCUCUAGUUUGGUGGAUGCUCAGUUCUUUUGCUGAUUUAUGCCCGCCGCUUUGGACCAUCCGGGGUUGAUUUUCUUACUAUAUUAAGUGCUUGUAAUCACUUCUGAUAUGUUGUGCUUGAGUUGUGAUAGAGCUGAUUUCAACAUGCCAUAAUGUUCUAUUAAUGUUGAAGCUAAAGCUUUUGUUAUAUUGAUGGAGCUUGUCCUUUAGCGAGUACAACAAGUGUUUGUUAUUUCCUCCCCCCCCCCGAAUUGUAUGGUAUUAUUCAUUGAAUAAAUUAAUGAAGUUGUCUUAAAAAAAACUAAUCCAUAACAUUAACAUUAAUAAGAGAACAAAAUAUAUCAAAUUAAAAAAGAAAAACUGAAUCUUUAAUUCAAUUGAGAAAUUAUAGGGAUUAAAACUAUAAAUUGAUCUAUAAUAAUUUCUCAGGCAUUAAUUGUAAGAUUAAUUCCAUAACCUAAAUUAUUGUAGGGGCUAUAUAAGCUCAAGGUUGACGCAAAAGUCAAUAGUCAGCGUCUGAAAGUUAAUGCAAUUAAUUAUGUCAUUGUUGAUAUAUUUAACGCAAAUAUAUUAUCAUAUGUGUAAUGUCAUACCAUCUUAUUAUUUCCAUAUGUUACUAAAAAUCUAGUUAACGGACUAAGGAUUGUCAUUUGUAUCAAGACUGAAAUUUUAAAUUUUGAAAAAUAUAGGUACUUAGAAUAAUCCAAUUAGAGAGUAUGGACUAAAUCAACAAUUAUACGCAUAAUAUAGGACUAGUAAUUGGUUUUAAUUAAAUUGAUUUAACUCUAUUGUUUGGAUCACAACUAAAAUUUUAAAAUUCAAAAUGUAUAGGGAUUAAAAUUGAUCAAAUUGAAGUAAAUAGACUAAAUUUACAACUUUCACAAAGAACAGUGACCAACAGCAGAAUUUAACCAAAUAAGCUCACCAAAGUCAAUAGUCAAUCUUUGAAAAGUAAUGCAAUUAAUUAUGUCAUUGUAGGAACGCUUUCCUGACAUAAAAUUCCACCAACUAAGCCUUUUGCGUAAAUAUUAGCUAUGAAAAUUCAACCAUUGAUAUUAAAUUCAAGACCCCACAAAUGACAGACAUAUAUGUUGGAAAAAUCUUUGUGUGAACAUUUCUUUCGGUCAUACUCAUGUCGUAUAAGUUAGAGGAGCACAAGUCUAGAUUCAUCCAAUUUUUGAGGAAUUAAUUAAUUAUAUAUUAGUUUAAAAUUAUAGUGAAUUAGUGAGACGCCAUAGGUCUUGCUUGCAUAUAAAUAAGAAGCUUAGGCUUCUUCAGAUUAUUUACAUAUAAAAGUUUAAAAAGUAACAUAUAGCUAAGAGAGAAGAGGAAAACAGAAAGAUGAUGAUGAUAAUGAUGGAGUGGAAAUGGUUAUGGUUUAUAAGGAUGGCAGUAAUGUUGUUGGUGUUAGAAGGGUGCAGGUGGUGUACUGCUGAUGCUUGUUUGGAGCAUGAGUCGCCUUCUUGCAUCUCAAACCUUUCUUCAAUUAUGAUAAUCAAUUGAAAAGUUGGAUUGAGGUGAAGGGUUCAGAUUGUUGUAAAUGGAAAAGAGUUGAGUGCAACACCAUCACUAGGAGAGUCAUACAACUCUCCCUUAAUCAUACAUCAUCCAAUAUAUAAAUGAAUUAAUGAAUUUACCUUUCAAAAGAGAAAAAAAGAAUUCAUAAAUUUUGAAAUACAAAAUGAACGUGUUUUGAUAUUUUUAGGGCAAUGGUUUAGUGGUUCAAAAUUUUGAUUUAAUAUGGUGAAUUUAAUUAUAAUUUUUUAUAUAUUAGAUAGUAGAAUAUAUUUUACCAUUUAUAAUUAAGUACAAUUAAGUUUAGGUUAAAAUAUUUUAUUAAAUUUUUGUACUUUUCACAAAUUUUAAAUUUAAUCUGUUUACUUUUAUUCUAGAAUUUAAUCUCUCUGCAUGUAAAGGAGGUUAUUAUGGCAAGGGGAAUUACCAUGGCAGAGGUAGCCGAGGCUGACGAAGAGAUGCUGGAUAUGCUGAAGAAAGAUAGAUGGCUGAGAAACAGAAAAACUUUAGGAACAAUAUUCAGUGUUAGAAGUAUGGGGAUGUGAAGGCAGAUUGUUGGAAAAGGGGAAACAAGCAAAUUUUGCGGAAGAUGAUGAAGAGAUUUAAAUUAUUUAUGAGCUGUCUAGAUGACACUAUAGCUUCAACUAACAUUUGGUUUCAAGGGCGUAUAUCUCAUGAUGAAGAGAUCGUCUCUCUUCUUUUUUCUCAUAACAUAUUACACGCCAUGAUAAUAAAUAUUGAUAUGCCUAUAAAUUUGAGUUUCUAUUAUUUGUAGUCAUGAUUUGGUUCACUCCAUAAGUUACAUAAAUUUAUUAUAAUAAUUCAAUUAAUUUUAGAUUAAUUUUACAUUUUUGCCCGAACUUUAGUUUUUAAUAAUUCAAUCAUCCCACCAUUAUAUUCAAUUAAAAGUGUAAUACGAUUUUGCGUCAUCCAACCAUUAUUCUUAGUGUAAUUUUUGGUAGUGAGCAUAGAAGGACAGCGAGAACAAAGAAAGAAUGUAUCCAAUAACCCACUCCCCUUAUAGUCAAUGCUUAAAAUGAAUAAGAAAAUAGAAAACAAACGUGGCAAUGCCAGCUAAUUUGUUAUUACUAUUCACCGUAUAACUAAGGACAUUACGCACCGUUUUAAUUAAAACAAACUCACCGUUUAAGACCGUUACUUCUAUGCAUCGUUUUAAUCAUAUGCGUCAGUUCGAACAAAUAGGUGAACAUGAAAGCUUUUCGCAAAGUUUAGAUGUGUGCUUAAAACUCAAACUUUGUGUUCUGUAAAAAUAUUGAUUUUGUUGUAAUUGUAGGUUGAACUUUGUGAGUCCAAUUACUUUCUUUGGCAUCGGAUAUUUCGUGGAACUUUCGUAUGAGAUAUUUACUUCAUAAAUAGAAGAUUACAAAAUUUGGAUAUUAAUAUAUUUUUCAUGAUUUAAUUUUCUUUUCCUUUUUUGGGCUAAAAUAAUUAAUAACGAAAACACGUCUUUUGCUAGCACCUAUAAAUGCCUUAAAAAUGUAAAUUAAUAUUCCACAAUAAUUAUUAAGAUGAAAAGAAUUUUAUAAUCUAAACUUACGAUUUCAUGUGAAUUUAAUGUUUAGUUAUAGUUUUAAUUACAAAGUUAAAUUGGUAUCUUUGUUAUUGCAAUAAUUAAAAAAAGAUGAGUCCAAAUGACGUUGAUUUUCUGUUUUUUAAAAGUGAAUGCAAGAUGGGACGGCUGGAAUUUUUUUUAUUAAACAGUAAGUAUGAAACAGUUAUGGUAAUUGCUUGCUCCAUCUCACUCCACUCCACUAUAUAAAAUUAUCAUUUCAUUCUUUUAUAUAUAGAAAAAAAUUAAAUAUUUUAUGAAAAUAAUCAUGUUUAAAUUUCCAAGAAUAAAAGCAAACUGAAGACUUAAAAUUUCCAUUAAUAAAACCAAAAUCAAAGAAGUAAAUUUCCCAUGAAUAAAACAAAAAAUGAAGAUCUAAAUUUUCCAUUAAUAAAGCCAAGUCAAGACUAAGUUUGUAUAAGUGUAAGAAGGGUAUAAAUGAAACUCACAAGAAAGCCACAUGAAGAAUUUUAUAACCCCAAACUACACGAUUUUAUGUCCACCUCUCACUUUUCAUAUUUUUUUGGCCAUUCGUUUUUCAAGAUUAACAUCAGCAUUCUUGUGGUCCGUUCAUCCUUUUCUAAUGAAUUUCCACCAAGAGUUUUAUUUUUCAAAAUGUUAAAUUAACUCAUGAUAUUAAUUAAAUCAAGAAAUUUUAUAAUAAUAGAGAUGAAAAAACUAAAUUUUCAAAAUCAAAACCUAAAAUGUGCAAGAAUAAAAGCAAACUGAAGACUUAAAAUCUCCAUUAAAAAAAUCAAAAUCAAAGAAGUAAAAUUUCCAUGAAUAAAACGAAAAAUGAAGACCUAAAAUUUCCAUUAAUAAAUCCAAGUCAAGACUAAGUUUGUAUAAGCGUAAGAAGGGUAUAAAUGAAACUCACAAGAAAGCCACAUUAAGAAUUUUAUAACCCCAACUACACGAUUUUAUGUCCACCUCUCACUUUUCAGUUUUUUUGGUCAUUAGUUAUUCUAAGAUUUAACAUCAACAUUUGAUUUCAAAUCAACGUUAAACCAUGUUUAAACUCUUUUUCUUAUAUAAUAAUUAUAUUAUAUUUAAAAUUGAAAAAACUAACCAGCCAAAUAUAUAUUAAUUAAUUAAUAGAAUUUUUUUUGCUCAUCGAUUAAAAUAAAUCAAGAAAGACGUUGGAACCACCAACCUCUCUUUAAGAACAACAGGAAUACAAGAACCUAUGCACAACAAGUACUAAAAUGUAUUAAGUAAAUUCAUCACCAGGCCUUAAAAAAAGAAGAUCUCGAUAUACCUGCUUUUGCCAAAGCAUCUGCCAUACCAUUACUUUGCCAGUGAAUAAUUCUGAACUGAAACUUAGCCAAUUGAGUGAUAUUAAUUAUAGAAAUGGUUCUUCUUGCAACCAUAGAUGAAACACCACUGAGACUAACAAACUUGGAGAAACUUGAUUAAAUCAAACUUAUGCAAAUUUCUUGAAUAUUUAAGUUAAGAGUUAACGUCAAAGUCAAGAGUUGAUAAGGAUUUUGUGGUCCAUUCAUAUCUUUAUUACAAUAUAUAUAUAUUCAAGAAAUUUGCAGCAAGUUGGAGUUUUGCAAUAAGGAAUUUCCACCAAGAGUUUUGGAAUAAGGAAUUUCCUCCAAGAAUUUUGCAGGAAUCAUAUCUCUAACAAAAGAAAGACCUUCAUUUGACUAAAUUUUUUAGUAUUUAUUUUAACUUCCAUUUUAUUAAAAAAAAACAGAGGUAAAAAAUAUGCCGAACAGGGUCUUUAGGUUACUUUUCUUAGAACUAUAUUAUGUUAUAGUACCGUAUAAGUUAGAGGAGCACAAGUUUAGAUUCAUCCAAUUUUUGAGGAAUUAAUUAAAUAUAUAUUAUUUUAAUAUUAUAGUAUACAGAGGCAAUGUUAGAAAAAAAUUUUGUGGAGUCGAAAUUAAAUUAUAGUUUUAAAAGCAUAUAUCUUUAUAAUUUUUAAAGAAUUAAAUCAAAUUUUUAUCAAUUUUAGGGGGUCAAUGUGCAAUUUUAUCUUUACUAAUUUAAAAUUUUAAAACAUUUAAAGGACCUAAAUAGGAAUUUUUCUAUUUUAGAGGCGUCUGAGACGCCUGUCUAGCUAUGCCCCUGAUAGUGAAUUAGUGGGAUGCCAUAGGUCCUGCUUGUAUAUAAAUAAGAAGGUUAGGCUUCUUCAGAUUAUAUACAUAUAGAAGUUAAAAAUUAACAGACAACUGAGAGAGAAGAGAAAACAGAAAGAUGAUGAUGAUGAUGAUGAUGAUGGAGUGGAAAUGGUUAUGGUUUAUUAGGAUGGCAGUAAUGUUGUUGGUGUUCGAAGGAUGCAGGUGGUGUACUAUUGAUGCUUGUUUGGAGCACGAGAGGAUUGCUCUCUUGCAUCUCAAACCUUUCUUCAAUUCUCGUGAUGAAUUGAAAAGUUGGGUUGAGGUGAAGGGUUCAGAUUGCUGUAAAUGGGAAAGAGUUGAGUGCAACACCACCACUAGGAGACUCAUACAACUUUCCCUUAAUUAUACACAAUGGGAAUUCAACGUGGAAUAUUGGUAUCUCAAUGCCUCUAUGUUUCUUCCCUUCGAGGAAUUGAGGAGUCUUUAUUUGUCAGAUAAUGCCAUAGCUGGUUGCAUUGAAAAUGAAGGUCGUGCCUUUAAUUUUCCCUCAGUUACAUCUUUUAUUAUUACACUAUUCUCACCCUUGUUAAUUUGCAAUUACUUAUAAUUUAUUUUAUUUUAUUGAAGAAAGGUCACUAAAUGUUUGUGUAUAUAUUUAAAAGAACACUCUUACAGGUUUUGGAAAGCUAUCAUCCACAUUGAGUAAUUUGGAGAUUCUUGACUUAAGUUACAAUUACUUGAAUGAUAGCAUUUUGUUAUCUUUGAGUGAGCUUUCAUCUCUCCGAUAUUUGGAUCUAUCAUACAACCGAUUUGAAAGAUCAAGUCAUCCAAGAGGUAAAUUAAGUUUAGUCUGGUGUUAGUUUUUAUUUGUAUUGGGGAGUUUGACAGUGGUUUUCCAUUGUUUUAUUCCCUCUAACUUAGUUUUUGCUUUUAUGGUUGAGAGGAAAAAGAAACAAACAAGUACUUACUCAAAUUAACUAAACAAUGGAUUAUUUUUUUUAUGUUUUGCAGUAACUAAUUCUAUGGUAUAUAAAUCAGGUUUUCAGUGGCUUUCAAGGCUCACUAAAUUGGAAACUCUUCAUCUAAGUGGGAAUUCUUUGAAGAAUAGCAUUUUUUUACAGAUGAGAAAUCUUUCAUCUUUGAAGACUUUAAGUUUGGGUGACAAUCAGUUGGGAGGAAAACUGCUUCAUAUUCAAGGUAGACUGAUUUUACACUUUUCUUGUUAACUUUAAAAUAAAUUCAGUAUGUGAUUUGAUUUUAUCAUAUCAUGAAUAUAACUGAUCAAUAUUUGAGAUUGAAUUUCAGAAUUGAAUCAUUUGGCAAACUUGAAGUACUUGGAUUUAAGUAGGAACAGAAUUGAAAGCAUCUCAAACAAAGGUAUAAGUAAUAAUUUGUGCAUGACUUUCCUGACAGACUUCAAAUGUAUUUUCUUUGUUUUUUUCCUUUUCAUAUGGUUGAGAGGAAAAAAGAUCCUUAUAAUCUUAAAGAGUUGAUAUUGAGAGUUGGUCAUGAGAGAAUGGGUCCUUAAAAUCCUUAAGACCAGGGAGUUUGUGUCCACAGUUGAGUAUUCCAUUUGAAAACUGAAAAUUAAAUAUUCUAUUGCUUUAUUUCUUUUAAAAGAAAGAUUGAGUUUGGAUCUCCGACUGCUUUAUUUUUUUCAAAGAAAGAAAUAUGUUUAUACUUUUGCGCAGAAGAUAUGAAGAAGUCUUAUUUUGUUCUCGCUUUUGUGCAAGUGAAACUUAGUUAUCUCAAAUAUAUAUAUAUAUAUAUAUAUUGUAGUUAUCAGUUCACUACACAAUAGCAUGUAAACCAGUUCCCCCUUUUCAAAUUUAUGAGUGGGAGUUGUCCAUGAUUUUCUUUGUGAUUUUCUUUUCACGUUUUAGGAUUUUCAUCUUCACUUCAAGUUUUAGAUUUACUUUUUUUCAUUUUUAUUUCAUUAACUUAAAAAAGGAAUGCUGGAUCAUAUUCAAGGUAGAUUGAUUUUACAUGUUUCUUUUUAACUUAAAAAAUCAAUAUAUGUUCAAGUUUAAGUGACAACAACAUUGAAAGCAUCUCAAACCAAGGUAUAAGUAUUUGUGCGUAGUAACUUUCUUGACUGACUAUUAUUCCAAAAGGCAAUGACAGACUUCAAAUGUAUUUUCUUUAGUGAAUUUUUAUUGCAAAAAUGGAGUAUUAUUAUUUAUUUAAGUUUUGUAGUAACUAAUUAUAUAAUAUAUAAAUGAGGUUUUCAAUGGCUCAUUAAAUUGGAAAUUAUUGAUAUAAGUUGGAAUUAUUUGAAGAAUAGCAUUCUUUAAAAUAAAUUCAUGUUGAAGGAAAAGUUGUUGCAAUAAGUCAUUUGAUUUUAUCAUAUCAUGAAUAUAUAUAACUAAUCAAUAUUUGGGAUUGAAUUUCAAAAUUGAGUAAUUUAAGUAGGAAGGUAUCUCAAACAAAGUAUUUAUAUAUUGAAUCAAUUCAUCGGAAAGCUUGUAAAUUGGCUCUUCCUUCUCAAACAAACAUUUUUCCUAACUAUUUAUAUAUUGAAUGAUGUUAACUAUACUAAUUACUUUCUUCCAAUGAUAGAUGGAACACAAUUGAGGCUAACAAACUUAGAGGAACUUGAUUUGAGUGGUAAUCUCUUUCGGAACAACACAAUUUCCUUUCCUCAAGGGCUUUCAAGCCUAAAGUCUUUGACUUUGUACAACAACCAUUUGCAAGGCUCAUUAGAUACUAAAGGUACUAAAGCUAUAACUUUGUUUUUCUUGAUAAUUCUUUCUAGAACCUUUUAAAAUUAAUUGUUUCAAUUUUGAACAUUCACAUUUCACGUUUGAGGAUUUUCAUCUUCACUUCAAGUUUUAGAUUUACUUUUUUUUUCAUUUUUAUUUCAUUAAAAUAUUAAGUAGAAAUUAAAAUUAUUAACAUAAUGAUUUUUUGAAUUGGACGUGGAUAUGUAUAGGAUUGAGCAAUUUAACAAAUUUGAAGAAACUCGAUUUAAGUGUGAAUCAGAUUGAAAGCUUUCAAUCCUUUAAAGGUAUGCAUUUAUAUUUAACCAAUUACCUAAAUUCUUACAUAUAAUUAAAUUUUAUGCCAAUUCAUUUCAGUGAUGAAAUUAUAUAAAUCUUUUGUAGAUGGUGGUAGAAAAUUGGAGUUGACCCACUUGGAAGAGCUUUAUUUAGAUUACAAUCAGUUCAAUACUAGUGUAUUUGCAUCCCUUAACAAGCUUUCAAAUUUGAAAUCUUUGAGCAUAUGGGACAAUGGAUUGAAAGGAUCAAUAGAUAUGAAAGGUAAAUAUAUUAGUUUUUUUAACUAGAAUAUAAUCAUGUUUGAAGAGAAUAUAAUGAAGUUGAUUUGUUGUUUUUGUUUUCCUAGAUUUGGAAGCAUUUAUCAACUUAAGGGAACUAGAUAUGAACUAUAAUGAAUUGAAAGAUUUGGUGAUCCACCAAGGUAUCAUUUAAUUAAACUUCCUUUUUUUUUUAAUUUAGAAAUUUAGUUUUGAUCUCAUAUAUUAUAAUAACGGUUAUUGUCAUAAAUAUUAAUAAAGUUAUAUCAUAUCAUACUUGAAAGUAAAAGUUUGGUGAAACAUUUUCUAAAUCAUCCAUUAUAAUGUGUUUGGACUUUGGUUUGAAACUAAAAUUCUUUAAAAUUUUCAUCAUUUUAAAAUAUUAAUGUUUAUAAUUAUUUUGUUUGUAUAAAUAUAUUUUUUAAAAUAAUUUAUUGAAUUUUUAUGAGAUAAAAAAUAAUUAUAACAAUAAAAAAUGAUAUUAUAAAUAAAUAAAAACAUAUAUUUAUGAGAAAAUAUGUAAUAUAACUAUAUUUUAAUUUCAUAUAUUUUUAAUAGUAUAAAACAUAAAAAUACAUAUUAGCGUUAAAUAAAUGGCAUUUUUUGGCAAAAAUAAAUAAAUGUCAAUUUUGAAUAAUUUAAAAAAAAUCUUUAAUUUUGUGAAAUUUAAACAUACAUUGAGAGGUGCUUAAACUUCCAUUGCAAUCUUUUUAUAAAUUUCAAAGUGCAUAUGUUUUUAACUUUUUGGUUUAAAAAAAUAUGAUAGGUCUACGUACUCUUUACUAAUUUGUAAUUUAAUUCUUAUACUUUUAUUUUCAAGAAUUUAAUCCCUGUUUUUUUAUAAAAAAAUCAAAAUCCUAGUUCAAUUGUUAAAAUUGUUAAAAUUUUAAAAUAGUUUGUUGGUGUGACAUUUUGAAAUAAAAAAAAACUUAGUAGUAAUGUAACUAAAAAAUGACGUAAUGAACAUGGAUUUAAUAAAAUAAUUUUAACAAUAUUAAUAAAAUAAUUUUGAAUUUUGAAUUUUAACUUAACUCUAUUUUUGGGCCAAGAUUUAAUGCUUUAAAAUUUUCAUUUAAUCCGCUGAGUUUACUUAUAAUUCUUUUGAGUUUUAUUUAUUGGUGAGUAAAAUACCUAUUUGAUUUUUUUAUAUACUAUUGGCAUCUUUAAAGGUAAUAUAAUAAUUUUAGUGUAGACGUGUUUUAUUUUAUAAAUAUUAUUUAUAGUGUAGACAUGUGAAUUUUGAAUAAUUUAAAAAUAUCUUCAAUUUUAUGAAAUUUAAACAUACAUUUAGUGUAGACAUGUUUUAUUUUAUAAAUAUUAUUUAUAGUGUUGUUGAUUGGAGUUUGAAAAUUAUACAACUUAGCUAUAUCAGUUAAUUACUUAUAUUAAAAAAUAAUAUAAGAAAAUACUAAAAAGAAAAAAAAUAGUAUAAUUAAUAAAAUGGAUGAAGAGUUAUAUUAAAGUUUCAACAUCUUCUCUCUAUCAAAAUUUAUCUCGGAUAAAUCAUGAAUAAUCUAACUCAUAAAAAAAUAUAUAUAUAUUUAUAUACUUCAUUUCAUUCACAGAAAAUAAAGCAUUCCACUUAAUAGAGGCUUUCUAUAAUGCCGUUAUCUAAUACCUCUUGACAUUGCUUAGAUUCAAAUGUGUCGAGCAGUUUGGAGGAAAUAUAUCUUGACUAUUCUACUCUCAACACCAACAUUUUGCAAAGCAUUGGAGUAUUCGCUUCUCUUAAAAUAUUGUCUUUAUCUAAUUGUGGACUUAUUGGUCCCUUACCUAAUCAAGGUAAACAAUUUUAUGGCUCAAUUUGAUUUCUUUAUGAACUUUCUGUAAUAUAUUAUCUCCUAUUCUGUUUUAUAAAGCAAAAUUUAAUUGAAACUUCUUCCAUGAAUUUAUUUAUAAAAUUUUCAGGAUGGUGUGAUCUAAGGAACCUUGAAGUGUUGGAUGUGAGUAGAAAUGCACUUGAGGGGAUGCUUCCUCAUUGUUUUAGUAACUUGACAUCUCUUCGUGAGUUAGAUAUUUCAAGAAACCAUUUUCAAAUUCCGCUGUCAUUUGCACCAUUUGCAAACCUUUCAAACCUCAAAGCCCUUUUGAUUAAUGAAAACAAGAUGGUAAUGGAACCUUCCUUUUAUACCUCAAUCCCAAAGUUCCAAUUGGAAGUCAUCAGUUUGUCAAAGUGCAUAACAUCUCAACAACUCAGUCUUAAACUUUGUACCUUCCUUUACUACCAAUAUGACUUGAGAUAUGUGGAUCUUUCGCAUAACAAUCUCAGUGGAACUGUACCAACUUGGUUGCUAGAAAACAACACAAAGUUAGAAGAUCUCAUCUUGAAGGGUAAUUCAUUUACAGGUCCUCUCUCACUUUCGUCGGCUCUUAUUUCUAAUGUAUCUACAAUUGACAUAUCUGAAAACAAAUUACAAGGUCAAAUUCCAACUGGUAUAUGUUCAACUUUUCCACAUUUGAGGCAGUUAUUCUUAUCCAAGAAUGCUUUUGAAGGUAAUAUCCCACUUUGUUUAAGUGGCAUGAAGGACUUAUCAUUUUUAGAUCUAUCAGACAAUCAUUUGUAUGGAAAAGUACCAGAAGAGUUGAUCACGAAAGGCUUACUAAUCAUUUUGAGACUAUCAAAUAACAACCUCAGUGGAAAUGUAGUUCCUGUGAUUCUCAGCGCAAAUGGGGUGCAGCAUUUAUAUUUGGAUGGAAAUAAUUUUUCAGGAGAGAUGACAAAUGUUGAUGUGUCUACUUUUGAGUUUCCAAAUUCACUAAGCGAAAUUGAUCUCAGUAACAACACUUUGCAUGGAAAGCUCCCAAGAUGGAUAGGGAAUGCAUCAUUUUUGGGGAGAUUAGAUUUGUCCAACAAUGGUUUUGAAGGUUCUAUUCCAAUGGAAUUUUGCAAGUUGAAUAGGUUGGAAUUUUUGGAUCUUUCUCAAAAUAAUUUAUCUGGCUCUAUACCGUCAUGUUUUAAUCCACCAUACAUACAGCAUGUCCACCUCCACGGGAAUAGACUGAGAGGCCCACUAUCACUUGCUUUUUAUAAUAGCUCUUCAAUAGUGACUUUAGAUCUUGGAGGAAACAAUUUGACGGGUAGUAUUCCAAAAUGGAUUUACACGCUUUCUUCUUUGAGUUUUUUUCUCUUGAAAGAUAAUCAUUUUCAUGGUAAAGUUCCUAUUGAGUUAUGCAAGUUGCAUUCUUUAAGCAUCAUAGAUCUUUCUCAAAAUAUGUUUUCUGGUCCUAUACCUUCUUGUUUGGGAAAUUUAUCUCUUCCAAUGCAAAGGAAGAAGAUUCUAGAACCUGGUUUCUAUGGGCCACCUAUAGAAGAGGAUGAAACAACACGCAGUACGAAACUAAAUUUGGGAAUGUAUUCUUACUAUCCUAAUAGCUACUUCGAAGAAGUAAUAGAGUUCACAACAAAGAGUGGGUUCUAUUCAUACAAGGGCUACAUCCUUUCAUAUAUGAAUGGGAUUGAUUUAUCUUGCAACAACUUAACUGGUCAUAUCCCACCAGAAUUAGGGAACUUGAGUGAAAUCCAUUCUUUAAACCUUUCACACAAUAAGUUGACCGGAGUUAUACCCUCGUCACUCUCAAAACUACAUCAAAUUGAGAGUUUGGACCUUUCUUACAACAACUUAAGUGGUGAAAUCCCCAAUCAAUUGGUAGAGUUAAACUCUUUGGAGGUUUUCAGCGUGGCAUUUAACAACUUGUCAGGUAGUAUUCCCGAACCAAAAGCUCAAUUUGGGACCUUUAUUGAAAAUAGUUAUCAGGGAAAUCCGUUUCUUUGUGGAGUUAUAUUGCAUAAAAGUUGUUCCAAAACCGAUUCACCAUCAACGAUAUCAAUUGUAUCAGAAGAUAAAGGAGAAGAUGGUUUGAUAGAUACUUAUGAUUUUUGUGUGAGCUUUUUGGUUUCUUAUGUAGUUGUGUUGUUGACAAUUUUUGUUGUCCUCUACAUAAAUCCAUACUGGCGAAGAGCUUGGUUUUCUCUUGUUGGGAAAUGCAUUACCACCUGUCGCUACUCAAAUGUGGGCAAUUUUCUUACUUAUCACAUUUUCAAGCGAUGUGUUUAGCUACUCAAAUUGUGAUUUGAUUUCCACACCUAAAUGUUUAAUUAUGCUAAGUUGAGCGAUAAUGAAUAUUUUGUUGAUUUUUGCAUUUUGAAUAAAAGCUCUUUUAUCUUAUGGUUUUAUCAUUUUCAACCAUCUAUUUCUUUUUUCUUCUAUGAAAUUUAAUAUAAAAUCAUAAUCCAUUAUUAUGUAUAUGCAAUAUCUCUUUAAAUUAAAUUAAAUUAAAUUAACUGCCAAGCGUUCACUAGUGCAUACUAAAAAGGAAAUCUAAUGUAAAAUUAAAUCAAACAUACUACAGAAUUGAAUCUAAAACUGGAAUAUUUUAAAACCUCACAAACAAUGCAAUUCUUUAUUCCUCUUUUCCUCUCAAGUUAUUUUGUAUCAUGUUAUAUUUUACAUAAUUAAUCGUAUCAUCAAAUUUUAAAAAAAUUUUAAUAUUUUGAUAUCAUGUUCAUAUUAUGCUUUAAUUCACAAUGUAUUUUGUAUAAUAUGUUAUAACAAUUCAAUUUAAAAAACAAACAAUUAUCUUAUUUUUGCAUACCGUAAUAUACAUUUACAUGUUAAUAAUUCUUUGUACAUAAAUUUUGACAUGUUCGUAUAUUCGAGUCAUUAUAAUUUUAUUAUUUGUAAUAUGACAUGUUUUACUUACCCUUAAUAUUGUGUCAUGAUAAUUAUAACUCGAUUGGCAGUGUACCAAAUAUUUUUCUAAUAAAAAAUAGUAUUUUAUUCUAUUUACCAAAUCUUUAUCAACUUUAUUUUCUCACCAACAAAACAUACAUUCAAAGUUCAAAUAAGUUCCACACCCAUUUUUUUACUGCAAUACUCAAGAAUAUGCUCAUCAUCAGAAAUCUGAAAUAUUCCACUCUAAUUAACAUUAUGAUUCUGUAAACAACAAAAAAGUGUGAUACUUUUUUAAAGCUCUUUUUUUUUCUUUAAUGAAAUGGGAUUGGUAAAAAAUCCGCACAUGUGUCGUGUGUGAAGGUGGUCAGGUUGUCUAUUCAUACUGUAAUAAGUAGCUAAUUAUAGUUGAUCCUACAAAAUCAAAAUUAAUUCAGGUAUCUAUAUAUUCUGAAGACUGGACAGACCUUAGAAGCUCCUUCAAAUUUGCAAGAACAUGUCGUGGUCCUAAACUCUUUACACCGAUGAAAUUCAAAAGUUGCUCUAUAUCCUGCAAUCACAGUAAAGAUUAUGCAAGCUUUUCAGAACGAAUAACAUAACAAGCAAAAGGCAAUCAAAAUACUGUGAUCUCGAUAAUGUUCUUUGCCGAAAAGGAACAUAAACAUAACCUGAAAACAUCAGUGAAGGCUCAUCAGAUUUGCUUAGCAACCUUACAUACACAUGUAAAAAGCUUUGCUUUUGGAUGUAUGGUGUGACUAUCAUCACAGUCUUUCCUAAUUAGCUGAUAACCCUAUAUCUAACAUUUAUCAGGGCUAAGCAAAUUAACAUACAUAAUGUAAAGGAAUUUGACCAUAAGAUCCAACAGAAAACUUAAUAAAAGAUAAUCAACAUAGAAAGUUAAAAGGCAAUGCAAACUUAUUACAAUGAUGCAAGUGGAUCAAAAGAAAGCACUCUAUAAGGAAUUUGUAUUUAAGGCAUUGUAAACAGAAAAAAAAUAAUAAAACUUUUCGGAAAGUAUUUUCAAAGAGGAGACAAAAACAGGGUAGAAAAAAUGUUUGGUCCUUCCUUUUUCUAUUUCUACUGUGGUGAAAAAGCCUUUUUGGGUUAAAAGUGUUUUUACACUGCAGAAGUGUUUUUCCACUGCAGAAGUGAUGAAGAACACAUAGCUUUGUAGUCAAAAACCUACUGCUUUUGGCUUUUGCAUUUCGAAGUGAAAAUUAUAAAAAUACUCUUAGAUUAAUUUAUAUUUUAUAUAUUAUUAUAUUAAAUUGUUAAAUCUUAUUUAUUAUUAUAUUUAAUUUUUUUCAAAAUAUUUUAUACAUCAUCAAUUUUACAAAUAAUUUAUAUUAAUUACUUUUAAAAGUUAUAUUUCAUGUAUCAUUAUAUUAAAUUAUUUAAAUAUCAUAUAACAUCACUAAUUUUCUACUUUCUACCAUCAUGUCUAAAAUAGACAUUUUAACUUUCAACCGCAAUUUUUGGCAGCAAUGAACAACACUAAAAACUAACAAACACACUUUUCCGCACCACAUUUCAAAAACACUUUUUUCUAAACGCACUUUUGAACUAGUCCUUAGUCUAUCAUGCAUCAACUCUUCAUUUUUCUUUAACUACCCAUGUCCGACUUCGAACAUGGAUAUGGAGAUAUGACCAAGUCACAGUGACAUAGUUUUUAGUUAUGGGGAAUGGGAUUCGAGUGCUGGACCUCCUUCUAGAUGCAUGGUGGGACUUCAUCACAUUUUUCAAAUUUGUUGAUAAUCCUUCACCUAAUCUGCCGGUGAAGUUUAUAGAUAGUUGUUGACACCAUUUUUUUGAUGAAAACGGGAUCGACUUGGAUUUUGAAAAAAGAAUGAAAACGGGAGUCGCCACCAAUCCUUUUUGACGAGGUGUGAUCGGGUCACCUCAAAAUGUGGUUGUUUUUAAUAAAUGAUUUAAUUUUAUUAAAACAACGAUUUUGGUCUACGAAAUUCAGAAAAAUGAGUUCGGGAGUCGGUUACACACGAGGAAGGAUUAGCACCCUCGAUACGCCCAAAAUUGGUACCUAGUUGAUUAAUUAGUGUCUUAGUGUCGAAAAUUGAAAAUUUGAAGAGUUUUAAAAAUACGAUCCUUAAAAGAAAUUCUGAUAACGUGAAUUGAAAUAUAAGAUUCUCUUGUUCCGAAGGAAUAUCACAUCCAGCACGUUAGGACACGAUACUCUAAACCAUCGAAACCAAGAUCAUCUUAUAGUUUAAUGAAACCACACUUUGAAGCUUUAAGAGGAUAUUUGGCUAUUUAGUCGAACGAGAAAUCGAAACCCAGCACGUUAGGGCACGUUUUCUCGAUUUUCCAAACGCGAAAUAUCGCCUUAUUUAGAAAAAUUUUCCUUUUGAUGUUUGGUGUUAAUGCUUGACAAAACAAUAACGAAUACGACAAGGUGAGCAAAGUAAAGUGAGUAACAACAAUACAAUAGGCAAAAUGAAAUGACGAGGCGAUUACAUAAACAAAGCAUACAAAUAAAUAAAUAGAACUAACAUUUAAAAAAAAGCAUAAGUGUACACGAAUAAAUAAACAAACACCAAAUAACAAUGAUGACAAUAAAUACAAUUAUGUAAAAAUGUAUAUACAUGUAUAAUUUUAAGCCAUGAAAUAAGAAACGCAUAUAAAUUAUAGAAUAUGAAAACAUAGAUAAAUAUAUACAUAUGUGUAAAAAAUAAUAUUAUAAAAAGGGUACGUAUAUAUGUAUAAAAAAAUAAAUGUAUUAACAAUGAAUAUAAUAAGGGUAAGAAAACAAGUAUAUACACAAUAUAUAUGUAACGUGGUACUAAGGAUAUAUAUAUACAAUACAGUAUUUAAAAUAAUAUUUACGUAAUAUAAAAUAUAAUAUUAAAAGGUAUAUGUACAUACGUAAUAUAUAAAUACAUAUAUAAUAUAAUGUUAAAAUAUUUACAUAAUACUAAAAUAUUUAGGUAAUAUAUGCGUAUAUUGAAAACUAGUAAUAAUAUUAUCGAGGUAUAUACAAAUAUAUCAAGUAUAUACACGUAUUAUAAAUAUAUAAAUAUAUGACAAAGCAUAAACUAAUAAAAAUAAUAAGAAUAAUAAUAAUGAUAACAUUGGAAUAUAAAAGAAACAAACAUAACAUUAAUAAAAUAUUAAAAUAAAGUGAAAUAAAAAUAUUAAAUAUGAGAAUAUAUAUAGGUAUACACGUACAUAAUAAAAAUAUAUACUAAUACAUAAUAAUAAUAAUGGUAAUACUAAUAAUACUAAUAAUAUAAAAAUAACAAGGAUAUUUAAUAAAGAUAUAAAAAUCAACAAAAAAGGACUAAAAUUGAAUUGAAAGCAAAGUUGUGGGGCCAAUUUGAAAUGAAAACAAAGAAAAAGGACUUAAUUGUAACACGCAUGCAACUUGGAGGGUCAAAAGCGCAAUAAACCCAAGUAUUAAAAACGCUGCGCAGCGUGGGGGACCAGAAUGAAUUCGGGGCAACACCAUGGAGCCAAAUUAAAAAUAAAAAAACCUUGAUUGUAAACUCCCAGAAAGGCGGAAGGGCUAAAAGUGCAAUUAGCCCUUCCAAAGAAAAAAACACGCGGAUCUUCCUUGGUGCAGGUCGGGUCGACCCGACCCGUGUUCAAAACGACGUCGUUUCAUUUAUUUAAACCGGGGGUCCAAAACGGUGCGUUUUGACCCCCUAUAAAAGUCAAAAAAACUUCAAAAAAAAAUCAUUUGUAACGCUGAGGGAAAAAAAAGAAAAGGGAGAGAGGAGAGGGGAGCCCGGAGCGAUUUCCGGCCAAGGGAGGGGUCACCGGACGGCCACCGGAGGCUCGCCGGCGUCAGCGCCGGCCACCGCACGCGGUGGCCGGAAAGGUAAAAUUUUUUAUAUUUUUUUUAUAUUUUUUUUGUUAUUUAUUCUUGGUCUUAGAAUGUAUAGAUUUUAGGUUUAUAUUAAUAAAAAAGGUAUAGAUAUGUAUAUAGAAAUCGAAAGAAAAUGGAUGAAAACAAAAAGGUAACCUUUUCCGUUUGCCUUUCCUUUUUCCCGAAUGCUUGCUAUCUCAGUACUGAGAUCUAUGUAUUUUUUUUAAAAUUUUAGCUUCUGUUUUUUUGUAUUAAAAUGCCAAAAAACAAACAAAAAGAAGAAAGAAAAAAAACCCCCUGAUACAAUUUUUGAUUCGGGUUUUUAUAACCCAUUUUCAUCUAAUUUCCUAUUGUUUCUGUUUUGUCUCUUUGCAUGGGAUGGGCACGAUGGAGGUGACAGAGGCAUGGUGGUACAGAGGAGCAGGUGGCCGACAUGGUGGCAUGGAGAGCUGGGCGUGGCAGACAAGGAGGCCACGCGAGGCAUGCGGCGCUAGGGUUUGGGGGGCAUCUUUCUUCCGAAAAUGUUAAUGUUGUCUGGGCUGGGUUUUUAAUUUUUGUUUCGGGCCAUGGGCUACAUUGGGCUUGUUAUUUUCCUUUGUAAUUGGACUGUUGUUUAUCUUGUUUUAAUAUUCGGGCCUGGGCAUAAAAUUGGGCCUUACAGCUGCCCCUCUUUGCUUGUUAUCGUGUAACGAGAACAGAGCAAAGACUAAAAAAGGCCAAUUUGGCCCGGGCUCACCGAGUUUUGACUUCUUUUGGUGCUUCCUUUCUUCAAGCCUCAUUCUAGUCCACUGCGUCUUAUGAUUCUUCGAUCUGCUCUACUGCAACUUCAGAUACGCCUUAUAGCUUCAAUCUACUCUGCUACGACUCCAUGGGGAUGAGAUUUGUGUUUUUAGUCUGCUUCACUACUACUUAGGGAGAUAAGACUGUGGUUUCGUCUGCUCCGCUACUGCUUAGGGAGAUAAGACUGUAAUCUCCGAUCUAUUCCACUGUCAAAUACAGGGAGAUAGAGUUAUCAGCUUCAAUGUACUCCACUGUAGUCACAGGGAGGUAAAAUCUGCCAUCUUUGAUCUUCAAUCUAUUCCACUGCCAAAUACAGGGAGAUAGAGUUAUCGGCUUCAAUGUACUCCACUGUAGUCAGGGAGGUAAAAUCUGCCAUCUUCGAUCUGUUUCGCUGCCAAAUACAGGAAGGCAAGAUCUGCAAUCUUCGAUCUACUUCACGCCAAUACAUGAAGAUAAGAUCUGCUUUCUUCGAUCUACUUUGCCACCAGUAUGGGAAGACAAGAUCUGCAUCGUCGAUCCACUUCCUACCAAUAUAGGAAGACAGGACCUGCUAUCUUCGAUCUACUUCACGCCAAUACAUGAAGACAAGAUCUGCUUUCUGCGAUCUACUUCGCCACCAAUAUGGGAAGACAAGAUCUGUAUCUUCGAUCCACUUUCUACCAAUAUAGGAAGAUAGGAUCUGCUACCUUCGAUCUACUUCACGCCAAUACAUGAAGACAAGAUCUGCUUUCUGCGAUCUACUUCGCCACCAAUAUAGGAAGACAAGAUCUGCAUCUUCGAUCCACUUCCUACCAAUAUAGGAAGAUAGGAUCUGUUAUCUUUGAUUUACUUCACGCCUAUACAUGAAGACAAGAUCUGCUCUCUGCGAUCUACUUCGCCACCAAUAUGGGAAGACAAGAUCUGCAUCUUUGAUCCACUUCCUACCAAUAUAGGAAGAUAGGACCUAUUUACGCCUAGUGUUUAGGAUGACAUGAUCAGAAUGAAUCAAAUGCUCCUAACUAGAUGCGUAUGUAUUAUAUUUGUAGAAUGUCAUGAGAAUGAUCCAUUUUUAAUGCUUAGGUUGUCAUUCUUCAUUGUUCAUCAAGGUUCUAUCACUGAUGCCUUCUUGUUCAGCCAGUACCUUUGACAGAAAACCUAAAGAAAUAGACGCUAUUUAGACUAUCAUUUCUCAAAUGUUUCCAACCCUUAGGUUUGGUUAGUUCUAAACAAUAGUCCUGUUUCAGGUCAUCGUAUUAUUUAGAAACUUUCAGAGUAAUAUGCAGAACUCCUUCUGCAUGUGUAUUGUCAGUCCAUUAAUCGUUAUUUCAAUGAAAAAUGCUUGAAAAAGAUUAUCAAAAUGGACAAAAUGGAAUUUUGUUGAGAGCAAAGCUCUAAACAAACAAAUCAAGAUAGCAAAUUUGCUGAGAUACGAGAUGAAUAAGAUGAAAAAGAUUAUCACAACGGAUAAGAUGAAAAUUUGCUGAGAGCAAAGCUCUGAAUGAACAAAUUAAUCAAGAUAGCAAAUGUUGCUAGAAUACAAAACGAGAAUAAAUUAAUCAAGAUGAUGUAUUUUGUCAAAAAUACAGAAAAUGAAUAAAAUGGAAAUAAGUGCCCCAGAUAUCGUAGCAUGAGCUUCUCUGCCCCAAACUUCUUAAGGACCCUUUUGAACUUGAUAUGUGUUUAGAAGUCCUAGAAGGCUUUGUUGAUGCCCCAUCUUUGAUCGAAAACUACUUUAUGCCUCAUCCUUGAUCGAAAAUUUGAAUUGCCCGUUCCUGGGUUUUCAAUUCAAAACCCCUUUGGUCUCAAGGUGCCCUUUGCGGGUUUUCGCCUUGGCCUCUCCUCUUUUUUUUUUUUAGGCAAAGUACCUCUUCACUGAAUCCGAAUUCACAGGAUUGGGCAAGCUUUUGCCAUCCAUCCUAGUUAAAAUUAAUGCCCCUCCUGAAAAGGCCUUUUUUACUACAUAAGGUCCCUCCCAGUUUGACAUCCACUUUCCUCUGAAGUCUUUUUGUAUGGGAAGGAUCUUCUUCAGUACCAAGUCCCCUUCAUGGAAGUUUCUAGGACGAACUUUCUUAUUGUAAGCUCGCAUCAUUCGUUUCUGGUAUAUUUGACCAUGACGGAUAGCUCUUAACCUCCUUUCCUCAAUCAAGUUCAGCUGAUCAUAUCGGGAUUAGACCCAUUCUGCUUCGUCUAACUUUAGUUCUGAAAAAACUCAGAGGGAGGGAAUUUCAACCUCAAUUGGUAGCACUGCCUCCAUUCCAUAAACCAAAGAGAAUGGUGUUGCCCCGGUAGAAGUCUUGACGGACGUUCGAUAAGCAUAGAGGGCGAAUGGCAACUUCUCGUGCCAAUCUCUAUAGGUCUCAGUCAUUUUCCCCACAAUCAUUUUGAUAUUUUUAUUGGCUGCCUCCACCGCACCAUUCAUCUUUGGACGGUAUGGCGAUGAGUUGUGGUGCUUGAUAUUGAAUUGACUACAAACUUCUGCUAUCGUGCUAUUAUUCAAAUUUAAUGCGUUGUCAGAUAUAAUCCUUUCGGGCAUUCCAUACCGACAUAUGAUUUCCUUCUUUAAAAACUUGCUGACAGCUGCCUUUGUGACGUUGGUGUAAGAAGUAGCCCCUACCCACUUAGUAAAGUAGUCAAUCACUACAAAAAUGAAACGAUGUUCGUUUGAAGCCUUUGGCGAUAUCGGCCCAAUGACGUCCAUGCCCCACAUGGAGAAAGGCCAUGGGGAAGUCAUGACGUGAAGAGGUGAUAGAGGCAUAUGGAUUUUGUCUCCGUAAAUCUGGCAUUUAUGGCACUUCUUAGCAUAUUUGAUGCAGUCUCCUUCCAUGGUAGACCAAUAAUAUCCAAAUCUCAUGAUUUGUCUGGCCAUUGUGAAACCGUUAGCGUGUGUUCCACAAAUACCAUCAUGGACUUCUUCCAAGAUCUGUUUGGCCUCCAUAGCGUCCACACAUCUUAACAGCACCUGAUCUUUUCCUCUUUUGUACAGGAUCUCUCCAUCUAAGACGUAAUCACUGGCCAGCCUCCUCAACAUUCUCUUGUCAUUCUCAGUUGCUUGGUUUGGGUAUUCACGAUUUUUUACGUAUCGCAAUAUAUCCUGAUACCAAGGGUUUUCGUCCUUUUCUUCUUCUUCGUCAAUGUUACAACAGUGGGCUGGAGCAUCAUAAAUGCUCAUUUGGAUAGGCUUCACAUCCUCUGGUCUAUUUACUUUGAUAAUGGAAGCCAAUGUAGCUAAAGCGUCGGCCAUCUGAUUCUCGUCUCGUGGAAGAUAACAAAAAGUGAUGUCGUCAAACUCCUCAAUCAAUUCUAGGACUAUCCUUCGGUAACUAAUCAACUUAGGUUCUCUUGUUUCCCAUUCGCCUUUGAGCUGAUAAAUUACCAAUGCCGAAUCCCCAUAUACCUCAAGUACCUUGAUUUUGCGUUCUAUAGCCGCGCGGAUUCCCAUGAUACAUGCUUCAUAUUCCGUCAUGUUAUUUGUGCAAUCAAAAUCUAGUUUACUGGUGAAAGGAUAAUGAUCACCGUUUGGAGAUACCAAGACUGCCCCAAUCCCGUUGCCCAUGGCAUUUGAGGCUCCGUCAAAAUUUAAUUUCCAAGUAUUGCCUUCUUGUGUGCUUGCUUCAGUAGUUGCCACAUACAUCAGAUCCUCAUUUGGAAAAUCAAAGUUCAAAGGCUCAUAAUCGUCCAGGGCUCUACUUGCUAGAAAAUCUGCUAUCGCGCUCCCUUUUACAGCCUUUCGAUUCACAUAGGUUAUGUCAAAUUCAGAUAGUAGAAUUUACCAUCGGGCCAUCCUUCCGUUUAGAGCAGUUGACUCCAUCAUGUAUUUCAGAGGGUCUACCUUUGAGAUUAACCAAGUCGUAUGGUACAACAUGUAUUGUCUCAAUCUUCGAGUAGUCCAAACCAAUGCGCAACAUAAUUUUUCAAUUGGCGAAUACCUCGUUUCGCAUUCAGUGAACUUUUUACUGAGAUAAUAGAUCGCUCUUUCCUUUCGUCCUGACUCAUCAUGUUGGCCGAGCACGCACCCCAUGGAAUUCUCAAAUACUGCCAAGUAUAGUAUCAAUGGUUUGUCAGGGCAAGGUGGUAUCAGUACUGGGGCGUUGGACAAGUAAUGUUUAACUCUUUCGAAAGUUUUCUGGCACUCUUCAUCCCAUACACCUGGAUUGUGUUUCCUAAGAAGACGGAAUAUGGGGUCACAUUUCUCGGUUAAUUGUGAAAUGAAUCGAGCGAUGUAAUUUAGUCUUCCUAGGAAACCCCGAACUUCUUUUUGAGUACUUGGCGGAGGUAAUUCUUAUAUGGCCUUAACUUUGUCUGGGUCAAUUUCAAUUCCCUUUUCGCUGACUAAAAAUCCUAGCAAUUUUCCUGAUCUAGCCCCGAAAGUACACUUGGCUGGGUUAAGUUUUAGCUGGAACUUCCUUAACCUCAGAAACAGUUUUCUCAGAACUUGCACGUGUUCCCUUUCUGUUCUGGAUUUUGCGAUCAUGUCAUCAACAUAAACUUCUAUCUCUUUAUGCAUCAUAUCAUGGAAUAAUGCUACCAUGGCUCUCUGAUACGUUGCUCCCGCAUUUUUCAAUCCAAAAGGCAUCACUUUAUAACAAAACGUCCCCCACAUCGUUAUGAAUGUGGUCUUCUCCCUGUCUUCAGAAAGCAUCUUAAUUUGGUUGUACCCGGAGAAACCAUCCAUGAAAGAGAGCAGUGAGUAUCCGGCCGUGUUGUCUACCAAGGUAUCGAUAUGAGGAAGUGGGAAAUUAUCUUUUGGGCUGGCUUUGUUCAAGUCUCUGUAGUCCACACACAUUCGCACCUUCCCAUCUUUCUUAGGAACAGGGACUAUAUUGGCUACCCAUUCUGAGUACUUGACCACCUGUAAGAAACCAGCAUCAAAUUGCUUCUUAACUUCUUACUUUAUUUUUAGCAAGACAUCAGGCCUCAUCCUUCGGAGCUUUUGUUGGACUGGUUUGCAUUCUUCCUUUAUAGGCAAUCGGUGUACCACGAUAUCAGUACUUAACCCUGGCAUAUCUUGGUAGGACCACGCGAAGACAUCUUUAAACUCUUGAAGCAACUCAACAAGGUCUUGCCUUGUUUCCUUGGCAAUGCAAGCGCCAAUUUUUACCUCUCUGCUCUCUUCUAAGGUCACAACUUCUACUGAUUCCUUAUAGGGUAUAAUUUGUUUUUCUUCUUCUUUCAUCAUUCUUAACAAAUUCGGAGAUAAAACGCUGUCUUGGUCACCUUUAAAAUCUUGAGGAUCAUCUAUACUCAUGUCUUGCUCAAAUAGAGACUCUGAAUUAGUAACAGAGUCGCUCAUCUCGUUGAUAUUUGAAGACCUGUUAUUGGAACAAAUGGAGGCCCAAAUAAAAGGAUCUAAGAAUACUUGUAUGCAUAUUAUGAUUAUAAAGGGAAUGAAAAGAAUGAAAGAAUACUUGCUCAAGAUGAAACUGAAUGAUAAGUUUUCACUGAAAUUAGAUUUUGAACAUGUGCAUUUUACAAAAGAUUCUUAUCACCCCCAGGCUUAGGGCAACAAGUGUUCUGAAUAUUACUCUGAAUUAGUUCUAAAUGUUACAGGGAUCUCUUCUGCAGUCCAGUUAUUCGGAACACUUCCAGGUUCGUAAGGACGAAUGCCCGAUAAAUUCCUUUCCACCCUUUCUUCCGCGGAUAUGGCAUUGAUGUCCAACCUCUCAAUCCUUCCUUCUGUAACCUCAUCCUUCUCUUCAGGGUGGACAAUUCCCCCUGAAACAAAAGUCUUAGAUAUAUGAGGAAAGGUUAUCGGUCCCCACUUGGCUUCUAUCCCGCCCAAAUGUGCUCUUCUCCUUUCUUGUCUUUUCUCCAUCUCCUUCCUCCUUUCCCUCGCAAUAGGCUUAUAUCCCAAACCAUAACGGUCCUGUUUGUUAACUAGGAUCGGUACUCCGACCCUUCCCUGGAGGUAUUUUCCAAAUCCUCUUCCAGGCAAUGCUCCCUUUCCCACCGUUAAGUUCAUUGACGUAGCUUUGGAUAUCUUAGGCUCUGGGAUUUUGCUCAUCUCAAUGACAAAUAUGGCAUUUACGAAUUCCAAUGAUCGGAAUGAACAUUCUAUCGCUUCACUAUCAGCCUCUAUGUAUGGCAUAUCAUCGGUGACUGAUGCAAUGAUGUCUUCUUCUGCACCUAUAGUCACCAAUCUACCCUCUACCACCAAUUUUAACUUUUGGUGAAGUGACGAUGGUACAGCCCCUGCAGAAUGGAUCCAAGGCCUCCCUAAUAGGCAAUUGUAAGAUGGUUUAAUAUCCAUUACCAAAAAGUCUACCUCGUAUGUAUUUGGACCAAUCAAUAGAGGUAUCUCGAUUCUUCCCAUCACUUUUCUCUCAGUGCCAUCAAAUGCUCUCACUAUAUUUUGGCAUAAUUUCAUGUGAGAACUAUCCACAGGUAGCCUGUUUAAUGUGGACAGGGGUAAAACAUUCAGGGCCGAUCCAUUGUCAACGAGUACCGCCGGUAGUAUACACCCCUUGCAACGGGCAGUGAUGUGCAAGGCCUUGGUAGAUCCCAUACCGCCUGGCGAGAUCUCAUCAUCGUUGAAGAAGAUGAAGUUAUCGGCAUUUAUAUUGUUAACCAGGCAAUCCAAUUUGUCCACUGAGAUAUCUUUAGCGACAUAAGUUUCAUUUAGCACUUUUACUAACGUAUUACGAUGUAUCUCUGAACUUAGAAGUAACUCGAGCACUGAGAUGCGAGCCGGUUACUUAUGCAGUUGUUCCACCACGCUAUACUCGCUAUGCUUCAAGAAUUUUAAGAAUUCUCUAGCCUCAUUUUCAGUCACCGGUGUAUUAAUAUGCGGUUCAAUUCCGGUCUUCGUUUUAUCUUGUUCAACCGCCAAGGCUUUUCCUUUUAUAGGCCCCCUUUUUGUAUUUCCCGGGUCGCAACGUUUUCCACUACGCGUAUAAAAGCCUGUGUCAUUACCCUCUUCUGAAGCAUUUAUCGGGUUCUCCUCUCCCGUGAUCAUCACAUUGCAGUCAUAAUUCUAAGGAACCUUUUUACUAUCCUUGUAAGGAAAGGCUACAGGUUUUUGGAUUAUGACCCUUGGCGCCAGUUGUAUUCCAGAUCCUGUGCUUGUUGGCCUUGAAAUAAUCACCACCGGGUGAUUUUGGGCCUUUCUCGUAGGCCCCUCCUCUGAGGCAUAAACUUCUCCUUUCUCAAGUCCUUUGAUCUCUUCAUAAAAUUCUAACUCUUUGUUGUUCAUCAGAUUUUGUAACAUGGCCUUGAAAUCAGUGCAAUUUUGAAUGUCAUGGUCUUCUUCAGCAUGAAACUCGCAGUACGUCUUCGUUCCUUCGGGCCUUUCUUUUGAAUCUUGUUUGAUGAGACCUCCUUCUAUCAUUUGUCUCCAAACCCAACUCAAUGGGGUUUUUAUCUCUGCAAUGUCGGUUUUGAUUCUCUUUCUCCCACCUUCGAUUAUUGCGUUUACCCCUUUAUCAGCAUGAUCGGGUAACGGAUUCGCUGCUACAUUUGGUCCUAAUGGGUUGUCAAACUUCACAAUCCCCAUCUUAAUGAACCUUUCCACCGCCUUUUUAAACCCAGUGCAGUUCUCAAUUGAGUGCCCCGGUAUCCCUGCAUGGUAUUCACAUUGGGCAUUCGCGUCAUACCAUUUGGGAUACGGAGGUUGCAUGGGCUCUAGAUAAAAUGGAGAUACUAUGUGUGCAUCAAAUAACUUCUGAUACAGUUCCCCGUAUGUUAUUGGAAUGGGCGUGAAUUAAAGUCUCUCUGUGUUAGUCCUUGUGUUAGGCCUCGUGUUGGGUUCCUGCCUUGAGGGGGCUUGGUGACUAGUGGUUAUCAUUUUUGGAGGGCCAACAGUAAUCAGUUUUGAAUGGCUCUUGCUAUAUGUGCAUACGUUGUUUACUUCGCCCUCUUUUUUUCUUCGGGCUGGUCUUUUGAAGUUUUCCCCAGUGUCAAUUUUACCGCUCCUUACCGCGUUCUCAAUCAUUUCACCAGACAUUACCAUAUCCGAGAAACUCUUGGUAGCACUCCCCAACAUGUGGUUGAUGAACAGGGCUUUCAAAGUGUUGAUAAACAACAUGGUGACCUCUUUUUCCAAAAGGGGUGGCUGGACUUGUGUUGCCACUUCUCUCCAUCGUUGGGCGUAUUGCCUGAAAUUCUCGCUAGGCUUUUUUUCCAUGUUUUGUAACGUAAUUCGAUCGGGUGUUAUAUCCAUUACAUGACUGUAUUGCUUCAUAAAAGCUUGCGCCAAGUCUCUCCAUGAACUAACUUUAGCACGACUCAGUUGGUUGUACCAUUUGGCUGCAGAUCCGAUCAAACUGUCCUGGAAGCAGUGGAUUAACAGCUGAUCAUUGUUGACGUAUCCUGUCAUUCUUCGACAGAACAUAGUUAUAUGAGCUUCAGGACAACUAGUCCCAUUAUAUUUUUCGAAUUCUGACAUUUUGAACUUAGGUGGGAGUACUAAACCAGGGACCAAACUCAGAUCAUUGACGUCAACCCCGCGAUGACAGUCGAUGUUCUCCAUGGCUCUAAAUUUUUCCUCUAACCAUCUACAUCGGUCCUCCAGUUGUUUUGGCAGGUUCAUUCUUGUUUUUUCUGUUUCUGCCACGUCAUCGAGGUCCGGGACCACCAGAUUAGUGGGAUUAUCCCCGGGAUUAAAACCCGAGCCCAUUUGAAAAUGCACUGGUACCGAGGUACCAGCCAGAUAUUGAGGUCCUAUGGUAACUGGUACCCUCUGUGGGUACACCUCUGGUUGUGCUUGGAUGUUAGUUGGGGUGAAACCUGGAGGAUAAACAGGGUCAUCGUGAUCCUCCCCAGCAUCAAUUACGGGGUCUUUUCCUUUGUUAUUCCCUCCAGCCAAUAACUGCUUUAAUUGGUUCAUCACGGUGUUCUGGGAUUCUAACAUGUCCUGCUGGAUUUUUUCCAGUCGUUCAUGCAUCUGAUCUUGCAUCUCUCGUUGCAACUGUUCCAAUCUUUCCAACCUUUGAUCCAUUGCUUUUGUUUGGCGACGAGUACCGUAGUGAUAUUUGAUUAGAUUUUUGUUGGUUUCCAGGGUAACUGUCAUAAUUUAAUUUUAUUAGGGUCAUUUUAUGAGAUGUAAUGCAAAUGUAUGAGAUGAAUGCAAAAAAAAGAGGCAUUGAUUCGAAUUCAAUUUCAUUAGAAAACUCAACUAGAAAGCAAAUUUCUUUACAUAAAAUAAAUUACAUAUACGGCUUCGCCUUUAUACCCAAAGCCUUAACCUUCCUAAGAAGCCAACUAAAUCUCGACCUCGGCUUGAUUCUGACUCAUAUUUUAAACUCAAUACAUCGGCCUGAAUUGCUAAUGUUUGCAGAUGAUCAGCCACUUCCCGCACUUGAGUCACAGCUUCGCCCAUAACGUAAUCUCUAUCUCUAAUCUGACUUUGAGAAUGAUGGAAUUGCUCUUGCCAUUGAUCAUUACUCCUCUCAAGAAGCUCCAUUCGUAGCUCAGAAUUGUGUAAUGCGUCCUCAAGCUCCUCUACCUUUCCUUUCAGUUCUUCGAUCUUAUUUAAGCUUGCUCUUAAUUCGAUCAUGGAGUUGCGACUACGGUACGAGUGAAGUGACUUUUCUAGCUCUGCCACCUUGGCCUUUAAUCCUGCCUUCUCAUUUCGGCACUCUAACAAACUCCUUUCCAAAGCGUUUUCUCGAGCUCAAGCAUCUUGAAAUUUCUUUUCCCACUGAUCGGCCCUAUUCUUUUCCUCAUUGAUCUCUUGUCGCCAUUGCUCUGACGUUUUACCCAGACCGACAGUUCUCAUUGACAAUCGCAGCUUCUUGUAAUCUAUUUUUAGACUAUCCAAAUCCUCUUCAGCCUUGUUCUUUCCCUUCUUUAAUUUCUCGGCUUCUAGCUUGUGGAUAUCGAUGUCUAAUCCCAAAUGCACUCUUUCUUCUUCUAGCUGUUCUAUCCUCUUUCCCAACUCAGAAUUUCUUUUCUCAAAGUCUCGUUUGAUGAUCUCUAAUUCUGACGGAACUACUUGUAGAUGCUCCUCUAUAGACUGAACGCAAUCUUCCCUCGGCUUAGGGAUGUUGUCAUUGACUCUUUUACUCCACCACCCAUAAUAUUCUGAAGUUGUCAUCGCUCCUACGGUAAAUCUUUUCAUUCGGUGAACCUGUUUCCAAGCGUUAGAUAUUUCUCGAGUUUUUCUCUUGUAGUUUUCAUCCUUAUAAGAAAACUCACAUUGAGCCAGCCCUUGUGUUGCUGGUAUGAACUGUCUCGAUCUAUAUUGUCUUAAUACGAGUAAAGGGGCAUAACCGACAGCUCCCCAAAUUUCGAGUAAAGGGACCCAGUCGAAAUCCCCACAUCGAUACAGGAUCUCGUCGGGUACCAUCCAAGGAGCUUUCCAUUCAACGUCAUCCUCCUGAAGAUUUUGGAGAAUCGUCAUCCACUUCUCUUCCGUGAUGUCGUCUCGUCUUGGUGUAGCAACUUGUUCCUUCAAUGGGGAAUAGUCUUCUGAGAAGACUCGAUAGGAGACAUUUUCCACCUUCCAAAAGUGACUAUGGAACCACACUAAUAGUAGCUGUGCGCAUCCGAUGAACCUUCCCUCCCCUGCUCUUCGACAUGCACUUAGAAAUCUGAAGGUUUCUGCUAAGAUUGCCGGGAUGGGCGUGACUCCUUUACUAAGCCGAUCGAACAAAUCAGAGACGGCCUCAUCUACGUGCCCUAAAGCUCUAGGGAAAAUUACCAAUCCAUAGAUACCUAGAGCGAAGACAUCCACUCUUUUCUUCACAUCAGGGUGUGCUAAUACUAAAUCUCGCAAGCUUUUCCAAGGAACGCAUUUACUGUCUCCUUUCUGUUGGAUUCGGGCAGCGACCCACUGUUCGCUCAUCCCUGUAAUGCUCAUCAAUUUUUUUAAUAAUGUCGGGACACUAGCAGCUCUAGAAUAGGCCUUGUCAAUUUGAAUCUUUGGACACCGAAGCAAGGUCGUAUAUUCUUCCAUGGUGGGCACCAAGUCCACUUUUCCAAAAGUGAAACAACUGUAAGCAGGAUUCUAAAACUGGGCUAGGGCUCGGAAUAAAUGCUUGUCCACUUUGACACCAAGUAGGUAAGGCAAGUCCCCGUAGUCACAGUAAAACAUCUGCUUGGUCCCAUCGUCCCAUUGAUCCCAUAUUUCCUUCAUUUCUCGAAGAUCAUUUUGGAUUACGCUGAUACGGGUGAAGUCCCAUAACUCUGAUACGUACCCUUCUGCAAGACUAUCGCCUUUCUCUCUCCACAUCGUCUCAGCCCACACUCGUACAGCUGCAUUGUCUUCUACUUUAUCAAGAAACCUCUUUUCCAUGAUAAGCUUUCUAUCUAUACUGAACGUGAAUCGACACCUUUUGAAAUGAAAAUGCCAUGCAAUCAUAAACAAAGCAAAUCAGAGCUAGGAUUUAAAGUAAACAAUAAUAAAUAAAGCAUCUAUUCGGUAAGCGCUAGGGUUUGGAAUAGCUCUAUCUCGGUGGGUUCUUACGGCUCGCUAUAUGUGGUUUAGUUCUAAAGUAAGGGUACCUGAACCAGCAGAUUCCUCGAUCCUCACCCAUUAUAGGCUCAUGGACCGAGUUCAGUUCAGGGGAAUACAUUUCCCUAUGGCCAUGCGGAGAUGAAAAUCUCACGAAGACAUAGGUACGGAUGUAUCCCGGAAGCGAUUCACUAUCCCAUGCGGAGGUGAAAACCUCACGAAGGCGUAGUUUCUCACUCCCACUUAAAAAGGUAUGACCAGCGAUCAUGCAAUUCAAUGUGCAGAGGUAUAAAAUAAAAUACAGAACACGAUAAAAAAUAUAACUCAAAACAAAAGAGAUGCAAUGAAAGGAUCGUAAAUUUAAAUCAAAUUUUCCACUUUCAACAAAAAGACAAGAAAUAAUCAACACGUGGCUUGACUCUCUUUCGUUCCCCAGUGGAGUCGCCAAGCUGUUGACACCAUUUUUUUGAUGAAAACGGGGUCGACUUGGAUUUUGAAAAAAGAAUGAAAACGGGAGUCGCCACCAAUCCUUUUUGACGAGGUGUGAUCGGGUCACCUCAAAAUGUGGUUGUUUUUAAUAAAUGAUUUAAUUUUAUUAAAACAACGAUUUUGGUCUACGAAAUUCAGAAAAAUGAGUUCGGGAGUCGGUUACGCACGAGGAAGGAUUAGCACCCUCGAUACGCCCAAAAUUGGUACCUAGUUGAUUAAUUAGUGUCUUAGUGUCGAAAAUUGAAAAUUUGAAGAGUUUUAAAAAUACGAUCCUUAAAAGAAAUUCUGAUAACGUGAAUUGAAAUAUAAGAUUCUCUUGUUCCGAAGGAAUAUCACAUCCAGCACGUUAGGACACGAUACUCUAAACCAUCGAAACCAAGAUCAUCUUAUAGUUUAAUGAAACCACACUUUGAAGCUUUAAGAGGAUAUUUGGCUAUUUAGUCGAACGAGAAAUCGAAACCCAGCACGUUAGGGCACGUUUUCUCGAUUUUCCAAACGCGAAAUAUCGCCUUAUUUAGAAAAAUUUUCCUUUUGAUGUUUGGUGUUAAUGCUUGACAAAACAAUAACGAAUACGACAAGGUGAGCAAAGUAAAGUGAGUAACAACAAUACAAUAGGCAAAAUGAAAUGACGAGGCGAUUACAUAAACAAAGCAUACAAAUAAAUAAAUAGAACUAACAUUUAAAAAAAAGCAUAAGUGUACACGAAUAAAUAAACAAACACCAAAUAACAAUGAUGACAAUAAAUACAAUUAUGUAAAAAUGUAUAUACAUGUAUAAUUUUAAGCCAUGAAAUAAGAAACGCAUAUAAAUUAUAGAAUAUGAAAACAUAGAUAAAUAUAUACAUAUGUGUAAAAAAUAAUAUUAUAAAAAGGGUACGUAUAUAUGUAUAAAAAAUAAAUGUAUUAACAAUGAAUAUAAUAAGGGUAAGAAAACAAGUAUAUACACAAUAUAUAUGUAACGUAGGUACUAAGGAUAUAUAUAUACAAUACAGUAUUUAAAAUAAUAUUUACGUAAUAUAAAAUAUAAUAUUAAAAGGUAUAUGUACAUACGUAAUAUAUAAAUACAUAUAUAAUAUAAUGUUAAAAUAUUUACAUAAUACUAAAAUAUUUAGGUAAUAUAUGCGUAUAUUGAAAACUAGUAAUAAUAUUACCGAGGUAUAUACAAAUAUAUCAAGUAUAUACACGUAUUAUAAAUAUAUAAAUAUAUGACAAAGCAUAAACUAAUAAAAAUAAUAAGAAUAAUAAUAAUGAUAACAUUGGAAUAUAAAAGAAACAAACAUAACAUUAAUAAAAUAUUAAAAUAAAGUGAAAUAAAAAUAUUAAAUAUGAGAAUAUAUAUAGGUAUACACGUACAUAAUAAAAAUAUAUACUAAUACAUAAUAAUAAUAAUGGUAAUACUAAUAAUACUAAUAAUAUAAAAAUAACAAGGAUAUUUAAUAAAGAUAUAAAAAUCAACAAAAAAGGACUAAAAUUGAAUUGAAAGCAAAGUUGUGGGGCCAAUUUGAAAUGAAAACAAAGAAAAAGGACUUAAUUGUAACACGCAUGCAACUUGGAGGGUCAAAAGUGCAAUAAACCCAAGUAUUAAAAACGCUGCGCAGCGUGGGGGACCAGAAUGAAUUCGGGGCAACACCAUGGAGCCAAAUUAAAAAUAAAAAAACCUUGAUUGUAAACUCCCAGAAAGGCGGAAGGGCUAAAAGUGCAAUUAGCCCUUCCAAAGAAAAAAACACGCGGAUCUUCCUUGGUGCAGGUCGGGUCGACCCGACCCGUGUUCAAAACGACGUCGUUUCAUUUAUUUAAACCGGGGGUCCAAAACGGUGCGUUUUGACCCCCUAUAAAAGUCAAAAAAACUUCAAAAAAAAAUCAUUUGUAACGCUGAGGGAAAAAAAAGAAAAGGGAGAGAGGAGAGGGGAGCCCGGAGCGAUUUCCGGCCAAGGGAGGGGUCACCGGACGGCCACCGGAGGCUCGCCGGCGUCAGCGCCGGCCACCGCACGCCGUGGCCGGAAAGGUAAAAUUUUUUAUAUUUUUUUUAUAUUUUUUUGUUAUUUAUUCUUGGUCUUAGAAUGUAUAGAUUUUAGGUUUAUAUUAAUAAAAAAGGUAUAGAUAUGUAUAUAGAAAUCGAAAGAAAAUGGAUGAAAACAAAAAGGUAACCUUUUCCGUUUGCCUUUUCUUUUUCCCGAAUGCUUGCUAUCUCAGUACUGAGAUCUAUGUAUUUUUUUUAAAAUUCUAGCUUCUGUUUUUUUGUAUUAAAAUGCCAAAAAACAAACAAAAAGAAGAAAGAAAAAAAACCCCUGACACAAUUUUUUAUUCGGGUUUUUAUAACCCAUUUUCAUCUAAUUUCCUAUUGUUUCUGUUUUGUCUCUUUGCAUGGGAUGGGCACGAUGGAGGUGACAGAGGCAUGGUGGUACAGAGGAGCAGGUGGCCGACAUGGUGGCAUGGAGAGCUGGGCGUGGCAGACGAGGAGGCCACGCGAGGCAUGCAGCGCUAGGGCUUGGGGGGCAUCUUUCUGCCGAAAAUGUUAAUGUUGUCUGGGCUGGGUUUUUGAUUUUUGUUUCGGGCCAUGGGCUACAUUGGGCUUGUUAUUUUCCUUUGUAAUUGGACUGUUGUUUAUCUUGUUUUAAUAUUCGGGCCUGGGCAUAAAAUUGGGCCUUACAAUAGUCUUAAGUGUCUAUCACAAGAACCUAGAUAUUGUAAAUCCAAUAUCUUCCAAACAAUUCAACCAUGAUAUUAAUGAUGAUGGAAGCAAGAUUAUCCACUAUCAAUGACAUAAAAUGAGCUGUAAAUGCUGACGAACAAACAUGCACUGUUUUUCCAACCUGUGGAUUGAAGAGCAUUGACAAGCUAACUUUGCAGACCAUUUGAAUCCAAUACUAUACAUAAAAAUGCCAAAGGAGAAUAAUUCAUCUUGGAAAAAGAAUUACUAAUAUGCAAAAGCUUACCUUGUUUAACAAGAACACAGCAUAUGCUGCUCUUGUCGUGUCUUGACCUUCUAAAAACAGCGGAAAUUCUGCCAGCUUUACAUUUGCUGAAAGUGUUGUAUCCAAUGACAAAUCAGAAGAUGCAGGGUCUAUUGAAGACGCAUGGUCAUUAAUAUAUGAGCGAGAACCACCCAAGCGCAGAGGAUAACGCAAGGGAACUUGUAAAUAGGAUGCAAUUAGUGAAACAGCCUGCAAAUGAUGAAAUAACAGGAAACAAGAAACAAUAAUAGGUAUGAUUAAAAUUAUAGCCUCAGCAUGAGAAACAAGCAAUCAAGAUGCAGCCCACUAUACCAUAUUACCAUCCUAGCAAUUAAAAAUUACUACAGCAUCUUCAAGCAACAAGGGAUUGUAGGUGGUAGGUCAAAAAACUUGAUAUCCACAGCUUGAUAUUAUCAGAAAAAACAAAUUCAGUAAUAAAUGAUAACUUCACAGAAGAAAUAGAACGCACAUGUGCAACAUAUCCCAAGGCAGUUGCAGAUCUCUGAACCUCCUUUUUGUCAGUGAAAAAACUCAUCUUUGUAAAAGGAAGCAAGGUGAGAUUCAGACCUAAAAUUGUCAACGAUCCUUGAUUGACGGGCUUUGAUGCAGAAGGAUUCCCUAGUGAAGACAGGAACAAAGGAACUUCAUAUCAAUACAUCACCAGACACCACCUCUUUGUGAAAGUCAAAACAAAAUUCAAAAAAAUAUAAUCAUGAAAGUAAGAGAUAUGUAAAAAGUUCAUAAUAUUCAAGAGCAAAAAAAAAUUGUUUUGAUAUGAGGAGAAUUGAAUAGUAGAUUGCUAAAAGAGGAAUAACUGAAUACAGCCAUCAUAACCAAAAGAAGAGUCAAGUGAUAGGUAAUGGUACUCCCUAAGCUGUUUAGGAAUCAUAAAAGACUUGUCCAGUUGACAAAAAUAACUCAUUUUAUUCUCCCCUAGUAAAACAUCAUAUUGGACCAACCAUAUUUGAUAUCAAAGGAUAUGGAUAUCCAGGCAUGCCAUUUAUAGAUAUUCCCAGUGUUGCAAGAAGGAAUUGUUCAAGAGAAAGAAGCUGCUAUUGUUGGUAAAGUUUUCCUCAAACCAUUUUGAACAUCCAAAAUCUCAAGAACAAAAAAGAAAACGUAGGAGGAAAUAUAACAAGCAUCACAACGGGUUCUCGAUGAUAUAAGUGAGAGGAUAAAUGUUAAUUAAGAUUAUAAAAAUAAACCACAAACUAAACAGGAAAGACAUGGAUUUCAAAACGAGGAGACUGGCUGCUAAUUAAAACCAUAUGCGGUGUUGUCUAGGGCGCAAGGCGCAUUCUAGGUGCUAACCUUUAUAUUGCCUCAAGCACAAGGCACAAAAGGAAGCGCUAGCCUGAGUGCAGUAAAGCGCAAUACAUAUAUGUGAGAGUUUUUGCAAGUCUGUGUGUCUACAACAUAAAAGUUUUAAGAUAUAUAGUAAACUCUAAAGUGUGGUCUGGUUUAUCCACAAAACUUGCAAAAUUUUUAUAGGUGAAUGCUCAAAUAUUGAGAAUUAUAGAGUUUGAUAUUAUCCCUUUCUUAUUAGUAAAGGUGUAUCAAAUGAAAACAGUAAAAAAUAAAAUAAAAUAUUGAGAAAUUCAACAAGGCAGGCUUUUUCUAAUGCCCAUUGCCUUACAAAAAAAGUGUGCCUAGGUGCACCAGGCAUACGCUUGAUCAAAUGGACCUCACCUGGAAGGGUCCAAGGCGUUUGGUUGUAUAAAACUAAGGCGUAGGCAUGCCUAGGCGCAUGCCUUGACGACACUGACCAUAUGUUGGCUUUAUUGCAAAGCAUUAGCAAUCCAAAACUACUAGCACAUUACCUAAUCUACUACUGCUAGAAUAGGACUCAAGUUCUUGCUCCUGUGCAGGUCCAACCAAGAUCUUUACAGGAUACAAUAAUGAAACUUGUGAUAUCAUAUAUUGUUGCCUUGCUCGAAGCUUCCUUUGCACAUUUUUAAGUUUAACACAACCCCUUUCUUCAGUGAGUAAUCUAUUUGCUUCCUGUGAUAAAAACAACAUAUAAUCAAUCAUGCCACGCAUGCAAGACUACCAACCAACUAUCUAACAAAAGAUACAAAGAAGUAGGAGAGCAAGAAGGGGAUAACCCUUGACUAUGCAAAGGAAUUCAUAGAAUGAGAAUCAUCUCAUCUAAGCCCCUCAACCACCUUCACAGGGGGUGGAGGUGCAAAGAGAGAGGUCUUAUUGAUCCGAGAGGAGAAUAUAUAACAUCUAAAGCUGAAUAAGAAGAAACCUUGAAAUAUAUCAUAAAUUCAGAAUUCAUGAUAAUAUAAAAAUGAAAUUCCAAAGCUAAUUUAAGCUAGAAUAAAAAUGCUUCACCUGUAAUCACUUCCUUGCUACAGAAAGAGAGGUACCAGCAACCAACAAUGAUCUUACUUCAGUACUAAGCAUUUCCUCCUGUUUUUUAGCAUCCUCUGUUGCAACUUUGCAAUGAGUUGACAUGUUUGCCAUAACUACUUUCCUUGCCUCGAGUCUCUCACGCAUUUCCUCAAGCUCGUUCAGUUUAUUCAAAGACUCAUUUUUUACCUGCACAGCAUGUUCCCACCCAUUAAUCAGUGGGCCAAUUAAUUAGGUCACAGAAGACAAAACUAAAUUAUCACUCACCAGGUCCCCUUGAAGUGUCAUAUGGCUUUAACAAUUCAACGUGCAAUAUCUAGUAAAAGUAAAAUAAACAUAGAAGAAUGCAAAUGCAAUUCUUAAACGCCUUUAAAUGGACAACAUGAAACACUUUAAGAGCCCUAUAAAACAGAAAACUGGAAAAAAAAUCUGAAAAGGAAAAAAAAAUGAAUUGAAACAAUAAAUCCAUCUGGUACAAACAGCAACAAAUCUCGAAAUAAGCUUUGGCUUUAGCCCAUUAAAGCCCGGGCAUCCGGCCAAAUAAACAGUGACUGCCAUGUCAACUUUUUGAGACGGUAGAAAAGAGCUCAAAAAUCUCAAUUUCCAAAAAUAAGGACAUAAGAAGGAAAACAAUUUACUUAUUCUUACAGUAGAAGAGCAAAAUGAAACUAAAUGAAGGAUAAGGGAACUGAUGCGAAUUGACAUUGUUAUUUUUGGGACUAAAAAGAAUACGCAGAUUGAAUAUUUAAGAUUUUGUAAGGGAAAAGUUCCAUUCACCGACACAAUUAUCAUCGCCCUUUAUCCCAGUAAAGCUUAAUUGACAAUUUUUCUGUCUCGUGUUCUUGCUAAAGCAUUUGAGCAACCCAACAGAAAUCAUUAUAUUUCAAACUGAAAUGAUUGGCUUUAACAAUUUCACAACCUAUACCGCCCAACCUAGUAAGUAAUUUAGGUGCAGACACCAGAAAUCUAUUUUCUUUGCACUCUACAACUAAAUAGCAUACCACUUAUCAAUCAAACACAGCUGAAAACUUCAGUGAGGGAACAUUAUGUAAAAUGAAAAAACUAUAACUUCAACUUGAUUCAUAGCUCGGCAAGUUCAGGGAAUUGGGACUUCUACCACGAUGAUCCAGUUCAAUGUGAAACAGUGAUCCAUAUCAUGCAUAUCGGUUCCCGGAACAAGAGGUAAAACCAGCAAAUUAGGUAAACAAUAAUCCUACUAUAUUUCAGAAUAGCAACAUUGAGCAUGAAAGCUAAAAUUAUAGCAUAUUACGGGUCCUUGCUCUCUACAACUACAUAUAAAAUUAGUAAACAAUAUUACUACAUUAAGGAUCCAGAAAAACUUUGUUUCAAUUGUUGAUCACUUGAUCCAACUAUUUUAGAAAGUUUAUUCUUCUUUUUCCUUUCCCUUAUUUUCUAAAUCAGGAAAAACAGUAGCAUAUAAAUUGGAUUACUACUCCAAGUUUCUGAAAUUUCAACAAUAUCCCUUUUACCUUUUCACUCAAGUCAUUACCCCCCAAUUAACAAAUAUAUUCCCAGUUUCCCUUUCCCUUCAAACACCCCUUUUUUUUUCCUCUACCCAAAUUCAGCUUAUGUUCAAAAACCCAAAAUUGGUUUGCUAAAAUAACAUAAUUUUCAAACACAAAGAUAACCUAAUUUUAAUCAGAAAAAAAAAGCAUUACCUGAAUUAGUGACUGGAGUUUCUCUUGAAGACUUUGUUUCUUCUCAUUAGCUUCCUUAAGGGCAGAAGUUAAACUCCACAAUCUAGCUAGCUCGUUGUCGAAAUCUUCCCAUUCAAUUAGUUGCACAUUUUCAUGUGCAGCAUUGAUUUUCUUCGGGUCGGUAAUUAGGGUUUUGACUCGGGCUUGUUCUCGAUUUUCCAUGAAAUAAUUGAAGAGGAAAGCUUUCGAUUCUGUAAGUUUAAAAAGGGAUCAUAGAUCGACCUCAUGGUACUGGAUCUCGCCCGGUUAGAGUGUUCUUUUUCACGCCGAUCGAAUCAUUUUCUCGGGAAACUUUGCUAGCUAGGGGUAAUUUUCUCGGGAAAAUGGAGGGAAAAACAGAUUCGGGAGUUUUUAUUUGGGGGAGUCUAAGGUAUAACGGAGAAUGACAGGUGGCGGUUAACGGAGGAAUCUCACGAUUCAUGUCAUUUUCACUUUUUCGAUUUAGAAAUUGCUUAAAUACUUUUAAAAAUAGAUAAUAAGAUAAACUUUCUUUUUGAAUAAGAUAAAACUUUCAUUGAAAAUAAAUAAAUAAAUUAAAAAAUAUUUGAUGAUUUUUAAGUUGGUAAUUUUUUUUUAUAAAAAUUUGGUAACUUCUUUGAAAGUUGAUAUAAAAUGUAUCACGACCCGACUUGAGAUUUAAUUUGUCCUCGUCAGAAGUCCGACCCAAACAAGGGAAUAUGACUUGCCACUCACCAAUUUUUUAACCUUCCAACUUGCCAGCUUUAUGGAGUAACUCGGCACCUUGCGACACUACCUAACAUACCGUGAGAUUUAAGUACAAAUAUCUCUAAGGGUAUGUGUCAAGCUUAAGAGAAAUAACAUAUUAUUAUACAUAUUAUUUAGUUACCCCUAACAUGUCACGUCAAAAAAUCAUACUAUAAAAAAUAGUCCUCACAAGAUAGGAUAGAAAAAAAAAGUCAUCAACAAAAGUAAUUAAGUAACCUUUUUAUAAAACAAAAAGAUUUAUUUUAUUUUGAAAUAAAUUAAUUCUCUAACUUAUAUAAGAAAUUAAGUAAAAUCUUUUUAAAUAAUAAGACAUAAUUUCUCGAAAAAAAAUAAUCAAAUGAGAGCUAAUCAAAAUAAUUUAUUUUUUUAGGCCAAACAAUUUUACUUCAACUAUUUAUAAACACUUUUUAAUCAAUUUUAUUUUAACUCCCAUUAUAAAUUUUAUAAAAAGGAUAAUAUAUUAAAAAUACCCUUAAAUUAUUAGAUUUUGUAUAAAUAAACUCUUAUUUUUUUUAGUUAAAUAAACUCCUAAAUUAUUAAUUUAGUCAUGAAAAUGUUGAUAUAAAAGUAUGAGAAUAAUUUAUUAAAUAAAAAAUUAAUUAUUUUAAAAUAUUUAAAAUAUUUAUAUACAUAAUAAACUUAAUUAAAUUCUCUAGAAAAAAAAUUUAUAUUCUUUUAAAUUUUAUGUUGAUAUAUUAUUUCUAUUUGUCUAAUAAAGUGCAUAACGAGGCAAUAACUAUUUUUUAUGUAUAAAUUAAACAAUACUACAACUUCCGAAGUUAAUAAGAUUAUAUCUAUACUCACCAUCACAAUUAGAGACAGGGGUGAGUAUUCGAUCGAAUUGAGUUAAAAAAUUUUGAAUUAGUCGAGUUAACAAAUCUUAUUUUAGCAAUCGAAAUCAAUUUAAAUUUUUUUAAAUCAAAUCGAAUCGAGUCAAAAAAUUUCAAGUCGAAUUAACGAAUCCUAUUAUUUAUACUCAAUAUUGCGUUUAUAUGGGCUGAUUAUUUAACUGGUAGACGAAGUACAAGAUUAUUUAACUAUAUAAACAAUAUAAUGGUUUUGCAUUGUAACUUAAUAGGUAAACAUUUAUCAAAACGAAAUAAUUUUACCUUUUAAGUUAAUGGUUUUGACUUUUAACUUUUAACUUUAAAAAAUAUAAACAUUUAUCAAUACGACGUAAAUUUACAUUUUCGUAUUCGGAUUUUCGAAUAACUCGAAACGUGUAAUUCAUAUUCGAGUUAAACUAAAAAUUUUAAUUUUUUUAUUUGAGUUAAUCUGAAUAACUUGAUUAAAUCGAAUAACUCGAAUUGUUUAAUUUGAAAUUUGAUUUUUUUAUCGAAUUUUUCAAAUCAAAUCAAAAUUUACUCACCCUUAAUUAGUCAUCAUAACUAAAUUAAAGUUGCCCCAUUAUGCAAUUGCAAGUCUUCAAAGCCUAAAAGUUGUAACAAUUCAAAAUUUCAAUGGAAAUUAAAAUUAAUAUUUUUAUCAUAUAUUAGUCAAAGUUUAUUGCAUCAACAAUAAGUUAAGAUAAAAACCUCAAAUUUUAAAAUAUUUUUACCUCAAUAUAAAAUUUAAGAGCUUUCAUGUAUAAAAACUAAAGGUUAGAGCUUUCAUGUUUAAGGGCUUAUUUAUACUUCAUCUUUAUAAAAAAACACUUAAAUAGUAGUUUAAAUUAUAUAGUUAAUCACUCAAUUUUAGUAAAUUUUCAUUUUAGUCACUCGUUGUUAAUUUGGCUAAUGUAAAUAUUACAUUACACUGAUUUUAGUCACCUAAUUUUCAUAAGAUAGAAUUAAUUUUAUUUUUCGGUAAAAAAGAAAAGAAAAACUCAAAAUUUUACAAGCAAGUACCUAGGUUUUUAUAGAAAAAACUUGGAGUUUUAUAUGAAAAACCUACGUUUUUAUUGGAAUAGUCAUAUUAUCUUUUUUUAUUUCAUUUAUUUUUUUCAUUUAUAAAAUUAAUUUUAGCUUUUUCAAUGAAAAGAAAACCUAAUUUUUUACUAAGAAAAUCAUUUUAUCUUUUUAAUUUCUUUUACUUUCAUAUUUAGAAUUAAUUUUAAUUUUUUUUCCAAUAACAAUGAAAAAAAACUUGGAUUUUUACAAUGAGUUUGUUGGGUUUCCACGAGAAUUGCUUGAGUUUUAUGAAUAACUCAAUUCCUUAAAAAAUUCUAAAAAAAAUUAGAAAAAUAAGAUUAAUUAAAAAAAAUGGAGCAAAAUGAAAAUUUACUAAAAUUAGAUGGCUAAAAUGAAUAUACAAUUGCAUUUUCGUUAGCCAAAUUAACAUGUGAUCAAAAUGAAAUAUUAUUAAAAUUGAGUGAUUAAAAUGAAAAAACUAUUUGAUUUAUUUACACCCUGAUUUUAUGAGCAAAUUCCCCAGCACAAAGCCUAUUUUGACAAUAACAGUUCAAAUGAAAAGUCUUCGCUUACUCUUUGAACGAAACUCUUCUCCCGCUAAAACCACCUCUUCUUCCUCCAAAUUCAAACGCCCAAAGCUUUCUUCCAUCUCUAAUGGCUCUGAUUCAUCACAAUCAUCAUCAUCUCAAGAUCCCCUUAAAACCCAUUUCUCCUCUCUCAUCAAAUCCUCCGAAACCACCCUACAACUCCGGCAAAUCCACGCUCAAAUCCUGCGCCGCCACCUCUCUUCCAGUGCCAAUCUCACCACCCUCUUAAUCUCCGUUUCUUCUUCCUUCAAAUCCAUACCUUACGCGCUCUCUAUUUUCAACUAUUCUCACCACAAAAGCUUAUUCCUUUUCAAUGCUUUGAUUCGUGGCUUGACGGAGAAUUCCCAUUUCCAAUCCUCAGUUUCACAUUUUCUUCUCAUGUUGAGACAUAGAGUUCGCCCUGAUUAACUUACAUACCCUUUCGUGCUCAAGUCUAUUGCGGGAUUGGGUCUUCAUUUCCUUGGUCUGAUCCUUCAUGGGAGAAUCAUAAAAUCUGGGGUUGAGUUCGAUUCGUUCGUUCGGGUUUCGUUAGUGGAAAUGUAUGUGAAGCUCGAGGAAAUGGGUUUUGCGUUGCAAGUGUUUGAUGAAAGUCCUGAGAGAAACAAGAGUGAGAGUAUAUUGUUGUGGAAUGUGUUGAUUAAUGGGUGUUGUAAAGUGGGGGAUUUGGAGAAAGCUAUGGAGUUUUUCGAGGCUAUGCCUGAAAGGAAUAUUGGGUCUUGGAAUAGUUUUAUAAAUGGGCUAAUGAAAAAUGGGGAUUUGAACAAAGCAAUGCAGCUUUUUGAUGAAAUGAAGGAGAAGGAUGUGGUUUCUUGGACUACAAUUGUUAAUGGGCUUUCACAGAAUGGAGAUCAUCAGAAGGCGUUAUCCAUGUUCUUUAAGAUGUUGGAGGUCGGUUUAAGGUCGAAUGAUCUUACUCUUGUUUCAGCUCUUUUCGCUUGCGCUAAAAUUGGUGCACUUGAAGUUGGAGUCCAUAUCCAUAACUAUUUUGUGGAAAAUGGGCUUCGGUUGAAUAAAGCAACUGCUGCUGCUUUGGUUGAUAUGUAUGCAAAGUGUGGGAAUAUCCUAUCUGCUAGUAAGGUUUUUGAAGUAACUGUUGCGCGGAAGCGUGUGAAAGAGUAAAAUUAUUGUACUGAAAAAUCACACUAAGUUCAAUUCCCAGGAAAGAGAGGUGGAUCACGAGGAUCGCUUACAUACCAGAUCUUUCCUAGCCAGAAUAUCCCUCUAUCGUAAUUUAAUAGCACAAUAAAUCACUACAAUGACACUUGCAAAAUAUGCAGAACAAAAAAUAAAGAACACUAGAAUUUUAACGAGGUUCAGCAAAUUUUGCCUACGUCCUCGGGCACUACCAAAUAUAUUUCACUCCAAAAAAUACAAGUGAAAGUUUACAAAUAGGGAGAGAGAACAAUUGCCUUAAGUAGAGAUUGGCAAGUGUGGGAUGAAGAAAGUAAGAAAUGGUUAGGCCUAUUUAUAGUUGAGGUUCAAGGAUCAACUUGCAAUGUCCCUAUACAAUUAGGGACCAAAAUUGCAAUUAUCUCAUGCCAACUUUUAACCCAACUUGCCAACCAAUUUUACUUUCUACUUUCGGUGACCACCCUUUUUGACUUUUCAAACAAUGGGUGGGUUCCAAUAAUCUCCACCUUGAAGAUUUGAUUAGGCUAAUCUUAUCUUCACACAAUUCUUUCUGCCUUUGACAACAAUACUUGAUAGUGCCUUCUUCAACUGUUAAACUUGCAGGAUAUUAAUCAAGUUCAAACAAUGUUCGAACUUGGUUGAUGUUACCACCUUGCUCAUCAUAUCUGCGGGAUUAUCUGCAGUCUUGAUCUUCUGAAGACAAAUUUUCCCCUCUUCAAUAAUUUCCCGCACAAAAUGGAAUCGUACGUCGAUAUGUUUUGUACGUGCAUGAUAGACUUGAUUCUUUGCUAAAUGAAUAGCACUUUGACUAUCACGAUACACGUUAAUAUGCUCCUGAACCAACCCCAAGGUUUUAGCCAUACCUUGUAACCAAAUAGCCUCCUUUACAGCCUCUGUUACAGCCAUGUACUCGGCUUCUGUGGUUGACAAUGCAACUGUAGACUGUAGUGUAGACUUCCAACUUAUUGGUCAUCCAGCAAGUGUAAACACAUAACCAGUGGUUGAUCUUCGAUUGUCCAAAUCACCGGCAUAGUCAGAAUCAACGUACCCAAUAACACCUUUACCAAGUGUAUUAUCCUGCUUGAACAGUAAUCCAACAUCCACGGUCUUCUGAAUAUACCGUAGAAUCCAUUUCACAGCUUGCCAAUGUCCUUUUCCAGGAUUAUGCAUAUACCUGCUCACUAUACUAACUGCCUGUGAAAUGUCAGGUCUUGUACACACCAUUGCAUACAUCAAGCUACCCACUGCAUUAGAAUACGGAACUUGCAACAUGUAUUCUCGUUCCGUAUUCGUCGAAGGAGAUAGUUGUGUAAAAAGCUUGAAAUGAGAAGCCAACGGGGUACUUACAGGUUUUGUCUGCUCGUUCAUGCCAAACUGCUGUAGUACCUUUUUCAAAUACUGCUUCUGAGACAAGCUAACUCUAUCAUGAGCUCUAUCUCUCCAUAUUUCCAUGCCGAGAAUCCUUUUAGCUUCUCCUAGAUCUUUCAUCUCAAACUCGAGAUUGAGUUGAGUCUUCAAUCUUUCAAUUUCAACUUUGCUCUUAGAUGCUAUUAGCAUAUCAUCAACAUAUAAGAGCAAGUAUAUGAAAGUUCCUUCUUGUAGCUUCUGAAAAUACACGCAAUGAUCAAAUUUACUUCUUGUGUACCUUUACCCUUUCAUAAACUGAUCAAAUCGCUUGUACCACUGCCUCGGAGAUUGCUUCAAUCCAUAAAGCGACUUUGUCAGUUUGCAAACCCAAUUUUCUUUUCCAGCAACCUUGAAUCCAUCUGGCUGAGUCAUAUAGAUUUCCUCUUCCAAAUCACCGUGUAAAAACGCGGUCUUCACAUCAAGCUGAACUAGUUCAAGAUCAUAUUGCGCAACCAAGGCUAGCAAAAUCUGAAUAGACGAAUGCUUCACAACUGGAGAAAACACUUCAUUGUAGUCUAUUCCUUCUUUCUGAGCGUAACCCUUUGUUACUAAUCUAGCCUUGUAUCGAAUUUCAUUUUUAUCAGGAAAUCCUUCCUUCUUUGCAUAUACCCAUUUGCAUCCAAUUGCCUUCUUUCCCUUGGGUAGUGUCACCAACUCCCAGGUCUUAUUUUUCUGAAGAGACUGCAUUUCUUCAUUCAUUGCUUGCUUCCACUUUACACCAUCAGGGUUACUUAUUACUUCUGUGUAAGUAGAAGGAACAUCAUCAUCUGUAUUUGGAAAUGCAUAGGCCACUAUAUCAUCAAAGCGAGCAGGCUUACGAAUCUCUCUUCUUGGCCUUCUAUAUGCAAUUGAAUCUUGUUGCUGUAGAGAUUCUUGGGUAGGAACCUCUUCAUCAUUUGUCCCUUCAAUAUUAGCUGGAUCAUCGUUAACCUUUUCAAGCUCCACAUGCUGCAAAGUACUAACGGUUUUGUCAUCCUUUUGUGAAUCCUUGUACUUCAACAUGGUUGAUUCAUCAAAAGUCACAUCUCUACUGAAAACAAUCUUCAUUGUAUCAGAACACCAGAGACGAUAUCCUUUUACUCCAUCAGUUAUACCCAAGAAUAAUGCUUUCUUUGCUCUUGGGUCUAACUUAGAUUCUUUUACAUGAUAAUAUGCAGUGGAACCAAAUACAUGCAAAGAAUCAUAAUCAGUAGCAGAUUUACCAGUCCACAUCUCUAUAGGAGUUUUUCCAUUUAUUGCAGCUGAUGGCAAACGGUUAAUUAGAUGGCACGCAUAUGUAACUGCCUCAGCCCAAAAUUCUUUGCCCAAUCCAGCAUUGGACAACAUACAUCGAACUUUCUCCAGUAUAGUUCGAUUCAUUCGUUCUGCCACCCCAUUUUGCUGUGGUGUAUCCCGAACAGUGAAGUGUCGCACAAUGCCCUCAUCUUGGCAUACUUGUAGAAAUGGAUCGUUUUUGUACUCAGUACCAUUAUCUGAUCGAAGUCGUUUGACCUUUCGACCAGUCUGAGUCUCCACCAUCUUCUUCCAUUUCAGAAAUGCAUCCAAAACUUCACUUUUUCUUUUCAUUAGAUACACCCAUACUUUUCUUGAAUAAUCAUCAACAAAAGUAACAAAAUAGUGCAUACCUCCCAAAGAAGCUACUUUGGUAGGUCCCCACACAUCACUGUGAACGUAGUCCAGAAUUCCUUUCGUAUUGUGAAUUGCUGGACCAAAUUUUACCCUCUUCUGCUUGCCCAGAACACAAUGUUCACAGAAUUCCAUUUUGCAAGAAUUUGCACUUUUCAAUAAGCCUUGCUUCACCAAUGUCUGCAAAGCUUUUUCACCAGCAUGUCCCAAUCGCAUAUGCCAUAAUCUGGUAGCCUCUGAAUCUACAUCUUUUGUAGAAACUGUUGAUGUUGAUCCAAUAACUGUACUUCCAUUUAAAAAAUACAAGUUAUUUCUUCUUGUGCCUUUCAUCACCGUCAGUUGCCCAGCUACUACUUUUAGUAAUCCAUCUCUCAAAGUGAUUGUGAGCCCUUUAGAUUCUAGGGCACCUAAUAAGAUGAGAUUUUUCUUCAGGCUAGGUACGUAGCAAACAUCUGUCAAGACUUGGAUUGAGCCGUCGUGAUUCUUCAAUUGGACUGUACCCACUCCCAUUGUCUUACAAGCACUAUCAUUGCCCAUAAGAACAAUUCCACCUUCUAGCUCUUUAAGACUAGAAAACCAGUCCUUAUUAGGACACAUAUGGUAAGUACAUCCUGAAUCCAAAAUCCACUCAUCCGUUUGACAUGCCAUUGCCAUGCCAACCAAGCUAAAGUCUGACUCCUCAUCAUGCUCCGCUACACAUGCAUUAGAAAUAGCCUUGCCCUUUUGUAGCUUAGGACAAUUCUUUUUCCAAUGCCCUUUUUCACGGCAAAAGGCACAUUUAUCUUUGGCGGGUCUCCCUUUGGACUUUCCUCUUCUACCAGAUUUGCUGCUGUGUGAACGACCUCUUACUGUUAAGACUUCUGCGGUUGUAUCUCUGUGAUCUCUUUUAUCUUUCUUUCGAGUCUCAGAUCUAUACAACGCACUACAGACUGCAUCAAAUGUGAUCGUGUCCUUCCCAUGAAGCAAUGUGGUGGUAAGAUGAUCAUAUUCAUCAGGAAGGGAAUUCAACAACAAUAAUGCAUUGUCUUCAUCUUCAAAUUUCUCAUCCAAAUUUAGCAAGUCUGCUAAAAUUUUAUUGAAUGAGUUCACAUGGUCAUUCAUCGACAUACCGGGUGCAUACGUGAAUCGAUAAAGUUUCUUUUUCAUAUAAAGCCUAUUUUCAAGACUUUUCGUUAGAAACUUUUCUUCCAGUGUAUCCCAUAACUUCUUCGCUGAUGUCUCCCUCAUGACAGAGUACUUCUGCUCUUUGGCCAAACAUAGGCGGAUUGUACCACACGCCUGUCUAUUGAUUUUGGCCCACUCCAUGUCAUCCAUCUUGUCAGGUUUUUCUUCAAAUGCUAUAUCUAGCUCUUGCUGACAUAAGACAUCCAGGAUCUCACAUUGCCACAUACCAAAAUUAUUGGUACCGUCAAAUUUCUCUACUUCAAAUUUUGCAUUUGUCACAGUAGUCCUUGCUGAUGACGAUGCUGCUGCCAUUUUUCUCCUCAAUCCCAACUACUGUAUACGUGAACAGUACUGUAUACGUGAAUAGUACCGUAUACGUGAAUAGUGCCGUAUACGUGAAUAGUACUGUAUAUGUAAAUAGUACCGUAUACGUGAAUAGUGCCGUAUACGUGAAUAGUACUGUAAACGGUCGUAUUCCCCAAGUACGAACCUGGCUCUGAUACCAAUUGUUGCGCGGAAGCGUGUGAAAGAGUAAAAUUAUUGUACUAAAAAAUCACACUAAGUUCAAUUCCCAAGAAAGAGAGGUGGAUCACGAGGAUCGCUUACAUACCAGAUCUUUCCUAGCCAGAAUAUCCCUAUAUCGUAAUUUAAUAGCACAAUAAAUCACUACAAUGACACUUGCAAAAUAUGCAGAACAAAAAAUAAAGAACACUAGAAUUUUAACGAGGUUCAGCAAAUUUUGCCUACGUCCUCGGGCACUACCAAAUAUAUUUCACUCCAAAAAAUACAAGUGAAAGUUUACAAAUAGGGAGAGAGAACAAUUGCCUUAAGUAGAGAAUGGCAAGUGUGGGAUGAAGAAAGUAAGAAAUGGUUAGGCCUAUUUAUAGUUGAGGUUCAAGGAUCAACUUGCAAUGUCCCUAUACAAUUAGGGACCAAAAUUGCAAUUAUCCCAUGCCAACUUUUAACCCAACUUGCCAACCAAUUUUACUUUCUACUUUCGGUGCCCACCCUUUUUGACUUUUCAAACAAUGAGUGGGUUCCAAUAGUAACAAAAGAGAAGGACAUUCGUACCUGGAGUGUCAUGAUAUGGGGUUGGGCAACCCAUGGGUUUUAUGGACAAGCUAUCCGAUGCUUCAAAAAGAUGAUGUUUUCAGGUGUGGACUUAGUAGUUUUCAUUGAGCUCAACCCUUUAUUCUAAUCUUUCUGAAUAAACUCAAGUUUGUCGUAUUUGCAGGAAUAAAACCCGAUGCGGUGGUCUUUCUUACCCUCCUGACUGCAUGCUCACAUUCUGGACAAGUAGAUCUUGGGCUUAACUUCUUUGAUAGCAUGAGGUUUGAUUACUCCAUUGAGCCAACCAUGAAGCAUUAUACGUUGGUCGUUGAUUUGUUAGGCAGGGCAGGCCGACUGGAUGAAGCAAUGAAGUUCAUACAAAGGAUGCCUAUAAGUCCUGAUUUUGUGGCAUGGGGAGCACUUUUUGUGCUUGCAGAGCUCACAAAAAUAUUAAAAUGGCAGAACUAGUGUCAGAAAAGCUCCUUCAGCUUGAACCUAAACAUCCUGGGAGCUAUGUUUUCUUGUCAAAUGUUUAUGCAGCAGUUGGUAGAUGGGAAGAUGUGGAGAGGGUAAGAAUGUUGAUGCAGAAUCAAGCUGUUGGCAAAGAUCCGGAGUGGAGUUAUAUUGAAGUCAAUGGACAAGUGCAUAGUUUUGUAGCUGGUGAUCAUGAUCAUAAGCGUGCAAGAGAAAUAUACUUGAAAUUAGAGGAAAUAGUGUCUGGUGCAAGAGAGCAAGGAUAUAUGCCUGAAACUGGGUGGGUUCUUCAUAAUAUUGAGGAAGAAGAGAAGGAAGAUGCAUUAGGAAGUCACAGUGAGAAAUUGGCGCUUGCCUUUGCCUUAAUGAACACUCCUCCGGGGACAACUAUUAGGAUAGUGAAGAACUUAAGAGUAUGUGGAGAUUGCCAUUCUUUGAUGAAAUGUGCUAGUAAGAUGAGCCAAAGAGAAAUCAUAUUGAGAGAUAUAAAGAGAUUCCACCAUUUCAAGUAUGGGGUCUGCUCAUGUGGAGAUUAUUGGUAAAAUGGUAAGUAACAGCAACAUUAAUUUGCUUUGCUGUUAAUAGCACAUGAUUAGUGCUUCUACUUGGUUUAUUUAGAAUAAUGCUUUUAGUUAAAACAUGGAUGUAGCUACAGCAACACAAGUUUUUUUGUUUGAUAAUUGGUAGCAAGUACAUUAAAUUUCUCCAAUGGACCUUUCUGCACAUAUAUAUUAAACUUGAAACUCAUUAGUUAAGUUUGUACUUUAUUUAGGUAUCUAAUUAACGUUGUUAGAUUUUUUCAAUUUCAACUUAUCAUCUUGUGCCACUUCUUUCUCUUCCCUUUAGUGAAAUUUAGCACUUUAAAAGAUGGGUUGCAUUUUGCUCCCUCUGUCAAAAAAAAUGGACAGAUUAAGCUAUACACGUUAGAUCAAAGAGCAAAUAGGUCUUUUUGUUUAAAAAUCCAUCAAUUUUUGUUGUUAAAAAUCAAUCCAUUUACAUCAACAUAAAAUAUAUAACUGUUUGGGUAUCUCAUCAUCCAUGUUAGUUUUUAGCAAUACAAAUGGAUAGAAUUUUUAACAAAAAAAACCAGUUUAUUGUUUGAUCUAACAUACAAUGACUAAUUUGUCAAUUUUUUAAGUAAAUAAAGCAUAAUGCUAAUUGACUCUUAGUAUAAUAUCUCUAUGGUACUUUUAUCAAUACUAUCUCUAUUUAUGAAAUUAAAAAUACUUAAAUAAUUAGAUUUAUUGUAUAUUGUGAUAAAAAAUUAUGUAAGAAAUGCAUUUAUUAAAAAUCCAUAUAAAAUCUAAAUGAUGAUUGUAAAGUUAAAUGUUCUGGUGCAAGAGAGCAAGGAUAUAUGCCUGAAACUGGGUGGGUUCUUCAUAAUAUUGAGGAAGAAGAGAAGGAAGAUGCAUUAGGAAGUCACAGUGAGAAAUUGGCGCUUGCCUUUGCCUUAAUGAACACUUCUCCGGGGACAACUAUCAGGAUAGUGAAGAACUUAAGAGUAUGUGGAGAUUGCCAUUCUUUGAUGAAAUGUGCUAGUAAGAUGAGCCAAAGGGAGAUCAUAUUGAGAGAUAUAAAGAGAUUCCACCAUUUUAGGUAUGGGGUCUGCUCAUGUGGAGAUUAUUGGUAAAAUGGUAAGUAACAACAACAUUAAUUUGCUUUGCUGUUAAUAACACAUGAUUAGUGUUUCUACUUGGUUUAUUUAGAAUAAUGCUUUUAGUUAAAACAUGGAUGUAGCUACAGCAACACAAGUUUUUUUGUUUGAAAAUUGGUAGCAAGUACAUUAAAUUUCUCCAAUGGACCUUUCUGCACAAAUGAUAUAUGUCCCCAUAAAGAACUUGGUGCUCACGGUAUUGCAUGACAGGUAGCCAUAGGUUAUUCGCUCUCUUGAUUGGUAUCUUACAUUCCUCAAGGUCCAAAAGUUGUUCCUUCUUUUUGUCUGAAGUCCAAACCUAAGAAAAGCAUUGAUGGGCCUUUAAAACUUUGCUCAUUUCACUACAUGAACUAUUGGAUGUUUUGUGUUCAAAUUAGUUUAUGCCAGUAGUGAAAGUACAUCUCUUUCUCCUUAUCCAGUUAUUCUUUUCAGUUGUCAUCAUCUUUCUGUGUCUUGCCUUCUGAAGUGUUUAGAUGACUGCAUUUCUCAAUAUAAUUUUCAUUUGACCUAAAUAGUUGAAAUUAAAGUCCCUUAUCAUGCCAUUCAUUACUUUGCUUCUAUAUGGUAGUUAUUCUUCAAUGUCCAUGAAUUGACAUAUAUCACUGGAAGCAUAAUCUUACUUCUAAGCAUGGGAUUGACCUUCUUUAAUGCAGGUUCUUCUGUAAGACUCAAACCAUAGAUGGGCAAGGCUUGAGAAAAUAAAGUUGUAAGUGUUGAACCAGGAAGGACGAUGUUGGCCAUGUUAUAAACAUUCCUCCAGAAUGACUAAACAUCGAGGAAAAGGUUCAACCAUGAGUGGUCCACUGAAACGUGCUUGGUCGAACACGUGCCAAUUAUCAGCUACGUAUCAAAUCCCACAAUUAUAAAUGUAGAUUGGGUUCCAUGCUCUGGUUAAUCCAUUAGAUGACACGGUCCAUUGAAAAGGUACUAAAUUACUGAUGUUUGGUCCAUAUAUGAAUCUGUUUAUUUAAUGGCCAGCAUUAAUUGUUAAUUCUCUUGUUUGCGGGUGACUUUUCCUCUAGCAUGCCUUAUGGAAAGAAGUGUCAGUGACAACCUUUUAAUCAACAGCAACUUACCCUACUAAUGAGCAUUUGGAGCAUUUCAUAGCUCGUUCAGUUUAUUCAAAGACUCAUUUUUACCUGCACAGCAUGUUCCCGCCCAGUAAUCAGUGGGCCAAUUAAUGAAGGAGAGGAUAGUUUGCUAGACACAUGUUUUUUGUGUGAGCUUUCUGGUCUUUUAUGUAGUUGUGGUGUUGACAAUUUUUGUUGUUCUUUACAUAAAUUCUUAUUGGCUAAGCGCUUGGUUUUCUUUUAUUGGAAAGUGCAUCACAACCUGUCGUUACUCAACAAUGGCCAAUUUUCUUGCAUAUCACAUCUUCAGGCAAUGUGAUUAUGUUGAAAAUUGGCCUACCAUGCUUGCUGUAAUACUUCCGGAUGAAGUACGUGCUAGCAAUUGUUCAUGCUGCAGCACGUAUGCUUGCUGUAACAGCAAGAUUUUUGUUUUAGUUUCACUGUAAUCAGCCUAGUUGGAAAUGAACAAGCUGAUGACAGCUUGAUAUGUUUAGGUGUUGAAUGACUAAUUUAGGUGGCUUGUUUCUGUGUACAAGCAAUGUUUUUAAAGUUAGUAGGCUACUUAGUGGUAGUAGGUAGUAAUAACUGAUGUAGUUGGCUAUAAAUGUAUUGUUUUUUUAUUGAAAAAUUAAGCAUAUCAGUGGUUAAAACAGAUUGCUUCCUUGCUGCACGUUUGUGAGCAAGUAAAUUAUUCUUGCAGCUUGCUUCAUUGUCUUGUUCUGUUCUCUGUUUUCUUCCUCUGCUGUCAAAAAACCCAACAGAUUAGCUAUCGUGAAGAUUUCAACAAAGUCGGUUCGUGUUGAUUCAAGGAAAAAAAGAUAUUACGAUUUGAUUUCCUCACCUAAUUGUUUUACUAUGCGAAGUUGGAUUGUGAGGAAUAUUUUGUUGAUUUCUGCAUUUUGAAUAAAGAGCUCUUAGGUUUGUGUGGCCGACGUUUAUAGUUUUAUCUUUCGAUUUUAUCUUUUUUUUUGUAUGAAAUUUAAAGUUUAAUCAAAACUAAUUGUUAUGUGUAUGUAAUAGCUAUUUGAAUUAAAUUAAAUUGACAAAUCAACGUACACUAGUGCAUACUAAAAAAAAUGUAAUAUAAAAUUAAACCAAAAUUGAAUCUAAAACUUAAAUAUUUUAAAACCUCAAACAUAUGGCAACUCUUCACUCCUCUUUCCCUCUGAAGUUAUUUUAAUUUAAAAUAUAUUUUGUAUAAUGUGUUAUAACAAUUCAACUAAACAAAGUGAUUCUCUUUGCAUAACAUAUUAUAUGCUUAUAUAAACUUUUACACAAUUUGUUAUAGAUACAUUUUUAAUAAUUGAAUGAUGACUCCAUUAAAAAUGCAAUAUCAUAAUAAUUCUACAUUUCUUGCAUUAAUAUAAAAUUUUCCUUUUUUUUUCCUCCAAGCCUUGUUUAUUAUCUUUUGUUUUGCCAAAUGGCAGUGCCAGCUUUCAGGCUAGCUAUCGCCCGCCUUUUUCUCCCUCCCAUUAAUCCUUUUUUUCUUUUUUCUUCUCAUUCACUCCACAUGUCUUCUUUCUUUUCAGUUUGUAGAUCUAUUUUAUGAGAAUCUUUAUUUUCUUCACAAGUUGUGAUAGACAGAUGACGACGCCUAUGUUCGUUAAAACUUCAUCGGCCACCAAUAAUUUUUCAGAAUAAUAAAUAAUUUCAUGAGUCGAUUUGGAUUCUUGUUAUCAUAAGUUUUAUAUAUUUUUUAGUUUGUUUUUCAUUGUUUAAUAGGUUUUUAGUUUUAGAAGUUUUUGUCUACUCUUGUAACACGUUUUUUAGUCUUGCUUAUGCAUGUAACCUUAGUUUUACAAGUGAUUUUAGAGAUGGUUUUGUUACCGUCUUCUCUAGUUUGGUGAAUGCUCAAUUCUUUUGUCCAUUUUUGCUCGUCACUUUGGACCAUUCGAGGCUGAUUUUCUUUAUCGCAUUAAGUGCUUGCGAUCACUCCAAAUAUAUCGUGCUUAAGUUGUGAUAAAGCCUGUACAAGCCCAAUUUUUAUGCCCGGGCCCAAUUGACCCAACAAAACCGAACGGCCCAACAGACUAAGGCCCAAACCCAACAAAGACUAGGGUUUCAGAACCCUAGCCCCUCCAUCAGCGCCGCAUGCUAGGGUCUCUGACUUCUGCCCCGUCGGCGCAAACGGCGCACCUACCCCGUCCGUGUCACGUCUCCUCCAUCGCCCUACACCUGCAAACAAUAAAGAGAGAAGCAGACAACACAAAACAGGGGAAAGAUUGAAUCUUUUUUUUUUGUUCUUUCGGUUAUAAAGCCGAACGUAUCAAAUAAGAAAAAGGGGGGAUUUUUUGCAAAAAAAGAAAAUCACAUCAGAAAUAAGAAAAGGAACAAAGGUUGCUGUGUUCUUCAUUUUAUUCUUUUUUGAUUCGUUUACUUUCAUUUAUUUUUAAACAAAUCCGUUAAAAAAUAUAUCAAUAAAAAGGAAAAGAAAAAAAGGAGCGCACCUGAAUCGCUCUCUGGCUCCGUCGACGGAGGUUCUCUCGCCGUUGUCGGCCCGGAUCUGAAGGAGGGAUUCAGAGCCCUUGUCUCGGCGCUCGUAGGGGUUCAAGGACCCGAUUUUCAAAUCGCCCGAAGGCCAGGCUUUUUAAAAACCCUUUGUUGCGCUUCGUUGGCCGCCGUUUCGGUGGCGGUGCGACGGACAGACGGACGAUGGUGAAAAGCCAAUCGUCGGAGGGCAUGAAGAGAGAGUGGGGGAAAGAGUUCUGAAUUUUUUUUUUUAAAAGAGGGAUGAAAUGAUUUUUUUAGGGGUUUUGAUUUAUAUAAGGAUCCAAAACGGCGCCGUUUUGGAAGGGUCAGAAAGCCCCUAAAACGACGCCGUUUUUGCAUAAGACCCGAGACCCAACCCGUCUGCCUUAGGGGAUCCGCGUGUUUUUUACGGAAGGGCUAAUUUCACGUUUAAUCCUUCCGCUUUUUAAUUAUUUUAAAAUUAGGUUCUUUUGAUCUUUUUAAUUUUACCCGGAAAUUGUUUUCGUUUUCAAUUUGAUCCUUACCCAAACUACGUCGUUUUAAAGAAAGGGCCAUUUCUUUGUUGGUCCCUCCAUGUUUUAUGCUUGUUUAGAGCAGUCCUUCCCUUUUCGUUUAUUUGCGUUUUGAACCCCCCGAAUUUUGUUUUAAUGUUUAAUCUAAUCCUUCUGCUAUUUUGUUUAUUUUCUUAACAAAUUUAUUAUUAUUAUUAUUAUUACAUAUUCAUUUAUAACAUCUAAUUUUAGAUUUAAUCAUAUAUAUAAAUAUACGUCCAUGAUAUAUACCUACUUUUUAUAUAUACUUUAUAAUUUAUAUAUACAUAUACACAUUUUAAUUUAUGUACAUAUCUACACAUAUUUUUCAUACUUUACUCAUAUAUAUAUACAUGUACUUAUACAUAUUCUUUAUAUCUUAAAAUCCAUAUUUUUCUUAUGUAUAUAUUUUAUAUUUUAUAUUUUAUAUAUAUGUGUUUAUAUAUUCUACGAUAUAUAUUUAUAUGCAUAAUAAAUACAUAUCUAUAUACGUUUCGAUUUUUAUAAACACAUAUAUAUGUAUGCAUACCUUUAUAUUUCUUAUAUUAAAUACAUAUAUAUAUAUUUAUAUAUCCCUUUAUACUUCUAAAAUCAUAUAUUUUGUAUAUAUUCUUUAUAUUUUAUGAUUCCUAUAUGUACCCACAUAUAUACUUUUUGUAUUGUAUGAUUGUUAUUUACGUAUAUGUACGUACAUACAUACUUACACCUAUUUUCAUGUAUAAUAGCCUUAUAAUAUGUGUACAUACAUGUAUUUUUCAUAUUUCCAUAUACAUACACAUAUAUCUUUUUAUUUUAUAUAAUCUUACUCAUUUUAUUUAUUUAUUUAUUUACAUGUCUAUUAUUAUUAUGCUCUAGUUUUUAUUUAUUUAUUUAUUAUUUGUUAUUGUGCUUGCUUGAUCCUUUUAUAUAUUAAUCUUAUUUUUUAUUUUUAUUUUGAUCAUGUCAUUUUACUUACAUUAUCAUCAUCAUUCCGUUACACUCAUUUUUUUGUUUAGAUUUCAAAAAAAAAAAGAAGAAAUUUUAAAAAUAAGUAACACUCGGUAUUUUGGAUCUUCGAGAGAAUCGAGUCCUAACGUAUUGGGUUCCGACUUUCUUCGUUGAAUUUAAAUAAUCGAGAUUACUCUUUUAAAAAUGAUAAAAAAGCUCGUUAUCGAGAAUUCAAUACGUUGUGUCCCAACGGAUUGGACGUAACACGGUGUUUUCUCGAGACGAGGAUUUUUCGAAAUAAACGUAAUAUUCAAUGUUUAAUCUUUUGAGAAAUUGUGCCCUAACGUAUUGGGUUGUGAUUUCUUCAUUUGAUUUAAACAAUUGAAUAUCCUUUUAAACUUUAUUACAUGGAUCUUUUCAAACUCAAGUUUUAAACAACCUCGGGAAUUAAAAGAGGAUCGUGUCCUAACUUACUGGUCGUAAUCCCUUUUUUAAUUCGAGAUCGUUAAAUAUCUUUUAAAUAAGCUUUUUUCAUUCGCGUAUUGGGAAUUCGACAUAUUGUGUCUUAACUUGCUAGAUAUGAUAUUCUGUCUCGAAUAACGUGAAAUAUGCCCCUUUUCCUGAAAAUUUUCAACGUUUUAAUACAAGGAUCGUAUUUUUAAAAUUCUUCUAAGUUAUCAAUUUUCGACACUAAGACAUUAACUAAUCAACUAGGUACCAAUUUUGGGCGUAUCGAGGGUGCUAAUCCUUCCUCGUGCGUAACCGACUCCCGAACCCGUUUUUCUGAAUUUCGUAGACCAGACUUGUUGUUUUAAUAAAAUUAAAUUGUUUAUUAAAAACAACCACUUUUCGAGGUGAUCCAAUCACCCCUCAUAAAAAAGGAUUGGUGGCGACUCCCGUUUUUUUAUUUUCGUCAAAACCCAAGUCGACCCCGUUUUUCAUCCAAAAAAAUGGUGUCAACAAAGCCAAUUGUCAACAUGUCAUAACGUUCUAUUUAUGCUAAGGCUAAAGCCUUCGUUGGGUUGUUGGAGCUUGUCAUUUACCAUCUACGACGAGUGCUUAUUUUUUUCCCUGAAUUGUAUGAUUCCAUUCAUUGAAUGAAUUAACGAAUUUACCUUUCAAAAGAAAAAAAAUUCAUAAAUUUUGAAAUACAAAAUGAAUGUGUUUUGAUAUUUUUAGGGCAAUGGUUUAGUGGUUUAAAUUUUUUUAUUUAAUAUGGUGAAUUUAAUUAUAAUUUUUUAUUUAUUAGAUAGUAGAAUAUCUCUUACCAUUUAUAAUUAAGUUUAGGUUAAAAUAUUUUAUUAAAUUUUUGGACUUUUCACAAAUUUUAAAUUUAAUCUGUUUACUUUUAUUCAAGAAUUUAAUCUCUCUGCAUAUAAAGGAGGUAAUUAUGGCAAGGGGAAUUACCAUGGCAGAGGUAGCGGAGGCUGAGGAAGAGAUGCUGGAUAUGCUGAAGAAAGAUAGAUGGCUGAGAAACAGAAAAACUUUAGGAACAAUAUUCAGUGUUAGAAGUAUGGGGAUGUGAAGGCAGAUUGUUGGAAAAGGGGAAAACAAGCAAAUUAUGCGGAAGAUGAUGAAGAGAUUUAAGUUAUUUAUGAGCUGUCUAGAUGACACCAUAGCUUCAACUAACAUUUGGCUUCAAGGGCGUAUAUCUCAUGAUGAAGAGAUUGUCUCUCUUCUUUUUUCUCAUAACAUAUUAUACGCCAUGAUAAUAAAUUUUGAUAUGCCUAUAAAUUUGAGUCUCUAUUAUUUGUAAUAUGACAUGUUUUAAUUAUUUUUUAUAUUAUGCCAUGAUUUGGUUCACUCCAUAAGUUAUAUAAAUUUAUUAUAAUAAUUCAAUUAAUUUAAUUUAGAUUAAUUUUACAUUUUUGUCCUAACUUUAGUUUUUAAUAAUUGAAUCAUCCCACCAUUAUAUUCAAUUACAAGUGUAAUACGAUUUUGCGUCAUCCCGCACCAUUAUUCUCAGUGUAAUUUUUGGUAGUGAGCAUUGAAGGGGAGAGAGAGAGAGAACAAAGAAAGAACUUACUGUAAUUUUUGGUGUAUGUAAUCGAUAACCCUCAAUGCUUAAAAUGAAAAAGAAAAUAGAAAACAAAGGUGGCAAAGUUAGUUACAAUGCCAGCUAAUUCGUUAUUGCUAUCCACAUGAAGAAUUUUAUAACCCCAACUACACGAUUUUAUGUCUACCAGCUCUCACUUUUCAUAUUUUUUGGCCAUUAGUUAUUCUAAGAUUUAACAUCACCGUUAAGCCAUGUUUAAACUCUUUUUCUUAUAUAAUAAUUAUAUUAUAUUUAAAAUUGAAAAAACUAACCAACCAAAUAUAUAUUAAUUAAUUAAUAGAAGUUUUUUGGUCAUCGAUUAAAAUAAAUCAAGAAAGACGUUGGAACCACCAACUUCUCUUUAAGAACAACACGAAUACAAGAAUCUAUGCACAACAAGUUCUAAAAUGUAUUAAGUAAAUUCAUCAUCAUGCCUUAAAAAAAGAAGAUCUCGAUAUAUCUGCUUUUGCCAAAGCAUCCGCCAUACCAUUACUUUGCCAGUGAAUAAUUGUGAACUGAAACUUAGCCAAUUGAGUGAUAUUAAUUAUAGAAAUGAUUCUUCUUGCAACCAUAGAUGAAACACCACUGAGACUAACAAACUUGGAGAAACUUGAUUUGAGUUUUAACAUCUUCAGGAACAACACAAUUUCGUUUCUUGAAGGACUUUCAAACUUAAAUUAGUCCUUGGAUAUGCAUAAUAACACUCUGCAAGGCUCAUUAAUAGAUAUUAAAGGUACUGAAGCUAUAACUUUUUUUUCUUGAUAAUUCUUUUUAAAAUAUUUCAUAAUUAAUUGUUCUGAAUUUGUACAUUCACUUCUCACAUUUCUGGGUUUUUUUUGUCCUCAACUAAAUUAAACUUAUGCAAAUUUCUUGAAUAUUUAAGUUAAGAGUUAACGUCAAAGUCAAGAGUUGAUAAGUAUUUUGUGGUCCAUUCAUAUCUUUAUUACAAAAAAAAAAUAUUCAAGAAAUUUGCAGCUAGUUGGAGUUUUGCAAUAAGGAAUUUCCACCAAGAGUUUUGGAGGAAUCAUAUCUCUAACAAAAGAAAGACCUUCAUUUGACUAAAUUUUUUAGUAUUUAUUUUAACUUCCAUUUUUAUUAAAAAAAAGGUAAAAAAAUAUGCCAAACAGGGUCUUUAGGUUACUUUUUUUAGAACUAUAUUAUGUUAUAGUACCAUAUAAGUUAGAGGAGCACAAGUUUAGAUUCAUCCAAUUUUUGAGGAAUUAAUUAAAUAUAUAUUAUUUUAAUAUUAUAGUGUAUAGGGGCAAAGUUAGAAAAAAAUUUUUGUGGAGUCGAAAUUAAAUUAUAGUUUUUACAAUAGUUAAAAAAAAUAAUUUCACUAUUUUAAAAGCAUAUAUGUUGUAAGCACUAAAUUUUUGUCCGACUAGAGUUUGUGUUUAAUUUUCAAAAUUUCAAAAAAAAAUUUUAAAAAUAAAAAUUGCAUUUUGACCCCUAAAUUUUUCCUAAAUUUCAUUUUGACCCUUAAACUUUCAUUAAAUUUCACUUAGACCCCUAAACUUUCAUUAAAUUUCAUUUUAAUCCUAAAUUUUCUAAAAAUUACAUUUAGCCCCAGAAGUUUUGCUGUAUUUGUGAUUUGGUCCUUCAGACACGUUACGUGAUUUGGGGCACCCACUUCCCAGAUUUUCAGGCCACAAUCACCCACUACCUGCAAACAAUGAGAAAGAGGACAAAAUUUGGAGCUUUUAAAAAGAAAAAAAGAGAAGAGGAAGAAAAAAAGGAGAGAAAAAAACAAGCAGAAUUUUUAGAGAAAAAUAAAAAAAGAAGCUCUCAAUCCGGCCGAUUGCCUCCACCGCCACCACGUCCGUUGCGCCACCACCAUUGUCAUCUCACCAUCGAGUCCUAAACGCAAACAAAACAAAAACAAAGAAAAAAGCAAGCAAAAGAGAAAAGGAGAAAGUGCAAAGAAGAAAAAGAAAAAGGAAAAGGGGAGAGAGCAUACCUCCGUGCACGCCAUUGUCGGCCGUCGCACCAGGCGGAGGGACAUCACCGGCGAGACAAAGGAGGUGCUGCUGAUCGGGGAGAAAGAAAGGAAGAAAAAGAAGAAGGAAAGAAGAAAAGGGGAAGAAGAAAGAAAGAAAAAAGAAAAAAAAACUAAAAAAAAUAGCAGGCCAUUUUGGUGGACCAGAUUCAGCCCAACAAGAAGCAGCCCAAACCAGUCCUUUGGCAGCCAAUAGCAACAGCCCAACAGCAAAAAAAAUAAUAAAAGGGGAGGCCCAAAAUUUAAGCCCAUAACUUUGGGCUUUUGGGUAAUUUUUUUUCUUUUUUUCUUUUUAAUCUAUUUUAUUUUAUUUUAUUUAUUUAAAUGGUGUUUUAUUUAAUUUAAAUUAGUAUGCUUUAAAACAGUUUUCAUAAAUAUUAUUAUGUCAUUUAAUUGCAUAUUUUUUUUAAAAAAUAAUAAUAUUUUAAUGCAUAAGGCAACGAACCGAUUUAGCAUCGAGUCAUCGAAUUCAUCGCUAUGUUGGAUGGAUAUCGAUAGCUCGUGUUAAAUUCGGGACACCCUUUUAAAAAUAAAAAUAUUCAAAAAUCCUCGUAUUUUAAUAAAAAUUCUCGUGUUUUAUUAGAAUCCCGAUUAAAUAUUAAAUUGAAUUGAGUUAACAUUAAUUCGAUGGUUUCAUCGCCAUAUCGGGAUGAAUAUCAUCGAUUCGUGUUAAAUACGGUAUUUUUUAAAGAAAAAUUGUGUUUCAAAAAUUUUCAUGUCUUCAAAAUUUCUCGUGUUUCGUAUUUUAUCAAAAAAUUUAUGUUUUCAAAAACAAAUUUUCUGUUUUAAAAAUUUUCGUGUUUCAAAAAGAAGAUUCGUGUUUUCAAAAAUAAAAAUAAAAAAUCUCGUGUUUUAAAUUCUUCGUGUUUUUUAAAAAAAAAUUUUGUGUUUCUAAAAUUCUUGUAUUUUAAAAUUUUCGUGUUUUCAAAAAAGAAAAAGUUGUUGCGCUUUAAAAUUCUCGUGUUCAAUCGGAUCACGACUAAUAUUAAAUUGAACUCGUAUUUUUGAAAAUGAAGACAAUGCGCGUUUAACGAGAUACCAAUUUUGGGCGUUGCGAGGGUGCUAAUACCUUCCUCGCGCGUAACCGACUCCCGGACCCUAAUUUUCUCUGGAUUUUUACGUGGACCUAAAAUUACCUCUUUUUUAGAAAAGUUUAAAAAUAAAUUUUUCUUCUAAAAAGAGAAUUUUAUAGGUGUCCGAUCACACCUAGAAAAAAUAUCGGUGGCGACUCCUUUUUCAAAUAAAAUCGAGAUUCAGUUUUCAAAUUUACAAUAAUUACUUCGACUAGCGCCCGUGCCGAAAUUUUUAGGUCGCUACAGCUGGCGACUCCGCUGGGGAACCUUUUUGAGAGUCGAGUCGAAUUAAACUCGCGUUGUCAAAAUUUUCAAAGUUUCUUGUUCAAAUUAACAUUUAGUCGUGAUCCUUAAAUUUUUUGUUUUCAAAAAAAUCAUGCAUUUGCAUCGUGUUGUAUAUAUUCUAACUUGUUUUAUCAGGUUGUUUUUCAGCUUUAAAUUUUUGCGGUUUUAGUUUUGGUUUAGUUUUUCUAAAUAAAACGUAAAGGUUUACAAGUUUCUCCCCACACACCGUGCACGUGCAUUUAUGUUGCAUAACAUGAGCUCUAUACCCGGGCUCUGUCCCUGUUAAGAGAAAGUAAAUGCUACGCCUUCGUGAGUUAACUCGUUCCUCCGCACAGGCUAGUGAAUACUUUCGGGUUACAUAUGACUUAUGCUUUCGUGAGUUAACUUGUCCCUCCGCAUAGGCAUAAGUAAAUGUAAUCCCUCGAAUUGAUCUCGUAAGCCUAUGAUGGGCCAUGACCGAGGCUCUGUACUAAUCUUAGUAGAUGACAGUGCAGACGAUUCGAGUACCCACCUAGAACCAAAACCGCAUAUAGUGAACCAUACGAGCUAUCCAAUUAGAGUCAUGCCGAACCUCUGUCCGCUUAUAGUCAUCAAAAUAAGUACACGGGGAAAAUGCCUUUUGCCUUUCAUUUACACUGUUUAUGCAAAAUAAUUGGAUUGGGUAGUUUAAUUUGUUUUUCAAAUUAUAUUUGUUGUGUUUACUAACCAAGUUUGUUUGUUUUUACUUUUAUUUUCAUCAUGCAUCAUAGGCAUCAUAUUAGGAAGGUGUUGAUUAAAAGUUGGUUGCCAAAAAACGGGUUUCUGAUGGAAGAGUCAAUUACACAAAUAACCGAGAAGAAUGCCGUGGUUCGGGACUGGUCUCUAAAAAUUCAGAGAGAAAAGAGGGAUAGUCUAGUGGAAGGGUGUGUCACUAAUUUGCCCGAACAUAUAACUGUAAAUGUUCGCCAAAAUAACUUUGAGGAUUUGGUUCAAAUUUGGAAUCAGUGGGAUUCAGACACUAGAGACAUUUUCACUCAGAGGUAUGGAGAUAUAGCUCACCUGAUCAUCAUCCAUGUAGACGAACAGUUGAUUCAAGCCAUGGUUCGGUUCUGGGACCCAGCUUAUCAGUGUUUCACCUUCAAUCAAGAAGACAUGACUCCAACCAUAGAAGAGUAUGCUGCUUUACUCCGCAUCGACAAUGUACAAUUCGGCAAAAUAUAUGUGAAGGAGCCUAAACCGAUGACCUUCAAGAAAAAGUUAGUGAGACUGACAGACAUGACUGAUGCAUGGGCCGAAAAACAGAUAAAGAAGAAGAAUGAAACCAUUUGCAUUCCAUGGUCCUCCCUACGAGAUUUGGCUCUGAACCAUCCCAACAUGCUGAAAAGGGUAAAUCUAUUCGCUUUGGCCAUUUACGGUUUGGUCAUUUUCCCAAAAGUUCUCGGACAUCUCGAAGUUGCAGUAGUUGAUUUCUUCGAAAGGUUAAAACAAGGAAUCAACCCUGUCCCGACCAUCCUAGCCGAGACCUUCAGGUCCCUGAGUAGUUGUCGAAAAAAAGGGGAGGGACGAUUUAUCAGAUGCGCGCAGUUGCUCAAUGUUUGGAUUUUGAGUCACUUCUGGAAGGUAGAGCGCACUCCGUUCCAUAUGUUUUCUAAAACAUUCUCCCCGCUAGAAGCUUACCUCAAUAAAGAAUGGCCGAAGGAAGUCACCGAGCAACAUUGGGUAUCAGUUUUUCAAAAUCUUCGCACCGAGAAUAUAACAUGGAGAGCACCCUGGAUCCGUCCUUCAGUUCUGCUAUACAAAUGUGGAAGCCAAGAUUGGGUACCUCUACUCGGGUUUUGGGGAGGAGUUGGAUAUGCUCCGCUAUUAGUCCAAAGGCAAUUUUCUUCGCGACAAUUCCUCCCCGCAACUGGAGGAUUAGCACAGUUCGAGUUCGCUUUUGCGGGUGAAGGAUAUAUGAAGAGAGUCCGAGACACUGCAAAGUAUUGGAAGGAAAUUCAUUUCAUGGAAUUAGCUUUGUAUGUUGAUACCCUUACCCAAGAUUACGACAUAUGGAGGAAGCAACGGGUAAAUAGUCAGCAAAUCUCAUCAACAAACUACACCAUCCAGAAUCCUUUCUCGGAGAAAACGCCGUCUGAGCUAGAAAUGGCAAGACAAGAAUUCGAACGAGAAAAGGCCAAGAUGUCUCGGGACCUUAGUGCCCUUCAAGAAGAAAACUAUCAACUGAAGAUUGAAGUUCAGGUUGAAAGGUCCAGGACUGAAAAGUACAAAAAGAAGCCGAGAUUGUGAGAAACGACUUAAGGGACCUUCAUUUGGAAAACAAGAAAUUAAGAAACACUAUAAAGAAUAGCGGGUUGGGUAAGUCGACAGCAGAAUGGAAGGAAGAAAUUAGCAAUAUCAAGGGAGGAAUGGAGUUUUGGAAGGGAAAAGUAAAGAAAGAGGAGGAAAAGGCUGCGCGCGCUGUGAUAGAGUUAAGAAGGAAGAACGACGAGUAUGAAAUAGUGACUGCAAAAUUUGCGAAUAGUCAGUCUGAAUAUCAAGAAUUAAAAAGGAAAGCACGAGAUCUAGAAAAUAUGCUGCAAUCUCGUCAACAACAAUUAGAUAACCUCCUGAAGGCUCUAGAGGAAAAGCAUGAUCAGUACGAUAGGGACAUUCAGGCGUAUGAAGGAACUCUCAAAGAAAAAGAAAUGCAACUCGACUUCUUGAUCAAUGAAAUUCGUAAAGCGGCUAUGCAAGUUGUUCAAUUAUCAGAUGAAGCCGAAGUUAUCAGUUGCCAAUUCCCUCCGAGCCAAAGAUCGAGCAUAUCAGAGUUUUUAGAGCAAGUGAAUAAACAAGGCAAUGUGGCUAGGAAAUUUGUGUAACUGUUGGAAAAAUGAGAACUUUGUGUAAUAGACUAUGUUGAUAAAUGAAAUGCCUAAAUAUGGGGCUAUCUUGAAAUCAACACCAAAUUCUUGCAUGUUUACUCAUAACUAACAUUUAUGCAUCAUUUAUUCUUUGGACAUUCAUCCAUUCAUAUACUCAUUCAUUCAUUCAUCACGAGUACAUAUCACCAUAAUCAUCCACCGAAACUAAAGAACCGUAUAAUCCGCAGUUGCAAGAUUUCAAAUCUGGAACCACGCAAUUCCUAUAAAACGCGCCGACAAGCUAGAGUAAUGGAGGAUGAAUUCAAUGAGAGAAUUGAAAGGAUGGAAAGGGCUCAAAAGGAAUUACAAGAGUAACUGGCCAAAUCGCAGCAAGAGACGAGAGACCUAAUGGUGAGAUCUCGAGAGGAAUCACUCGAGCAAAGAGAUCAGAUGGCUAAAAUGAUGGAGAUGAUGACAACUUUGGUCAAAGGAAAAGGACCCAUGCAGAACUCCGAUGUUAUGGAACCUCGGUCAAGAAUUCACCAUGAUCAGGAUCCACUUUAUCCCCCAGGAUUUACUCCACCUCAUGUCCACGCAAUACAACGAGGAUACCCCCAAAGGGAACCUACAGGCCUAGAACAACAUCUUGCUCCGCCCACUAAUUUGGGGCAAGGAAUGUUAGCGUCGAACCUUGGGGCUAGUCCUGCUAAUCCACUAGUUCCAGAUCUGGAUGACCUAGCAGAGGCAGCCAAGUUGAAAUUGGAUAACCAUGACGCAAAAUAUAGGAGUCUAGAGGAAAGACUCAAAGCAAUAGAAGGCACUGAAGUCUUCUCCGCACUAGGUGCCAAGGAACUCAGUUUGGUACCUGAUCUAAUUUUGCCUCCGAAGUUCAAAGUGCCUGAUUUUGAGAAAUAUGAUGGGACAAGGUGCCCAAAAGCACAUCUCAUUAUGUUCUGUCAAAAAAUAACCGGUUAUGUGAACGAGGAUAAGCUACUCAUACAUUGCUUUCAAGAUAGUCUAACAGGGUCAGCUCUUCGGUGGUACAAUCAACUUAGUAGAGAAAAGAUUCGAUCCUGGAAGGACUUGGCGUCAGCAUUUUGCGAACAGUACAAGCAUGUAUCGGAUAUGGUGCCAGACCGUAUGACCUUGCAAAUGAUGGAGAAAAAGCCAUCAGAGACCUUUAGACAGUAUGCGCAGAGAUGGAGAGACGUCUCAGCUCAAGUGGAACCCCCACUAACAAAAACGGAGAUAACCGUUCUCUUUAUCAAUACUUUAAAGGCACCGUUUUAUGACAAAUUAGUGGGAAGUGCCACGAAAGAUUUCGCGGAUAUUGUAAUAUCCGGUGAACUCAUAGAGAACGCCGUCAAGAGCGGUAGAAUGGAAGGAUCAGAAGGCUCAAGAAAAGCAGCACCCUUAAGGAAGAAAGAGCCAGAAGCCCUCAUGGUGGGAACUGGGAGUCGUUACAUUCCCAAUUCAUAUCCUAAUCAACCCCGACCUCGAGAUUAUCCACCCUCGAGUUUCCAUUAUCCCCCUCAAACCCCUUGCUACCAAGCACCACAUCCGUCCUGCCCCGUAUACGCUACGAACAACCAAAGACCCGUCACCACUUUCCCACAAAACACGGUACCCACCCAAAGCCAACCCAGAAACGAACCAAGACCAUCAAGGCAUAAUCCUGAGAGACCGCAAUUUACCCCCAUCCCUGUGUCGUAUGGGGAAUUGUACCCAAAACUUUUAGAAAAAUAGCUAAUUUCUCCCCAUUACAUGGCACCCCUUAAACCUCCAUACCCAAAGUGGUACGAUCCAAACGCUAGUUGUGCAUACCACGCAGGGAACCAAGGGCACUCUACUGAGAACUGUCUCACUUUCAAAAGGAGAGUUCAAGGACUCAUUGAUGCGGGUAUCCUACGAUUCGAUAGUGCUAGUAAAGCCACGGAGAACCCGUUCCCUAACCAUACCGAAGGGAAUGUGAGCACAGUGGGGAAAGAGGAUGAAUGGAAGGUCAGAAGAUGUGUAUCAGAAAUAAGGACGCCUCUGCAGAAAAUCUGGGAGGUAUUGGUUAAGAAAGGAUUGCUCUGUCACUCUGAUAGAAUUUUUGGAGAAGAAGGUCAAAGUUUUUGCAAUUUUCAUGGGAUUGUUGGGCACGACAUUCAGUCGUGCGAGGACUUUAAAAGGUUACUUCAAGACUGGAUGAAUAAUAAAGAGAUCAAGGUCCUUAACAAGAGUGAAGAUGCCAACGAAAGAGAAGUAUGUGUCUCUGAUAGCCAAUCACCAGGUCCCCCUUAUAGUGCUGAUCGACCGUUGGUAAUUUAUUACGACGCGAUGAGAGAGCCCUUGAAACCACAGAUGGUAAUUGAAGUACCAUCUCCUUUCCCGUAUAAGGACAACAAAACAGUACCGUGGAGAUAUGAUGUUAAUAUCGUUACACCGGAAGUUGAAAAGUCCAAAGCCAUAAUUGAAGAUGUUGGGGAGGUAGGUCAUUUUACUCGAAGUGGACGAUGUUAUUCUAAAGAAGUUGAAUCGGUAAAGAAAAGUAGCGACUCGAAGCAAAAAGGAAAAGCAGUGAUGCACAAGGUCGAAGUCGAGCAAGAAAUUCCACCCGUGCAAGAAACUAAAAAGCUUGUGAAUGAGGAAGAAGCUCAAGAAUUCUUGAAAUUUAUUAAGCACAGUGAAUAUAGUGUGGUGGAACAAUUGAGCAAGCAGCCAGCACGAAUCUCAGUUCUAUCUCUACUGUUAAAUUCAGAGCCACACCAGAACGCUUUAUUGAAGGUGUUAAAUCAAGCUUACGUGGCCAACAACAUAUCUGUCGAAAAGCUUGAUAGGUGGGUAAACAAUCUGAAUGCGGACAACUUCAUCUCUUUUAGUGAUGAUGAGAUACCGCUAAAUGGUAGAGGUUCGGUGAAAGCGCUGCAUAUCACGACCCGCUGCAAGGGCUACAUAAUACCGAACGUACUCAUCGAUAAUGGGUCAGCGUUAAAUGUUAUGCCAUUGGCUACACUUUCCAAAAUACCGAUGGAUUUGUCCUACUUAAAGCCCUGUCAUUCCAUGGUAAGGGCAUUCGACGGGACGAAGUGCAAAGUCAUGGGAAAGAUCGAAAUCCCUUUGGAAGUGGGCCCCUACAUCUAUGAGGUCGAAUUUCAAGUUAUGGACAUUACACCCUCUUAUAACUGCCUUUUGGGAAGACCUUGGAUUCAUUCUGCAGCAGCAGUCCCAUCAUCCCUCCAUCAAAAAGUGAAAUUCAUCAUGGAUGGCUGUUUGGUCACAGUCGAGGGCGAAGAAGACAUUAUCGCAUCUAUCUCUGUUGAUGCGCCAUACCUGGAAGUAAGCAAGGACGUAGUGGAAUGUUCCUUUCGAUCCCUUGAAUUCAUCAAUGCCACUUUCGUCGCUGAGGGAAAUAGAAUUUCGAUGUCAAAACUGUCGAGAAAUACCAGAAUGGGUGUCAAGUUGACCGUAGGAAGGGGAGCUUGUGCGAGAAGAGGUUUAGGGAGACAUAUGCAAGGAAUAGUGAGGGCUUUAAAGCCAGUGCACCACAAGGCCUGAUACGGUUUGGGGUUCCAGCCUGACAUGCGCCAAAGAAGAAGACAGUGGAAGAAGGAUCAAGAAAGAAGAAUUGCAAGAACUUUGGGCCGAGAACCAGAAUGGGAACCAAUAGAGUACCCUCCUUUGUCAAAAACAUUUACAUCUGCGGGAAUGAUGUACCCUGGACAAGAGGAUCCACGAAACAUGCUGGGAUUAAUUGAAAAGGAUUUUCAGAAUGUUAGUAUAAAUGUCAUUGACAAAGAAGCUGGUGCAAGUAAAGAUGUCUCGAGGAUACGCCAUUGCCCUCCUGGUUUCAUGUUGAACAAUUGGAUAGCUGAGGAGCUUCUUGUAGUUUAUAAGCCUUCAGAGUAAUGCUAAACAUCAACCUUCUAUUGUGUCCUUAGAUAUAAUAGAGUUCUUUUGUAAGAGUUUGCAUUCGCUCUUUAUCAUUUAAAUGAAUAUCAAUGAAGAUGCAUUUUGUCACGAUUUUUCGCAUUAUCACUAAUUUCAUAAUCAUUUUCUCAUUUCAUAGCCUAUCCUUACAUUUGCCUCAUUGCCAUGACAUAAAAUUUUGUUUGUUGUUUCCAAUACUUGGAUGUCCCCCGAUAGCUUCCUUUUCCAUUCAACUUUCAGGUGCUCAGAUAUUGACGACAUGAAUAAGCCCGUUACGAAUCUUGAAAUUGAUUUUGAGAAGGCUGUUUGCUUAGGAGAAUUUGAAGCCGAAGAAAAUGCUGAAGAUUAUGUCUCGUCUCUUGAAUUGUUAAGAAUGGUGGAACAAGAGGAUAAACAGGUUCUGCCUCAUGAAGAAUCUGUAGAAACAAUAAAUUUGGGCACUGAAGAGAGGAAACAAGAAGUGAAGAUUGGGACUUCUAUUUCAGAAAGUACCAGACGUAGUUUGAUCACUUUACUCCGCGAAUACAAAGAUGUUUUCGCGUGGUCAUACCAGGACAUGCCAGGGCUAGAUGAAGAUUUAGUGGUCCAUAAGCUCCCAUUAAAGCCAGAAUGCAAGCCCAUCCAGCAAAAAUUAAGACGGAUGAGGCCCGAAAUCCUGUUGAAAAUAAAAGAGGAAGUCAAGAAGCAAUUUGACGCUGGCUUCCUACAAGCCUCCAAAUAUCCAGAAUGGGUGGCUAACAUAGUCCCGGUACCAAAGAAAGAUGGAAAAGUACGAAUGUGCGUGGAUUACCGUGACCUGAAUCGAGCAAGCCCAAAAGAUAAUUUUCCCUUGCCACAUAUUGACACGUUGGUGGACAACACAGCAAAACAUUCAUUGUUUUCUUUCAUGGAUGGAUUCUCGGGGUAUAAUCAGAUCAAGAUGGCUCCUGAGGAUAUGGAGAAAACUACCUUCAUAACAAUGUGGGGAACGUUCUGCUACAAGGUGAUGCCAUUCGGGUUAAAGAAUGCUGGGGCAACAUAUCAGAGGGCUAUGGUGACAUUAUUCCAUGACAUGAUGCAUAAGGAAAUAGAGGUCUACGUCGAUGAUAUGAUUGCUAAAUCUCGAGGAGAAGAAGAGCAUGUAAUGAACCUCAAGAAGUUGUUCGAAAGGCUGAGAAAGUUUCAGCUAAAGCUUAAUCCAGCCAAAUGUACAUUCGGGGCUACCUCGGGAAAGUUGCUAGGCUUCAUUGUCAGUGAAAGAGGUAUCGAAGUUGAUCCAGAUAAAAUAAAAGGCAUCCAAGAAUUACCACAUCCGCCACGCAAAAGGAAGUUAGAGGAUUUUUAGGGAGAUUAAAUUACAUCGCCCGAUUUAUCGCUCAACUUACCAACCAAUGCGACCCAAUCUUUCGGCUUCUUCGAAAACAUAGCCCGGGAGAAUGGAACGAGGAAUGCCAAGUGACCUUUGAUAAGAUAAAACAAUAUUUGUCCAGUCCUCCAGUGCUAGUACCGCCAACUCCGGGAAGACCAUUAAUUUUGUAUCUGACAGUGUUCGAAAGUUCAAUGGGUUACGUACUGGGACAACAUGACGAGUCAGGAAAGAAAGAAAAGGCGAUCUACUACCUCAGCAAAAAGUUCACUGAAUAUGAGGCAAAAUAUUCGUCCGUUGAGAAAUAUUGUUGCGCUCUGGUUUGGGUAGCUCGGAGACUCAAACAAUAUAUGUUGUAUCACACGACAUGGCUAAUUUCAAAGCUGGACCCAAUAAAAUACAUGAUGGAAUCGCCGGCACUAUCAGGAAGAAUGGCACGAUGGUAGCUCCUCCUUUCGAAAUAUGACAUUGCCUAUGUAAGUCAGAAGUCAAUAAAAGGGAGCGCAAUAGCUGACUUCUUAACAACUCGAACGACAGAGGAAUAUGAGCCUUUAAGAUUCGAUUUCCCAGACGAAGACUUAAUGUGCAUCACAGAAAUAGAAUCCGAGUCAUCAAAAGAGAAGUCAUGGAAGAUGUUCUUUGAUGGUGCGUCAAAUGCUUUAGGGCAUGGAAUUGGAGCAAUCCUGGUAUCACCAGACGGGAAUCAUUAUCCGUUCACUGCAAGACUGAACUUCUUCUGUACCAAUAAUAUCGCAGAAUAUGAGGCCUGUAUCAUGGGGUUUCGUGCAGCUAUCGAACGAAACAUCGAGAUCUUAGAGGUGUACGGGGACUCAGCCCUAGUGAUUUACCAAAUCCGUGGAGAAUGGGAAGUGAGGGACUCAAAAUUGAUUAAGUACAGCGAUUUAGUGGCUGGAUUGAUCAAGGAAUUCAAAGAAAUAACUUUUCAUUACUUCCCACGAGAAGAGAACCAACUGGCUGAUGCCCUAGCCACUUUGGCUUCAAUGUUCAAAGCAAGUAGAGAAGCAGAAAUAAUGCCCCUCAAAAUGAGCAUAUACGAGGUCCCUGCACACUGUUGUAGCAUUAAGAAAGAAGUAGACGGACGGCCUUGGUUUCAUGAUAUCUUAGAAUAUAUCAAGAAUCAAAGGUAUCCCGAACAAGUAAAUGAGAACGAUAAAAGAACAAUUAGAAGAAUGGCAGCGGGAUUUGUUCUUGAUGGGGAUAUCCUGUAUAAAAGAGGAAAGGAUCAGAUGCUUUUGAGAUGUGUGGAUGAUGUUGAAGCCAGAAAAAUACUUGAAGAGGUCCAUGAGGGAGUUUGCGGAACGCAUGCCAAUGGUUUCAAUAUGGCCAGAAAGAUCAUGAGACUCGGUUAUUAUUGGCUGACAAUGGAAAGUGACUGCAUCAAUUUUGCCAGAAAAUGCCACAAAUGUCAAAUCUACGGCGAUAAAAUUCAUGUAGCCCCUUCACCCCUUCAUGUCAUGACUUCUCCGUGGCCUUUUUCUAUGUGGGGCAUGGAUGUCAUAGGGCCAAUUUCUCCAAAAGCUUCAAAUGGACAUCGAUUCAUUUUUGUGGUUAUCGAUUACUUCACAAAAUGGAUUGAAGCCGCUUCAUUUGCCAAUGUGACGAAGACUGCAGUGUGCAAGUUUUUGAAAAAGGAAAUCAUUUACCGAUAUGGUUUGCCUGAAAGAAUCAUCUCAGAUAAUGCCACGAAUCUGAACAAUAAGAUGAUGAAAGAAGUGUGUGAGCAGUUUCAAAUAAAGCAUCAUAAUUCCUCGCCCUAUCGCCCAAAGAUGAACGGGGCUGUUGAAGCAGCUAACAAGAACAUUAAGAGGAUCAUUGGGAAAAUGACUGAGACAUAUAAAGAUUGGCACGAGAAACUUCCAUUUGCUUUGUUUGCAUAUCGUACAUCUGUGCGAACAUCUACGGGAGCAACUCCUUUCUCUCUAGUCUAUGGAAUGGAAGCUGUGCUACCUAUCGAGGUUGAGAUCCCCUCUCUGUGAGUAUUGAUGGAAUCAAAGUUAGAAGAAGCAGAAUGGGUUCGAGCUCGAUAUGAUCAGUUGAACCUCAUUGAAGAAAAACGUCUAAGGGCAAUUUGUCAUGGGCAAAUGUACCAAAAGAGAAUGAUCGCAGCCCAUGACAAGAAGGUACGACAAAGAGAGUUCCAUGAAGGAGAACUCGUUCUGAGAAAGAUUCUCCCAAUACAAAAAGACCUGCGAGGAAAAUGGGCACCAAAUUGGGAAGGACCAUACGUUGUAAAAAAGGCAUUCUCGGGAGGAGCUUUAAUCCUUACCAAGAUGGAUGGGAAGGAGUUACCGAAUCUGGUGAAUUCGGAUGCGGUGAAGAAAUAUUAUGCUUAAGAUGAAAACCCGAAAAGGGCAUCUUAAAAAAAAAGGGUGAAAACCCGAAAAAGGUGUCUUGAUUAGUACAAAAAGAUUAGGAUGAAAACCCGAGAGGGCGUCCUAAUGAAACAAACCUGGCGGUCAAACGAUAGGUCAAGUAGUGAGACUACAGUAUUUGAAGCACUUCUGAAAGCUCGAAAUUUUCUACGCAAGAAGCCAUGCUCGAAAAGAUAAUUGAUUGAGGAACGUAGAAGAGUUCAUGUGUUGAAUAUCUAGAGCAUUAGUAUCCGUUGAAUACGACCUUUUCUUUCUUUUUGACAUUUUUACUCUCAUUGGUUAACUUUCUUUGUUUGCCACACUUGAAAUAAAGGAAUAUGAGAUAUCCUUUGUGUCCCUACCUGACCAUUUUCAUGCAUCUCAUUAUGUGUUUAUUUAAUGAUAAAUAGUGAAAUGACAUACUCUAAACAAAAGAAAUGUCAAGCAUUACCCGGAUAAGAAUUUGAUAAGUGCAAGAUCUUCAAAGCAAGAACAAAGUUUAACCAAGGGCAAAAGGGUGAUAUCUGAGAAACGUCGAUUACUCGUAAAGCUCGAAGACAGGUAUGAGGCCUGAAGAGAAGGUCGAGAAUCAAAGCAAUGAACGCAGAUCCUCAAAAAUCAUGGCAAAAAUGACAUACGACCAAUAUGCUUAAGGAGCACUGCAUAAUCAUGUAGGCAUAAAGGCAUUUAAGACAAACAUGUGCAUAUCAUGAUGACUUCAUGCAUGGCAUAUACAGGUAAUCCAGUAAAGCAAGAAAUCUUGAAUCGCACAGAAUCAAAGGAAAAGAUACCCGAGUUCUACCAAAGGACUGGUUUUGGUAUUUUGAUGUUUAAUAUUCAUGCUUUCCAAGGAAAAUCAACUCAUAUUGCGAGAAAUGAGUUGAGCCUCAAGACACGUUGAGCUAUUUUUAAUUUUUUUAAAAAUCAACUCAUAUUGCGAGAAGUGAGUUGAGCCUCGGGGCACGCCGAGGUAUUUUUAGUUUAUGUUUUAAAUUGACUCAUAUUGCGAGAGGUGAGUUAAGCCUUUUAAUUUUUGUUUCUCAAAAUUCAACUCAUAUUGCGAGAAAUGAGUUGAGCCUCAAGACACGUUGAGGUAAUUUCAAUUUUUGUUUUCAAAAUUCAACUCAUAUUGCGAGAAAUGAGUUGAGCCUCAAGACACGUUGAGGUAAUUUCAAUUUUUGUUUUCAAAAUUCAACUCAUAUUGCGAGAAAUGAGUUGAGCCUCAAGACACAUUGAGGUAUUUUCAAUUUUUGCUUUUCAAAAUUCAACUCAUAUUGCGAGAAAUGAGUUGAGCCUUAAGACACGUUGAGGUAAUUUCAAUUUUUGUUUUCAAAAUUCAACUCAUAUUGCGAGAAAUGAGUUGAGCCUCAAGACACGUUGAGGUAAUUUCAAUUUUUGUUUUCAAAAUUCAACUCAUAUUCCGAGAAAUGAGUUGAGCCUCAAGACACGUUGAGGUAAUUUCAAUUUUUGUUUUCAAAAUUCAACUCAUAUUGCGAGAAAUGAGUUGAGCCUCAAGACACAUUGAGGUAUUUUCAAUUUUUGCUUUUCAAAAUUCAACUCAUAUUGCGAGAAAUGAGUUGAGCCUCAAGACACGUUAAGGUAAUUUCAAUUUCUGUUUUUAAAAUUCAACUCAUAUUGCGAGAAAUGAGUUGAGCCUCAAGACACGUUGAGGUAAUUUUCAAUUUCUGCUUCUCAAAAUUCAACUCAUAUUGCGAGAAAUGAGUUGAGCCUCAAGACACGUUGAGGUAAUUUCAAUUUUUGUUUUCAAAAUUCAACUCAUAUUGCGAGAAAUGAGUUGAGCCUCAAGACACGUUGAGGUAAUUUCAAUUUUUGUUUUCAAAAUUCAACUCAUAUUGCGAGAAAUGAGUUGAGCCUCAAGACACGUUGAGGUAAUUUCAAUUUUUGUUUUCAAAAUUCAACUCAUAUUGCGAGAAAUGAGUUGAGCCUCAAGACACAUUGAGGUAUUUCCAAUUUUUGCUUUUCAAAAUUCAACUCAUAUUGCGAGAAAUGAGUUGAGCCUCAAGACACGUUGAGGUAAUUUCAAUUUCUGUUUUCAAAAUUCAACUCAUAUUGCGAGAAAUGAGUUGAGCCUCAAGACACGUUGAGGUAUUUUCAAUUUCUGCUUCUCAAAAUUCAAUUCAUAUUGCGAGAAAUGAGUUGAGCUUCAAGACACGCUGAGGUAAUUUCAAUUUCUGUUGUUAAAAAAAAAUCAACUCAUAUUGCGAGAAAUUAGUUGAGCCUCAGGACAUGCUGAGGUAAUUUCAAUUUCUGUUUUCAAAAUUCAACUCAUAUUGCGAGAAAUGAGUUGAGCCUCAAGACACGUUGAGGUAUUUUCAAUUUCUGCUUUUCAAAAUUCAACUCAUAUUGUGAGAAAUGAGUUGAGCCUCAAGACACGUUGAGGUAUUUUCAAUUUCUGUUUUUCAAAAAUCAACUCAUAUUGCGAGAGGUGAGUUGAGACUUUUAAUUUCUAUUUUUCUAAAACCAACUCAUAUUGCGAGAGGUGAGUUGAGCCUUUUUCUGUUUUUCAAAAAUCAACUCAUAUUGCGAGAGGUGAGUUGAGCCUUUUAAUUUCUGAUUUUCAAAAAUCAACUCAUAUUGCGAGAGGUGAGUUGAGCCUUUUAAUUUCUGUUUUUCAAAAAUUAACUCAUAUUGCGAGAGGUGAGUUGAGCCUUUUAAUUUCUAUUUUUCAAAAACCAACUCAUAUUGCGAGAGGUGAGUUGAGCCUUUUUCUAUUUUUCAAAAAUCAACUCAUAUUGCGAGAGGUAAGUUGUGCCUUUUGCAAAUUCUGUUUUCAAAAAUCAACUCAUAUUGCGAGAAGUGAGUUGAGCCUUGGCUCACGUGCUGAGCUAUUUUCAAUUUCUAUUUUUAAUGUCUAGUUUUAANNNNNNNNNNNNNNNNNNNNNNNNNNNNNNNNNNNNNNNNNNNNNNNNNNNNNNNNNNNNNNNNNNNNNNNNNNNNNNNNNNNNNNNNNNNNNNNNNNNNNNNNNNNNNNNNNNNNNNNNNNNNNNNNNNNNNNNNNNNNNNNNNNNNNNNNNNNNNNNNNNNNNNNNNNNNNNNNNNNNNNNNNNNNNNNNNNNNNNNNNNNNNNNNNNNNNNNNNNNNNNNNNNNNNNNNNNNNNNNNNNNNNNNNNNNNNNNNNNNNNNNNNNNNNNNNNNNNNNNNNNNNNNNNNNNNNNNNNNNNNNNNNNNNNNNNNNNNNNNNNNNNNNNNNNNNNNNNNNNNNNNNNNNNNNNNNNNNNNNNNNNNNNNNNNNNNNNNNNNNNNNNNNNNNNNNNNNNNNNNNNNNNNNNNNNNNNNNNNNNNNNNNNNNNNNNNNNNNNNNNNNNNNNNNNNNNNNNNNNNNNNNNNNNNNNNNNNNNNNNNNNNNNNNNNNNNNNNNNNNUAGAUAAUGUGAAUGUAUUUAGAGGUGCUUAUAUAGUAUUCAAAACUAUCAUAUAAAUUCAAUUUUCAACCAUAUAUAAUUGACAUUAUGGGAGUUGGAAAAUGAUAGGGGGCACUAUAGCAAAUGUUAUAGUUGUAUAAAAUUAGGACUUUGUGAUGGAAUAGUUUAGGGCAUAUUGUUUGAAUAUUCCAUAAACAUUAAAAAAAAAACCAAAUUUGUAAUGGAAUAUAAGAUUGGGUUUUCUUUUAUUAUCAAUUUAAAGCCAUGAGAAUCUUUAUUAUUUAAAAAUUAAUGUAAUUGUUAAAUUGAAAUUGCAGGGGAAUUUCAAAUAGGAGAAAAUAUAAAAGAAAUGGAUCCAAAAACAGUGGGAAGUAGUGUUGUAAAAUAUGGGAGGUGGAGAUUUGGAAUGACAAAGAAAGCAAUGGGGCAUUCAUUAGUUUAUAGCCAACUUUAUCCAUUUAAAGGCCUCCAAAAUUAUACCUCUGGAAUUAUUCACCAUGUUCGCCUCACUGGUAUUUCUCACCAUUUCUUCCCUUAUUUAUCUUCUGCAAAUUUGUUUUCUUACCAUUUCUUUCGCAUUAAUACUAACUUUUUUAAUUUACAAUAUGGUAGCCAAUACUGUUUCGGUAUUAGUAAUAUUAGUCGAUACAUAUCACUUUUAAGGGUGAGUUUAAAGGGAUAGGAACAAUUCCGUGUGUUGACUUAAUAGUCAGGGUGUUCACCGUUCUAGGUAUGGUUUGAGUUCAAGUUAAGUUGUGCUAGUCACGUUACUGUUAGGGUUUUGCCCUUCUCUUGUAAUUCAGCAAAAAGAAAUUAAUAUAUGGUGAAAUUGCACUUUAACUCCUCCAAAAAUGAAAAUAUUUAUAUUUAAUUCCUUCAACAAUAAUGAAAUCGUAAGUUAAUGCAAGAUAAAUGACACUUUAACUUAACAAUCUCCGCUCCCCUUAAAAAAAAAAUCCUAACUUCACCCUUAAUCAUCUUGAUUUUAGAUUGGUACCAAGUAGAUUAAAUUUUGUUCUUAUUAAAACAUUGGUGUGUUUCCUUCUGUUUCAGCUAAUACCAACUUAUACCGAUAUGUACCAAACAAUAUUGGUAGGACUGAGAAAGAAAUCAAAAAAUUGAACUAAUUUUUAUUUAUAAUUUUAUUUAUAAUUUAAAAAUAAAAAUAUAUUUAAACAGUGACAAUAACUCAAAUUUUAUAUAAAAACUAUUUAAAAAUAUUAUCAUAUAAGAGUUAUUAAUUUAUUUGAAAAUUAGUUUCUUUUAAAAAUAUUUAUGAAUAUUUUUAAAAAUUUUACAAAAUAAUAUCCAAAAUUCAUAGAAUAAUUUAUCAAGAUAAGUUCAAACACCCAAAAUUAAUAGAUCUUGAACCAAAUAAAUCCAACUAAAAUAAACCCAAAAUUAAUAGACCGAGAAUCAAAUUAUCAUAGAAGAUAUACCAUACACACUAAUACCCAUAAUUACCCAAUAAUUCUUCUCACACUUUGCAGGUUUAAAACCCAACACCUUCUAUUACUAUCAAUGUGGAGACCCUUCAAUCCCAGCAAUGAGCGAUGUUCAUUAUUCACCAUGUUCGCCUCACUGGUAUUUCUCACCAUUUCUUCUCUUAUUUAUCUUCUGCUAAUUUGUUUUCUUACCAUUUCUUUCGCAUUAAUACUAACUUUUUUAAUUUACAAUAUGCUAGUCAAUACUGUUUCGGUAUUAGUAAUAUUAGUCGAUACAUAUCACUUUUAAGGGUGAAUUUAAAGGGAUAGGAAUAAUUUCGUGCGUUGGCUUGAUAGUUAGGGUGUUCACCGUCCUAGGUGUGGUUUGAGUUCAAGUUGUGCUAUUGUAAUUCACCAAAAAGAAGUUAAUAUAUAGUGAAAUUGCACUUUAACUCCUCCAAAAAUGAAAAUAUGUAUAUUUAGUUUUCUUCAACAAUAAUGAAAUCGUAAGUUAAUGCAAGAUAAAGGACACUUUAACUUAACAAGCUACGCUCCCCUUAAAAAAAAUCCUAACUUCACCCUUAACCAUCUUGAUUUUAGAUUGGUACCAAGUAGAUUAAGUUUUGUUCUUAUUAAAACAUCAGUGUGUUUCCUUCUGUUUCAACUAAUACCAAUUUAUACUGAUAUGUACCGAAUAAUAUUGGUAGGACUGAGAAAGAAAUCAAGAAAUUGAACUAAUUUUUAUUUAUAAUUUUAUUUGUAAUUUAAAAAUAAAAAUAUAUUUAAAUAGUGACAAUAACUCAAAUUUUAUAUAAAAAUUAUUUCAAAAUAUUAUCAUAUAAGAGUUAUUAAUUUAUUUGAAAAUUAGUUUCUUUUAAAAAUAUUUAUGAAUAUUUUUAAAAACUUUACAAAAUAAUAUCCAAAAUUCGUAAAAUAAUUUAUCAAGAUAAGUUCAAAAACCCAAAAUUAAUAGAUCUUGAACCAAAUAAAUCCAACUAAAAUAAACCCAAAAUUAAUAGACCGAGAAUCAAAUUAUCAUAGAAGAUAUUUACCAAACACACUAAUACCCAUAAUUACCCAAUAAUUCUUCUCACACUUUGCAGGUUUAAAACCCAACACCUUCUAUUACUAUCAAUGUGGAGACCCUUCAAUCCCAGCAAUGAGCGAUGUUCAUUAUUUCCGAACAAUGCCGGCCUCCGGUCCAAGGAGUUAUCCGGGAAGAAUUGCAAUCAUCGGAGACUUGGGGCUCACGUAUAACACAACUUCAACAAUUGAUCACCUUAUGAGCAAUCACCCGAACCUGGUGCUGUUAAUCGGCGAUGCAAGCUAUGCCAACUUGUAUCUCACCAAUGGCACCGGUGCCGAUUGCUACUCUUGCGCUUUCUCCGACACUCCUAUUCACGAAACGUAUCAGCCUCGUUGGGAUUAUUGGGGAAGGUAAAUUUUAACGAUGUUUCAUGGAUUUAAAUAGCGGUCACAACAUGACAUUACGAUAGUAUUUGUUAUAAAUGUGCAGGUUUAUGCAGCCUUUGGUGUCCAAGGUUCCCUUGAUGAUGAUAGAAGGGAACCAUGAAAAAGAAGAACAGAUUGAGAAGAAGACAUUUGCGGCUUAUAGUGCUCGAUUUGCAUUUCCAUCGGAGGAGAGCGGAUCAUCGUCGACAUUCUAUUAUUCUUUUAAUGCAGGUGGCAUUCAUUUCGUGAUGCUCGGUGGUUACACCGACUAUAACAAAUCAGGGGAUCAAUACCAGUGGUUGAAGAAGGACCUUGCAAAAGUUGAUAGAAAAGUGACUCCAUGGUUGGUUGCAACAUGGCAUCCUCCAUGGUACAGUACAUAUACUGCACAUUAUAGAGAAGCUGAAUGUAUGAGGGUAGAAAUGGAAGAUUUAUUAUACAAAUACGGAGUUGAUAUAGUCUUCAAUGGACAUGUAAGUCGUGCUUUAUAAUGAAUUAAUUCAAUUACAUUCACUCGAAGAGCUGAUGGUCGUGUUCAUUUGGUGAUAAUCAAUAGGUUCAUGCCUACGAGAGGUCGAACCGAGUGUAUAACUACAACUUGGAUCCUUGCGGUCCUGUUCAUAUUACGAUUGGUGAUGGUGGCAACCGAGAGAAAAUGGCAAUUACACAUGCUGAUGAACCCGGAAAUUGCCCCAAACCAUCGACAACUCUGGAUAAAUUUAUGGGUGGGUUCUGUGCAUUUAACUUCACAUCAGGGCCGGCAAGUGGUAAAUUCUGCUGGGAUAGGCAGCCUGAUUAUAGUGCAUAUAGAGAAAGCAGCUUUGGACAUGGAAUCCUUGAGGUAUAUUAUGCAGAUAUUUCAUUAAGAUUAAUUUCUAUGGACCGUAAAAAGGACACAAAGGGUACUUUAAUUAUACAAAAAAAACAUUAACAGCAAGUGUUUUGCAGGUGAAAAAUGAGACUCAUGCACUGUGGACAUGGUACGGUAAUCAAGAUGCUUAUGGGACUACUGGUGAUGUGGUUUAUAUAGUUAGGCAACCUGAUAGAUGCCCUGUUGAACCCGACGUAAUUAAUUAAGAGUAAACUCCAAAGCUUAAUUAAGUUGAUUCAUCUGCAGUCACCAUUAAAAAGUGAUGCCAAGAAAGUUUAGGUUUGAAUCUCGGCAUCUGUCCUCAGACUAUGAUUUCUUUUGUACCAGUAAAUAUCUUUCAAAGCUAUAAAUACAUAUUAAACAUCAAAAUCAGACAGCUGAUAAAUCACAAAGGGAUUAUGUACGUAUGUAUGCAUGCAUGUAUGUUGGCUUCUAAAGAUUGAAAAGUAAAUAAUUAAGGAUUCAAAAGGAACAUUAUUGUGAUAUGAUUUGCAGGUUCGUAAUUUUAAUUAAAUGAAAUAAGUUUGAUGUAACUAUGCAAGUAGUACUUAGAAUCCUAAAAGUUUGAAAUAAAUAUUUGUAACUUUGUUGAAUGUUUUCAUGAGAGUUCCUUUCUCAUGGAGGUCAAUUUCUUUGUUAUAAGAUACGGUCCCAUGGUUUGACAUACUAAGAUUAAAUAGGCUCUUAUGUAGGCUAACACGUAUCCUACUUUAGGGUCAACACGUGUCUCUUGAGUAUGGGUUUGCCUGCAUGGUGGUGUGAACCCAUUAGGUGCGGACUUAUACAGACGAACUAUAUGGUUUGGUUAACUAUAUCCGAAAUAAAAGGGGUCAGAUCGGUCUUAAUCAGAAAACAAAUAAUUUAUGGCGGACACUACAACAAACUUAAUAAUCACAUUUGUUAAUAACAAAUAAUUAAUUUGUUUUGAUAACGUAAUUACAAGACAUAAUUUGAAAAUAAUAUAUGCUUGCUUAGAUACCAUUAUUCUCAGUACUCCAAGUAACAUAAAUAUUGAAAUGAAUUUGUGAGAGAGCUAAGAUGGUUGUAUUCUAAUAGAGAGAUUUCUAUUGCUGGUAAAGAAGACUUUAGCUCCACUAUCGUGCGGCCGUGACAUUAGCUUAAGCUCCUCAUUAAGCUAAUUAAAUGUGAUCUCUAGAUUAACCAACAAUGUCUUCAUAAAGUAGACAACUAAAUGAUCGAUACCACCAGCAUCCUUCCAUAAAUAGCUGCGAAAUAGGGCUUCAACUUCUAACAAAAACGCCUCUUCCUAUCAUUGGGGUCAUGCAUCAAGGUUUAAAAAGUUCCAUAUUGGAUGCAAAAUAAAUGAUAGAACAAGUAAGAGCAGGAUAGACAUUGAGCUUGUGUUGAGUGUACUAUCAAAUGAAGCUCUAGAGAGAAAUGGAGGGCUGAAUCCAGGGUAAUUGAGCCCCGGACCGCCACCUCCGCCAUUGAUCGGUGUGGUUGUCGUAGUUGGCACAUUCGGAUUGUUCCACGACCCUGUUUUUGGCAUAGCUGUCCCUCCGGAUGUGCUGGAAAUUUCAUAACUUAAGCUUUUAAAAUCAAUAAAAUAACAGUGACAAAAACUACAAAUAAUGAUGGAAUCCAAUUUGGUUGGUAAUUUUCAAAAAAUAGGCGAAAGGAGCUAUUAUUAGCUUUUGCUGGAACCCAAUAGAGGUGCUCAUGGGCCGGGCCGGGCCGGGCCCAGAAAAAAUUUCGGCCAGUGUCCUAGACCCUGGCCUGGCCGAGGCUGAAAUAUGAGCCUAAAAUUUUAUCUAGGCCAGGCCUGAAAAAAAAUUCAUAAGCCCGAGCCCAGCCCGGCCCAUUUUUUAAAUAAACACCAAAAAAAAUUUAAAAAUAAAAAAAUUUAUUUUAAAAAUAUUUUAAAAAAUAAAAAUAAAAAAUAUUUUAAAAAUAAAAAAAUAAAUAGAUUUAUUAUAUUUGGGUCGGGUCGGGCCGGGCCAAAAAAUGUUAUGUGAGGCCCGGUCCAUUUUUUAAAUGGGCCUUUUUUUUUGUCUAAUGUCAUAUUUCGGGCCUAUUUUUUACUUAAACCCUCCCAUAUUUUGGGCAGGCCAUUGGGCCGAGCCGGGCCGCCCGGCCCAUGAAGACCUCUAGAACCCAGCAAUGCGCCCAUGGAUAGAGAUGACAACAAGGUGAGACGGGACGAGUUUUUGCUCGCCUCAAUUUCGACUCGAUUUUUAUAUCCUCUACUUCGAUUUAUUCUGAGCUCGAUUUUAUUUAAAAAUGUAAAAAUAAUUAUAAAAUUAAAAAAAAAGUGUUUUAGUAAGUAAAUCAAGGCAGACAAAUCGAAUUUUCAUCUAAAUCUAAACUCGAAUUGAUCUUGAACUACCCAUGUAUGACUCCAGUAUCCAAAUAUCUAGAGUGUUUUUUGACCGUUGGAUGUCUUUCAAGAAAAGAGUACCCAUCCAACGGUUGAAAAAGUCUCACCUAAACAAGACGGUAGGAAAACAUUACAAGUAAAGAAGUGGCCAACAGACAUAAAUAAGCCUGGAAACGUAAAAGGUGUAAACCUUCACAAAGUGACGACUGCAUGUAGGAUACGAAAAUGGACGGUUAGAGAUCAUGCCGAGAAACACGUGUCAGACAUCUACUCAAUUACAGCAUCACCAUGAAAGGCUCACACCCACUUGAGAAUCAAAGGAUUAUGCAAAGUUGAUUCAUGUUAGUUAAUUAGGAUUUAAACAAUAUCUUAUUUUGCGCCUUUUUGUUUUUCUGUCUUUGAUCCUCUUACAAGCCACAAGGGUUUCAAUAAUAAAUUACACCCAACUUCAAAAAGUUAUUAAAUGAGCAAUAAAUUAUUCAAAUUUUUUUAUUUAAGUCACUAAACUAUUUAAAAGUUUUUAUUUAAUUUACUGGGCUGUUAAAUUUUUUUUUUAAAAAGGAGGUUCAGCUAGUGAACUCCAAGCAACAAUUUAACAAUCGGUAUGGUGGAUAAAUACCCGCUGACGAGUAGAUCCAAGUUGAUCUAACGGUUAGUGUCGGAGAUCGGAGAAUGAAGAGAAAAACUGUUUGGAUUUUAGUUUAUAGAUUUGUGACGUUAAAAGUUAUUUCAUAAAAAAAAAUUAAACUGUAAAAGAGAAGGGAAAUUAAAGCUUUUGAGUGUUGCAAGCAAUGCAGACAAAGAAAGCCGUACAACAGUAAUUUUAACAACCCGAUGACUUAAAUGAAAAUUUUCGAGUAGUUCAAUGAAAGAAAAUACAAAAAAUUCUCUCUGCUGCGUUGUUUUCGUCUUCUUUGCAGGUAAGGAGGCUAGCUGGCGUAAGGAGGUGGUGGAUGUGGCACAGCACACGCGGGGAAGGCCUUGGUGGCUGCGGCGCCGGAAGGAGGGCUGUUGCAGCUAGGGUUUUCUGAUUUUUUUUUUGUUUUGGGCUAGGGUUGUGUUGAUAGUUGUAUUGGGCUAGGUUUUUGGGCUGGGUGUAGUUGGACUAGAUGCAUCUGACUUUGGGUUUGUACCGGGUCACUGUAAAUGGGUUUGGUUUUUAUUGUUAUUGGGCUGUGAACUAUUUGAGUUUUAAUUAAUUUUUAUUUAUUUGGUUUUUUAUUGUGGGCUGGGCAAAUUGGGUAUUACAAUCAGCUAAUUAGGAAAGACUGUGAUGAUAGUCACACCUUACAUCCAAAAGCAAAGCUUUUUACAUGUGUAUGUGAGGUUGCUAAGCAAAUCUGAUGAGCCUUCACUGAUGUUUUAAGGUUAAGUUAAUGUUCCUUUUCGGCAAAGAACAUUAUCGAGAUCACGGUAUUUUGAUCGCCUUUUGCUUGUUAUGUUAUUUGUUCUGAAACGAUUGCAUAAUCUUUACUGUGAUUGCAGGAUAUAGAGCAACUUCUGAAUUUCAUUGGUGUAAAGAGUUGAGGACCACGACAUGUUCUUGCAAAUUUGAAGGAGCUUCUAAGGUCUGUCCGGUCUUCAGAAUAUAUAGAUACCUGAAUUAAUUUUGAUUUUGUAGGAUCAACUAUAAUUAGCUACUUAUUACACUAUGAAUAGACAACCUCACCUUCUUCACACACUACACGUGCGGAUUUUUUACCAAUCCCAUUUCAAAGGAUCACACUUUUUUGUUGUUUACAGAAUCAUAAUUAAUGUUAAUUAAAGUGGAAUAUUUCAGAUUUCUGAUGAUGAGCAUAUUCUUGAGUAUUGCAGUAAAAAAAUGGGUGUGGAACUUAUUUGAACUUUGAAUGUAUGUUCUGUUGGUGAGAAUAUAAAGUUGAUAAAGAUUUGGUAAAUAGAAUAAAAUAUUAUUUUUAUUAGAAAAAUUAUUUGGUAGACUGCCAAUCGAGUUAUAAUUAUCAUGACGUAAAACAUGUCAUAUUACAAAUAAUAAAAUUAUAAUGACUCAAAUAUACGAACAUGUCAAAAUUUACGUAAAACGAAUUAUUAACAUGUCAAUGUAUAAUACGGUACGCAAAAAUAGGAUAAUUGCUUGUUUUUUAAAUUGAAUUGUUAUAACAUAUUAUACAAAAUACAUUGUGAAUUAAAGCAUAAUAUGAACAUGAUAUCAAAAUAUUAAAUAUUUUUUAAAAUUUGAUGAUACGAAUAAUUAUGUAAAAUAUAACAUGAUACAAAAUAACUUGAGAGGAAAAGAGGAAUAAAGAAUUGCAUUGUUUGUGAGGUUUUAAAAUAUUCCAGUUUUAGAUUCAAUUUUCUAGUAUGUUUGGUUUAAUUUUACAUUAGAUUUCCUUUUUAGUAUGCACUAGUGAACGCUUGGCAGUUAAUUUAAUUUAAUUUAAUUUAAAGAGAUAUUGCAUAUACAUAAUAAUGGAUUAUGAUUUUACAUUAAACUUCAUAGAAGAAAAAAGAAAUAGACGGUUGAAAAUGAUAAAACCAUAAGAUAAAAGAGCUUUUAUUUAAAAUGCAAAAAUCAACAAAAUAUGCAUUAUCGCUCAACUUAGCAUAAUUAAACAUUUAGGUGUGGAAAUCAAAUCACAAUUUGAGUAGCUAAACAUAUCGCUUGAAAAUGUGAUAAGUAAGAAAAUUGCCCACAUUUGAGUAGCGACAGGUGGUAAUGCAUUUCCCAACAAGAGAAAACCAAGCUCUUCGCCAGUAUGGAUUUAUGUAGAGGACAACAAAAAUUGUUAACAACACAACUACAUAAGAAACCAAAAAGCUCACACAAAAAUCAUAACUAUCUAUCAAACCAUCUUCUCCUUUAUCUUCUGAUACAGUUGAUAUUGUUGAUGGUGAAUCGGUUUUGGAACAACUUUUAUGCAGUAUAGGUCCACAAAGAAAAGGGUUUCCUUCAUAACUGUUUUCAAUAAAGGUCUCAAAUUGAGCUUUUGGUUCGGGAAUACUACCUGACAAGUUGUUAAAUGCCACGCUGAAAACCUCCAAAGAGUUUAACUCUACCAAUUGAUUGGGGAUUUCACCACUUAAGUUGUUGUAAGAAAGGUCCAAACUCUCAAUUUGAUGUAGUUUUGAGAGUGACGAGGGUAUAACUCCGGUCAACUUAUUGUGUGAAAGGUUUAAAGAAUGGAUUUCACUCAAGUUCCCUAAUUCUGGUGGGAUAUGACCAGUUAAGUUGUUGCAAGAUAAAUCAAUCCCAGUCAUAUAUGAAAGGAUGUCGCCCUUGUAUGAAUAGAACCCACUCUUUGUUGUGAACUCUAUUACUUCUUCUAAGUAGCUACUAGGAUAGUAAGAAUCCAUUCCCAAAUUUAGUAUCAUACUGCGUGUUGUUUCAUCCUCUUCUAUAGAUGGCCCAUAGAACCAAGUUUCUAGAAUCUUCUUCGUUUGCAUUGGAAGAGAUAAAUUUCCCAAACAAGAAGGUAUAGGACCAGAAAACAUAUUUUGAGAAAGAUCUAUGAUGCUUAAAGAAUGCAACUUGCAUAACUCAAUAGGAACUUUACCAUGAAAAUGAUUAUCUUUCAAGAGAAGAACACUCAAAGAAGAAAGCGUGUAAAUCCAUUUUGGAAUACUACCUGUCAAAUUGUUUCCUCUAAGAUCUAAAGUCACUAUUGAAGAGCUAUUAUAAAAAGCAAGUGAUAGUGGGCCUCUCAGUCUAUUCCCGUGGAGGUGGACAUGCUCUAUGUAUGGUGGAUUAAAACAUGACGGUAUAGAGCCAGAUAAAUUAUUUUGAGAAAGAUCCAAAAAUUCCAACCUAUUCAACUUGCAAAAUUCCAUUGGAAUGGAACCUUCAAAACCAUUGUUGGACAUAGCUAAUCUCUGCAAAAACGAUGCAUUCCCUAUCCAUCUUGGGAGCUUUCCAUGCAACUUGUUGUUACUGAGAUCAAUUUCGCUUAGUGAAUUUGGAAACUCAAAAGUAGACACAUCAACAUUUGUCAUCUCUCCUGAAAAAUUAUUUCCAUCCAAAUAUAAAUGCUGCACCCCAUUUGCGCUGAGAAUCACAGGAACUACAUUUCCACUGAGGUUGUUAUUUGAUAGUCUCAAAAUGGUCAGUGAGCCUUUCGUGAUCAACUCUUCUGGUACUUUUCCAUACAAAUGAUUGUCUAAUAGAUCUAAAAAUGAUAAGUCCUUCAUGCCACUUAAACAAAGUGGGAUAUUAUCUUCAAAAGCAUUCUUGGAUAAGAAUAACCGACUCAAAUGUGGAAAAGUUGAACAUAUACCAGUUGGAAUUUGACCUUGUAAUUUGUUUUCAGAUAUGUCAAUUGAAGAUACAUCAGAAAUAAGAGCCGACGAAAGUGAGAGAGGACCUGUAAAUGAAUUACCCUUCAAGAUGAGAUCUUCUAACUUUGUGUUGUUUUCUAGCAACCAAGUUGGUACAGUUCCACUGAGAUUGUUAUGAGAAAGAUCCACAUAUCUCAAGUCAUAUUGGUAGUAAAGGAAGGUAGGAAAUUUACGAUUGAGUUGUUGAGAUGCUAUGCACUUUGGCAAUCUGAUGACUUCCAAUUGGAACUUUGGGAUUGAGGUAUAAAAGGAAGAUUCCAUUACCAUCUUGUUUUCAUUAAUCGAAAGGGCUUUGAGGUUUGAAAGGUUUGCAAAUGGUGCAAAUGACAGCGGAAUUUGAAAAUGGUUUCUUGAAACAUCUAACACACGAAGAGAUGUCAAGUUACUAAAACAACGAGGAAGCAUCCCCUCAAGUGCAUUGUUGCUCACAUCCAAUACUUCAAGGUUCUUUAGAUCACACCAUCCUGAAAAAUUUAUAAAUUCAUGGAAGAAAUUUUAAUUAAAUUUGGUCCUAUUAAAUAGAAUAGGAGAUAUUAUAUUACAAAAGCUAGUAAAGAAAUCAAUUUGAGCCAUAAAAUUAUUUACCUUGAUUAGGUAAGGGACCAAUAAGUCCACAAUGAUAUAAAGACAAUGUUUUAAGAGAAGCGAAUACUCCAAUGCUUUGCAAAAUGUUGGUGUUGAGAGUAGAAUAGUCAAGAUAUAUUUCCUCCAAACUGCUCGACACAUUUGAAUCUAAGCAAUGUCAAGAGGUAUUAGAUAACGGUAUUAUAGAAAGCCUCUACUAAGUAGAAUGCUUUAUUUUCUGUGAAUGAAAUGAAGUAUAUAAAUAUAUAUAUAUAUUUUUUAUGAGUUAGAUUAUUCAUGAUUUAUCUGAGAUAAAUUUUGAUAGAGAGAAGAUGUUGAAACUUUAAUAUAACUCUUCAUCCAUUUUAUUAAUUAUACUAUUUUUUUUCUUUUUAGUAUUUUCUUAUAUUAUUUUUUAAUAUAAGUAAUUAACUGAUAUAGCUAAGUUGUAUAAUUUUCAAACUCCAAUCAACAACACUAUAAAUAAUAUUUAUAAAAUAAAACAUGUCUACACUAAAUGUAUGUUUAAAUUUCAUAAAAUUGAAGAUAUUUUUAAAUUAUUCAAAAUUCACAUGUCUACACUAUAAAUAAUAUUUAUAAAAUAAAACAUGUCUACACUAAAAUUAUUAUAUUACCUUUAAAGAUGCCAAUAGUAUAUAAAAAAAUCAAAUAGGUAUUUUACUCAACAAUAAAUAAAACUCAAAAGAAUUAUAAGUAAACUCAGCGGAUUAAAUGAAAAUUUUAAAGCAUUAAAUCUUGGCCCAAAAAUAGAGUUAAGUUAAAAUUCAAAAUUCAAAAUUAUUUUAUUAAUAUUGUUAAAAUUAUUUUAUUAAAUCCAUGUUCAUUACGUCAUUUUUUUAGUUACAUUACUACUAAGUUUUUUUUUUAUUUCAAAAUGUCACACCAACAAGCUAUUUUAAAAUUUUAACAAUUUUAACAAUUUAACUAGGAUUUUGAUUUUUUUUUAUAAAAAAAACAGGGAUUAAAUUCUUGAAAAUAAAAGUAUAAGAAUUAAAUUACAAAUUAGUAAAGAGUACAUAGACCUAUCAUAUUUUUUAAAACCAAAAAGUUAAAAACAUAUGCACUUUGAAAUUUAUAAAAAGAUUGCAAUGGAAGUUUAAGCACCUCUCAAUGUAUGUUUAAAUUUCACAAAAUUAAAGUUUUUUUUUAAAUUAUUCAAAAUUGACAUUUAUUUAUUUUUGCCAAAAAAUGCCAUUUAUUUAACGCUAAUAUGUAUUUUUAUGUUUUAUACUAUUAAAAAUAUAUGAAAUUAAAAUAUAGUUAUAUUACAUAUUUUCUCAUAAAUAUAUGUUUUUAUUUAUUUAUAAUAUCAUUUUUUAUUGUUAUAAUUAUUUUUUAUCUCAUAAAAAUUCAAUAAAUUAUUUUAAAAAAUAUAUUUAUACAAACAAAAUAAUUAUAAACAUUAAUAUUUUAAAAUGAUGAAAAUUUUAAAGAAUUUUAGUUUCAAACCAAAGUCCAAACACAUUAUAAUGGAUGAUUUAGAAAAUGUUUCACCAAACCCAUAUUUUACUUUCAAGUAUGAUAUGAUAUAACUUUAUUAAUAUUUAUGACAAUAACCGUUAUUAUAAUAUUUGACAUCAAAACUAAAUUUCUAAAUUAAAAAAAAAAAGGAAGUUUAAUUAAAUGAUACCUUGGUGGAUCACCAAAUCUUUCAAUUCAUUAUAGCUCAUAUCUAGUUUCCUUAAGUUGAUAAAUGCUUCCAAAUCUAGGAAAACAAAAACAACAAAUCAACUUCAUUAUAUUCUCUUAAAACAUUAUUAUAUUCUUGUUAAAAAACUAAUACUUUUACCUUUCAUAUCUAUUGAUCCUUUCAAUUCAUUGCCUCUUAUGCUCAAAGAUUUCAAAUUUGAAAGCUUGUUAAGGGAUGCAAAUACACUAGUAUUGAAGUGAUUUCCAUCUAAAUUAAGCUCUUCCAAGUGGGUCAAUUCCAAUUUUCUACCAUCAUCUACAAAAGAUUUAUAUAAUUUCAUCAUCUACCAUCACUAAUUUCAUCUACCAAUUUGUUAAAUUGCUCAAUCCUAUACAUAUCCACGUACAAUUCAAAAAAUCAUUAUGUUAAUAAUUUUAAUUUCUACUUAAUAUUUUAAUGAAAUAAAAAUGAAAAAAAAAAGUAAAUCUAAAACUUGAAUUGAAGAUAAAAAUCCUCAAACGUGAAAUGUGAAUGUUCAAAUUUGAAACAAUUAAUUUUAAAAGGCUCUAGAAAGAAUUAUCAAGAAAAACAAAGUUAUAGCUUUAGUACCUUUAGUAUCUAAUGAGCCUUGCAAACGGUUGUUGAACAAAGUCAAAGACUUUAGGCUUGAAAGCCCUUGAGGAAAGGAAAUUGUGUUGUUCCGAAAGAGAUUACCACUCAAAUAAAGUUCCUCUAAGUUUGUUAGCCUCAAUUGUGUUCCAUCUAUCAUUGGAAGAAAGUAAUUAGUAUAGUUAACAUCAUUCAAGAUAUAAAUAGUUAGGAAAAAUGUUUGUUUGAGAAGGAAGAGCCAAUUUACAAGCUUUCCGAUGAAUUGAUUCAAUAUAUAAAUACUUUGUUUGAGAUACCUUCCUACUUAAAUUACUCAAUUUUGAAAUUUAAUCCCAAAUAUUGAUUACUUAUAUAUAUUCAUGAUAUGAUAAAAUCAAAUGACUUAUUGCAACAACUUUUCCUUCAACAUGAAUUUAUUUUAAAGAAUGCUAUUCUUCAAAUAAUUCCAACUUAUAUCAAUAAUUUCCAAUUUAAUGAGCCAUUGAAAACCUCAUUUAUAUAUUAUAUAAUUAGUUACUACAAAACUUAAAUAAAUAAUAAUACUCCAUUUUUGCAAUAAAAAUUCACUAAAGAAAAUACAUUUGAAGUCUGUCAUUGCCUUUUGGAAUAAGAGUCGGUCAAGAAAGUUACUAUGCAGAAAUACUUAUACCUUUGUUUGAGAUGCUUUCAAUGUCGUUCCAACUUAAAUCCAAGUACUUCAAAUUUGUCAAAUUAUUCAAUCCUGAAAUUCAAUCCCAAAUAUUGAUCAGUUAUAUAUAUAUAUUCAUGAUAUGAUAAAAGCAAAGACAUAUUGCAACAUUAACUGUCCCUUAAACAAAAAUUGGUUUUAAAGUAAAAAAGAAACAUAUAAAACCAGUCUACCUUUAAUAUGAAUUGACAUAUAAAUACUGUACUUAUACCUUUGUUUGAGAUGCUUUCAAUUCUGUUCCAACUUAAAUCCAAGUAUUUCAAGUUUGACAAAUUAUUCAAUCCUGAAAUUCAAUCCCAAAUAUUGAUUAGUUAUAUAUAUUCAUCGUAUGAUAAAAUCAAACUUGAACAUACAUUGAUUUUUAAAUCAAGGAUGAAAGAUUUCUCAUAUGAAACAAAAUGCUAUUCUUCAAAGAAUUCCCACUUAAAUCAAGAGUUUCCAAGUUAUUGAGUCUUGAAAGCAAUUGAAAACCUGAUAUAUAUAUUUACUUGUUAAUUGUUUUUUCUUUCUUAGCCAUAUGAAAAUUUUACUAAAGCAAAAGUGGAAUUACGACGGAUAAAAAGAAUGGAAAACUAGGUACCAAGCCUAGAAGACCAUCCUCAAACUCCACUAUACAAAUAAAAACUAACAGCAGACCAAACUUAAUUUACCUCUUUGAUGACCUGAUCCUUCAAAUUUGUUGAUUGAUAGAUCUAAAUACCGGAGAGAUGAAAGCUCACUCAAAGAUAACAAAAUGCUAUCAUUCAAGUAAUUGAAACUUAAGUCAAGGAUCUCCAAAUUACUCAAUGUGGAUGAUAGUUUUCCAAAGCCUAUAGAAAUAUUCUUUUAAAUAUAUACAAGUUAGUGACUUUUCUUCCAUAAAAUAAAAUAAAAUAUAAGUAAUUGCAAAUUAACGAUGGUAAGAGUAGUGGGAUAAUAAAAGAUGUAAUUAAGGAAAAACUAGAGGCACGACCUUCAUUUUCAAGGUUACCACUUAUGGCAUUCCCCCGCAAAUAAAGACUCUUCAAUUCCUCAAAGGGAAGAAACAUAGAGGUAUUGAGAUACCAGGCAUUGAGAUUCCUAUUAUCCGUUUUGUAUCCCAUACUGUCAAACCAUCUUGUAGAAUUAAGGGAGAGUUGUAUGAGUCUCCUAGUGGUGGUGUUACACUCAACUCUUUCCCAUUUACAACAAUCUGAACCCUUCACCUCAACCCAACUUUGCAAUUGAUUUUGAUAAUUGAAGAAAGGCUUGAGAUGCAAGAGAGCGAUUCUCUCAUGCUCCAAACAAGCAUCAGUAGUACACCAUCUGCAUCCUUCUAACACCAACAACAUUACUGCCAUCCUAAUAAGCCUUAACCAUUUCCACUCCAUCAUCAUCAUCUCUCUGUUUUCACUUCUCUCUCAGUUAUAUGUUACUUUUUGUUAACUUCUAUAUGUAAAUAAUCUAAAGCAGCCUAACCUUCUUAUUUAUAUACAAGCAGAACAUACUGGAUCCCACUAAUUCACUAUAAUGUAAAAAUAAUAUAUAAUUAAUUAAUUCCUCAAAAAUUGGAUCAAAAUCUAGGCUUUUUAUUUACGUAAAUUCCUUAUUGCAAAAACUCCUGGUGGAAAUUCGUUAGGAAAGGAUGAAUGGACCACAAGAAUGUUGAUGUUAAUCUUGAAAAACGAAUGGCCAAAAAAAUAUGAAAAGUGAGAGGUGGACAUAAAAUCUUGUGGUUGGGGUUGCAAAAGUCUUCAUGUGGCUUUCUUGUGAGCUUCAUUUAUACCCUUCUUACACAUAUACAAACUUAGUCUUGACUUGGCUUUAUUAAUGGAAAAUUUAGGUCUUCAUUUUUGGUUUCAUUCAUGGAAAUUUUACUUCUUUGAUUUUGAUUUUGCUUUUAUUCUUGCACAUUUUAGGUUUUGAUUUUGAAAAUUUAGUUUUUUUCAUCUCUAUUAUUAUAAAAUUUCUUGAUUUAAUUAAUAUCAUGAGUUAAUUUAAUAUUUUAAAAAAUAAAAUAUUACAUUCACUAUUUUUAAAAAAAUAGGAGUAACUAUAAAAUUUAAUUAUUUAUAUAAUAUUUUUAUAAAAAAACUAUUUAUUUCUACUAGACCACUACUUUAAAACUAUCAAUUAUCAUAUAACUUCUCUUUAAUAAUUCACUAUUCUUUGAACAUUCAUUAGUUUUUGAAACAUAAAAUUUAUAAAUAAUUAUUUUUAAAAUGACUUGAGUUUUACUUGAAUCAUUUUUGUAAUUAGUUAAUUAAAUUGGGUUAUUUUUAAAAAAAAUCCUCUUAACUAAUAGCAAAAAAAAAAAAAGAAAAAAAAAAGCCAUCAUGUAGAAAAUUCUGGUUUGUUGGAAAGAUAAAGACUUGCACCAUUACUUUAAAUUUUGAAAUGUUCAACUUGAUAUUGACAUCUGAUAAUAUGUACAAAUUUCUCAUUGUUUUGAAUUUUAGUGAUAUUACACAUAUGAUAAUAUGUUUGUCACACCAAAUUUUGAAAUAGUAGAACUUAAUGAAUUUAACAAAUACUUAAUGAAUUUAAGAAAUAUCUAAAAUAUCAAAUUAAAGUCUAGGAAUUAAAUCUACAACUUCAGUAAAGUACAAGAACUAUUGUAGAAUUAAACCUUUAUAUAAUAAUUUCCUUCUAUGAACCACAAUUCAAGUGCACCCCACAAGCAACAUUAAAAAAUUGGCAUGUGUCUAUUUUUUUAAAAAUAUUUAUUUUUUUAAUAUUAUAUACUACACCUCUAUAGGAUACGUGUCAAUCCUUUAACUCUCCUUAUGGAAUUUAAAAACUCCACUAACAAUGUACCAAAUAUUAAUCCUAAUUAUUAUACUAUUCAUGGAUAAAGAUAAAAUAUAAUAUUUGCUUAAAAAUCUCAAUUAUAUAUAUUUGGUCACCCAUUGUGAUGUAAUAUAGCACCGUCUACAAAAUAGUUGGAGGAAAGUGUUAAGAAAAUAUCAUUACAUAUAUCAACAUUCGCAUAAUUCAUUGCAUUAACUUUCAAAUGUUAACUAUUGACUUCUGCGUCAACUUUGAGCUUAUAUAGGUCCCCCUCAUGGAAAUUGAGAAAAACAAAUUAAUAUGUAUAUUCUUGUGGGUGGAAAUUUAGUGGAGAUGCCCAUCAUCUUUCCUAAUUAAUAAAAAUGAAGACUUAGAAAAUGUGCAAUCAUAAUCCUAGUCGUCGUUAUGGCCCCAAGAAUAGUUAUCUUAAUUUGUCUCUCUUCAGGAUUAAAGAUAAAAAAUAAAUUUUAUAAAGUUAGAACUAUAAUUUUAUAAUUAUAUUAACAUAUAAUUUCAUAAAAUUUUAAAAAUGUAUCUUUUAAUUUUUUAAUUAAAUUGAUAAUUCGUUAACUCAUAAUAUUAUUUUAUUUUUCAAAAUAUUUACGAGAACGAGUUCGUAUUCUAUUGUGUGGAAAAUUUUAGUACAGAUUAUUAAGUUAUUGGAGAAGCCAAAUCCAACUUGUUUGACCAAGAAAGUUUUUGUCGCGUGGAAAAUGGACAUUACCAUUUCCUUGAAUGACCUUCAAUUUAAUGUAUUCACACCAAAUUUCAUUAAUGAGUAAAACAAAUAAUGAAUAAUAAUGAAAAUUGGAGGAAAUUGUUAAGAAAUUAUUAUUACAUAUAUCAACAGUCACAUAAUUCAUUGUAUUAACUUUCAAAUGUUGACUAUUGACUUUUACAUCAACCUUGAGCUUAUAUAGGCCCCCCUCACGGAAAUAAUCUCAUAAUUAAUGCCUGAAAAAUUAUUAUACAUCAAUUUACAGUUUUAAUCCCUAGACUUACUCAAUUGAAUUAAAAUUUUAGUUUUUAUUAUUUAAUUUGAACUAUUACUUUAGAUUUUGAAAUGUUCAACUUGAUAUUACAAAUUUCUCAUUCUUUUGAAUUUUAGUGAUAUUACACCUAUGAUAAUAUGUUUGCCACACCAAAUUUAGAAAUAGUAGGACUUAAUGAAUUUAAUAAAUAUCUAAAAUAUCAAAUUAAAGUCUAGAAAUUAAAUCUACAACUUCAGUAAAGUACAAGAACUAUGGUAGAAUUAAACCUUUAUAUAAUAAUUUUCUUCUAUGAACCACAAUUCAAGUGCAUCCCACAAGCAACAUUAAAAAAUUAAAAUGUGUCUAUUUUUUUAAAAUAUAUUUUUUUUAAUAUUAUAUACUACACAUAUAUAGUAUACGUGUCAAUCCUCUAACUCUACUUAUGGGAUUUAAAAAAUCCAGCAACAAUGUACGAAAUAUUAAUCCUAAUUAUUAUACUGUUCAUGGAUAAAGAUAAACUAUAAUAUUUGCUUAAAAACCUCAAUUAUAUACAUUUGGUGACCCAUUGUGACGUAAUAUAGCACCAUCUACAAAGUAGUUGGAGGAAAUUGUUAAGAAAAUAUCAUUACAUAUAUCCAACAGUCACAUAAUUCAUUGCAUUAACUUUCAAAUGUUGACUAUUGACUUCACGUCAACUUUGAGCUUAUAUAGGCCCCCUCCUCAUGGAAAUAAUGUCACAAUUAAUGCUUGAGAAAUUAUUAUACAUCAAUUUAUAGUUUUAAACCCUAUACUUACUCAUUUGAAUUAAAAUUUUAGUUUCAAUUUGAUAUAUUUUGUUCCUCUUAUUAAUAUUAAUGUUAUAGAUUUAUUAAAAUAACUAACAUUAUUAAUUCUCUAACAUUUAAAAAUUAAAAUUAUGUGGUUAUUAAAAUUAUGAUGCUAAAUUGAGAAUUAAAAAUUAUCAAGUUUUAAAUGAUCUCGGGAAUUAAGAAGAGAUCGUGUCCUAACUUAUUGGGCAUGAUCCUUUUUUUUCUCAAGUUUUAAAUGAUCUCAGGAAUUAAGAAAAGAUCGUGUCCUAACUUACUGGGCAUGAUCCUUUUUUUUUUAAAAUCUAAGAUAGCUAAAUAUUUUUUAAAUAAGUAAAUUUUUGGCAUUCAUUCGCGCAUCGGGAAUUCAAGACAUUGUGUCCUAACUUACUGGAUAUAAUUCUCUUUCUCGAUUAAUGUGAAUUAUGGCUUUUUCCCGAAAAUUUUCAACAUUUCAAUAAAGGAUCGUAUUUUAAAUCUCUUUAAAGUUUUCAAUCUUCGAUACUAAGACAUUAAUUAAUCAACUAGGUACCAAUUUUGGGCGUAACGAGGGUGCUAAUCUUUCCUCGUACGUAACCGACUCCCAAACCUGUUUUUCUGAAUUUCGUGGACCAAAAUUAUUAUUUUAUUAAAAUUAAAUUGUUUAUUAAAAAUAACCACUUUUCAAGGUGGCCCGAUCACACCUUAUCAAAAAGGAUUGGUGGCGACUUCCAUAUUCGUUUUCAUUUUUUAAAAUCCAAGUCGACCCCGUUUUCACAAAAAAAAAAAGUGUCAACAAUUAUAUUAAUAUAUAAUUUCAUAAAUUCUUUAAAAAAAAUUGUAUCUUUUAAUUUUUUAAAUUAAUUUAGUAAUUCAUUAACUCAUAAUAUUAAAUUUUUUAUUUUUCAAAAUAUUUACGAGAACGAGUUCGUAUUCUAUUGUGUCGAAACUUUUAGUACAGAUUAUUAAGUUAUUGGUGAAGCCAAAUCCAACUUGUUUGACCAAGAAAGUUUCAGUCGUGUGGAAAAUUUUAGUUUUGUGGAAAAUAUAGAUUAACUUCUAUAUAUGUAUGUAAUCUAAAGAAGCCUAAGCUUCUUAUUUAAUUAUAUACAAGCAGAAGAUAUUGCAUCCCACUAAUUCACUAUAAUAUAAAAAUAAUAUAUGAUUAAUUAAUUCCUCAAAAAUUGGAUCAAUCUAGGCUUCUUAUUUACGUAAAUUCCUUAUUGCAAAAACUCUCGAUGGAAAUUCGUUAAGAAAGGAUGAAUGGACCACAAAAAUGCUUAUCAACUCUUGACUUUGGCGUUCAAUGCUAAGUUCAUUUUAAAAUUCUUUCAUGGAGAGAAGAUGGGAUGACAAGAAUGAUAAGUUUUAAGUCAUUUAAGUUUACACAAAAUUUUAAUCACUCACAAAAAAUCAGUCUUGAUAUUCUAUUAAAAAAUUUAAACAUGGCUUAACGUUGAUUUUAAAUCUAAUGUCGAUGUCAAUCUUGAAAAACGAAUGGCCAAAAAAAUAUGAAAAGUGAGAGGUGGACAUAAAAUCGUGUAGUUGGGGUUAUAAAAUUCUUCAUGUGGACAUAAUAUAUUUUUUAUGCCCUUCUUACACUUAUAUAAAGUUAGUCUUGAUUUCGCUUUAUUAAUGGAAAUUUUAGUUCUUCAUUUUUUGUUUUAUUCAUGGACAUAAUAUUUAUUUUUAUUUUUUAUUUUUGUGUUAUGGUCUAUGUUCGAGGUUUAUGGCUAUCCCCUUUCAACAACGUCGUCUCAACGGUUCAAACAUACACUUGCAGGUAAAAUAAUACUUUUUAAAAUCACAAAUAUUUGAAAUAAUAUAUUGCAGCUAUAUAAAUGCUUUCUUGUUUAAGAUACUAAUAAAGUAAUUAACAAAGUAAUUAUUAUACCUAUAAUAAUUCAAAAUGCCACUUGUUAUCUAAUGAAGUAUAGGGGUGCAAAUGAGACAUCCGUACCCGCAAGCUAUUCGAAUUCGGCUCAAAAAAUUUUGAAUUUGAUUCGGUAAUUAUUGCGCCGAGCUAUAGGUCGAUCCGGAUUCAAGCUUAGUAAUACUUGACUCGAGUAGUUUGGGAGCCUUAUUGAACUUUUCAUAUUUUUAUAUUAUUAGAUUACAUUAUUGCCUUUAAUAUAUAUUGUUAACCCUAAGUUUAAUUAUUGAGGCGAGCUCGAACUCGAGUACAAAAAUUGAUAAACAGAUUUAAUUUCGAGCUUAAAAAUAUAUGUUCAAUCGAGUAUCAAGCUUUGAAUUUCAAAUUAAACUUGAGUUUAACCGUAUUGAGUUCGAAUAGAUUCAAUUACACCCUACAAUAAAAUAUACCAACAAAACCUACAUUCCAUAUUUGCUUAAAAACUUUGCUGUAAAUUUUAUAUAUGUGUGUGUUUAACGUGAGUUCCAUCUAUGUCCAACUUGAUGACGAUGAAAGUUCCUAUGGUGUAAAAAGUUUUAGUUAUGUGGAAAAAUAAGGUCUUCUCUUCACACGUUUAAUAUGCUUACUUGUGACGGUCAUUUCGGGCUUGACAUCAAUUUUCAAAAUGUUCUAAUUGGUGGAAAACUUACGUCUGCUUUUAUGAUUCUUUCAAGUCAAUUGGAGAAUGCCUCUGUUACACUUCAAAAGAAGUAGAUUUUGAACUCAACAUGAACCUGUGAGAUUUGAUGCCUAAAAUAUAGGUAUAAGGUUUCAAUUCAAGGAAAUGUUGGAAGUCCAGGAAAUUUCUUAGUCUCCUCUCUUUGGAUGUUUUUGAACAAAAAUGUUUUAAGUCUCUUCCGAUGCUAAACUUCUGAUUGGUCGUCGGUUCACUGACCCUUUGGUACACAGCAAUAUGAAGCAUUGGCCAUUCAAGGCCAUUGCUGGUCCUGGUGAUAAGCCAAUGAUUGUACUACUAUAGAUUUGAAAUGAUUGUACACAUCUGAUCGGCUCUUUGUAAAUUUAAAUCUUACAAAUUCGGAUAAUAUUCGAAUUUAAAUAUUUCAAUUACUAUCUGCAAUAGAUUAAAAACAAACGUGAUUAUCAAUCCUUGGAUAUCCACAUACAGAUUAUGCAAUACAAUCUCUUAAGGCAUAUAGAAUUUGGGUCUUAACCAAGCUAUGUUGCUUAAAAGCUUGCUAAAAGCACCCCUAACAAAGGGGUAAAUAAAUAAAAUAUCAAGCACCAGUUAUCAAAGCAGAUUGACCACCUUAUAUCUAUGUAUGCUACUACAAAACUUGCACCAUUAAAAUCUCAAGCUGGUAAUUGGAGCUUCAUGUUAUUCUUGCAGCUGCAGGCAUAAUAAUCAAAUAAGUUGCAAUCAUUCACAUAGGUACUAUGAAGUGCUUUCCAGAGCGUGAGAAACCUCUGGAAGUAAUAGUAGAAGAAAUCAGCAUAAAGCAAUGUCUGGACAAGACCGCAAAUCCAAGCUGAUCAAAGGCAUCAAUCAUGUAAACUAGGUGUUAGAAAUAACAAAUAUAGCAUAGAAUAUAACAAAUAAUGAAUAACAAUGAAUAGUACACGUUACCAUUUCCUUGAAUGACCUUCAAUUUCUCCAUUGAGAUAUAGUAAGAGGGAGUGGAAUAGAUGUAAGGUAAUAUUUGAUGUAUUCGGUAAAUGAAUAAUAACACCACAUUCCAUUAAUGAGUAAAACAGAUAAUGAAUAAUAAUGGAAGUUUUAUAAAAUAAAAAUAAAUUAAAUCAUAUACAUAUAAUGUAUUAAAUCUUAUUCGUGAAGUUCACAAUGAACAAAAUACUAAUCCAUAAUGGAGAAAAAUAACCUAAACUUUAAACAUUUGUUCAUUACUAUAAACAUAUGUACAACUUUUUAAAGGUUUUAUAUAAACUAUUAAAAGGUAUAAACACUCUCAUAAAAAUAUAUUAUUAAGUACGUCUUCUUUUACUAGGAAAGUUCCUAUCCUGUAGAAAAAUGUAGUUUUGUGAAAAAAGGUCUUCUAUGCACUAAUUUGUGGCAAUCACAUGGGGUUUGGGAAUUUCAAUUUUGAUAGCCAACCGAGAUUCACUAAAUUUAAAUUUUAUUAUGAUUAAUUACGCUCUUCGUUUUGGAGAAAUAGGUAAUCACAACAACUAAUUUAAUUAAAUGUAAUUUAAUAAUUAAUUUUUUUAUAAUUUAAUUACAUUAACUAUAUUUAAAUUUAAUAUUUAGUAUUUAUAUUUUAAUUUAACAUAAUUUAAUUCACUUACUUUUAUAAUAUUAUUAGUUCGUCUAAAUAGUUGACACCUUUAAUUAAUUCUUAUUAAAAUGUUAAAAAUGUUUAUACUUAUUUUCCAUGUUAAAAUAUAUAUUUUUUUGUGCUUUUAAAAACAAAAUUUCACAAUAUCAUUUCCCGAUAUAAAAAUUAAAUCUCAAAUUAAUUUAUAUUUUUGUAUUUUUUUAUAACUAAUGUUAUCAAGAACUCUUAAUAGUGCAACUGAUUCCACCAUAAUAUUUAUAUUCUUUAAAUAUGAUUUACAAUUUAUGUUUGGAGUUCGUGACUGUCAUUCUUAAUAAUGUCAUUUCUAAUGUUCGAACAUGCAUCUCCCCUUGAGAAUGCAAUAUUCAUUACUAUUGCACCUAAUUAUUUUGAUAAUUUAAUUUUAAAUAUUGACAUAAAAAUAUUUUUAAAUAUAUUAUUAAUAAAUUUAAUUAAGAUUAUAAAACUUGAGGUUUUUUUUAAUUCUUCAAAAAUGUCAUUUAUUUAUUUUUGGCCAAAAAAUGCCAUUUAUUUAACUCUAAUAUGUGCUUUUAUGUUUUAUUUUAAAAAUAUAUGAAAUUCUAAUGAUAGUUAUAUUACAUAUUUUUUAAUUUUAAAUAUCAUUGUUCUUUUAUAAUUUGUUUCAAGUAUGAAAUGAUAUAAUUUUUUUUAGUAUCUAUCACAAUAACCUUUACUAAGAAUUGAAACUAAAUUUCUAAAUUUUGAACAAAAAUGAAAGUUUAAUUAAAUGAUACAUUGGUGGAUUCAUUACCCCUCAUAUCUAGUUCCCUUAAGUUGAUAAAUGUUUCCAAAUCUAGGAAAACAAAAAACAACAAAAUCAACUUCAUUAUAUUCUCUUCCAACAUUAUUAUAUUCUUGUUAAAAAUCUAAUAUUUUUACCUUUCAAUCCAUUGCCCCAUAUGCUCAAAGAUUUCAAAUUUGAAAGCUUCUUAAGGGAUGCAAAUACACUAGUAUUGAACUGAUUUCCAUCUAAAUAAAGCUCUUCCAAGUGGGUCAACUCUAAUUUUCGACCACCAUCAAUAAAAGAUUUAUAUAAUUUCAUCACUAAAAUGAAUUGGCAUAAACUUUUAUUAUAUAUAAGAAUUUAGGUAAUUGGUUAAAUAUAAAUGCAUACCAUUUAAGGAUUGAAAGCUUUCAAUUUCAUUCCAACUUAAAUCGAGUUUCUUCAAAUUUGUUAAAUUGCUCAAUCCUAUACAUAUCCUCAUCCAAUUCAAAAUCUGAAAUUAGUAAAGAUAAAAUUGCACAUUGACCCCCUAAAAUUGAUAAAAAUUUAAUUUAAUUCUUUAAAAAUUAUAAACAUAUGUAGCGACCUAAAAAUUUCGGCACGGGCGCUAGUCGAAGUAAUUAUUGUAAAUUUGAAAACUGAAUCUCGAUUUUAUUUGAAAAAGGAGUCGCCACCGAUAUUUUUUCUAGGUGUGAUCGGACACCUACAAAAUUCUCUUUUUAGAAGAAAAAAUUAUUUUUAAACUUUUCUAAAAAAGAGGUAAUUUUAGGUCCACGUAAAAAUCCAGAGAAAAUUAGGGUCCGGGAGUCGGUUACGCGCGAGGAAGGUAUUAGCACCCUCGCAACGCCCAAAAUUGGUAUCUCGUUAAACGCGUGUUGUCUUCAUUUUCAAAAAUACGAGUUCAAUUUAAUAUUAGUCGUGAUCCGAUUGAACACGAGAAUUUUAAAGCGCAACAACUUUUUCUUUUUUGAAAACACGAAAAUUUUAAAAUACAAGAAUUUUAGAAACACAAAACUUUUUUUUUAAAAAAAACACGAAGAAUUUAAAACACGAGAUUUUUUAUUUUUAUUUUUGAAAACACGAUUCUUCUUUUUGAAACACGAAAAUUUUUAAAACAGAAAAUUUGUUUUUGAAAACAUAAAUUUUUUGAUAAAAUACGAAACACGAGAAAUUUUGAAGACAUGAAAAUUUUUGAAACACAAUUUUUCUUUAAAAAAUACCGUAUUUAACACGAAUCGAUGAUAUUCAUCCCGAUAUGGCGAUGAAACCAUCGAAUUAGUGUUAACUCAAUUCAAUUUAAUAUUUAAUCGGGAUUCUAAUAAAACACGAGAAUUUUUAUUAAAAUACGAGGAUUUUUGAAUAUUUUUAUUUUUAAAAGGGUGUCCCGAAUUUAACACGAGCUAUCGAUAUCCACCCAACAUAGCGAUGAAUUCGAUGACUUGAUGCUAAAUCGGUUCGUUGCCUUAUGCAUUAAAAUAUUAUUAUUUUUAAAAAAAAUAUGCAAUUAAAAUGACAUAAUAAUAUUUAUGAAAACUGUUUUAAAGCAUACUAAUUUAAAUUAAAUAAAACACCAUUUAAAUAAAUAAAAUAAAAUAAAAUAGAUUAAAAAGAAAAAAAGAAAAAAAUUACCCAAAAGCCCAAAGUUAUGGGCUUAAAUUUUGGGCCUCCCCUUUUAUUAUUUUUUUUGCUGUUGGGCUNNNNNNNNNNNNNNNNNNNNNNNNNNNNNNNNNNNNNNNNNNNNNNNNNNNNNNNNNNNNNNNNNNNNNNNNNNNNNNNNNNNNNNNNNNNNNNNNNNNNNNNNNNNNNNNNNNNNNNNNNNNNNNNNNNNNNNNNNNNNNNNNNNNNNNNNNNNNNNNNNNNNNNNNNNNNNNNNNNNNNNNNNNNNNNNNNNNNNNNNNNNNNNNNNNNNNNNNNNNNNNNNNNNNNNNNNNNNNNNNNNNNNNNNNNNNNNNNNNNNNNNNNNNNNNNNNNNNNNNNNNNNNNNNNNNNNNNNNNNNNNNNNNNNNNNNNNNNNNNNNNNNNNNNNNNNNNNNNNNNNNNNNNNNNNNNNNNNNNNNNNNNNNNNNNNNNNNNNNNNNNNNNNNNNNNNNNNNNNNNNNNNNNNNNNNNNNNNNNNNNNNNNNNNNNNNNNNNNNNNNNNNNNNNNNNNNNNNNNNNNNNNNNNNNNNNNNNNNNNNNNNNNNNNNNNNNNNNNNNNCUCUUUUUACUUAAUUAUUUAUCAAUUUACACUAGUUCGAGUUUUUGUAACAGUAUCAUGGAGACUUAUGUACUAGGAGUUAGAUUGUAUUUUGCCUCUUUUACUCAAAAAAUGAGUAAAUUAAUCCUUGUACGUUAAAUCAAUGAGCAAACUAGUCCUUUUAGUUAACAUUUUCAUUCAUUUUUACUAUUAAAAAUUGGAGUGACUAACGAAAUAACCAGAUAGUUACACAUUACAUGCCAAGGGUGAAGCCAGAAAAUUCUUUUAGGGGGCCGAAAUUAAAUUUUAAUUUUUAAUAGCUUAUAUCUUUAUAAUUUUUAAAUGAUUAAAUCAAAUUUUUAUCAUUUUUAGGAGGGGACUAAAGUGUAAUUUUAUCUUUACUAGUUUAAAUUUCUAAAAUUUCUAAAAAGCCUAAAUGGAUAAUUUUCAAUUUUAGAGGGGUCAGGGCCCUUGCCAGCCUCCCUAGAUACGCCACUGUGGCAUGCCACAUGUACCUCAUGUCAGCAUACAUGAACCCGUUUUUAACAGUUAAAAUGGAUGAAUUUUUUAGUAGAAGGAUUAAUUUUCUCAUUUUUUGAGUAGAGGAAAGAAAAUGCAAUCCAAUGCCUAAUACAAGGGCCUCUAUGUCUUUCAUUAUUACUCAAUUAUUUGUCAUCAAAAGUUGUAUAUGUUCAAAUAUAAAUACAAUAAAACACAUAUGUAGUUAUUAAACAUAUCAUGCUAAUGUCAUUGUUUCUUCUUUAUCCAAAAUUAUUGGACUUAUAAAAUUCUUGAGAAUAAGAAAACCCCAUUAAACUUCCUUUUAAGUAAAACGUGUGUUCAAAAUCUUGAACUAGGUUUAUGCAGCAAUAGAAAUUCACAAGCUGUUUUUUUUAUACAUGAGAUGUGAAUCUCAAAAUUUUAGGGUUUCUGAUCUCAUAUAUUUUGGGUCCAGAUUUAAUGCUAAGGAUUUGUUGAGAAAGUUGAAAGGGAAGAAAAUGAUGUUCAUUGGGGAUUCACUAAGCUUGAAUCAAUGGCAGUCUCUAACAUGCAUGUUGCAUGCAUUUUUGCCACAAUCAAACUACACUGUUCACAGAGAAGGGAACCUUUCGACCUUUUAUUUGCCUGUGAGUUGCCAAAUCUAGUAGCUAUUUUAUUUCCUUCUUAUAAUUAAAACUUUUCAAUGUCACCUUUAGAAGGUAGCUGCAUGAAUCAAAUGAGUUAAAUCAAAUAGACUAAUUACUAUUGUUUGGCAAAAAUACCGAGUAGACCUUUUUAAAAAUAGUUAUUAUACUUUUAUUACAACAAAAUAAGCAGGGGUGAACCUAAAAUUUUUUUUAGCAGGAUAGAAAUUUAAUUAUAAUUUUUUCAUAGAUCAAAAUAUAAAUUUAUUAUGAAUUAAUUUAUAAUUUUAUCAUUUUUAAAGGGAUUAAACAGAAAUCAUUUCAUUUUUAUGGGGGUUAAAGUGUAAUUUUACUAUAUAUUAAUUUAUAAUUUCUUUAUUUAUAAGACUAGAAAAAAUUUUCAUGGGGGCCAAAGUACAAUUUUACUAUAUAUUAAUUUAUAAUUUCUCUAGUUAUAAAAGAACUAAAUUAAAAACUUUUCAUUUUUUAGGGGGGCCAAGGCCCUGCCUACCCCUUUCAGAUUAUUCGCCUCUGAUAAUAAGCCAUUAAACUUUAAUUUAUAACCGUUACCAUUAAUUUUUAACUUAUAUCCAAAUAACCCCUUACCAUUUUAUUUAUACUCAAAAUAAAAUUUAACAUAAAUAAAGGUGAGAGAGGGGCCUUGGCCUAUUGGUUAAAAUAGAAAAUUUUCAUUUAGGUCCAAAGGUAAAGCCAAAAAAUCAUUUUAGGGGGUUGGAAAUGAAUAAUAAAUUUUUGGGGAGACUAAUAUUGCAAUUUUAUCAUUAUAUCAACUUAUAAUUUCAUAAAUUUUGAAAAGAUUAAAAGACAAAUUUAUCAAUUUUUGGGGUUGUCUACUCUCCUGAGUUGGUCUCUAUUGAAAAUUAAUAAUUCCAUAAAAUAUAGCUUUCCUAAAUUUAUAAUUUUAGCUCGACCCUAAAUAUAAAAUUCUUUGCUUUACCCCUGAUAUUAAAUCAAAAGAUAGAAACUUAUUAUGUUACUAUAAGAAUAUAGGGAUUUAUUUAGCAAAAGCAAACUAUUUCAAGGACUUUUUUGGUAGUUUGCACUUAUAGUUGGUAUUAGUUAGAAUUAAGUGCCAAGAUUAAGUUUCCUUUGAGAUAUAUAGUUGGUUAAGCAAUUUAAUAUAAGUGGAAAUUUAGACCCCUAAGUUAUACCCUUCAUGCAUUUGGACAACUGUGUUGAGCCAAAAAAAAAAUUGCAGGAGUAUGAAGUUUCGUUGAUGCUAUCACGCAAUGCAUUUCUUGUGGAUAUUGUCCAAGAAAAGAUUGGCACCGUUCUGAAGCUUGAUUACAUUAAAAACGGCGAAUCAUGGAAAGGAUAUGACUUUCUCAUCUUCAAUACCUGGCAUUGGUGGCUCCACACUGGAAGAAAACAACCGUAAGCAAAACAUAAUUUCAGCAAUUAAAACCCGAUUUUUUAAUUGCAUCCCGAGUAGAUUUGUAAACAAAUACAACACUCGAAUUGGGUUGGGUUUGAACCGGAAUAUCAUUCCUAUAGUUUUGAUUAGACCUGUAGUUUAAAAGUUAAUUAUUUAUUUAAGUUUGAAAAUUCGUUUGAAAUUUAGAAGAAUAUUUAGAUAAAAAUAUUAGACUUCAUAAAUGAGCUUGAGUAAAAAAAUUAAACCCGUUUUUAAUAUGGGUUAAGCUUAAGCUCAAAAAAGUUAAGGAUCCAGACAUGUUGAUGAACUUAAAAUGAAUUUGCGAUAACUAUUUACAAAUAUUAGUAUGUUGGAGCAAAAUUUUAAGCCAUUGUUUGGUCCAACUAAAUUUAGGCAAAUAUAAAGUGCGUUAAUAUCAUGCUUAAAAUUGAUUCAAACUGAUCCCAACCCAUAACCACUUCUAAUUCUGAUUAGUUUGACUCAACCUUUUUAUUCUUUUAAAUACUUAUAAAAUCUCUUAUCCAAUUAUAUUUAUAUUUGAGCAAAAAAUGAUGUAUGUAUGUAUGUAUGUAUGUAUGUAACUUGAAAAAUGAAUUGGAUAUUAGAUGGGAUUUCAUUGAAUCAAGAGGAAAGGUGAAGAAAGACAUGGAUCGUAUGGCUGCAUAUAGAGAGGCACUAAGAACAUGGUCAAAAUGGGUGGAUUCCAAUGUUAACACUACAACUACCCAAGUGUUUUUUCAAGGCAUUUCUCCGACUCAUUUCAAGUAAGCUUUAGCUCUUCUCUUCUCUUCUCUUACCAUUUGCAUUAACUUCCUUGUUCUUAUUUUACUUAAAAGAAAUGGAAUUAUGAAAAAAAUUGAAAGCCAUUUUUUUUCCAAUAGAACUUAAUUCAUUUUAAUCCCAUCAGAUUUGGUUCAAAUUAGAGGUGUUUAUAAGUUGGUGAGUCAAUCGGCUUAGUUCGCUUUAGACUGCACUUGAAGUUAAGUUUUCAAGUUUCGAGCCAGAUUAGCCUUACUUGUUUUAUUAGUCGAAGAAAACUAUUUUUAAUUGUUUUAUAAACAAUGAAAAUGGACCAUUUAGGUAAGCUUAAGUUUGGAAAAUUUUUGAAAUUGGGCUUAAACUUGACUUGGAAAAUGAACACUUAUAGUUGAAAGAAACUCAUUUGUCAUAAAGCACAAAUACUUUUAUGAUUAGAGACGUUAAUGGGCUUGAACUUAAAUUUUCUUUUUGGUUUAAGCUUGGUUCGAGUUGAAAACUCGUAUUGUUUAAAAUAUUUCUAAUAUAUUAUUGUUUAAAAUAUUUCAUAAAUAUUUUCAAAAUGAAAUAUGUGUAAGAAUCAUAAAUUCAAGCUGUAGUGUUUCCUCAUAUAAAUUAUGAAUCACUCUAAAUAUCUCAAAGAGAAAAUGACAGUUCAUUGACAUCUAUAUAAAGAUUUUUUUUUUUAAAAUAAAAAUCAACAAGUCUCUUACGUUAUCCAUAUAUAAUAUGUGGAUGUACAAUUAUAAACUUCACCUCAAACAAUUUGGUAUUUUGAUCCACAAUUUUGACAGUGGCAAAGAAUGGAAUGGUACCAAAUCAACAACUUGCACACAUCAAAUCAGACCGGCUACCGAUUUAACGUACGAAAGUGAUCCACCUCCGGAAGUGACGAUCGUAAAGGAAGUGCUAAAAAACAUGUCGACGCCGGUGGUUUUGCUCGACAUAACCAGAUUAUCACAGCUGAGGAAAGAUGGUCACCCAUCAAUUUAUACUGGUCUAAAAGGAAAUGAUUGUAGUCAUUGGUGCCUAGCUGGUGUUCCUGAUACAUGGAAUGAAAUCUUAUAUGCAAUUCUUACAAGUAGGAAAACUUAAUUCAAGAUUAUAAUUUUUUUUUCAAUUUAAUGUAUUUAGUUAAUAAAAAUUAAUUUCCCAUUAAUAGAUGAAGAAUUUUAAAUUUAAUAACAUAGGUGUAGCCAUCAAUUUAAUGUAUUUUUUACCCGAACCCAAAUUAAGUCAAGCUCAAACCAAUGGAAAACCUACAAUAUUAUUCAUAAUAAUAUUGAAACUUUAGAUUUUUUUAUUAGUAUUAUAUAUUUUAAUAAUUAAUUUUAAAUAUUUUUAUUAAUAAAUAGUAUUCAGGUCGCGCCAGCCCAAUUUAAAAGAUAUUUAACUCAAUAUAAAUUCAACAUAUUAAAUGAAUAAUUCAAAUGUCAAAAUGAGCAAAGGAAAAUCUAGAGUUGUAAGCUUUGCAACUUUAAAUUGGACAUGAGAGUUUCUUUUAUUGGAUACAUGCCACAUUAUUUUUUAACAAAAUUCCUUUAUUUUAUCAAUUGAAUUUAAAUUAUUAUAUUAAUAAAAUUAUUUAAUUAUUUAAUUGUGUUUCAACCUUUUACAUAAAAUAAAAUUUUCUCUUUUAACUUUUUCAUCAUUUAAUUUUUCACUUUUUAAAAUCACCCUCAAUUUCAAAUAUAAAUUUACUUGUGUAAAAAAAAAUCUAAAUCUGUUAAUUGCAUCUAGAACUUUUCAGAGUUGGUCUUGUCAAAAUUUUAAGUCUAUUUGCUAGGCCCAAGUUUGGCCUAAAAAAUAGACUUAAAAUUUUGUCUAAAUUUAACCCGGAUAAAAUAUUAAAAUCAGGCUCGACUCAACUCACCUGAAUUAAUUUUUCUAUAAAAAUAUUAAAAAUAAUAGGUCAAAAUACUAAAAAUAUUAAAAUAAAUAUUUUUUAAUAAUUUAAAAAUAAAUUUAAAAAUAUUUAUACUUAGAUAAAAUUAACAAUAAAAUAAUUUUUUAAUGUUUAUUAAAAAAUGGGCCGGACCGGGCUCGGGCUUAUGAUAUUUUUCCCGGGCCGGGCCUGGAAAAAUAUCAGGCCCAUAUUUCGAGCCGGGCCAAAAAAAAUUUCUGGGCCCGACCCGGCCCAUGGACAGGUCUAAUCUUAGACCUUUUCAGUGUUGGUCUUGUCAAAAUUUUAAGUCUGUUUGCUAGGCCCAGGUUUGGCCUAAAAAAUAGACUUAAAAUUUUGUCUAAUUUUGACCCGAAUAAAAUGUUAAAACCAGACUUAGACUCAACCCACUUGAAUUAAUUUUUUAUAUAAAAAUAUUAAAAAUAAUACGUCAAAAUAUUAAAAAUAUUAAAAUAAAUGUUUCCUAAUAAUUUAAAAAUAAAUUUAAAAAUAUUUAUACUUAGAUAAAAUUAACAAUAAAAUAAGAGUUAUAUAAUAUAUAAAUAAUAAUAAAAUAAUAGUAACAACAAGAAAAUAGUAAUUUUUUGUCUUUUUGUUAAUUCAUAUCGGACCGGGCUUAACCCGGUUGAGAACGGUACUUAUAUUUGUACAAAAAAAAAAUCAAAAAAAAAUGUGAACGGUACUUAACCCGGUUGAGUCGGAGCUCCAUGACCCGAACAGCAAUUUAUUUUUCAAUUCUUCUUCGUUACGCAAAAAGGAAAAAAAAAAAAACAGCUCAUGAAAAUGGCAUGGUCAAAUACUCUGCUUCAGAUUCACAUCAAAUCCCCUUCGAUCCCUUCUCUCCAUUUCCCACAUUCCCUCCCAAAAAGCUCCCCAUUCCUUCUUAAUCCUAACCCUAUAAAUCCCAUUCCCAGAUCCCUCAGAAUGCAAUUCCUUCACAGACCCAACGCUGUCCCACUCGUAUCAAGAGCCAUGGACAUCAUCCAAUCGUCUCCUCCCACGUGGCAAUCCGCAGUCCUCAGUAACCUCUUGAUCUUCGUCGUCGGCACCCCACUUUUAGUGGCGGGGCUUUCUCUCUCCGGAAUUUGUGCUGCGUUCUUGCUUGGCACUCUCACUUGGCGCGCUUUUGGCUCCCCUGGGUUUCUCCUCGUUGCUUCGUACUUCGUUAUUGUGAGUUGCUAAUAAUAUAUUAUGAAUUGUAGCUGAAUUAUGGGAAUUAAGUUAAAUUUUGGAAAUUGGGUUUUGAUUUUGUAUCCAUCUGGUAUUAAAAGUUGCUUGCUUUGGAGAAUUAGCUGUCAUUGUUUGGUAGUAUGGCAAGGAAAAUAAACUUAAUUUAUGUCGAAAGGUUACUUUUUAAUUAGUUAGCUAUUCAAGUUUGAUUAGUUGUAUUUAGAGAAAUUGAUUGUACUAGGUGAAAUGAGAUCAAAAGAUUAACAAAAGUUACUUGAUGGUUUCUAGCUUUUUAGCUGAAAUAAAGUCCUGUAUGAAAUGAUAUAAUAUUUUAGUUUUCUAUUAUGGCUUGUUUUCCUUGCAAAGUAUGAAUCUUGAAUUAGUUCCUGCCUCCCUCUUCUAAUUCUCCUUACCCAUUUCUAGUUGAAAGUUAAUUGAAAUUCCAUGUGAUUUUGUGUUAUAAUUCCAGUUCAUAAUCUGAAUGGAGACAAUAAAUUUGGAUGAAGGAGCUUUAAGCAGUGGGAAAAAUCCAUAAUAAUUUGUAAUUCUCUAAAUCUCUAAACAAUCUUACAUCUCUUUGUCAUGCCUUUCAAACAUAGUUGGUAUAACUAUGUUCAAUUGUCUUAGCUAUUGUUUAAUCAUUUUUAAUUUUUCAUUCCCCCUGCUCCCCCAAAAAAAAAUGUUUGUCUGAGCAAUGAGUCUUUCUCAAAAUCAAUUUCCAAGGCCAUUUUAUUUGAUUAUGACUUUGUGAGUAAAACAUGUUUGUAUUUGUUAGGGAACCGCAGUAACAAAAGUGAAAAUGGCUCAAAAGGAGGCCCAAGGGAUUGCUGAGAAGAGGAAAGGAAGAAGAGGACCUGGGAGUGUAAUUGGGUCCAGUGCUGCUGGUUGUGUAUGUGCUGUUCUAACAAUAUAUGGAGUUGGAGGAGAGGCAUUUACACGUCUUUGGCAACUUGGUUUUAUUGCUAGUUUCUGUACUAAGUUGAGUGAUACAGUGUCCAGUGAGAUUGGGAAAGCAUAUGGCAAAACAACGUAAGUAGUGCAUCUCUGUUUGUUAAUGUAUAGGCGCUUUAGAUUAACUGUAUUAAUAAUUCUCCUUAGUUCAUUCUAAAGAAAGGAUAUUUCAAAUCAAGUGGAAUUUAGAUCCCUUAUGGUUCUUGCUAUAUUCGAGCUCUAUUAUUGUCAUAUAUGCUGGUGAUAAAGGUCGCUUUGACAUCCUAUAUAGAAACAAAAUUUGUGAGUGUUAAUAUUGCCUCAAAUCUUUUUUUUUUUCUUCAAAGGUUUAUGUCAAUUGCUACUCUCUUUUUUUUUUACUGUUAAACUACACUUUAGAAUUGCAAAUAUAAAGUGUGUGAUGUGCCAAAAUGAACAGGUACCUGGUGACAAACUUUCAGAUUGUUCCUAGGGGAACAGAAGGAGCUGUCAGUGUUGAAGGAACUGUUGCUGGACUUCUAGCAUCUAUACUGCUUGCCACUAUUGGUUGUCUAUUGGGUGAGGUAGUACUUGCUAUGUACUCAUACUAUGUGAAUAAUUUGUUCUGCCAUUCAUGAUACCAUUUUUUUUUAAUAACAAGCAUUAUUGUGAUCAUUACAAAAUGUUUACACCUUGUAAGAACCUGGAAUUUUUUCUAGUCUCUGCAACAAUAGACUAAUUGGUGGGGUGGUGCCUAGAUGGAAUGAUUUUGCAGAUAUAAUUUGUUGAAGGUGUUUUUCAAAGGGAACUCUUAGCAAAAUAGCAGAUCAUGAUAUAUUUAUAAAUUGAUUUUGACAUCUCAGUUUAGGCGUGUACGACCUUUGUGAGCAUUAUUUUGCUGGGAACUUAAAUUUCAAUUUAAUAUAGUUCAGGUAUUACAAUUUGGUAAAUUGGAUAAUAUUUUCAAGGGGAAGGAGAAUUAAAUUAGUUGAAACCGAUUUUUAUUGUUAGUGGUUUUUUGUAUGUGAGUGGAUGAGGUUGUCUCUCUAGCCUUGCUGCAUCUUUAGCUAGGAUUUUCUCAAAAAUCUUGUAUAUAUCCCUAAGGUUAUGGUGUUGUUCAUAGUAUUGACGCCAUAACCUCUAUACACUUUCAAACUGAAUAUGAUCAACAGCUUCUAGAGAAUGCAUAAAUGAAAUAUGGGUAUUUGAAUUUAUAGAGAUGUUCUAAGCUUCUGUUUUUUGCUUUUUCAUUUAUCUUUGCAAGCAGAUAAAUGUACCUGAGGUAUUGAUAUGUGUAAUAGCAUCCCAGAUUGCUAAUCUUGGUGAGAGCAUAAUUGGUGCUGCAUUCCAAGGGAAAGAAGGAUUUCGUUGGGUAAGGAAUCAUUUGAAUAAUAGGAUGGUUUCUGUCAUCCUGUUUUCUUAACCAUUUUUUCUUAAAUUUAGUGCCUAUGUAUCUUCUAGAUUUUAGUGUUACCGAUGAAUCAGGCUUGAUUCUAUAUGAAUGUAUGGUUUGAUGUGGUAUAUCGAUGAGAUGAUUACAUGUAUAUCAUUUUGUGGACUCUCAUCAUGUUUGGAUCUGGCUGCACUCCUAAAGCUGUAGUGAGGAAGAAUUAUAUACCCACUGUUUUGGGGUAAAGAAGAUCGAAGAGUAAAUUUAGAGAGAUCAGCCUGUUAUAAAACUGCCUGCUAAGGAUUAAUUCUAGUCUUAAUUUUCAUUCGAUGAAAUCACGGUAUUGUGCAUGUAAAAGGCUGUUAUGUUGGUCUGAUUCUUCUUUUUGCUUUGAAGUAUCCAUGUUCAACAUAUAGUCACACAAGAAAUAUGGAGAUAUGACCUUCAAGAUACAUGAUAAACUUUAGCACAAAUCUCUAUCAGACACUUACCUGAAUUUGAGCGAAAUAUCUGGGUUGGCCAUAUAUAAAUCUGCCUAGGAUCUAUCAUCUUAGCAUGUUUAUAUGCUUUUCAUUAUAAGGCUGAAACUUGGAUUCUUUUACCAUAUUGAUUUUGGUUUUCAUCUUGCAGCUGAACAAUGAUGCUGUUAAUGUCAUCAACAUAUCCAUAGGCUGCAUUUUGGCAGUCUUAAUGCAACAACUACUCCAAAACUGGCAAAUGUAAGUUCACCCCAUCAUCUCUUUUGCGAUGUCAGGUAAUUAUUGCAGAGUUCAUCGACACUGCAAUCGACAUAUUGCAAUGUGGGGAAAGAAAAGAAGAAGAAGAAAGAGAAAGUCUUCAAUGUAAUGCAAGAGAUGAGCACAAAGGUGCAACAAUUAUAGCAAUGAUUUUGCUAACCUUGAAAGAUACUCAAAUGAUAUGGAAAAUCAUUAGCAUAACCAUUUGUUCCAUGAGUAUAUUUUAAAAAGGCUUCUCUCUUUUAUAGUCUUGGUAUUCAAAGAUGUAUUCCUUUUAUCAAUCUCCAGUUAGAAAUGAAUUAGAUGCUUUUUAAAUUGCAUUUCUUAACCAAAAUUAUUGGCUUUUUUUUUAUUGUUGUUGAGCCGCACUGGAUUUAUGGGUGUAAUUGAAGCACAAGCUUGACUUGGAACUUUUAUGUUCAAAGUUCGGCCCGGGCCCAAGCUUGAGUUCAAUUAAGCCAUUUGUGAAUAUAUCAACCAAUUGUUCCUUUGUAAAGACAUGUCUAGUUUGGACUAAACCAUCUUGGAUUUUUUUUACAAGGUGAGAGUCAAUCUCUAUAUGUUUCGUUCUCUCGUAGUAUUCAGGGUUGGUUGCAAUCUGAAUUGCUGCUUGACUAUCAUAGAAUAAUAUGAUUGGUUCUACUCGUUUAAAUCCAAGUUCCUUCAGUAGUCCAGUCAACCAAACUAACUCAGCCAUAGUUCUAUACUUUGCCUUUGCUGAAGAUCGUGAUACUGCAUUUUGUUUUGUUUUGUUUUUUCCAAGAGAUGAGACUUAAAACUUCUGGAGGAUGGUCAGGAUGGGUGUUUGGUUUACAAGGUAAAGAAAACGGUGAAGGUGGAGUUUGUGAGGUUUUCUUUUUACCUUUCCCUUUGGAGGAGGAUGAAGGUUGGAUCAUGAAAUUUUCUGGAAGUUUUUCUGGUGGUCUAGAAAGAAUGUCUGCAAGAACAUUGGUUUUCCCUUUUAUGUGGAGGACAUUCUGUCACUAAUCGCUUUGACAUUGGACUUGAAGCCCAAUUCGAAUCACAAUAUGCUACAAGUUAUGGAGAACCAACUACAGCACAGAAUAAACCUUGUCCUGGAUCCUUUUUAAUGUAUCUGACUAUUCUAAGAGCAGCUUUAUAAUGCGACUUCUUGGGUCGUUGCAUAAACUGACUGGAUGUUGUACCACAAACGUCAUAUCUAGCCUUGUAUGAGUCAAGUACAAAAGCCUUCUAAUAAGCCUUUGAUAUAAUGAAACAUCUGUCAAUACCUCAUCAUCAUGAUUCAUUUGCACCAUCUCAUCUUACUGGAGAUGUCAAGUUUUGAUUUUGUUCUAAAGGAGUGACAACUAUCUUUCCUCCCCCUUACCUCGUGUCUGAAAUUAAUUCAAGAGCAUAUUUGCGUUGAUUCAGUACAAUUUCAAACUGUGAUCUUGUGAUUUCAAUGCCAAGAAAAUACUUUGAGAUCACCUAAAUCUUUCAUUUUGAAAUUUUGAUGCACAGUUCCUUUAAGCUCAUUUAUAAGCUUGGUAUCAUUUCCAGAAAUCAACAAAUCGUUAACAUAUAUCAACAUGACAACCAGCUUAUAACCUUUCUUCUUGAUAAAACGAGAAUAAUCGUACUUACUUUGUGAAUAACCAUUUAGAAGAAUAGCUUUAGUAAGCUUUAGAUUCCACUGUCAGACUUAGCAAUUGACAUACUCUAGUCUCUCUUUGAUUGCGAAAAUCGUCUGGAAGAGUCAUAUAAACCUUCUCAUGUAAAUCUCCUUGCAUUAUAGGCAUCCAUUUGAAACAAGGGCCAACCAAACUAUACAGCAAGAGCAAUGACCGUGCAAAUUGUGACUUGCUUCGCAACAGGGGAAAGUGUCAUGAAAAUAAAAAACCUGCCUGCUGAGUAUAACCCUUCCUAACAAGUCUGGCUUUAAAUCUUUCAACCGAGCCAUCAGAGCUGUACUUGACCUUGUAGACCCAUAUGCAACCAAUGGGCGUUUUACUAGGAGGUAAAGGAACUACCUCCCACGUGACAUUUGAUUCCAAUGCUUGAAUUUCUUGAUCCAUGGCCUUUAUCCAAUGUUUAUCCUUAAUUGCUUCACUUUAGGUUUAAGGUUCAAUAAUAUGGGAAAUGGAGGCAGCAAAAAAUUGUGUAUGCAAAGGUAAAUGAGCAUCAGCUAUACAAUUAGAUAUAGGGUACUAACCUUUAUGGAGUGAAGAAGAUAAAGAAGAGCAAUUUAAAUCUUUCAUCCAUGUAGGAUCCUUAAAAGAACGAGUAGUGCGAUGUAAAGACAGCUGGUAAGGUAGUAGACUACGAAGGUAAUAAGGACUGGUUGGGAAAUGGAGCUGAAGAACGACAAGGAGCUAAGGAUGAACAUUUCAAAUGGGAUUUUUCCAAUUCAAAGCUGAAGUAGGUAAUCUGUUAACAAUAUAACAAGCAGCAAGGAUACACUCGCCCCAAAAUUUGGUAGGUACAUUAGACUGAACUUUGAAAGCACAUGCUAUUUCUAACAAAUGUCGAUGCACACAAGAACUUUGAUGUAUUAUGCCUAAGAAGAAAAAAAAGGAGUAUAUUCAGAGUUAAAGAACUCAGUACUUAUGACUUCCAAAAGUUUUAACAACAGUUGAAAAUUGCGUGUGAACCAAGGCUAUAAACUGUUUCAAAAUGACAAUAGUGUCGGUUUUAAGCUUAAACAGAUGAACCAAAGAAAAAGGAGAAUCCGCUCGAGAAUAACUAAUAGGAAAUGGCAAUCGUGUUUGUUUAGUAAGAGGACGAACAUGGCAUGGACUAAUAUAGUCACUGUUCCAAAAUGAAAGAAACAUGGCCAAGUCCGGCAUGCCAAAGGAAAGACUGAUCAUGAGAUGUCAAAAAGGAAGAAAUGGGAGAAGAUACAAAAGAUGGCAAUUGAGGCUGUUGAUGCACCAGAAUGUAAAGAUCAUUCUGUUCUUUACCAAUCCCCUUCACUUGUCCACUGCAAAGUUGCCGUAAAAGGCAAAAAUCGGGAUAAAAGGAUACAAAACAAUGUAAGUCUCGAGUUAACUUGAAAACGAAAAUUAAAUUGAAAUGAAAGUCUGGGACAUGAAGGGCAUUGGUUAACUUGAUAGAGGAGGACAAGACAUAGGAACCCAUGUGAGUAAUAGGGACGGAUUUACCAGUGGGAAAUUGGACAAAUGAAGAAUGAAAAGUAAAAGGAACAAGAGAAUCCAAAUAUUGGCAAUCAGAUAUCAUGUGGUUGGUGGCCCUCGUCUCCAAAAUCCAUUGGAAAGAUGCAGGCCAAGAAACCAUACCUGCCAUGUGAGCAGCUACUCCAACAGUUGAAGUGAACUCAAGACUGAGUAAAUUCAAGAUCAGUAGAUACUGUGCCUGAAUAAACACAGGUGCAAAUACUAUGGUAGCAUUGUUAGUCAUAGUUGACCUUUGUUUUGUAAAUUUAAAAUCAACAGGAUACCCAAUAAGCUUCUAACAAGUUUCCCGUUUGUGACCUUUAAUCUUUCAAUGGUCACACACAUCUUUCAAUGGUCACAGAAUACAAUGUUGUAGGUUCAGAAGGAAAAGAUAUGCCAGAAGAAUGUUGUCUUUGAGCUUCCUCUUGAACAAGCACGGAAUUAGCUUAAUUAACAGAAGGUAAGGGUUCCAUUAACAAAACCUGACUUCCAACAACAGCAUAAGAAUCAUUCAGGCCCAUCAGAAACUGAAAUAACCACUGUUGUUGAAUAAGUUGUUGAUUCAUGCGGGAAUUUUCACAAGAAAAAGAACCAAAGCAUCGUAAUCCCACAAAAGCUUCAAUCGUGUAAACAAAACUGAAACAGAGUAAGUACCUUGAGCAUGGGAAGCAAUCUCACCAUGAAGAACCAUCGACUUUCUCAUAUCGUUCUUGAAGUUCUUUCCAUGUUGACAAAAAUAAACUGUGCGGUAUAAUUAUAUAAUUAACGUCGCUCAAAAUUAACAUAAAAUUUCAAUAUUUGUAAAUUCGAAUAAAGAAGGUGAAAUUCAAUUAUAUUACUUUAUAUACUCAGUGCUUUCUAUGUAAAUUAUUUUCAUUAUUUUAAAUAUAAAAUGUUUAUAUUAACAUGAUAAAAAAUAAAUUAAAUUAUAAAUUAAAUAAAAAAUAAAAUUCAGUUUUAGUUACAUUCAAAUACUCGAUUUUUGGGGUUUUCUGCGCCCUAAUAGUAGGAAAAGAAAAUUCUCAUCAAACCCUAAAGCCCAUAAAAGAAAAAGUGAGAAGUUUAGUUGAUCUAUCAGAAUCUCAAGCACUCACCCUUAAUUUGCAGUAAGUUGCGAGUCUGCAAUUCUUUAGACCCCUUUUCUCAAUUGAUUUUCUUCUUUAACCAAUCGUUUCUCUCGCGCUCUGUUUCUUUUAGGAUGGCCGAUGAACAUAUUUCCACAGUCCUGGAGCAGCUACGACGAAUCAUGGCCGACGAAAGAUUUCGGAACUCGGAGUUUCAGAUAAACUUGCUUGUAUGGAGACUCGAAGCUUUUCAAUCUAUGAUUCUUUAACAUGGGGACGGGCUAUUUUCGGUUCGGCUAUUGGAGCGUGGGAUUACUGUUCAUGCACUCGAUCAAGUGCUAUAUAACAUAGAAGAUGUAAUUAACGACGUCUUACAUUUAGGAGUAUCUACUGAAUUAGCAGCAGCAGGCCUUGAGAAGUUUGCUUCUACUCAAUCAAAAGCAGCAUCAGCAGAAACAGCCACUCUUUACAUCUUGCGCAAGAGGUUGGAAGAAUUGGAGGAGGUAUUGAUUGGUAAUCCGCAUGAAUCGCAUCCCUUGCACUCUAAACGAUCUUUUUUUGUAAAAUUGUCAAAGUUAUAUGGUCUAGAUGUGGUUAAGAAAGAUAUAAUAAAUGUAAUUUUGGGUGAAAGUUUCAGGGAUAGUAGCGACAGCAUUAAAACCAUCAUUAUUGUUGGCAUGGAAGGAACGGGGAAAACAUAUCUUGCGCGGUGCAUUUGUACUGAUUGUCAAGUUCUGGAAAUUUUUGACAACAUAAUUUGGGUGAAUGUUUCGGAUGAUUUUGAUUUAGGUAAAAUUGCAAGAAAAAUUAUUCUGUCUCUUGAAGGUUUGGAGCAUGACUCUUUGCGUCUCCUAACAUUAGUUCCAUUGCAAAGUCUGUUAGAUAGAAUUCAGCGAAAGAUUGUUAACAAGAAAUCACUUCUUGUUUUAGAUGGUGUGGGGAGAUAUGAUUGUGAUGAUUGGGAAGCACUUAGAGCUGUUUUUCAACAUGGCAUGUCGGGGAGUGGGAUUCUAGUGACUACUCAUGAGCACUCGGUUGCAGGAGCAAUGGAAUCAUCUUAUAAAUUUUGUUUGGGAAAGCUGUCUGAUGAGUUGUGUUGGAUGAUACUUCGUGAAGUUGGAUUGAAUGAUGAUACUCUUGAAUAUGCGGUAGAGGAUAUAGGAAGGGAACUUGCAAGGAGGUGUGAAGGACUACCCUUUGCUGCAAAGGUUUUGGGAGAUGCUAUACGACAUUAUGACUUUGGAAUAAGAGGAUGGGAUGUUUUUCUGAGAAAUUGUAUCUGGAAAUCUCCUAGAAUACCCAAAUAUAUGUCUAAAAUUCUAUCACUAUCUUAUUGCAAUCUACCUUUGUCUGUAAGACGGUGCUUAUCGUAUUGGGCUAUCUUCCCCAAAAGCUUUGAGAUUUCAAAAACUCUUUUGGUGCAACACUGGAUGGCACAAGGUUGUCUGUACUCAUCUGAUAAUUUAGAAAUGGAACUAAAAGGUGAAGAGUACUUUAAAUGCUUAGAAGCUCAUUCAUGUUUCCAAUAUUGUACCAGAGAUGGUGGUAUGCUUACUUGUAAGAUGCAUAGCUUAGUACAUGAUUGUGUCCAAUCUUUGUCCCCAUAUGAUUUAAUGAUGAGGUUCGAGUCUGUUAAACAGCUGACCUUGAAUUUAUCUUCUUGGACGGAGGAGGUCAAAGUUGUUGGCACUCAUCAUUUGGUAAUGAUGAUUGCUCAAGGAGCUGGUUUUCCCAUGGACAUUAGUGGUGCAGAGAAAUUGAGGACCCUUGUUGCUGUUACUCAAGGGUGUUUGAUAACUAGUCAAGCAUUAUCUAACUUAUUUAAACAAUCCAAACAUCUGAGGUUAUUGGAUUUGAGCUUGACUAGUGGGUGGCAUAAUUGUUUUGGGCCAUCCGGACAAGGUAAUAUACUAGAUGAAAUUCCGGUGGAAAUCUGCAGAUUGAUUAAUUUGAGGUACCUUAGCUUGGCUGGCAGCAAAGUAUUGAAGAUAUUACCAGAAACAUUGUGUGACUUGCAUAAUUUGCAAUCCUUGGAUCUUACUGGUUGUAGUAGUCUUAGAAAAUUGCCAGAUGGAAUGGGGAAAUUAAUGAACUUGAGGUAUUUUUAUACCUGGUGUUGCUCUAGUAUAACUUCCUAUCCAAAAGGGAUUAGCUGCUUAACUUCUCUUUGAGAAUUAACCAAUGUCAUUGCUAGAGCUGAUCACAAUGAUGCAAAGGAAUUCACUCUUGGAGAUUUUGAAAAGUUGAACAACCUUUGUGGACAUGUUCGUGUGAAACUGGUAGGGAAUGCGAUGGAUGCAGAUGAGGCUAUUAGAGCUAACCUUUGGAACAAGAAGGAUCUUGACCGUAUCAGAAUAAAUCUGGAUGGGGAUAUAGGGAAAGAAAGCCAAGACGUUAUAAAGAAAGCAUUAAACCCGCCUUCCGACUUGAAUAUAGAGUUCGUAGGUUGGUGGUUCUAGUCCAGAAAUGUAAGGAUGCUGCAAAGCAACAGGUAGUCUCUCUGUCUCAUUUUCUCUUUUGUUGUAGCUUUGAUGGUUCAAAUUCAGUAUUUACUCCUAUGAUUCAUUCAAACCCAAAUUUCAGUUGUGUUAUAGUAGUUCUAGUUUCUGUUGUUAUCAUCUGAUUAGAUGGAAUAUUAUGAAAUCUCUUAUAACAUUACAAUGACAAAGAUAUCGGCUUGUCUAUCACAUGAAAUUUCUCUCUUGCUAAAGCAUGCUCUGAAUGAAUCACUUUAAAACGGCAAGAUAACUUAGAUUAUCCUUAUUUUCUUUUGCUGGACAUACAUAUCCCGUGAGAGACAUUGUCGUUAUCGGUGGUACUGUAGUUAAAGUUGGAGUAUAUUUUUAGUAUUUUAGUUUUUAUAUUAGGAUUUAAUCAGUUAUUAAGAUGGAUUUUUUCUGGAAAAAACAUGGAUACUUUUUUCUAAAAUUUUUUAUUAACUCUUUUGAAAUUUGUUAAAUUUUUAAUUAUUUUUAUUAGUUUUUGAAUUUUUAUGAAUUAUAGGUAGGCUACCACACGAAUUGAUCACGUCAAUAUUGUUAAAAUUUUAAUAAUCUUUUUAAUUCAAAAGAAAGUAAUAUAACUAAAUUGUAAAGGUUAAGUGUAAAAGUCAAAAUGACAAAAUAAGUCAACAUUAAAAGAUUAAAUUUAUCACGAUGCCUUUUUUAUAUACUCAUAAUUAAUUAUAAUAAAAAGUUAACUUUAUUCAGAUAUAUUUGUUAUUUUAAAUAAAUAUUCAGAAUACAACUUGAAAAUAAUCUCAUGUUUAUAAUUAUAACACGAAAACUUUACUUACUAUAUAAUGGAAGAGUAUUUGGUAUAUUAACAGUGUGCCUUUUUUUAUUGCACAAGUAUGUGUAAAAGAUUGAUAUAUGUCUUUAUUUUUUAAUAUUUUAUUAUACUUUCUAAGACACUUGUCAAUCUUUUAACUUUGCUUAUAAAAUUUAAAAAUUCCACUAAUAAUCUCACCUAGCAAAAUGGAUUAAAAACAUUUAAAGUAAUUUAGUUGAAUUAUGAUAAAAGGUCAAUGUAUUCUAAAAUGCUAAAUGGCAUAAAUUUGAGUUUGUCAAAUUCUCUAGCAUUGGGAGGUAAGUCAAAUUGCAAACUAAGUUGAAUAUUUUUUGGCUUUUCAGUAAUCAUAUUCAUGCUAAUAUUUUUAGAUUUAAUUCUCACUUUCAAUAUUAAAAGAGGGUUCAAAUGCAACUUGGAGUCAACAUGAACAUGAUACUUUGAAAACCCUAAAGGGCACUUGCACUCUUGUUUUGGAGGUGAGGUUAAGAAGACCUACAACAAGUUUUAAUAGAAUUUGAUAUAGUUGAAAAAGAUUCAGAGGAAAAUGGUACCAAAAUCUACAGUCGUGGAAUACGAUGACUGUAUUAAAAUAUAUGAAAUUGGUUGAUGGUUUUAUUUAUUGUCUCUUAAUAUUUUAACUAAUCAAUUAAGUAGUAAUGAGAAGGACAUGACACUUAAUCAUUAUAGUUUCUAGUUAAAGUUUAGGAAGAUGCAUUGACAUCAAUUCACUAAUUUUUUAUGAAAAAUGUUUUUAACCGGUUCAUAUCCCCAAUACCAUUGAACGUUGAAUCAAAUGGUUUUGUUGAUUAGAGAAAGACACUAAGAAAUGUAGAGGAACAUGUAUGCGUAAGAGAGAAUUUGAGGCACAUUUAAUAAGUUAACUUUGGAAAUUUUAUAUGUGGAUAAUAGCAACGAAGAAAGAGACUGUUGAGAAUGAUCAAACUUGGAGCAUAUGUUUAGAUCCAUGUGGAGGUACCUAUUAGGUAAGUGAAACAAGCAAUUGAAAUGAUGGAGAGUUUAGUACACCGGUAUCGUACUAUGAUAAUUUAUGGUCAUUUUUAAUUAAUACAAGUCAAAAAUAAUAAUAUUUAAUAAACCUAAAAUUAAUGGGCAAAUAGUGAUGAGUUAUCCUAAAAUAGAAUUGAAGAGGAUAAGGUCCUACAAUUAAUAAUAAGAAAAGUGAAGACUCUUUGAAAAGAUUAAGGAUGUACUUUGAUUAAGAGUGGUUAUAAAAAAAAAAAUUGGGGGGAAGGGAUAGAGUGGAGUAAGGAAAGUGGUGUGAUUGCCCAUUAACAUAAGUAAGAAAUAUGCGAAUGAUUGCCCAUUAACAUAUAGAGUAGGUAAAAUUGACUUGUUUUUCUAGAAAGACAAUAGAUAAGCCUAAAAAGUUAUAAAAAGUAAUUGUUAAAAUAGUUAAAAUGAGAGGAAAAAAUAAGAUAUUUUUGUUUAUGAGAAUUAAGUGUCGUGAGUCGGGACGAAAAGAUUAAUCAUUGUUACGACAGUAAAUACCUUGAUUACAACGAAAAAGAUAAAAUACCAUUUUACUUUAUAGAAAAUUCUCAUGAUUUUAUAAAAUAUACCAUGAAUAUAUUAAAUCAUAUAAAAAGCGUAAUUCUAUAACUCAUACCUAAUUUAAAUACAGGAUGGUAUUUAGAAUGAUUAUAAGAAAAUGCUUGUUCAUGAAUGUUGUGAGUUUUCCGAAUCUUGGGGACAAUGUACCCUCUGGCUCCCGUCAGGAUUCACCUGGUAAUUUAUAAAAAGGAAUAAACAAUCACUUGGUAACUCACAACUCACAAGGCAUAAAAUAUAAUCACGUCAAGCAGCAAAACACAAACCUUUUUUAAUAUUCCAAUCUAAUACAAGUGAUAAUAUCAACUCUUAGAGCCCUAACUCUUAAAGUAUCAGCACAUAAUUUUAACCACUUACUUUUAAUAAAUACCACCAUCACUACCAUUAUCACCAUCGACAGAGCCUCUCAAUUCAUAUGUCCUGCAAAAAAUGGUGUCAACACUAACAAAAAAACCAAAAUUAUAUCAUUAAAAUAUAUUUGUAUUUCUUAAAAGGCAGAUCAUUCAGUUUUUCUGGACAAGUUUCCCUAUGCAAUCUAAUACAAGUGAUAAUAUCAACUCUUAGGGUCUGUUUGAUUGACGGAAUUGAUUUUCCGGAAAAUCAUUUCCAACUUUUCCAGCGUUUGAUUGGCGGAAAACAUUUUCCAUUUGGAAAAUGAACUCCAAAACAAGGGAAAAUGAGUUACAUUUUAGGGAAAAUGUCUUACUCUUUCAAUUUCUAUAAUUUUAGGCUUUUCCCACCUACCUCUAAUUACACAAAAUAUUUUCAGAUUUAAUUUACUAAUUUUGGCUUUUACAAGGUCAAGAUUUGACUAUCCCAUCAAAUGUCCCAAAUUUAUAAUUUGGUCCCUCUUCUCUUUUCCAUGCUUCAAUCUAACCCCUUCUUUGCUUGUUUUUGAUUUAAAGUGCCCGAAUUUUGUUCCUGUCAAUAUUUAAACACAAAACGCACCAAUUACCAGGGAUUAAUUUGAGAAUAAGUCGAGUUGAACACGUAAAUUAUGCAAAAUGAACAAGUUAUCAUUGACCAUUAGUGCUACGUCAGCACAAACAAACGGUGUUAGUGCAGAGAUACCAACCUAGGUGACAGAAUAUAAAUUCAGGUACCAAUUAGAUAAAAAAAAAUCAUACACCAAAUAAAUACUUUUGAAUAAGUUCGAAAAUAGACGACAAAUUAUCCUUUCUUUUCUCUUUUUAUCUACCUGUAAUAUUUGAAUAUGAAAAGAAGUUACACAACUUUUCAAUUUCAAUAGUAGUUAUUUAACUUUGCCUAGUUGAGUUUUACAUAAAAUUUCUUUCUUUCGUUGAACAUGCUCUCAAUGAAUCACUUCAAACCCCCAAGAUCCUAAUAUUUUGCAGAACAUAUCAAUUGAGAGGCUCUAUCGAUGGUGGUGGUGGUGUUAGAAUCCGUUUAUGCUGGUGGUAGCAUUUUGUAUUUUUUUUUAUCGUAUUUAUUAAAAAUAAGUGGUUAAAAUUACGUGUUGAAAAUUUAAGAUUUAGAGCAUAUCGCCACUCGUAUUAAAUUGUAAUAUAAGCAUCGAUUGUAAAAAGAAAAGUUUGUGUUUUGCUUGUACUGUCUCAUAAAAGACAUUAAGUAAUUUCGUUGUCGUGUUUAUAUUUUAUGCCUUAUGAGUUACCAAAUGGUUGUUCAUUCCUUUUUAUAAAUUACUAGCCGAAUCCUCUUCAGUGAAGGAGCUUGAAAAUUUUUUGGGAGGGUCGGAAUUAAAUUGUAUAUUUGUAUGAUGGUAAAAAUAGAAUUUUAUAAUUUUAAUAGCUUAUAUCUUUAUAAUUUUUAAAAGGUUAAAUCAAAAUUGUAUCAUUUUAAGAGGUCAAAGUAUAGUUUUACUAUUACUAAUUUAAAAUUUUAUAAAUUAUAAAGGGCCUAAAUUAAAAUUUACUAUUUUAAGGGGGCUAUGGCGCCUUGGGUCUCCACUACAUUAUGCCACUGAUCCUCAUGGAAGACAGAGGCUACCUUGACCCCCAAGAUUUAGAAAAUUGCCAUUUGACCUUUUUAAUUUUAUAAAAUUUUUAAUUUAGUUUAUUAAAAUUCUGUAAAUUUUCAUUAAACAAUUUUUAAAACUUUUAAUUAGAUCUCUCAAAUUCUUUUUGGAAAUUCUUAUUUUCUCAAUUAAUUUUUUAAUUAAACUAUUCAGAAUUUUUGAUAAUUCUCAUUAAACCUUUUUAAAAUUCUCGAAAUUUUAAUUAAAUUGGUAAAAUUUGAAAAAUUUUAGUGAAGGGAAUCCCUCCCACAUAUUGAUCAAGAAAGCUUUGAAAAAAUAUUAAUUAAUUAUAUGUUUGAGAGAUUAAUAAUGUACUAUUUGGCUCCCAACAAUAAUAAUUCACUCUUAAUUUUGCUUCUUUUCCCUUUUUCUUUUACUUGUUUUUGUGAAAGAUAUCAUAAUAUAUGUUUUAAAUAAUUAAUGUAAUAAUAGAAAUAUUAAAAAAUAUAGUUAAUAGUAACAAUAUUUUAUACAAGCACAAUGACUUAUUCAAUUCUCCAAUUUUACAAAAAGAGACCAAUAAGUGAUUAGAUGUAAUGACAGGUCACAUUGCAUUCCCAAAAGAACUGCCUAAGUUCGAACAUCAUAAGUAAUAUAAAAACUUAAACAAAGUCAUGUAACAACCCAUAUAUCAAGUAUCACCAAAUACCAUUUCAUUCUUAUUCCAUUGUUUAGUUUCUAUUUUCAAUCAACUGAAUAUCGUCCGAUGGAACUAUAGCAAAACGGGCUCAAAUACACGGGAAUAAGUUGGUCACACAAGUUGACAGUAUAUUAGGGCUGCUCAGACAAGUUGACAUUACAACAGAAUUGCUCACAUAAACUGAUAUUAUAUCAAGGUUAUUCAUCUGGGCUAAACCUUCAAUAUGUAUAACCCGAGAAUUUGAGACAAGCCCAAGAACUCAUCCUAUGUAAAAGGGGUGCCAAACCCUAGUGCAUAGUAGGGUAUGUUGCCGCCCCUUAGUGUUUUGAAUAAAGGGGAACUGUAGUAUCAUAUUAAAACAAUACUAUUUAAUUACUCAUUAUUCAAGUAAAACUUUUGUACUAUUUUCCUAAAAUAGGAUCUAUGAAAUGAUUUAAUUACACCUAUCGCUGUUAUUUUAUCAUAAAAUAGUGGUAAUUUGUUUAUAAGAAUAAAUUCUAUAUUCUGAAAAGCUCAAAGUUUUCGAUUUCUAUAUAGAGAAUUAACUUUCUCACUAAAAGUUCAUGAAAGAUUGGUUGAACUGGGCAAAAAAAUUGGUCGAAUUAGAUGCGAUUGAACUGGUUGAACUAAAAUAUUUUAAUAUAUUUUUAUUUUUUAUGAAUUUUUUAUGAUUUAUUUAAUUGAAUUAGACUAAUCAAUCAAACCAAUUGAAUCAAUUGGAUCAACAAACUAGUAACCUUAUUGGUUUGAUCAUCGAUUUAGUUUUUAAAACCUUAGAUUUCGUCAUACCGUUUCAAUUAUUAUACCUUAUAAAUAAAAUAUAAAGUAAACCAGUGGUGAAAUUAGGGGGAUUGGCAAGGGCCCUGGCCCUCCCUAAAAUGAUUUUUUUUUUCAUAUGGACCCUCUAAAAAAAUUAAAAUUUUAAAUUAAUAAAAAUAAAAUUAUACUUUGGCUCCCCUAAAAUAUAAAAAUUUGAUUUAAUCUAUUAAAAAUUAUAAAGAUGUAGUCUAUUAAAAUGGUGAAAUUGUAUUUUUCUAUCGUAAAAAUUACAAUUUAAUUUUAGCCCAUAAUUUUUUUUUUCUAAUUUCGCACCUGAAAUAAGCUAUAUUUGAUUAAAUUUAUUAUUUUACCUUACAUACAAAACACAAAAUAAACAUUUAACUAUACAAAAUUAAUUGAUGAAUUGUUUUACUCAGUUGAAAGUAGAACAAAUAAUUGAUCCAAGAGGAAAGUGAAAUUUAUCCUUUUAUACGUCGAACAUUAGCGAAAAGGACAAAAAAGAAAUUUUGGGUUAUUUGGCUUUUGUUUCCUGCUGCUCUCCUCAAUCCAUUGACGCUGUUUCACCCCCUUUCUCUCGAUUUCUCAAUGUUUCUUUUCCUGUAAUUUGUUGUGAUUUGAAGUAUAAAUCAGGGAGAAGUAAAAGCUAUCAUAAAAAUGGCGGAGGCAAUUCUUACGGUAGUCUUGCGACAGAUAACAACAAUCUUGAGUGACCAAGCGGUAAAAGAGAUGACGAUGUGGGGAGACCGCGAGGCUGCUCUCAAAAAUCUUGAAACAUAUCUGAAAUCCAUCCGAUCCGUUCUCAAAGAUGCAGAGGACCUUCAAAUUACAGACGAUGCAAUCAAACUGUUGCUAGAAGAUCUGAAAAUUGUAAUUUAUGAAAUCGAGGAUGUGUUGAAUUUAUGGAGCUGUAAAGUACGGAAGGCAGAAUCUGUUCGUGCCAAGGUAAAUUGUCUACUUGAAUUCAUUGCAUAUCGUCGUAGUUCUGAUAGAAUAAAGAAGAUUUGUGAAAAACUGAGUCCAUUUGAGCUGAAAAACAAGCUGGAUCUGGGCAAGAGUAAAAUUAUAUCUCCUCUGCGGAACAAAGAAAGUACUAGCUAUUGUGAUCUAUCAAAAAUUAUUGGUCGAAGCGGAAUAAAAACUGAGUUAGUGUUCCGUUUAGUUUNNNNNNNNNNNNNNNNNNNNNNNNNNNNNNNNNNNNNNNNNNNNNNNNNNNNNNNNNNNNNNNNNNNNNNNNNNNNNNNNNNNNNNNNNNNNNNNNNNNNNNNNNNNNNNNNNNNNNNNNNNNNNNNNNNNNNNNNNNNNNNNNNNNNNNNNNNNNNNNNNNNNNNNNNNNNNNNNNNNNNNNNNNNNNNNNNNNNNNNNNNNNNNNNNNNNNNNNNNNNNNNNNNNNNNNNNNNNNNNNNNNNNNNNNNNNNNNNNNNNNNNNNNNNNNNNNNNNNNNNNNNNNNNNNNNNNNNNNNNNNNNNNNNNNNNNNNNNNNNNNNNNNNNNNNNNNNNNNNNNNNNNNNNNNNNNNNNNNNNNNNNNNNNNNNNNNNNNNNNNNNNNNNNNNNNNNNNNNNNNNNNNNNNNNNNNNNNNNNNNNNNNNNNNNNNNNNNNNNNNNNNNNNNNNNNNNNNNNNNNNNNNNNNNNNNNNNNNNNNNNNNNNNNNNNNNNNNNNNNNGCAUCUUUCUAACACCAACAACAUUACUGCCAUCCUAAUAAACCAUAAGUACCAUUUCCACUCCAUCAUCAUCAUCAUCUUUCUGUUUUCACUUCUCUCUCAGCUAUAUGUUACUUUUUGUUAACUUCUAUAUGUAUAUAAUCUAAAGAAGCCUAAGCUUCUUAUUUAUAUACAAGCAGAACAUUUUGCAUCCCACUUAUUCAAUAUAAUAUAAAAAUAAUAUAUAAUUAAUUAAUUCCUCAAAAAUUGGAUCAAUCUAGGCUUCUUAUUUACGUAAAUUCCUUAUUGCAAAAACUCUUGGUAGAAAUUCGUUAGGAAAGGAUGAAUGGACCACAAGAAUGCUUAUCAACUCUUGACUUUGGCGUCCAAUGCUAAAUUUAUUUUAAAAUUUCUUCAUGGAGACAAGAUGGGAUGACAAGAAUGAUAAGUUUUAAGUCAUUUAAGUUUACACAAUUUUAAUCACUCAUAAAAACAAGUAUUGACAUUCUAUUAAAGAAUUUAAACAUGGCUUAACGUUGAUUUUAAAUCUAAUGUUGAUGUUAAUCUUGAAAAAAGAAUGGCCAAAAAAAAUAUGAAAAGUGAGAGGUGGACAUAAAAUAGUGUAGUUGGGGUUAUAAAAUUCUUCAUGUAGACAUAAUAUUUUUUUUAUGCCUUUUUUACACUUAUAUAGAGUUAGUCUUGACUUUGCUUUAUUAAUAGAAAUUUUAGGUCUUCAUUUUUUGUUUUAUUCAUGGACAUAAUAUUUUCUUAUUUUUAUUUUAUGGUCUAUGAUCGAGGUUUAUGACUAUCCCCUUUCAACAACGUCGUCUCAACUGUUCAAACAUACACUUGCAGGUAAAAUAAUACUUUUUAAAAUCACAAAUAUUUAAAAUAAUACAUUGCAGCUAUAUAAAUGCUUUCUUGUUUAAGAUACUAAUAAAGUAAUUAACAAAGUAAUUAUUAUACCUAUAAUAAUUCAAAAUGCCACUUGUUAUCUAAUGAAGUAUAGGGGUGUAAAUGAGACAUCCGUACCCGCAAGCUAUUCGAAUUUGGCUCAAAAAAUUUUGAAAUUGAUUCGGUAAUUAUUGAGCCGAGCUAUAGGUCGAUCCGGAUUCGAGCUUAGUAAUACUUGACUCGAGUAGUUUGAGAGCCUUAUUGAACUUUUUAUAUUUUUAUAUUAUUAGAUUACAUUAUUGCUAUUAAUAUAUAUUAUUAACCCUAAGUUUAAUUAUUGAGGCGAGCUCAAACUCGAGUACAAAAAUUGAUAAACAUAUUUAAUUUCGAGCUUAAAAAUAUAUGUUCGAUCGAGCAUCAAGCUUUGAAUUUCAAAUUAAACUUGAGUUUAACAGUAUUGAGUUCAAAUAGAUUCAAUUACACCCUACAAUAAAAUAUACCAACAAAACCUACAUUCCAUCUUUGCUAUAAAUUUUAUGUAUGUGUGUGUUUAACGUGAGUUCCAUCUAUGUCCAACUUGAUGACGAUGAAAGUUCCUAUGGUGUAAAAAGUUUUAGUUAUGUGGAAAAAUAAGGCCUUCUCUUCACACGUUUAAUAUGCUUACUUGUGUCGGUCAUUUCGAUCUUCACAUCAAUUUUCAAAAAGUUGGAAAACUUAUGUCUGCUUUUAUGAUUCUUUUAUGUGUGUGUUUAACGUGACUUCCUUGUGAGUUCCAUCUAUGUCCAACUUGAUGACAAUGAAAGUUCCUAUGGUGUAAAAAGUUUUAGUUAUGUGGAAAAUUGGUGGAAAACUUACGUCUUUUUCACUUGCUUUUAUGAUUCUUUUUACAUGAUAUUACUAUAUAAUUAAAUUGAAAUACUGAUAAAUUUGAACCCAUAUGAUGUAAGUCUAGGCAUCAUCUAAUUUAUUGAUAUUUAAUUAAUUAAUAUAUAUACUUUCAAUUAUAAGAAUUGAAACAUAACUUUCAAGUCAAUUGGAGUAUGCCCCUGUUACACGUCAAAAGAAGUAGAUUUUGAACUCAACAUGAACCUGUGAGAUUUGAUGCCUAAAAUAUAGGUAUAAGGUUUCAAUUCAUGGAAAUGUUGGAAAUCUUGGAAAUUUCUUAGUCUCCUCUCUUUGGAUGUUUUUGAACAAAAAUGUUUUAAGUCUCUUCCGAUGCUAAACUUCUGAUUGGUCGUCGGUUCACUGACCCUUUGGUACACAGCAAUAUGAAGCAUUGGCCAUUCAAGGCCAUUGCUGGUCCUGGUGAUAAGCCAAUGAUUGUACUACUAUAGAUUUGAAUAUUUGUACACAUUUGAUCGGCUCUUCGUAAAUUUAAAUCUUACAAAUUCGGAUAAUAUUUGAACUUUGAAUGUAUGUUUUGUUGGUGAGAAUAUAAAGUUGAUAAAGAUUUGGUAAAUAGAGUAAAAUAUUAUUUUUAUUAGAAAAAUUAUUUGGUACACUGCCAAUCGAGGUAAUUAAAACAUGUCAUUAUAAAUAAUAAAAUUAUGAUGACUCAAAUAUACGAACACGUCAAAAUUUAUGUACAACGAAUUAUUAACAUGUAAAUGUAUAAUACGGUACGCAAAAAUAAGAUAAUUGCUUGUUUUUUUAAUUGAAUUGUUAUAACAUAUUAUACAAAAUACAUUGUGACUUAAAGCAUAAAAUGAACUUGAUAUCAAAAUAUUAAAUUUUUUUUAAAAUUCAAUGAUACGAAUAAUUAUGUAAAAUAUAACAUGAUGCAAAAUAUCUUGAGAGGAAAAGAGGAAUAAAGAAUUGCAUUAUUUGUGAGGUUUUAAAAUAUUCCAGUUUUAGAUUCAAUUUUCUAGUAUGUUUGGUUUAAUUUUACAUUAGAUUUCCUUUUCAGUAUGCACUAGUGAACGCUUAGCAGUCAGUUUAAUUUAAUUCAAAGAGAUAUUGCAUAUACAUAAUAAUGGAUUAUGAUUUUACAUUAAAUUUCAUAGAAGAAAAAGAAAUAGAUGGUUGAAAAUGAUAAAACCAUAAGAUAAAAGAGCUUUUAUUCAAAAUGCAAAAAUCAACAAAAUAUUCAUUAUCGCUCAACUUAGCAUAAUUAAACAUUUAGGUGUGGAAACAAGUCACAAUUUGAGUAGCUAAACACAUUGCUUGAAAAUGUGAUAAGUAAGAAAAUUGCCCACAUUUGAGUAGCGACAUGUGGUGAAGCAUUUCCCAACGAGAGAAAACUAAGCUCUUCACCAGUAUGGAUUUAUGUAGAGGACAACAAAAAUUGUCAACAACACAACUACAUAAGAAACCAAAAAGCUCACAAAAAAAUCAUAAGUAUCUAUCAAACCAUCUUCUCCUUUAUCUUCUGAUACAAUUGAUAUCGCUGAUGGUGAAUCGGUUUUGGAACAACUUUUAUGCAAUAUAUCUCCACAACGAAAAGGAUUUCCCUCAUAACUGUUUUCAAUAAAGGUCCCAAAUUGAGCUUUUGGUUCGGGAAUACUACCUGACAAAUUGUUAUAUGCCACGCUGAAAACCUCCAAAGAGUUCAACUCUACCAAUUGAUUGGGGAUUUCACCACACUCAAGUUGUUGUAAGAAAGGUCCAAACUCUCAAUGUGCUGAAGUUUUGAGAAUGAUGAGGGUAUAACUCUGGUCAACUUAUUGUGUGACAAGUUUAAAGAAUGGAUUUCACUCAAGUUCCCUAAUUUUGGUGGGAUAUGACCAGUUAAGUUUUUGCAAGAUAAAUCAAUCCCAAUAAUAUAUGAAAGGAUGUUGCCCUUGUACGAAUAGAACCCACUCUUUGUUGUGAACUCUAUUACUUCUUCUAAGUAGCUGUCAGGGUUGUAAGGAUUUAUACCCCUUUCCCAUUUUCUCAUCACAAUGGAUGUUGAUUCAUCCUUUUCUAUAAAUGGAAGAUAGAACCCAGUUGCUAGACUCUCUUUCUCUUUCAGUGGAAGAGAUAAAUUUCCCAAACAAGAAGGUAUAGGACUAGAAAACAUAUUUUGAGAAAGAUCUAUGAUGCUUAAAGAAUGCAACUUGCAUAACUCAAUAGGAACUUUAUCAUGAAAAUGAUUAUCUUUCAGGAGAAGAACACUCAAAGAAGAAAGCGUGUAAAUCCAUUUUGGAAUACUACCUGUCAAAUUGUUUCCUCUAAGAUCUAAAGUCACUAUUGAAGAGUUAUUAUAAAAAAGCAAGUGAUAGUGUGCCUCUCAGUCUAUUCCCGUGGAGGUGGACAUGCUCUAUGUAUGGUGGAUUAAAACAUGACGGUAUAGAGCCAGAUAAAUUAUUUUGAGAAAGAUCCAAAAAUUCCAACCUAUUCAACUUUCAAAAUUCCAUUGGAAUAGAACCUUCAAAACCAUUGUUGGACAAAUUUAAUCUCCACAAAAAUGAUGCAUUCCCUAUCCAUCUUGGGAGCUUUCCAUGCAACUUGUUACUGAGAUCAAUUUCGCUUAGUGAAUUUGGAAACUCAAAAAGAAAUGUUCACACAAAGUUUUUUCCAACAUAUGUCUGUCAUUUGUGGGGUCUUGAAUUUAAUAUCAAUGGUUGAAUUUUCAUAGCUAAUAUGUGCGCAAAAGGCCUAGUGGGUGGAAUUUUAUGUCAGGAAAGCGUUUCUACAAUGACAUAAUUAAUUGCAUUACUUUUCAAAGAUUGACUAUUGACUUUGGUGAGCUUAUUAGGUUAAAUUCUGCUGCUGGUCACUGUUCUUUGUGAAAGUUGUAAAUUUAGUCUAUUUACUUCAAUUUGAUCAAUUUUAAUCCCUAUACAUUUUGAUUUUUAAAAUUUUAGUUGUGACCCAAACAAUAGAGUUAAAUCAAUUUAAUUAAAACCAAUUACUAGUCCUAUAUUAUGUGUACAAUUGUUGAUUUAGUCCAUACUCUCCAAUUGGAUCAUUCUAAGUACCUAUAUUUUUCAAAUUUUAAAAUUUCAGUCUUGAUGCAAAUGACAAUCCUUAGUCCGUUAACUAGAUUUUUAGUAACAUAUGAAAAUAAUAAGAUGAUAUGACAUUACAAAUAUGAUAAUAUUUUUGCGUUAAAUAUGUCAACAAUGACAUAAUUAAUUGCAUUAACUUUCAGACGUUGACCAUUGACUUUUGCUUCAACCUUGAGCUUAUAUAGCCCCUACAAUAAUUUAGGUUAUGGAAAUAAUCUUACAAUUAAUGCCUGAGAAAUUAUUAUAGAUCAAUUUAUAGUUUUAAUCCCUAUAAUUACUCAAUUGAAUUGAAGAUUCAGAUUUUCUUAUUUAAUUUGAUAUAUUUUCUUCUCUUAUUAAUGUUAAUGUUAUGGAUUAGUUUUUUUAAGACAACAUUAUUUUAUUCAAUGAAUAAUAUCAUACAAUUCGAGGAGAAAAUAACAAACACUCGUUGUACUCGUUAAAGGACAAGUUCCAUCAACACAACAAAACCUUUAACUUCAACAUUAAUAGAACAUUAUGGCAUGUUGAAAUCGGCUCUGUCACAACUCAAGCACAACAUAUCAGGAGUGAUUACAAGCACUUAAUAUGGUAAGAAAAUUAACCCCGGAUGGUCCAAAGCGGUGGGCAUAAAUCAGCAAAAGAACUGAGCAUCCACCAAACUAGAGGGGAUGCGGCGACAAAACUAACCCUAAAAUUACUCUCAAAAGCAAGACUAAAAAGCGUACUACAAGAGUAGACAAAAACUUCGAAAAGUAAAGACUUAUUAAACAAUGGAAAAAUAAACAAAAAAAACAUAUAAAACUUAAGAUAACAUGAGUCUAAACCGAGUCAUGAAAUUAUUUAUUAUUUUGAAACUCUCAAAACAUAAACAAAUUAAGAAGUCAACGAAGAGGUACCCACUUUCUAAAAGAAAGUGUUGGUGGUCGGUGGUGUUUCAAUGAUGAUAGGCAUUGUCACCUGUUCAUCACAACUUGUAAAGAUAACAAAAAUACCCACAAAAUAAAUCUGUAAAUUGAAAAGAACGAAGACUCAUGGAGUGAAUGAGAAGAAGAAAAAUAAAAAGGGUUAAUAGAGACAAAGCAGGGCGGUAACUAGUUCAGAGGCUAACACCGCUGCUAGGCUAAAAAAAGAAGAAGAAGCAAACAUGUUAUGGAUUAGUUAAAAUAACUAACAUCAUUGAAAAUUUCAUUACUUGGCUGAUUUGGAUUUUUUUUUUUAAAAAAUUGAAACUAGAAACCAUAAAUGAUCUAACAUUUAGAAACCAUAAAUUGGGUUCAAUUGCUUUGCUGUCCAACUCCAUCCAUCUAAAAUCGCAAGGAUGUACCCAUGUUCAAUAUGCAGUACAGACCCAAAAAUUGACCAUAUAAUGUGGCUCAAGAGAAUUUUCGAAUGGUUUUAAAGAAUUAUGAGAACACAAUGAAUAAAGUUAAGGCAUCAUUUAUUCAGCUUGCUAUAAUGCAGGUCAUUCCAAUAAAGAAGCAUUUUUUAACUAUAUUUUCCGUUACCCCAAUAACAAUGGCACAGAAUGUUCUCCGAUGAACAUAGAACUCACCAUUUUUAGGAACACGUGUAGUUGAGGAUGAGAAUUCGGAUCAACUGUAACUUCAAAUGGUGGAAUGAAAACAUUGUCCAGAAUAUUCUGAAAAGAUUUUUCAAUUCCCAUUUGCUUGUACACAUUAUACAAUCGUGGUGACUGCAGAAUUAAGUCAAAAUCAAGUGAAGAAGGUUACCUUUGACUUGAGAAAUAUAUCACAGAGAGAGAGAAAGAGAAAACAGUAAUCUGGAAAGAUGAUGCUUAAUAUGGACAUGAUACCCUAGAAACCGAUCGAUCUUAAAUUUUAAUUUCUAAAAUAUUAUUAGCUUGUGCAUACUUUCAAAUACUUUUCAUUAGAGUUACCAUAAGACUAAUUUUUCCAAUUUUAGAUGAUUCAAGAAACUAUUUGGGGGCAAUUCUUAAAUAAACAUGUCCAAACAGUAGUCAUUAACAAGAAAGCAUCCAAGAAAACCAGCAGUUAAUACUUAAAUUAACAUUAUCAAAUGGAGAUGUAAAGAAGAAAGAAUCCUACUGCAAAGCUAGAUAGCAGGAGAAUCACUAGAAUGAAGAGAAAUACUAUUGGCACUAUACCUGGAUUAACCAAACAGUAGUCUCACUAUAAAUUUCAUUGUUAAUAAACCAACUUGCCAAACUGGUCCCAUUCACUUUGUUUCCUUCCAUAUAUGGACACCCUGUACUCUGCCAUCUAGAAAAUAUAUAUAUUAUUCAGUGUAGUCAGAGGCGCAAGGAGCACUCUAGGUGCUAGAAUCCUUUUAUUGUACAAGGCACAUGGCGCACAAAAAAAAAAAAAAACUUGCUUAUGUUAAGGCACAUGUAUGCGUGUUUUGGUAUGUCCAUGUCUGUAUAUAUAUAAGCCGAAGAUAUAUAAUUAUAAUAAUAAACUAUAAAAGUGCUCCAGUCUGAAGUACAGAACAUGCCAAAUUUUCUUUCUUUUGUCAACCAUAUGCAUAUUUCCAUAUGAUGCCAUGCCUGGUGUUGAAUACUCAAAUAUUGAGAAGUUGAGAGUUCGAUAUUAUCCCUUUGUUACAAUUAAGAAACAAUUAAAGAGAUAGUAAAGAGAACUUCAAUUAGAAGGCCUUUUCCCCCUACAUGCACCAGGCAGGCGCUUAGCCUGAAAAGGUCAAAGGCCCUUUUACUGUCUGGUGAUAAGGCAAAAAACAUUGGACAAAGUUGGUGGGAGGAUAGAAUACUAAAAGAGCCCAAUGUUGUCACUUUUCUAAAGUAAGCUCAUAUGCCUUUUUUGUACCCAAACAAUAUCUUACCCUUUAAUUUGUACCUAAAGAAAUUAUUUCUAAUAGAAAGUUUACUUUUGUUAUGAUCAAUGCUGGAGGCCAAAACUGAUUUGGGCUAAGGAAUUGGUGGUGAGAGUUGGAAGGCAAGAAGAAAGAAAGUUCUUUUGAGUGUUAUAUUUUUCAAAAAAUACAAAUUGUUCAUUUUUUUUACCACAUCAUCAUGCCAGGUCAGCUUCCAUGUGGAUAAAGAAAAUUUUGGCGGCAUUGAAACAGAGGCUUCAUGGGCUUUUAGUAAUUUAGCCCUUGGAAGGAAUAUGACCAUCCAAAAAAAGGCAGUUGAUGCUUUAAGGUCAAUUAGCCGAAACAAUAACAACAAUUCCUAGGCUUCAAUAAAAUAAUUUAGACAACAAAUAAAGCUUGAAGGUUGAGUUUUGCACUGCAGCAGCAUUGGGCUUUACAAGGUGAAAACCCACAUUGCACAAAAAUAUCAAAGUUUCAGAUCUAUCAUAAUUUAAAAUUCUAACUAAACUAAACGCCAAGAAUGCUGAAUGCCUAAUCAAAAAACAUAAGAUUAACCCAAGGACCUAAUUGGGUAUGCUAAAAUUUGUCUUGGAAUGAAAUUAAUAAUAUCCUUACUAUUUCACUUUUUUUUUCUUCAUAUGUUUGGUGUGAGCAUGAUACAGAUUAGACUGAUUUUAAAGUAAAAGUAAAACGAUACCAAACCUAAACAUUUUGGUUUUUUUUUAAUUUUUUAUCAGAGCCCUGUUUGAUGCAUUUUUAGUUUUGUUUUCUAAUAACAAAUGGAAAGUUAAUUAAAAAAAAACCCUAAUCCAAUGAGUUCUUUUAUAGAUAUAAGAUAAGUCCUGCAAAGUUUUUGUUUUUUAGAAAUAAAAUUUUAUUUUUGUUUUUUAAUUCUUCAUACCUAUUUUAAUAUCUAAGUUCCGGAUUCCUAACUGCCCUUUCAAUUAUAUAGUAUUCAAGAUUUGAACUUAUAUUUUUCUAUAAAAAUAUAAUGUAUUUUAUUAUUGUAUCCUACAUUCAUUAAUACUUAGUAGAAAUAACCUAAUAAAAUGAUUUUUUUCAUAUAUUAAUAGAGAUAAGAUUCGUGCAAAAUUGUUGGUUGAAAAUUCAUUAGGAAAGGAUGAUUGUACGAAUGUACCAUCAUUAUAAGUGAGCUCAACGAUAAGCCUCCUAUCAAUCACCAGUGUGCAGAAAACAUUUGAAAUCGAAACACCCGUUCAUACAUCAUACAUCAUCAUAAGUGAGCUCAACGAUAAGCCUCCAAUCAAUCACCAGUCUACAGAAAACAUUUGAAAUCGAAACACCCCGGACAUCUCCAACAAAUCUGCCAUAACGUUAGCAUCUCUUCCAUUUUUUCUAAACAAAACCUCACUAAGCUCAUCAAAUGUGCCAAUAUUUCCAAGGCCUAGAUUUCUCAUUGAUACACCAAGAAAGCUCGACUAUGGAGUCGGAUUCAACCAUAAGCUUUCAGUCUAUAAUCCACUAGGAAUCCAAAAAGAAACACUCUCGAACACCUAAAGAACCUGAAACAUAGCAAUGACAUGACCCUUUGAAUUUCUAAGAACCUCACCUCACCACGUCGAGCUAAGAUUACCUAAUGUCGAACCUUCACGGUUAAACUUUUACCAGCCUUCACCUUACUCUUGAUAUGAUGAUUAUGGAUACUCCCUUCACAAUCCCACAAACACUCCCACCAAAUUGACUCAACAAAAUUUGCACCUAUAGGUUUUCUGUUUAUAUUUGAUUUUGUUCACACAUUGCCUAAAACUACUCAUGAUCCCUCUCCAACCUAUAAAUACGAGGAUAAUGCGCUUCAACGCGCUCAAACCCACGUCCUCCUACAUUAGCAACAAUACUCAUGUCAAUCGAGUUAAAACACAAUCAAUAGAUUUUUUUUAAAAAAAAUCUUUAAAUGUUAUAUUAUUAUAUAAGAAUUUGAAACAUGACUUCCGUAGGUUUUAAAUCUAAUGUUGACACUAAUCUUGAAUAAGUCAUUCCACUCCCAUCUUAACUAAUGGCCAAAGAGAUAUCAAAAGUGGGAGAUGGCCAUAAAAUUGUGUAGUUUGGGUUAUAAAAUUUUUGGGCAAACUACAUAUAUUAUCAUUUAAUUAUAUAUUUUUUUCAAUUUAAACACUUAAAGUAAAAAAUUUAUAAUUUAAGCACCCACAUUAUAUAGUUUAGUUAUUUUGAUCACUCCAGUUAAAAUAAAAAAUGGCAAACUGAAGCGACAAUUAAAAAAAUGUAUAAUAACAAAUUUAACCCUCAAAUUUUAUAUAUUAUAUCAAUUACAUAUUACAACUAAUUUUAUAAUUAUUGAUAUUGAAUAUGUCCCUCACUACGUUAGGGAUUUUUUUUAUAAUUUGUAUUUAAUUAAUAUUUAAAAUUAAUUUCAAAAUAUGUGAAAAUUUUAUAAUUAUUUGGUGUUAGUCCCUUUAUUAUACCCAAAUUUAGGAUUAAGCCCCUAUAUUUUAAUUUUGACAUAAUUUGUUUCUUUCACUUUUAUAAUCUCAUUAAUUAUUUCAAGUAACUAACACUUUUAACAAUAUUGCCAAAUAAAAUAAUGUCAUAUUUUUUUUUCUUAAAGCCAUCACUUCUAACUAAAUCAUGACUUAAUCACUUUCUAAUUAAUCAUACUAACUUAGAUUUUUCUUUUGUUGGAAUCAGUACGUUUAAGGAAAACCCACCUUAACAUUUGUAGAUGUCUUCAACAAUUUCCUAAGCACGAUACAAUAAAGCUUGGUGUGUAUAAUUUUGUUUUAUGGAAGCUCCAAAUUAUGUUGAUUCUUGAAUGAUACGGUCUGCAUGGGUUUGUUUUGGGUGCUAUUAGUGUACUAGCACAGUUUGUAGAGGAUAAAUAUGGGAGAUUAGUAGAAAAUUCUGAUUAUGUUUUACAUGUGCAACAAGAUAAGCUAUUGGCUUCUUGGUUACUUUCAACUGUUAGUGAUGAAAUCCUAGCCUAUCUUACUAGUGCUCGUACUAGUUAUUAUAUGUGGGAAACUAUUGAAAAGAAGGGUUGCGACUAAGUCCACGGUAAAAUUGUCCAGUCAUGUGUUGUAUUCACAGAAAAAGGGUCAUUUGUUUGUUAAAGAAUAUUUGUCUAAGAUCAAGUCCAUGUGUGAUAUGUUGGUUGCAACGGGUUGUUUGAUUUCAAAUCAAGAAAUGGUUAGCAUCAUUCUUGCAAGGUUGCCAGUUGAGUGUGAAUCAGUACGGGUAGUAGCUUCAGCUACUGGUGUGUCACUUGAUCUGUUGAUUGAGAUGCUGCUUGAUUGUGAAGCUCGAAAAUUGAGUUCUUGAAUAGUGUUCUCGUACAACCUAACAUAGCUAGUAAACAAGAUUGUGAUGAGGGUGAUCGGACCAAGGGUUCUGAUUAUAACAGUGGCUAUCAAGGGAACAAACAGACAUAUAUAGGUGGUUUUCAAUGCAAUAGAGGUUCCAUCGAGGUUGAGGCCGUGAGGGUUGUUUUUCUAACAAUCGGCCCCAAUGCCAGUUGUGUGGUAAAAUUGGACACAUUGUCCAAAAGUGUUAUUACCGUUUUGAUGAAAAGUUUUGCAGGUAUUGCUAGGAUGGUAAUAUGGUAUAGUGGGCUGCAUCUUGAUUGUUUGUUUCUCAUGCUGAGGCUAUAAUUUUAAUCAUACCUAUUAUUGUUUCUUGUGUCCUGCAAUUUCAUCAUUUGCAGGCUGUUUCACUAAUUGCAUCCUAUUUACAAGUUCCCUUGUGUUAUCCUCUGCGCUUGGGUGGUUCUCGCUCAUAUAUUAAUGACCAUGCGUCUUCAAUAGACCAUGCAUCUUCUGAUUUGUCAUUGGAUACAACACUUUCAGCAAAUGUAAAGCCGGUAGAAUUUCCGCUGUUUUUAGAAGGUCAAGACACGACAAGAGCAGCAUAUGCUGUGUUCUUGUUAAACAAGGUAAGCUUUUGCAUAUUAGUAAUUUUUUUUUCCAAGAUGAAUUAUUCUCCUUUGGCAUUUUAUAUUAUAUAAUUAGUCACUACAAAACAUAAAUAAAUAAUAAUACUCCAUUUUUACAAUAAAAAUUCACUAAAGAAAAUACAUUUGAAGUCUAUCAUUGCUUUUUCGAAUAAGAGUCGGUCAAGAAAGUUAUGCGCAAAUACUUAUAUCUUUAUUUCAGAUGCUUUCAAUUCUAUUGUCACUUAAAUCCAAGUACUUUAAAUUUGUCAAAUUAUUCAAUUUUGAAAUUCAAUCCCAAAUAUUGAUCAAUUAUAUAUAUUCAUGAUAUGAUAAAAGCAAAGACAUCUUUCAACAUUAACUUUCCCUUAAACAAAAAUUGGUUUUAAAGUAAAAAAGAAACAUAUAAAACCAGUCUAGCUUGAAUAUGAAUCAAUAUAUAAACACUAUACUUAUACCUUGGUUUGAGAUGCUUUCAAUAUUGUUGUCGCUUAAAUACAAGUAUUUCAAGUUUGUCAAAUUAUUCAAUCCCAAAUAUUGGUUAGUUAUAUAUGAUAUGAUAAAAUCAAACUUGAACAUACAUUGAUUUUUAAAGUUGAAAAUUACUUGUUAAUUUUUUUUCUUUCUUACCUAUAUGAAAAUUUUACUAAAGUAAAAGUUGAAUUACAACGGAUAAAAAGAAUGGAAAACUAGGUACCAAGCCUAGAAGACCAUCCUCAAACUCCACUAUACAAAUAAAAACUACUCAAACUCCACUAUACAAAUAAAAACUAACACCGGACCAAACUUAAUUUACCUCUUAGAUGACUUGAUCCUUCAAACUGGUUGUAUGAUAGAUCUAAAUACCGGAGAGAUGAAAGCUCACUCAAAGAUAACAAAAUGCUAUCAUUCAAGUAAUUGUAACUUAAGUCAAGGAUCUCCAAAUUACUCAAUGUGAAUGAUAGCUUUCCAAAGCCUGUAGAAGUGUUCUUUUAAACAUAUACAAGCAGUUAGUGACUUUUCUUCCAUAAAAUAAAAUAUAAGUAAUUGUAAAUUAACAAUGGUGAGAAUAGUGGAAUAGUAAAAGAUAUAAUUAAGGAAAAAAAAUAAAGGCACGACCUUCAUUUUCAAGGUUACCACCUAUGGCAUUUCCCGACAAAUAAAGUCUCUUCAAUUCCUCAAAAGGAAGAAACAUAGAGGCAUUGAGAUACCAGACAAUGAGAUUCCUAUUAUCCAUGCCGUAUUCCCAAUUGUCUUCCCAUUUUGUAGAAAUAAGGGAGAGUUGUAUGAGUCUCCUAGUGGUGGUGUUACACUCAAAUCCUUCCCAUUUACAACAAUCUGAACCCUUCACCUCAACCCAACUUUGCAAUGGAUUACGAUAAACGAAGAAAGGCUUGAGAUGCAAGAGAGCGAUUCUCUCAUGCUCCAAACAAGCAUCAGUAGUACACCAUCUGCAUCCUUCUAACACCAACAACAUUAUUGCCAUCCUAAUAAACUAUAACCAUUUCCACUCCAUCAUCAUCAUCUCUCUGUUUUGUAUACAUAUGGACUACAAUUCAAGUUUCAUGCUUAUAAUUAUACCAAAUCAAAGUUCAUGUAUCAAAUUGCACAUUAAAUCAAAAUUUAUGUAUACAUUUGAUAUUUAUCUCAUUUAUGGGAGAUUAACUUUCUAAUGGUAUUGUUUUGUUUACAUUAAUCCAAAUAAUAGGAAAUGAUGAAUUAGUUUAACGCAAAUUGUAAUUCUAUUAAUGUUUCUUCUCAAACUUUUGGUUGCUCUUAUUUACAUGUUUUAUUAAUUGAUAGAUUUAAAUUCUUGGAAUAUAUUCGGUUAGAAUGAAGUGCCCCGAAUCCUUAUUUAAAUAAAAUACAGUGUUAAAAUAAAAGAAAAGUAAAAUCCCUACAGAAUUAUACUUCUUUUAUUUUAUUUUAGAAUAAGGCUUUUUAAAUCUUAUUAAACUCCAUCUAUUUGAUAUUGAUUAGAAUAAAGAGUUUCACUCCUAUUAGAAUAAAGUUUUACAAGCCUAUAAAUAGACAUAGUCUACUCCUCUUGUAAUUAAUUCAAAUUCGACAUAGUGAAUUUUCUUCUCCUCUGCCCGUGGUUUUUUCCCGAAAGGGUUUCCACGUAAAAUUUGUGUGUUCUUUAUUUUUCUAUUUCUAUUUUCUUUGUGAUAUAUUAUCAUUACCGACAUUUAUUUUCACAAAUUGGUAUCCGAGCUUCUGGGUUGUUCAUCGCAAUCACUGUAAUGACGUCUUUGAAGUAUGAAAUUCUACUGUUGGAUCGCAACACCAGAUUCGCAUUUUGGCAGAUAAAGAUGCAGGCAGUUCUUGCACAGAUGGACUUAGAGAAAGCCCUGCUAAGGUUAGAUAAGAUGCCUUCAACAUUGAUGGAGGAAGAGAAGAAGCACAAGGAUUGAAAGGCGUUAACACAAUUACAUCUGCAUUUGUCUAACGAAAUUUUGCAGGAUGUGAUAAAGGAGAAUACCGCCGCUAGAUUAUGGAAGACGUUGGAACAACUAUGUAUGUCGAAAACUCUAACUAGUAAGCUGCAUAUGAAGCAGCGUCUUUAUGCUCAUUGUUUGGAGGAAGGUGCGUCUAUGCAUGAACACUUGACAGUGUUUAAAGAAAUUCUCUCAAAUUUGGAGGCCAUGGAGGUUCAGUAUGAUAAGGAAGAUUUAGGGUUGAUUCUACUUUGUUCGUUGCCCCCGUCUUAUUUAACCUUUAGAGAUACAAUUUUAUAUAAUCGCGAGUCUUUCACAGUUGAUGAGAUUUAUAAUUCUUUAACCUCGUAUGAUAAGAUGAUGCAUCUUAUGGUUAAAACUGACUCUCAAUGAGAGGGUCUCAUUAUUCGUGAGAGAUAAGAUCAGAAUAUUGAUGAUGAUCAUGGAAGGACACAAGAACGGAAUCCUCGUGGUAAAUCUAAAGGUAGAUCGAAGUUUUCAAACAGAGGUAAAACUUGUAACUUCUGCAAGAAGAAAGGGCACAUUAAAUCUAAGUGCUAUAAGCUACAGAAUAAGAUCAAAAGGGAGACUGUGAAUCAAAAUGGAAAACAACCAGAAAAUUUUGGUAAGGCUAAUGUUGUAGAAUACUACAGUGAUUGUGAACUUCUAGUCGCUUCUGUCAAUAAUUUUAAAGUGAGCGAGGAGUGGAUCCUUGAUUCGGGUUGCACCUUCCACAUGAGUCCCAAUAGUUAUUGGUUUACAACUUACGAAAUAGUGUCUGAAGGUGUUGUUUUAAUGGGAAAUAAUACUUCAUGUAGAAUUGCAGGUGUUGGAACAAUUAAAGUUAAGAUGCUUGAUGGAGUUGUCAGAACACUUAGUGACAUAUGACAUGUUCCAAAAUUGAAGAGAAAUUUAAUUUCAUUGAGUACUCUUGAUUCAAAAGGGUACAAAUACACAGCUAAAAGUGGUGUUUUGAAUAUUUCUAAAGGUUCCCUCAUUGUGAUGAAAGGAUAGAGAAAGACUACCAAGUUUUAUGUUUUGCAAGGUUCUAUUGUUACUGGUGAUGCAGCUGUCGUAUCCUCUUCCUUGUCAGAUGAUGAUAUUACUAAACUUUGGCAUAUGCGCCUAGGGCAUAUGAGUGAGAAUGGCAUGGCAGAAUUGAGCAAAAGUGGACUUCUUGAUAGGCAAUGAAUUUGCAAACUGAAGUUCUGUGAGCACUACAUUUUUGGGAAGCAAAAGAGAGUUUGAUUCACCAGAGGAAUCCAUAACACAAAGGGAACGUUUGAGUAUAUUCAUUCUGAUCUGUGGGGGCCAUCCAGAGUACUUUCGAGAGGUGGAGCUAAUUAUAUGCUAACUUUUAUUUAUGAUUUUUCCAAAAAAGUGUGGGCGUUCUUCCUGAAGCAGAAAAACGAUGUGUUUUUUGUAUUUAAGUCUUGAAAAACCAUGAUUGAAAAACAAACGGGAAAGUAAAUAAAACACCUCCGCACAGACAAUGGCUCAGAGUUCUGUUUUGAUAAGUUUAAUAAAUUGUGCAAGUCAGAAGGGUUCAUGAAACACUUGAUAGUUCAUCAUACUCCACAGGAAAACGGCGUUACAGAAUAAAUGAACAGAACGAUCAUGGAGAAGGUUCGAUGUAUGUUGUCAAAUACCAACUUACCAAAGUCAUUUUGGGCUGAAGCAGCCUCUACUGCAUGAUUUUUAAUCAACCGAUCUCUAUCCAUUGCCAUUGAGAAAAAGACUCCACAAGAGGUAUGGUCUUGUAAUCCUGCUGACUAUUCUGAUUUAAAGAUUUUUGGUUGUCAUGUGUGUGUGCAUGUUGAUAAUGGAAAAUUGGAAUUGAGAUCCAUUAAAUGUGUUUUUCUUGGUUAUAAAGCUGAUGUAAAAGGGUAUAAGUUAUGAUAUCCUAAAAAUAGAAAAGUUGUGAUUAGCAGAUAUGUUAUUUUUUAUGAAACUGCUAUGCUACCUAACUUAUCUCUUAAAGAAUCUCUCAAUAAAGAAAAUCAAAAGUAGGUGGAGCAUCAGAUUAAUACAGAAUCUACAACAGAGUCGACUACUGAAGCCAGUACAAAAAUUCAAAAUAGAGUUGCUCCUUCACCAUAAUACUCUAUCGCCAAAAAUAGAACUAGAAGAGAAAUUAGACCUCCAAAGAAGUAUGUCAAGUCUGAUCUAGUUGCUUAUGCUUUAAAUGUGGCUAAAGAUAUAGAUGUAAAAUAAGAGCCAUCUAAUUAUUCUGAGGCGAUUAGUUGUGAAGACUCAGAAAAGUGGAUGUUUGCUAUGCAAAAGGAGAUGGAAUCACUCCACAAAAAUAAAAUAUGGGAUCUUGUGAAACUUCCUAAAUGUAAAAAGAUUAUUCGUUGUAAAUGGGUGUUUAAAAAGAAAGAAUGGACUCCAAGAGUUGAAGAACCCAGAUAUAAAGCAAAGUUUGUUGCAAAUGGUUACAGUCAAAUUCCAGGAGUGGACUUCACAGAUGUGUUCUCUCCAGUUGUGAAGCAUAGUUUGAUUCAAGCUUUACUUGGUAUUGUGGCCAUACAUGAUUUGGAGCUUGAACAGUUAGAUGUAAAAAAUGCUUUUUUGCAUAGAGAAGUUAAGGAGGAUAUUUACAUGCAACAACCAGAGGGUUUUACAGUCUCAGAAAAAAGGACUAUGUUUGCUUGCUGAAAAAGUCUCUUUACAGUUUGAAACAGUCACCAAGACAGUGGUACAAGAGGUUUGAUUCAUUUAUGACUUCUCAUGAUUUUAAAAGAAGUAGCUUUGACAGUUGUGCUUACUUUAAGAAAAACAAUGAUGGUUCUUUUGUGUAUCCACUCUUUUAUGGUGAUGAAAUGUUGAUAGCAGUGAAAGAUAAAUGAGGGAUAAGAAAGGUCAAAGCCCAACUAAGUGAAGAAUUUGAGAUGAAAGAUUUGGGACCAGCAAAGAAGAUACUUGGUAUGGAGAUUCUCAAAGAUAGAAAAGUAAGUAAAUUGUACCUAAGUCAAAAGGGGUACAUUGAGAAAGUUCUUUGCAGAUUCAAUAUGCAGAAUGCUAAGCCUGUUAGUACUCCUUUAGCAGCCCAUUUUAGACUUUUAUCGGCUUUGUCUCCACAAUCAGAUGAUGAGAUUAAGUACAUGUCACAUGUUCCAUACUCUAGUACAGUGGGAUCUCUCAUGUAUACUAUGGUUUGUUCACGUCCAGAUUUAUCAUAUGUAGUUAGUGAAGUUAGCAGAUACUUGGUGAAUCCCGAUAAAGAACAUUGGAAAGUAGUUCAGUGGAUUUUAAGAUACUUACGAGGUACUACUGAUGUUUCCUUACAGUUUGGAAGAACUAGAGAUGAAGUCAUUGGGUAUGUUGAUGCUAAUUUUGCUGGAGACUUUGAUAGAAGAAGAUCUCUCACAGGUUAUGUCUUUAUAAUCGGAGGUUGUGCAAUCAGUUGGAAAGCCACUUUGCAAACUACAGUUGCUUUGUCCACCACUGAAGAUGAGUACAUGGCGAUUACUGAGGCUUGUAAAGAAGCUAUUUGGUUGAAGGGACUCUUUAGUGAACUCAAUAAAGGCUUUCAAAUCAAUACAGUAUUUUGCGACAGUCAGAGUGCUAUCUUCUUUACAAAAGAUCAAAUGUUUCAUGAGAGAACAAAACACAUUGAUAUUCGGUAUCAUUUUGUUCGUGAUAUUAUUGCUUGUGGUGAUAUUGUUAUGAGCAAAAUUAGUACUCAUGAAAAUCCUGCAGAUAUGAUGACUAAGUCACUUCCUAUAACCAAGUUUGAGCAUUGCUUAGACUUGGUUAGUGUUCAUUGUUGAAGUUAAACCCUUAAGGGGUUUUAUGGAAUAGGUGGAAAACUUGAUCGUUGAGAGUUCGCGAUGAAGAACUUGUUCAUUAAGAAUUCGUGUCAAUGUGGAGAUUGUUAGAAUUAAGUGACCCGAAUCCUUAUUUAAAUAAAAUACAGUGGUAAAAUAAAAUAAAAGUAAAAUCCCUAUAGAAUUAUACUUCUUUUAUUUUAUUUUAGAAUAAUAUUUUUUAAAUCUUAUUAAACUCCAUCUAUUUGAUAUUGAUUAGAAUAAAGAGUUUCACUCCUAUUAGAAUAAGGUUUUACAAGCCUAUAAAUAGACAUAGUCUACUCCUCUUGUAAUUAAUUCGAAUUCGACAUGGUGAAUUAUCUUCUUCUCUGCCCGUGGUUUUUUCCCGAAAGGGUUUCCACGUAAAAUCUGUGUGUUCUUUAUUUUUUCUAUUUUUAUUUUCUUUACGAUAUAUUGCUAUUAUCGACAUUUAUUUUCACAUAUUCUAAUUAAUUAGAUAUUUCCUUCCUUCCAAAAGCCUUUCAAAAUAGGUUUAGUUUGACCAAGAUACUCUUGUAGAAAAUUUUAGUUUUGUGGGAAAACGAAAAACUAGAUUUAUUUUUUAUUCUAAUUGGUUUCAUAUGCAAGGUAUAUAAACUUUUGUGUCGCUGCAAUUUUUUUCCAACAUAUGUAUGUGAUUUGUGGGGUUUCAAUUUUGAAUUUUUUUUAUAAUUUAAUUAAAUUGUGAAAGUAUUUGAAAGUUUUUAAGUUGAUACAAUGUUUAGAACUACCCCAACACCCACCCAACCCUUAAAUAGGAGGAUAAACAUGCUUCAGCACGCUCAAACUCACAUUCUCCUACAUCUAUGAUAAUACUAAUGCCAACCGAGUUAAGACUCAACUAGCCUUGAAUUUUGAAUUUUACUUCUGAUAUAUUUUGAAUUUUGAAAUUUUAAUUUUGACCCAAACAGUAGCAGUUAAUUUAAUUUGAUUAAAUUUAAUUACUAGACCUAUAUUAUGCGUACGAUUAUUGAUUAGUCUAUACUCUCAAAUUGGGCAAUUCUAAGUACCUAUACUUUCUGAAUUUUGAAAUUUCAGUCUUGAUGCAAAUGACAAUUGUUAAUCUAUUAAUUAGAUUUUUAGCGAGUAAUAUGUAAAAAUAACAAACUGGCAUAACAUUACACAUAUGAUAAUAUGUUUAUUGCACCGCAUUUGAAAAUAGCCGAAUUUAACAAAUAUCGUUAGUGAGGAUUGGAAAUUAGAGUCUAGGGAUUAAAUCCACAAGUUCAGUAAAUUACAAGAACUAAUGGUAGAAUUUAACCUUUAUAUAACCUUUAAAUUCUAACCGUGGUUUGCACACUACUCAGCCGACCAUUGGCUGUGGUGGGAACACAAACUGUUUGAAUUUGACAUCAGUGAUUGAAUUUUCAUAGCUAAUAUGUACGUUCCUUCAAUUUCUCCAUAGGAGGGAGUGGAAUACAUUAUAUAAGGUAAUAUUUGAUAUAUUCGGUAAAUGAAUAAUUGCAAGAUAUCUCAUUAUCUAGUAAAAUAAAUAAUGAAAAUUUUAUAAAUAAAUAUUAAUAAAAUAUUAUUACAUAUAUCAACAAUGACAUAGUAAGUUGCAUUAACUUUUAGAUGUUGACUAUUGACUUUUGCAUCAACCUUGAACUUACAUAGGCCCCUACAAUAAUUUAGGUUAUGGAAAUAAUCUUGCAAAUAAUGCUUGAGACAUCAUUAUACAUCAAUUUAUAGUUUUAAUUCUUGUACUUACUCAAUUGGAAUAAAGAUUUAGUUUUUUAUUUUCUUUUGAUACAAUGUCUAGAAUUAUCCAUAGCCCUUUUCCAACCCUUAAAUAAAUGAAUAAUGUGCUUCAGCGUACUCGAACUCACAUCUUCUUACAUUGACAAAUUGCUGAUGCCAAUUAGUUAAUGUUAAUGCUAUACUUUAGUUAAAAAUAACUAACAUUAUUAAAAAAUUCAUUAGUUGGCUCAUGUGGAUUUUUUUUCAAAAAAAUUGAAAUUAAGAACCAUAAAUUCUUUAAGACUUAAAAAUUAAAAUUAUGUGGUUAUUAAAAAAGAUUUAUUUUUUAUUAAAUUAUUAUUUAAAAUAAAUUUAUCUCAUCAUAAUGAUAUGAUUUUUUUCUUUAAAAAAUCCACAUUAACCAACUAAUAGAAUUGUAUAAAGCUGCCACCAAUCUCUUAGCAUGAUGGCAAAAGAUUCAGAGGCAGCCAGAAAAUCUUUUGAGGGGCGUGAAUAAAGUUAUAUAUUUUUAUAAUAGCAAAAGUGAAAUUUUAUUAUUAUAAUAGUUUAUAUCUUUAAUUUUUAAAAUAUUAAAUAAUUUUUUUCUUAUUUUUGAGGGGAUAAAGUAUAAGUUUAUCAUAUACUAAUUUUAAAAUUAUAAAAAGACUAAAUGUGAAAUUUUUCAUUUUAAGGGGUGGGGCCCUGUCAGGUCUCCUUGGCUUCACCUUGAUAAAAGUAUUAUGUAAUACGUAUAAAGUUUGAGUUUAAUCCCAAACAAUCUCAUUUCUUAUCCCUCAUUAUAAAAUAAUAAAAUAAAUAGAGCAAUUGAUAUGAGGAGACAAGUAUAAUAGGGCAAUUUUAACCUGGGCCAGAUUUCAAAACAAAACCCAAACCAAAUAAUAAAAGAGUCCAAAAUAAUUAAAACAAUCCAUCCAUUUUACAAACAAACCCAAAUUAGCAGCCCAAAUACAAAUUAAAACUCAAUAACCCAAAACUAACUAUAGCCCAAUUAGCUAAACACUUAAACGCAACAAAAAAAACCCUAUCCCCCUAAGCCUCCAACGCUGCAUGACCACCUACGCCGCACGUCGUCGCUGCCGCUCGAGGCUCGCCUAUCUUCGACCAUCCACGCAUCUGACACUUGCAAAACCAAGGCAACACGCAACAACAAAGGCCAAAUAGAGGAAACAACAAGGAAACAGACAAAAAAGGAAGAAACAAACAGUUUUGAUUCGGCUAUAAAAGCCCGAAUCUCACCCUUGUAAUUUUUUUGCGAACAUUAGAAAAUAAAAAAACAAAAACAACACUUUCAAGGUGAAUUUCUACUUUUAUUUCUGUUUUAAAUACUUAUUUGAUUCUAUAUUCAUAUUUUUAUUUUAUUUUUUAUAUAUAUACGAAAAUAAUAAAAUAAAAAAAGGAAGAAAGGGCUCACCGGAGACGCCCCGUGAUCGUGCCGUCAGAAGGCUCUUCUCCGUUGUUGCCAUCGGAUCCGAGAGGGGGUCGAGAGUCUUCCUCUUUCGCUUUUUUGGGUCGAGAGGGCUGGGCUUCCAAGGGAGCUGCGAAACGGGGGCUAAAAAUGCCCUUUUGCGCAACACCGACCACCGGCCACGACAGCACUACGACGGCGACCAUGGCCGGCCAAGGGGUGGGCUGAGAGAGAGACCAAGAGAUACUGAGAGAGUUCUCUGUUUUUUUAGAAAAAUGAAAGUUGAACCGUUUUUUUCUUCUUUUUUUUUGCUAUUUAUAUAGGGUAUAAUACGACGCCGUUUUGGACUUAAGCAUCAGUGGCCAAAACAAUGCCGUUUUGCAUCAGACCUGAAAAUCGACUCGAAUGCGGCCAGGAUCUGCGCGUUUUAGCUUUGAGGAGCUAUUUGCAUAUUCAGCCCUUCCGCUUUUGUAGUAUAGUGCAAUCUGGUCCUCGUUGUUUUUAUAUUUUGGCCGCAUAAUUUUUUGAUUGUUUUACUUUGGUCCGAGCUGAAACGCUGCGCAUAGGGGCUAGGAAUAUUGCCCAGUCGGUCCCUCAUUCCUUAAGCGCGCUCUAUUUCAGUCCCUAGCAACCCUUUUUUUUAUUUGUAAUUUAAACCCCAAAUUCUGGGUCGAUUUUAGUAUCAUCCUUAGUCCAUUUAAUUUAUUUGUUCACUAUUUUUUAUUUAAAAAACUCUUUUAUUAUUAUUUGUUUUAAGUUUUUUUAUUUAUCAUUUAUUUUAAAUUGUUUUACAUACUAUUUAUUUAAAUUUUUUAUAUAUUAGUCAUUUUAAACCAUUAUAUGUACAUUAUCUUUUAAAUUUUUAUAUACAUAUAUUUUUUUUAAAAAAAACUGUUGUAUGUUUCUUAUUUAUUUAUUUUAAACUGUUAUUAUUAUUCAUUUUAAGUUUUUAUAUACUGUUUAUUUGAAGCCGGUUAUUAUUUAUUUUUGAAUUGUUCUUAUAAAUUAUUUACUUUAAAUUAUUAUUUACUUUGAAAUUUUUUUGCAUAUUAUUUUGUUUUGUUUUUUUUAUUGUUAAUAUUAGUAUAAAAAUUAUAUACAUUGUGUGAUUAUUACCGCCAUGUGUACUAUAAUUAGUUUCUUCGUGUUUUCAUAUUAUUAUCACUCAUUAACAUAACAUUUUUUUCAUAAAUUGUUAUUUUAUGUUCUAUGUUAUCAUUCCAUUUCACUUCAUCACUUCGAAAGUUGCAUUCAAUUUGUAUUUACCCAUAAUAAACCGUUCUAUUUUGUCACAAAUAAAACAAAUGCACCUCGUUCAAGCAUUGUACUCACAAUUAUUCAAAACGGGGAAAAGUUUUAAAAUAAGACAAUAUUUCGCAUUUUGGAGAUUUGAGAAAUUGUACCCUAACUUACGGGGUUUCAAUUUUCUCGUUGAACCUAAAUAGCAAAAUAUCCUUCUAAUUUUCAAAAUUUACGAAAUUCCAAUAAAGUUAAAGGCUAGCUUAUUCUCAAGGGUUCUAAGUGUCGUGUCCUAACUUACGGGAUGUGACAUUUAUUAUCUCGAGACGAGAGGAUCUUUGACAUUCGUUUCAAUUUAUUCAAGCAAAUUCUUUUAAAUUAAAAUAGCGUUAACAAAAGGGGGAUCGUGUUUUAAAUUCUUUCGAAGUUUUUCAAUUUUUAACAUUUAGACAUUAAUUAAUCAAUUGAAUACCAAUUUUGGGCGUGACGAGGGUGCUAAUCCUUCCUCGCAUGUAACUGACUCCCGAAUCCGUUUUCUCAAAUUUCAUAGACCAAAAUCACUGUUUUGAUAAAUUAAAAUAUUUUAUUAAAACAACUAAAUUAUGAGGUGACCUAAUCACACCUCAUAAAAAAAAGAUUGGUGGCAACUCUCGUUUUAAUUUCCAUUUUCAAACCAACGUCGACCCUUUUAAAAAAAUGGUUUCAAUAUUAAGUUAUAAGUUGAAUGAAUUAAAAAUAUGUGAAAAGUGUAAAUAGAGACUCUUCAAUCUCAUUUCCUCUAAUGCUCUUUUUUUAAAUUUUUUUUUAAAUUUUUUAUGUACCUUUUAAAUAGUUAAUGAAAAUAAAAAUAUUUUGAUAAUUUUCACUUCGAAAUGCAAAAGCCAACAACAGUUUUUGACUACAAAAGCGGUGUGUUCUUCAUCACUUCUCAGUGGAAAAACACUUCUGCAAUGUAACAACACUUUUAACCCAAAACGGCUUUUUCACCACAAUAGAGAAUGCACCCUAAAAUUGUAAAUAGAAAAAAGAAGGAUCAAACAUUGUUUCUACCCUGUUUUUGUCUCCUCUUUGAAAAUACUUUCCAAAAAGUUUUAUCAUUUUUUUUUCUGUUUACAAAUUCCUUAUAGAAGUGCUUUCUUUUGAUCCACUUGCAUCAUUGUAAUAAGUUUGCAUUGCCUUCUAACUUUCUAUGUUGAUUACAGUUUAUUAAGUUUUCUGUUGGAUCUUAUAGUCAAAUUCCUUUACAUCAUGUAUGUUAAUUUGCUUAGCCCUGAUAAAUGUUAGAUAUAGGGUUAUCAGUGUCGAAACCACUUUUUUGGCGAACAAAAAUUAGUUGUUGACUUUAAAAACGAAAGUUGGAGUCGCCAUCGAUCCUUUAUUGGGGUGUGAUCGGCUCACCUUAAAAACGAUUUUGGUCUGCAAAAUUUGAGAAAACAGGUUCGGGAGUCGGUUACGCAUGAGAAAGAGUUAGCACCCUCUUAACGCCCAAAAUUGGUACCGAAUUAAUUAAUUAAGGUCUUAAUGCCGAAUAUCGAAAAUCUGUGAAGAAUUUAAAAAUACGAUCCUCCCUUUUUGUUAAUGUUAAUUUUAUAAAAGAUGCUUGGAUAAAUCGAAGCGAAUGCUAAAGACCUUUUUGUCUUGGAAUAAUAAAAUGUCACACCCAAUACGUUAGGACAUGACAUUUUAGUCCUCGAGAAUAAGCUUGUCUUUUGAUUUUCAAAGCUCGUGCGGUGAAGUUUAAAAAGGAUAUUCAAUUGCUUUAACUCAGAUGAAAAAUCGGAGCCCAAUACGUUAGGGCACAAUUUCUCAAAAUUCCGAGCAUUGAAUAUUGCCCUUAUUAUUAUUAUUUUUAAAAUCUUCAUCUCGAGAAAAUGACAUGUCAUAUCCAAUAUGUUAGGACACGACGUAUCGAAUUUUCGAGAAUGAGCUUUUUAUUUAUGCUUUAAUUAAAAAAGGAUACCCGGUUUCUUAGAUUCAACGAGGAAGAUUGGAAUCCAAUAAGUUAGGACACAAUCUUUUCGAGGAUCCUAAAUUCCGAGUGUCGCGUUAUUUUUGAAAAAAAACUUUUUGAAUAAAAAUGCUCUCGAUACUUGAAUGAUAUUAAACGUAACCUUUUAACAACGAAUAAAAUGCGACGGGACGAUAAUGUAUAACGCGGAAUGACGAUUUGUAAACAAAAUAUACUCUAACGAAUGACAAAUAAUCAAUAAAAACAAAUAAACAUUAUCAUACAUAUAAGAGCAAUAAUCACAUGUAAAUAUUAACAUCAACAUUUGAAAGCUAAUGACCUAAAAGCCUAUCGCAAAUACAACAAAUUUAAAAUAACUAAAAAAAAAGCAUGAGAGAAAAGAAAUUUGAAAUUAUCAACAUAUAUACACAAAAUACACGUAUAUAAAAAUUUAAAAGAAAUAAUUAAUAGGAAGACUUGAAAUAAUUUAAAAAUAGAAUUAAAAAUGAAUAAUAAUAUCUAAAUGAAUUUUAAAAUAAAUAUUAUAAGAAGAAAGUCAAAAUAAAUAAAACCCAAAAUAAUACACAUAUAUUAAUCUAAAUAGGUAAUAGAUAUAAAUUACGUAUUAUAAAAGAAAACUAUUUAAAAAGGGUAAAUUCUAUUGGAUUAACAUAAAAAUAUAAAAUAAUUUAUUAUGAAAUUAAAUAAUAAUAUAUGAUAAUAAUAUAAAAAAACUUAAAAUAAUAGUGCAUAAUAGAAUAAAAUAAUGAAUAUAAAAAGGUUAGAUAAAUUGAUAAAAAAUAAUACUAAUAAUAAUAAUAGUAGCAGUAAUAAUAAUAAUAAUAAUAAUAAUAAUAAUAAUAGUAAUAAUAGUAAUAAUGAUAAAUUAAUAUUAAAGUAAUUAAUUUGAUAGCAAAAAUAACAAAACAGAUUACUAAUUUGGAAUUAAAACAGAAAUUUAGGGGUAAGACGUGCAAUAAAAUGAAAUGAAAAGGACCUAAUUGAAAUUAAUUUAAAAUCAGACUGACUAGCAAAGAAAUUAAACGCACAAGUCUCACCUGGCAAUCAAGUCAGAUCAUCAGAAACGGCGUCGUUUCGAACGUUUGUCUCCUCAACUGACAGAAGGACGAAAUUGAAAGAAAUAUCGAAUUAUGUGGCAAAAUUAAAAAAGACAAAGAAGGAUUAAAAUGAAGUAAAUAAAAAACAGAAGGACCAAACAGGAGAAUAAGCCAUUGAAACAAAACACGCGGAUCCUCCCCGGGUCAAAUCGGAUCAUCGGGUCAACCAACACGGAGACGUUUUGAAGCCAUUAAAUCGGGCUUAAACGGCACCGUUUUAUUAUCGUUAAAAACCUAAAAAAAUAAAACCCUAAUAAUUUGUUUUGCCAUCCUAAAACAGAUCAAGAGCCUAGCCUUCUCCCCACCGGUCUCCACUCACGAACCCAAUCUGACUCCGAUUCAGACGGAGCAAACCAGAUUCCAAUGGCGUCUGCUCUGGUAAGACGCUUCUUCUCUCCCUCUUUUUUUUUCGUUUGGUGCCAAAGAAGAAAACAAAGAAUCAAAGAAAUAAAAGAGAAAAAAAAACGAAGAAAAUCACCUUUCGAAAAAACUUUCUGUUUUGAUUUUUUGUUUGUAUUCAAUAUGCGUAAAAAAGGAUUACAAUGGCCUUCUCCCUCUUUAUAGCCGAAUAUUCGAAAUAAAAUGAAAGAAAAUACAAAAAAUUCUCUCUGCUGCGUUGUUUUCGUCUUCUUUGCAGGUAAGGAGGCUAGCUGGCGUAAGGAGGUGGUGGACGUGGCACAGCACACUCGGGGAAGGCCCUGGUGGCUGCGGCGCUGGAAGGAGGGCUGUUGCAGCUAGGGUUUUCUGAUUUUUUUUUGGGCUAGGGUUGGGUUGAUAGUUGUAUUGGGCUAGGUAUUUGGGCUGGGUGUAGUUGGACUAGAUGUAUCUGACUUUGGGUUUGUACCGGGUCACUGUAAAUGGGUUUGGUUUUUGUUGUUAUUGGGCUGUGAACUAUUUGAGUUUUAAUUAAUUUUUAUUUAUUUGGUUUUUUAUUGUGGGCUGGGCAAAUUGGGUAUUACAAUCAGCUAAUUAGGAAAGACUGUGAUGAUAGUCACACCUUACAUCCAAAAGCAAAGCUUUUUUUACAUGUGUAUGUAAGGUUGCUAAGCAAAUCUGGUGAGCCUUCACUGCUGUUUUAAGGUUAAGUUAAUGUUCCUUUUCGGCAAAGAACAUUAUCGAGAUCACGGUAUUUUGAUCGCCUUUUGCUUCUUGUUAUUCGUUCUGAAACGAUUGCAUAAUCUUUACUGUGAUUGCAGGAUAUAGAGCAACUUUUGAAUUUCAUCGCUGUAAAGUGUUUAGGACCACGACAUGUUCUUGCAAAUUUGAAGAAGCUUCUAAGGUCUGUCCAGUCUUCAGAAUAUAUAGAUACCUGAAUUAAUUUUGAUUUUGUAGGAUCAACUAUAAUUAGCUACUUAUUAGAGUAUGAAUAGACAACCUCACCUUCUUCACACACUGACACGUGCGGAUUUUUUGCCAAUCCCAUUUCAAAGGAUCACACUUUUUUGUUGUUUACAGAAUCAUAAUUAAUGUUAAUUAAAGUGGAAUAUUUCAGAUUUCUGAUGAUGAGCAUAUUCUUGAGUAUUGCAGUAAAAAAAUGGGUGCGGAACUUAUUUGAACUUUGAAUGUAUGUUUUGUUGGUGAGAAUAUAAAGUUGAUAAAGAUUUGGUAAAUAGAAUAAAAUACUAUUUUUUAUUAGAAAAAUUAUUUGGUAGACUGCCAAUCGAUUUAUAAUUAUCAUGACGCAAUAUUAAGGGUAAUUAAAACAUGUCAUAUUACAAAUAAUAAAAUUAUAAUGACUCAAAUAUACGAACAUGUCAAAAUUUAUGUACAACGAAUUAUUAACAUGUCAAUGUAUAGUAUAAUAUGGUACGCAAAAAUAAGAUAAUUGCUUGUCUUUAAUUGAAUUGUUAUAACACAUUAUACAAAAUACAUUGUGAAUUAAAGCAUAAUAUAAUCAUGAUAUCAAUAUAUUAAAUUUUUUAAAAAUUCGAUGAUACGAAUAAUUAUGUAAAAUAUCACAUGAUACAAAAUGACUUGAGAGGAAAAGAGGAACAAAGACUUGCNNNNNNNNNNNNNNNNNNNNNNNNNNNNNNNNNNNNNNNNNNNNNNNNNNNNNNNNNNNNNNNNNNNNNNNNNNNNNNNNNNNNNNNNNNNNNNNNNNNNNNNNNNNNNNNNNNNNNNNNNNNNNNNNNNNNNNNNNNNNNNNNNNNNNNNNNNNNNNNNNNNNNNNNNNNNNNNNNNNNNNNNNNNNNNNNNNNNNNNNNNNNNNNNNNNNNNNNNNNNNNNNNNNNNNNNNNNNNNNNNNNNNNNNNNNNNNNNNNNNNNNNNNNNNNNNNNNNNNNNNNNNNNNNNNNNNNNNNNNNNNNNNNNNNNNNNNNNNNNNNNNNNNNNNNNNNNNNNNNNNNNNNNNNNNNNNNNNNNNNNNNNNNNNNNNNNNNNNNNNNNNNNNNNNNNNNNNNNNNNNNNNNNNNNNNNNNNNNNNNNNNNNNNNNNNNNNNNNNNNNNNNNNNNNNNNNNNNNNNNNNNNNNNNNNNNNNNNNNNNNNNNNNNNNNNNNNNNNNNNAUGGUCUUCUAGGCUUGGUACCUAGUUUUCCAUUCUUUUUAUCCGUUCUAAUUCCACUUUUGCUUUAGUAAAAUUUUCUUAUAGCUAAGAAAGAAAAAAAAAACUAUUAACAAGUAAUUAUAUAUAUAUAUCAGGUUUUCAAUUGCUUUCAAGACUCAAUAACUUGGAAACUCUCGAUUUAAGUCGGAAUUCUUUUAAGAAUAGCAUUUUGUUCCAUAUGAGAAAUCUUUCAUCCUUGAAGACUUUAAGAUUGAGCGGUAAUCAGUUGAAAGGAAGGCUGGAUCAUAUUCAAGGUAGACUAAUUUUACCUGUUUCUUUUUAACUUUAAAAAUCAAUGUAUGCUCAAGUUUGAUUUUAUCAUACGAUGAAUGUAUAUAACUAAUCAAUAUUUGGGAUUGAAUUUCAGGAUUGAAUAAUUUGACAAAUUUGAAGUACUUGGAUUUAAGUUGGAACGACAUUGAAAGCAUCUCAAACAAAGGUAUAAGUAUUUGUGCAAAACUUUCUUGACCGACUCUUAUUCCAAAAGGCAAUGACAGACUUCAAAUGUAUUUUCUUUAGUGAAUUUUUAUUGCAAAAAUGGAGUAUUAUUAUUUAUUUAUGUUUUGUAGUAACUAAUUAUAUAAUAUAUAAAUCAGGUUUUCAACGGCUCAUUAAAUUGGAAAUUAUUGAUAUAAGUUGGAAUUAUUUGAAGAAUAGCAUUCUUUAAAAUAAAUUCAUGUUGAAGGAAAAGUUGUUGCAAUAAGUCAUUUGAUUUUAUCAUAUCAUGAAUAUAUAUAAGUAAUCAAUAUUUGGGAUUGAAUUUCAAAAUUGAGUAAUUUAAGUAGGAAGGUAUCUCAAACAAAGUAUUUAUAUAUUGAAUCAAUUCAUGGGAAAGCUUGUAAAUUGGCUCUUCCUUCUCAAACAAUCAUUUUUCCUAACUUUUUAUAUCUUGAAUGAUAUUAACUAUACUCAUUAUUUUCUUCCAAUGAUAGAUGGAACACAAUGGAGGCUAACAAACUUAGAGGAACUUGAUUUGAGUGGUAAUCUCUUUCGGAACAACACAAUUUCCUUUCCUCAAGGGCUUUCAAGCCUAAAGUCUUUGACUUUGUACAACAACCAUUUGCAAGGCUCAUUAGAUACUAUAGGUACCAAAGCUAUAACUUUGUUUUUCUUGAUAAUUCUUUCUAGAACCUUUUAAAAUUAAUUGUUUCAAAUUUGAACAUUCACAUUUCACUUUUGAGGAUUUUCAUCUUCACUUCCAGUUUUAGAUUUACUUUUUUUUUCAUUUUUAUUUCAUUAAAAUAUUAAGUAGAAAUUAAAAUUAUUAACAUAAUGAUUUUUUAAAUUGUACGUGGAUAUGUAUAGGAUUGAGCAAUUUAACAAAUUUGAAGAAACUCGAUUUAAGUGGGAAUCAAAUUGAAAGCUUUCAAACCUUUAAAGGUAUGCAUUUAUAUUUAACUAAUUACCUAAAUUCUUACAUAUAAUUAAAUUUUAUGCCAAUUCAUUUCAGUGAUGAAAUUAUAUAAAUCUUUUGUAGAUGGUGGUAGAAAAUUGGAGUUGACCCACUUGGAAGAGCUUUAUUUAGAUGGAAAUCACUUCAAUACUAGUGUAUUUGCAUCCCUUAACAAGCUUUCAAAUUUGAAAUCUUUGAGCAUAAGUGAGAAUCAAUUGAAAGGAUCAAUAGAUAUGAAAGGUAAAAAUAUUAGUUUUUUAACAAGAAUAUAAUAAUGUUUGAAGAGAAUAUAAUGAAGUUGAUUUGUUGUUUUUGUUUUCCUAGAUUUGGAAGCAUUUAUCAAAUUAAGGGAACUAGAUAUGAGCUAUAAUGAAUUGAGAGAUUUUGUGAUCCACCAAGGUAUCAUUUAAUUAAUUUUCCUUUUUUUUUAAUUUAGAAAUUUAGUUUUGAUCUAUGAUAUUAUAAUAACAGUUAUUGUCAUAAAUAUUAAUAAAGUUAUAUCAUAUCAUACUUGAAAGUAAAAUAUGGGUUUGGUGAAACAUUUUCUAAACCCUCCAUUAUAAUGUGUUUCGACUUUGGUUUGAAACUAAAAUUCUUUAAAUUUUUCAUAAUUUUUAAAUAUUAAUGUUUAUAAUUAUUUUGUUUGUAUAACUAUGUUUUUAAAAUAAUUUAUUGAAUUUUUAUGAGAUAAAAAAUAAUUAUAACGAUAAAAAAUGAUAUUAUAAGUAAAAAUACAUAUAUUUAUGGGAAAAUAUGUAAUAUAACUAUAUUUUAAUUUCAUAUAUUUUUAAUAGUAUAAAACAUAAAAAUACAUAUUAGAGUUAAAUAAAUGGCAUUUUUUGGCCAAAAAUAAAUAAAUGUCAAUUUUGAAUAAUAUAAAAAAAAACUUCAAUUUUAUGAAAUUUAAACAUACAUUUUGAGGUGUUUAAACUUUUUUUUUUAACUUUUUAUAAAUUUCAAAAUGCACAUGUUGUUAAUUUUUUGGUUUUAAAAAAUGUGAUAGGUCUAUGUACUCUUUACAAAUUUGUAAUUUAAUUCUUGUAUUUUUAUUUUCGGGAAUUUGAUCCCUCUAUUUUUUAAAUUUUAAAAUCCAAGUUCAAUUGUUAACAUUGUUAUUUUUUUAAAAAAUAAUUUAUUGGUGUUGACAUUUUAAAAUAAAAGAACUUGGUAGCGAUGUAACUAAAAGAUGAUGUAAUGAACAUGGAUUUAAUAAAAUAAUUUCAACCGUAUAAAUAGUUAGACUUGAAUUUUGAAAAAAAAAAUUUGUAAAGAGAAAAAUAUGCACAUUAGAUUUAAAUAAAAAUAAUAUUUUUUUUAGUUUAAAAUUUUCUAUUUUAUAAUAGAACCAUUGAUUUAAAUAAAUGAGAUUUUGAAGAAUUUCCAAAAAAAAAAAACUAUGUAGGUGAAAUUUAAAUAGAGAAUUUGAUAAGCUGAAAUUCUCUUUUGGAAUUCAUAAAUUUUAAAAUUCAGAAGCAUGUAUUUUGACAAUUUUGAUUUAAUAUGGUGAAUUUAAUCAAAAAAUUAUUUAUUAGAUUGUAAAAUAUUUCUUAACAUUUAUAAUUGAGUACAAAGUAAAUUAAGUUUAAGGGAAAAUAUUGGGUACUAUUAAUGAAAUUCUUUUCUUUUAUCAAUUUUUUUUUAAAAAAAUCGGGGUGGUACUAUUAAUGAAAUUCUAAACUUCAUAAGUAGGAUUGAGAUAAUAACAAAUUUCUUAUAUGGUAUAGUAAAAUAUUAAAAAAUAAAUAUUUAAAAGAAAUAGGUUAGUGGCCAUUUUUUAACUUCACUUGUAGAGUUAAAAAACUCCAUUACCAGUACCAAAUACUAACAUUAAGGUUAAAUGCUAAUUGAUUUCAAACAUAUUUGAGUUUUUUAAAAGAAUAUUCUCAUAUAUUUAAAAGAAAACAACACAAAGUUAGAAGAUCUCAUCUUGAAGGGUAAUUCAUUUACCGGUCCUCUCACAUUACCGUCAGCUCCUAACUCUAAAGUGUCUUUAAUUGACAUAUCCCAAAACAAAUUGCAAGGUCAGAUUCCAACCAACGUGUGUUCACAUUUUCCACAUUUGAGCCACUUAUUCUUAUCCAAGAAUGCCUUCGAAGGUGAUAUCCCUCCUUGUUUGAGUGGCAUGAAGGAUUUAUCGAUUUUAGAUUUAUCAGACAAUCAAUUGUCUGGAAGAGUACCUGAAGAGUUAAUCACAAAAAACUCGUUGACCAUUUUGAGACUAUCAAACAACAACCUCAGUGGACAUGUGCUUCCUGUGAUUCUCAAUGCAAAUGGGCUGUCAAAAUUAUAUUUGGAUGGAAAUAAUUUUUCUGGGGAGAUGGCAAAUGUUGAUGUCUCUAUUUCUGAGUUUCCAACUUCACUAAGGGAAAUUAAUCUCGGAAAUAACAAGUUUUAUGGAAACCUCCCAAGAUGGAUGGGGAAUGUGUCAUUUUUGGAGAGAUUAGCUUUGUCCCAAAAUGGUUUCGAGGGUUCUAUUCCAAUGGAAUUUUGCAACUUGAAUCGCUUGGAAUUUUUGGAUCUCUCUGAAAACAAUUUAUUUGGCUCUAUACCGUCCUGCUUUAAUACCCUAAACAUAAAGCAUGUCCACCUGCACGGGAGUAGACUAAGUGGCCCACUACCAAUCGCUUUUUAUAAUAUCUCUUCACUGGUUACGUUAGAUCUUAGAGGAAACAAUUUGACUGGUAGUAUUCCAAAAUGGAUUGGCACACUUUCUUCAUUGAGUGUUCUUCUCUUGAAAGAUAAUCAUUUUCAUGGUGAAGUUCCAGUUCAGUUAUGCAAGUUGGAUUCUUUAAACAUCAUAGAUCUUUCUCAAAAUAUGUUUUCUGGUAUUAUACCUUCUUGUUUGGGAAAUUUAACCCUUUCAACGGAAACAAAUAAGAUUCUAACUGAUUCGAAAAUUAGUCCAAGGUUAACAGGGGACGGAUUAGUGAAAACAUUGGGAGCUCUCGGAAAUUAUUACUAUCCUGAAGGCUACUUAGAAGAAGUAAUAGAGUUCACAACAAAGAGUGGGUUCUUAUCGUAUGAGGGAAACAUCCUUACAUAUAUGACCGGGAUUGAUUUAUCUUGCAACAACUUAACUGGUCAUAUCCCACCAGAAUUAGGGAACUUAAGUGAAAUCUAUUCUUUAAACUUGUCGCAUAAUAAGUUGACAGGAGUUAUACCCUCAUCAUUCGCAAAACUUCAUCAAAUUGAGAGUUUGGACCUUUCUUACAACAAUUUGAGUGGUGAAAUCCCCAAUCAGUUGGUAGAGUUGAACUCUUUGGAGGUUUUCAACGUGGCAUACAACAACUUGUCAGGUAGUAUUCCCGAACCAAAAGCUCAAUUUGGGACCUUUAUUGAAAACAGUUAUGAGGGAAAUCUUUUUCUUUGUGGAGCUAUAUUGCAUAAAAGUUGUUCCAAAACCGAUUCACCAUCAACGAUAUCAACUCUAUCAGAAUAUAAAGGAGAAGAUGGUUUGAUAGGUACUUAUGAUUUUUGUGUGAGCUUUUUGGUUUCUUAUGUAGUUGUGUUGUUGACCAUUUUUGUUGUCCUCUACAUAAAUCAAUACUGGCGAAGAGUUUGGUUUUCUCUCAUUGGGAAAUGCAUCACCACCUGUCGCUACUCAAAUGUGGGCAAUUUUCUUACUUAUCACAUUUUCAAGCAAUGAGUUUAGCUACUCAAAUUGUAAUUUGAUUUUCACACCUAAAUGUUUAAUUAUGCUAAGUUGAGCGAUAAUGAAUAUUUUGUUGAUUUUUGCAUUUUAAAUAAAAGCUCUUUGAUCUUAUGAUUUUAUCAUUUUCAACCAUCUAUUUCUUUUUUCUUCUAUGAAAUUUAAUGUAAAAUCAUAAUCCAUUAUUAUGUAUAUGCAAUAUCUCUUUGAAUUAAAUUAAAUUGAAUACCAAGCGUUCACUAGUGCAUACUGAAAAGGAAAUCUAAUGUAAAAUUAAACCAAACAUACUAGAAAAAUGAAUCUGAAACUGAAAUAUUUUAAAACCUCAAAAACAAUGCAAUUCUUUAUUCCUCUUUUCCUUUCAAGUUAUUUUGUAUCAUGUUAUAUUUUACAUAAUCAUUCAUAUCAUCAAAUUUUAAAAAAUAUUUAAUAUUUUGAUAUCAUGUUCAUAUUAUGCUUUAAUUCACAAUGUAUUUUAUACAAUAUGUUAUAACAAUUCAAUUUAAAAAACAAGCAAUGAUCUUAUUUUUGCAUACCGUAUUAUACAUUUACAUGUUAAUAAUUCAUUGUACGUAAAUUUUGACAUGUUUGCAUAUUUGAGUCAUUAUAAUUUUAUUAUUUGUAAUAUGACAUGUUUUAAUUACCCUUAAUAUUGUGUCAUGAUAAUUAUAACUCGAUUGGCACCAAAUAAUUUUUCUAAUAAAAAAUAGUAUUUUAUUCUAUUUACCAAAUCUUUAUCAACUUUAUAUUCUCACCAACAAAACAUACAUUCAAAGUUCAAAUAAGUUCCACACCCAUUUCUUUACUGCAAUACUCAAGAAUAUGCUCAUCAUCAGAAAUCUGAAAUAUUCCACUCUAAUUAACAUUACGAUUCUGUAAAAACCAAAAAUGUGUGAUCCUUUUUUAAAGCUCUUUUUUUUUUCCUUUAAUGAAAUGGGAUUGGUAAAAAAUCCGCACAUGUGUCGUGUGUGAAGAAGGUGAGGUUGUCUAUUCAUUCUCUAAUAAGUAGCUAAUUAUAGUUGAUCCUACAAAAUCAAAAUUAAUUCAGGUAUCUUUAUAUUCUGAAGACUGGACAGACCUUAGAAGCUUCUUCAAAUUUGCAAGAACAUGUCGUGGUCCUAAACUCUUUACACCGAUGAAAUUCAAAAGUUGCUCUAUAUUCUGCAAUCACAGUAAAGAUUAUGCAGUCAUUUCAGAACGAAUAACAUAACAAGCAAAAGGCGAUCAAAAUACCGUGAUCUCGAUAAUGUUCUUUGCCGAAAAGGAACAUUAACUUAACCUUAAAACAUCAGUGAAGGCUCAUCAGAUUUGCUUAGCAACCUCACAUACACAUGUAAAAAGCUUUGCUUUUGGAUGUAAGGUGUGACUAUCAUUACAGUCUUUUCUAAUUAGCUGAUAACCCUGUAUCUAACAUUUAUCAGGGCUAAGCAAAUUAACAUACAUGAUGUAAAGGAAUUUGACUAUAAGAUCCAACAGAAAACUUAAUAAACGAUAAUCAACAUAGAAAGAAGGCAAUGCAAACUUAUUACAAUGAUGCAAGCGGAUCAAAAGAAAGCACUUCUAUAGGGAAUUUGCAUUUAAGGCAUCGUAAACAGAAAAAAAAAUGAUAAAACUUUUUGGAAAGUAUUUUCAAAGAGGAGACAAAAACAGGGUAGAAACAAUGUUUGGUUCUUCCUUUUUCUAUUUACAAUUUUAGGGUGCAUUCUCUACUGUUGUGAAAAAGCCUUUUUGGGUUAAAAGUGUUUUUACACUGCAGAAGUGUUUUUCCACUGCAGAAGUGAUGAACAACACAUAGCUGUUGUAGUCAAAAACUGUUUUUGGCUUUUGCAUUCAAAAGAGAAAAUUAUCAAAAUACUAUUAUUUUCAUUAACUAUUUAAAAGGUAUAUAAAAAUUAGAUUAAUUUAUAUUUUAUAUAUUAUUAUAUUAAAUUGUUUAAAUCUUAUUUAUUAUUAUAUUUAAUUUUUUCAAAAUAUUUUAUAUAUUAUCAAUUUUACAACUAAUUAACAAAAUAUUUUACUAGGGAAUACGUAUAUGUGAAUAUCUAUAAAUGGCAUGCCUGGAUAUGCAUAUCCUUUGAUAUCAAAUAUUUUGAAAAAAAUAUUAUCAAUUCCACUGAUAUAUUAUCAAUUCCACUGAUAUAAAGCUCUUUAUAUUACCAAUAUAAAUAUAAAUAUUUUGAAUAUAAAUAUCCAUUGAUAUAUUAUCAAUUCCACUGAUAUAAAGCUCUUUAUAUUAUAAAUAUUUUAUAUUUUUUUUCAAAAAUAUGGAUAUGCAUAUCCUUUGAUAUCAAAUAUAAAGGUAAUAUUUAUAGGAAUUGUUUUUUAAUUAGAUAUUUUUAUAUAUCAGUGGAAUUGUCAAAAUAUUUUCAUUAACUAUUUAAAAGGUAUAUAAAAAGAGCUUUAUAUUGCCUCAAGCGCAAGGCACAAAAUGAAGCGCUAGCCUGUGUGCAGUAAAGCGCAAUACGUAUAUGUGAGAGUUUUUGCAAGUCUGUGUGUCUAUAACAUAAAAGUUUAAGAUAUAUAGUAAACUCUAAAGUGUGGUCUGGUUUAUCCACAAAACUUGAAAUUUUUUUAUAGGUGAAUGCUCAAAUAUUGAGAAUUAUAGAGUUUGAUAUUAUCCCUUCCUUAUUAGUAAAGGUAUAUCAAAUGAAAACAGUGAAAAAUAAAAUAAAUUAUUGAGAAAUUCAACAAGGCAGGUUUUUCUAAUGCCCAUUGCCUUACAAAAAAAGUGUGCCUAGGUGCACCAGGCAUGCGCUUGAUCAAAUGGACCUCACCUGGAAGGGUCCAAGGCGUUUUGUUGUAUAAAACUAAGGCGUAGGCAUGCCUAGGCGCAUGCCUUGACGACACUGACCAUAUGUUGGCUUUAUUGCAAAGCAUUAGCAAUUCAAAACUACUAGCACAUUACCUAAUCUACUACUGCUAGAAUAGGACUCAAGUUCUUGCUCCUGUGCAGGUCCAACCAAGAUCUUUACAGGAUACAGUAAUGAAACUUGUGAUAUCAUAUAUUGUUGCCUUGCUCGAAGCUUCCUUUGCACAUUUUUAAGUUUAACACAACCCCUUUCUUCAGUGAGUAAUCUAUUUGCUUCCUGUGAUAAAAACAACAUAUAAUCAAUCAUGCCAUGCAUGCAAGACUACCAACCAUCUUAAAAAAGAGACAAAGAAGUAGGACAGCAAGAAGGGGAUAACCCUUGACUAUGCAAAGGAAUUCAUAGAAUGAGAAUCAUCUCAUCUAAGCCCCUCAACCACCUUCACAGGGGGUGGAGCUGCAAAAAGAGAUGUCUUAUUGAUCCAAGAGGAGAAUAAAUAACAUCUAAAGCUGAAUAAGAAGAAACCUUCAAAUGUAUCAUAAAUUCAGCAUUCAUGAUAAUAUCAAAAUGAAAUUCCAAAGCUAAUUUAAGCUAGAAUAAAAAUGCUUCACCUGUAAUCGCUUCCUUGCUACAGAAAGAGAGGUACCAGCAACCAACAAUGAUCUUACUUCAGUACUAAGCAUUUCCUCCUGUUUUUUAGCAUCCUCUGUUGCAACUUUGCAACGAGUUGACAUUUUGCCAUAACUACUUUCCUUGCCUCUAGUCUCUCACGCAUUUCCUCAAGCUCGUUCAGUUUAUUCAAAGACUCAUUUUUUACCUGCACAGCAUGUUCCCGCCCAUUAAUCAGUGGGCCAAUUGAUUAGGUCACAGAAGACAAAACUAAAUUACCACUCACCAGGUCCCCUUGAAGUGUCAUAUGGCUUUAACAAUUCAACGUGCAAUAUCUAGUAAAAGUAAAAUAAACAUAGAAGAAAGCAAAUGCAAUUCUUAAACGCCUUUAAAUGGACAACAUGAAACAGUUUAAGAGCCCUAUAAAACAGUAAAGUGGAAAAAAAAUCUGAAAAGGAAAAAGAAAUGAAUUGAAACAAUAAAUCCAUCAGGUACAAACAGCAACAAAACUUGAAAUAAGCUUUGGCUUUAGCCCAUUAAAGCCCGGGCAUCCAGCCAAAUAAACAGUGACUGCCAUGUCAACUUUUUGAGACGGUAGAAAAGAGAUCGAAAAUCUCAAUUUCCAAAAAUAAGGACAUAAGAAGUAAAAAAAUGCACUUAUUCUUACAGUAGAAGAGCAAAAUGAAACUAAAUGAAGCAUAAGGGAACUGAUGCGAAUUGACAUUGUCAUUUUUGGGACUAAAAAGAAUACGCAGAUUGAAUAUUUAAGAUUUGGAAGGGAAAAGUUCCAUUCACCAACACAAUUAUCGUCGCCCUUCAUCCUAGUAAAGCUUAAUUGACAAUUUUUCUGUCUCGUGUUCUUGCUAAAGCAUUUGAGCAACCCAACAGAAAUCAUUAUAUUUCAAACUGAAAUGAUUGGCUUUAUCAAUUUCACAACCUAUACCGCCCAACCUAGUAAGUAAUUUAGGUGCAGACACCAGAAAUCUAUUUCCUUUGCACUCUACAACUAAAUAGCCUACCACUUAUCAAUCAAACACAGCUGAAAACUUCAGUGAGGAAACAUUAUGAAAACUGAAAAAACUAUAACUUCAACUUGAUUCAUAGCUCGGCAAGUUCAGGGAAUUGGGACUUCUACCACCAUGAUCCAGUUCGAUGUGAAACAGUGAUCUAUAUCACGCAUAUCGGUUCCCGCAACAAGAGGUAAAACAGCAAAUUAGGUAAACGAUGAUCCUACUAUAUUUCAGAAUAGCAACAUUGAGCAUGAAAGCUAAAGUUAUAGCAUAUUAUGGGUCCUUGCUCUCUACAACUACAUAUAAAAUUACUAAACAAUAUUACUACAUUAAGGAUCCAGAAAAACUUUGUUUCAAUUGUUGAUCACUUGAUCCAACUAUUUUAGAAAGUUUAUUCUUCUUUUUCCUUUCCCUUAUUUUCUAAAUCAGGAAAAACAGUAGCACAUAAACUGGAUUACUACUCCAAGUUUCUAAAAUUUCAGCAAUAUCCCUUUAACCUUUUCACUCAAGUCACUACCCCCCCAAUUAACAAAUAUAUUCCCAGUUUCCCUUUCACUUCAAACCCCCUUUUUUUUUUCUCUACCCAAAUUCAGCUUAAGUUCAAAAACCCAAAAUUGGUUUGCUAAAAAUACAUAAUUUUCAAACACAAAGGUAACCUAAUUUUAAUCAGAAAAAAAAAGCAUUACCUGAAUUAGUGAAUGGAGUUUCUCUUGAAGACUUUGUUUUAAAACUAUCUUAUACUAUUUGCUUUAAAUCGAUUUUUAUUAGCUAUUUAAAACUCGUUUUCAUGUAUUAUUUAUUUUUUUAUCACUUAUUUAAAUUGUUUUACAUAUCUAUUUUUUAAACCCUAUUUUAUUAUAUUUUACUUAUUUUAACUUUUUUACAUAUUUCAUUAUAAAUAUUAUUAAUUAUCUAUAUUGAGUUUUUCAUUCCAUAUGUAUUACUUAUUUAGAUAAAUAUAUACUAUUUUGUGUAUUACUUAUUUUGAUUUUCUUCUUAUACAAUAUUACUUUAAAAUUCAUUUAGAUAUUAUUAUUUCACGUAGUAUUUAUUUUUAUCUUCAUUUUUUAUUUAUUUCAAACUCAUAUAUUGUUUAUUUUGAAAUUUUAUGCAUAUGAUUUAUUGUUUAUAUUGAUGAUUUUAAAUUUCCUUUCUUGCAUGUUUUUUUUAUUUAUUUUAAAACUUGUUAUACUUUAUUUGUGUUAAUUUGCUUAGUUUUUCUUUCAAAAUUAACUUAUAAUUCAUUAGCUUUUAAUGUUAGUAUUUGCACAAUAUGUGAUGUAAGAUUAUUGCUUUCCUGUAUUGCUUAUCUGUAUAUAUUGAUUAUUUGUCAUUCAUUAGUAUACAUUUUGGUUUACGAAUUGACUAAUUUACCAAAAAAAGCCAUUUUUUUAUAAAUUACCGAAAUAGGCCGGUUUUUUAAUUAUUUACCGGAAUGGGCCAUUUCCCCCGAAAUCGCGCCACGUCGAAGCGAUGUCAGGGGACGGGGCAGAAGGUCGCGUCCACGUCAGAGCGACCUACUGACGUGGAAGGAAAUCGCUCCCCUGAGGGCGCGAUUUCCUUCCACGUCAGCAGGUCGCGCUGACGUGGACGCGACCUCCUGUCACUUUGCGCGGUACCGGGAAUGCGAUUUUGACCCUGAUUUUUACGCCUAGGUUUUAUGGCUUUUAGGGUUUAGGGUGCAGGCUUUUUAGGAGUUAGGGGUCCGGGAAAAUUAUUUUUCGAGUUGACGUUUCUGGUUAAAUAGUGGGAAAUCGCUUAUACUAGGAUGCUAUUUAAGAAGAAAUUGUGAAAUAGUGGCCUCGUGGACGCGAUUUCGCUACAGUGGUCAUGUGAGAAAUAAUUUUUUUAGACGUUUUCUGAGGAAAUAGUAUAAAAUCGCUGAUACCAGGAUGCUAUAUGAGAAGAAAUUGUGAAAUCGCGCCCUCGUGGACGCGAUUUCGCUACAGUUGGUCAUGUAGGAAAUAAUUUUUUUUGACGUUUCUGAGUAAAUAGUGUCAAAUCGCGCCCUCGUGGACGCGAUUUCGCUACAGUAGCAAGUUUGGGCUGAGGUUAUAAAUUAGGCAGAGAAUUUUCUUAGAAUGCAUAACUCAGAGCAGAAACAUUUUAGGUUAGGGUUAGGGAAUUUAGAGUUUCAAAAUGAGUGAAUGUAUUAGUGCUGUUAUUUACUACGAUGGUGAGGUUUGCCACACCGAGAAUGGUGUUGUUUUUUUGUCGAAGAAUACGAUGCGACUGUCAUUUAGCCAAAACAUAGAUUUGACAGAACUCCGUAAAAGAAUUAGGCGUAAAAUCUUCGGAACCACGCCAAUGAAAGUUCAGUCAAUGACGUAUCGAUUUUGUUCUUCUGUUGAUUCGGUGACAUAUGACUCGUUCGACAUAAAAGGUGCUCGUAGCUUAGAGGCAAUGGUGCAGACUCAUCUUGCUAGCGGAGCAACUUAUAUUGAGUUAUAUGUACAAUUUACGUCACCAAAUGAUGUACUUUCGUCCGGUGUUCGAGAUGUAUACACGACCCCUGGCCGACACUCGGUUAGUGUGUUACAAAAUACGGAACAGCCCAUGUUCGGUAGCGGUGUCGAAUGCACAUCCCCCCAAGACACUCUGUCGGUGGAUGGGACAUGUACGUCGGUGGCUCGACGGUUGACGCUGGAAAUACGAGCUGGUACGUUCAUUCUCUUAUUUUAUUUUAUUUCAUAUUUUGGGAAAUUUAGAACGAUAAGCGAAAAUGAAUAUAUUCAGAUUAGCAGGGGACAUGACCCAUUUGUUUAGUGUUCUUGUUUUGCUUCUUAAGAUCCACACAAUCAAGUCUUGUGCUGGUACGUUCAUUUUCCAAAUAUUUACUUUACUUUUUGUUUCUGGGCUUAUUUCAUUUUAUGUUGUACUUUUUUCCCAGUAAUUUACUGCUUAAUAUAAAAGAAUCGAAUAUUUAGGUUAAAUUGUGGGUGGGUUUUUGCUAGUUUAUUGAAUACUCAAAUUGGAGCCAUGUAAAAUGUGGAAACUUUAGCUUGAUAGAAAAUGUGACCCCCUUUUUUUUUAAUGUAUGGAAUAAAAAUUUUUGUAUUUUGUGAAUUUUUUUUUAGUAAUUUGAAUUUGUAUGUAUGUUCAUUGGAAGUUUAGAAGCAAGGAGUUCUGAUCAUUAGGACUUUAUGUGAUUCAUUCAUUUUGAGUUAUAGUGUAGUUAGUUGUUGGAUUUAGUGUCACUGUUGGCAUCUUAUUUUAGCUGAUUUCCUUUCUAUUUGUACCGAUAAACCUCUAGAGGUUUUGAAAUUAGCAACUGAUUUUUUUUAUGUGUGAGAGUUUUUAUGGAAAUCAAUAAGCUAAUUACAUUUUGCAGGAUCAUACAGUCGGGUUAGUGGUUUUUAUGUCAUGCUGGCCUAUGGUUUUGAGAUGAACAUCAUGAAAUCUGUAUAAGAUGAGGGUAUUAAACUAUAAACAUAGCCGAGGUAGCGAUUUAUUUCGUAUCAUGCUAUUGGAAGUUUUUUUGGGGCGGCAAUGUCAACUAAAUUUAUAUUCUUUUGAUCAAGUCGAUUAUUUCCAGUUGCACAACUAGCUUGUUGGAAAUAUUUUCUUUCUUUGCUCCUGUCCUUUUCACUUUCAUAUUUUAUGGGUGGUGUGAUGAUGGGAAGAUUCAUGGGUGGCUAAAGCCAUCUUACUCACUAGAAGUGAGGCUGUUAUUUUUAGAAGUUAGAGAUGCUAUAUCAAUUGAGGAUGCCGUGAGCAAAAGCUUGCUAAUAAUAAGUGACUGUUCAUAUGCGUGGGUUCUAUCACAUGUUGAUGGAGUAUUUGGUGCUCUUUCUUCACUAAUUUCAUAUGUAUAGAUAUAAUUGUAUAACAUCUCGACGUUGAUUACUGUUACGAGGGGAAAAAAACACAGCAUGUAAUGAAACUCAAAAAGUAGGAAUCCUAGAUCCUUGUAUUCAUUCAUAGGCAUUUUACAACAUUUGAUUUAACUUGAGCAAGAUUCCGUUUUGGGCCUGGUCUUUUCCUGUUCGUUCCCUUGUUUAUAUAUGAUGAAGUUGGUUCAGCAUGCAGGAAACUCGACAGCAUGCAGGCCAUGAAGACCAAGUCGUGCAGGAGCUGCUGGAACGAGCUGAACUUUUCCUAUUUUGUUCAUCUAGUAAUCUUAAGUUAAUGUAAUGUACUUUAGUUCAUUUAGAACUAUGUUAGGUUUAUGAUUGAUGUAAUUUUGAUGACAAUUGAGCUGUUAAGUCAGCUUUGUUUAAGUGUGUAAGCUUAGUUUUUCAAGUUUCAAUGUAUUAGUGGUAGUAGGUGAUGAUUAGGUAUCAUUAUGCAGAUUUUGACAAGCAAAUUGCUUGGUUUAUGUAUUGGCAUUAUGCCAUUGUUCAACAUAUGAAUGAAAUCAACUUUGUUCAUCAAUAUUCUCUCAAAUUUCCUCAGCUUAUUUUCUUUUUUCUUCAACUCGAAAUUGUUUGUUUGCUCAGCAAGAUUCGAGGCUUGCUCGACAAGAAACUUGCUGAGUCUGUUUGAUUCUGCUGUUGCACCAACAAUUGGUAUCAGAGCUUAUUUCUUAAGGGACCUGUUAUACAAAUCCAUGGCUUCAUCAAGUUUUUCACCAGCUGCACCUCAAGUCUUCAAUGGAGAAGGCUAUCACAUAUGGGUGGUCAAAAUGAAGACCUACCUGCAGGCAUUUGAUCUGUGGGAGGUGGUCAACUCUGAUGUUGAACCAGAGCCACUUAGAGCUAAUCCAACAGUGGCUCAGAUCAGGCAGCAUGCUGAUGAAAGGACCAAGAGGCACAAUGCUAUGUCUUGCAUCCAAAACUCAGUGUCUGAUGUGAUUUUCACAAGGAUUAUGGCCUGUGAAUCACCAAAACAGGCCUGGGACAAGUUGCAGGAAGAGUUUCAAGGGACUGAGAGGACAAGGCAACAACAGUUGUUAAACUUGAGGAGAGAUUUCGAGAAUUUGAAGAUGAAGGAAGAAGAAACUGUCAAGCAAUAUUCUGACAGGAUUAUGGCUGUGGUUAACAGCAUCAGGCUCCUUGGAGAGCAGUUCAAUGAAGCUAGGAUAGUGGAGAAGGUUAUAGCAACUCUGCCUGAGAGGUAUGAGGCAAAAAUCUCAUCUCUCGAGGACUCAAGGGACCUGUCCACCAUCUCCCUGACAGAGUUGAUCAAUGCUCUAUAUGCUCAAGAGCAGAGGAGAGCAAGCAGACUGGAGGAGCACCAAGAAGGUGCCUUUCAGGCAAGAACAAAUACUUCCUACAAAGGCAAGAAGGCUUGGAGAGACAAGCCAAAGGAUGAUGCUGCAAGGAGAGAAGGUCAAACUUGCAAGCACUGCAGAAAGGCUGGUCAUUCAGAAGAAAAAUGCUGGUUUAAUCCAGAUGCUGUGUGUCAGCAUUGUAAGAAAAAGGGCCAUGUUGAGAGAGUUUGUAAGAGCAAUGCCAAAACAAGGCGCAAUCAGGCUCAACAGAUGAAAGCUGAGGCUCGAGUAGCUAAGGAGGACAGUGACCAAGAGGAGCAAGUCUUUACUGUGUCAUGCUCAGCUGCUCAGGAAAGGUCCUCAUCUGGUUGGCUCCUAGACAGUGGAUGCACCAACCACAUGACACCUGAUGCUGCAAUCUUCAAGUCUUUAGACAGAAGCUGCAGAACUAAAGUCAAGAUAGGAAAUGGUCAUUUUAUUCAAGCUGAAGGCAAGGGUGAUGUUCUGAUAUGCACUCUUACAGGUACCAAAGUGAUUUCAAAUGUGCUGUUGGUGCCUGAAAUUGACAGAAACCUGCUCAGCAUAGCUCAGUUGCUGGAAAAAGGUUACUUAGUUGUGUUUAAAGACCACCAAUGCCAAAUCAGUGAUCCAAGUGGAUCCAAACUGAUGGCAGUCCCUAUGGCUGAUAAGAGCUUUGUGGUUGACUGGACAAAAAAGUCAGACAUUGCCUACACAGCCACUUCAGAUGAAUCCAAGCUGUGGCAUCAAAGACUGGGACAUGCCAACUUCAGAUCGAUGGCCCGAAUGAUCAGAGAAGACCUGGCUGAAAACUUCAUCAACUCAGUAGACCAUGAUGAUGUAUGUGAAGUAUGUCAGCUAGGAAAGCAGGCCAGACUCCCAUUUCCCUCGAAUCAAGCCUAGAGAGCCUCUGAAAAACUCCAACUGGUGCAUACUGAUGUGUGUGGACCUAUGAAGACUGAGUCAUUAAGUGGAAACAGGUAUUUCAUACUGUUCAUUGAUGAUUUCUCGAGAUAUUGCUGGAUUUACUUCUUAAAACAGAAAUCAGAGGUGGCCACUGUGUUUUGGAAGUUCAAAACUGCUGCUGAGACUGAAACAGGCUGCAAGGUGAAGACCAUAAGGUCUGAUAAUGGGACUGAGUACACCUCAGCUCAGUUCCAAGCCUUCUGUGAUAAGGCAGGCAUCAAACAUCAACUUGCCAACACAUAUACACCUCAGCAGAAUGGGGUAAGUGAAAGGAAGAAUAGGAGUUUGAUGGAUAUGGCCAGGUGCUUGAUGAUUCAGAAGAAUCUGCCUAAAGCACUAUGGGCAGAAGCAGUUAACACUGCAACAUACAUUCAAAAUAGACUUCCAACCAGGGCUUUGGAUCAAAAGACCCCAUUCGAGGCCUGGUUUAGCUUCAAGCCAUCACUGGCUCAUCUGAAGGUCUUUGGAUGCAUCUGUUAUGCACAUGUACCUGCUGUUAAAAGGGACAAAUUGUCUGAAAGGGCUCGACCUGGUGUUUUGGUGGGCUAUAGCACUGUUAAGAAGGGCUAUAGGAUUUUAGAUCCUUCAACAAACAAAGUGUCAGUAAGCAGGGAUGUGGUAUUUGAUGAGAGGUCAUGUUGGAACUAGGAAAGACAUGAACCUGAAGAAGUUUUUGAAGAACUUGCAGCAGACCAAGCUGAGCCAGACCAAGAUGUCCCUGAAAUGGAUAUUGAUGAUGAACCAGUCAGAGGAACAAGGCCAUUGGCUGAAAUUUAUGAAAGGGCUCAUGUAGCCAUAGUUGAACCAAGCAACUUUGAAGAGGCUGAGGCUCAGCAAGGGUGGAAGCAGGCAAUGGCUGAGGAGAUCAGCAUGAUUGAGAAGAACCACACCUGGAAAUUGGUUGAAAGGCCAGUCAAAAGGAAAGUGAUUGGGGUGAAAUGGGUGUACAAAGCCAAGCAGAAUGCUGAUGGUACCUUGAACAAGCUGAAAGCAAGGCUAGUUGUCAAGGGGUUCAGUCAGAGGUAUGGCUUGGACUACCUGGAGACCUUUGCACCAGUGGCCAGGCUCGACACCAUCAGACUGCUGAUUGCCUUAGCAGCACAGCUUGAAUGGAAGAUCCAUCAACUUGAUGUGAAAUCAGCUUUUCUGAAUGGUUUCUUAGAUGAAGACAUCUAUGUUGAACAACCACAAAGGUUUGAAAUAGCUGGCAGAGAGCAUAUGGUCUACAAACUGAAAAAGGCCCUAUAUGGAUUAAAGCAGGCUCCAAGGGCCUGGUAUAGCAGAAUUGAUGGCUACUUGACUGAUCUAGGAUUCGAUCGAAGCAAGAGUGAGCCAACACUGUAUGUCAAGAAACAAGGGACACAAAUACAACUCAUUGUGUCCCUGUAUGUUGAUGAUCUUCUGGUGACAGGAGGAGAUCGAGUAGUGCUGGCUGAUUUUAAGACCAAGAUGCAGGAAGUGUUUGAAAUGUCUGAUCUUGGGGAGAUGUCAUACUUUCUUGGAAUGGAGGUGUCUCAAGUAUAGAAUGAGAUAUUUCUAAGCCAGAGAAGCUUUGCCACAAAGAUUCUGACCAAGUUCUCCAUGCAAAACAGCAAGGCAACUAAAACACCUAUUGCUGUUGGAGAAAAACUAUCGAGCCAAGGUGAUUUUAAGAAAGUUUGUGAAACAACCUACAGGAGUCUAGUUGGUUGCUUGCUAUACUUGACUGCCACUAGACCAGACAUUAUGUAUGCUGUAGGAUUGCUCUCAAGGUUCUUGCAUUGCUGCAAUGAGAAGCAUUUCCAAGCUGCAAAGAGAGUGCUGAGAUAUGUCAAAGGCACUUUAAACUAUGGUUUGAAGUACAGUAAAGAAGGAAAUCUGAAGCUGAUUGGCUACACUGAUAGUGACUGGGCUGGCUCGAUAGAUGACAUGAAAAGCACCUCAGGGUAUGCUUUUAACCUUGGUUCAGCCAUGUUUUGUUGGAGCUCAAAGAAGCAAAGUCUAGUAGCUCAAUCUACUGCUGAAGCAGAGUAUGUGGCAACAGCAAGUGCUAUCAACCAAGCCAUAUGGCUAAGAAAAAUAUUGGCUGACUUGAAUGUGCAUCAAGAGCAAGCUACUGAGAUCUUCUGUGACAACCAAUCUGCAGUAGCAAUUGCUAAAAAUCCAGUGUUCCAUGGAAGAACAAAACAUUUCAGCAUAAAGUUGCAUGUUGUUCGAGAAAUGGAGCAAGCUCAGGAAGUAAAGCUGGUCCACUGUAAUUCAGAAGAUCAACUUGCUGACAUUUUAACCAAAGCUCUUAGUGUCACAAGGUUUGAAUAUCUAAGAAAGAAGCUAGGUGUUUGCUCCAUGCAAACCAAGGAGGAGUGAUGAAGUUGGUUCAGCAUGCAGCAAACUCGACAGCAUGCAGGCCAUGAAGACCAAGUCGUGCAGGAGCUGCUGGAACGAGCUGAACUUUUCCUAUUUUGUUCAUCUAGUAAUCUUAAGUUAAUGUAAUGUACUUUAGUUCAUUUAGAACUAUGUUAGGUUUAUGAUUGAUGUAAUUUUGAUGACAAUUGAGCUGUUAAGUCAGCUUUGUUUAAGUGUGUAAGCUUAGUUUUUCAAGUUUCAAUGUAUUAGUGGUAGUAGGUGAUGAUUAGGUAUCAUUAUGCAGAUUUUGACAAGCAAAUUGCUUGGUUUAUGUAUUGGCAUUAUGCCAUUGUUCAACAUAUGAAUGAAAUCAACUUUGUUCAUCAAUAUUCUCUCAAAUUUCCUCAGCUUAUUUUCUUUUUUCUUCAACUCGAAAUUGUUUGUUUGCUCAGCAAGAUUCGAGGCUUGCUCGACAAGAAACUUGCUGAGUCUGUUUGAUUCUGCUGUUGCACCAACAAUAUACCUCCACUGUGCCAUUGUGUAUUUGUGUUCGAUUUUCAGUUCUGUCUCACAAUCCCUGUCAUGUCUUAUGAGUGAUUUUCUGGCUCUAAAUAUCUAUGAUAUAUUUGUGCAGGCAUUUCACUGAAGACUCAGGAACUCUAUGCUAUUGUCUUUGCUACUCGUUACUUGGACAUAUUCACUAAUCAUAUCUCGCCUUAUAACACAAUCAUGAAGCUAAUAUUCCUGGGCAGCUCUUUCUCAAUUGUAUGGUACAUGCGGUAUCACAAAAUAGUUCGUAGAUCUUAUGAUAAGGACCAGGAUACAUUUCGACAUUACAUCCUUAUACUCCCUUGCCUGAUUCUUGCCCUUCUUAUAAACGAGAAGUUCACCUUCAAAGAGGUAUCGACAUCCUUUUGUUUGUUGGAAUAUGAUAACAGUAUGUUCAUAUUAAUUACUGGUUAACUUAGAAGCUCCCUAAACUGUUUAUCUGUUUUAUAUUAAUUAUUCAUUAUUAUCCUUCUGGUUAUAUUUUUAUAUAUUGAUUAUUGUCUUAAAAAAAAUUGUUGAGCAGGUCAUGUGGACAUUUUCCUUGUAUUUGGAAGCUGUUGCGAUACUUCCUCAGCUUGUAUUGUUGCAAAGGACUAGAAAUAUUGACAACUUGACUGGACAAUAUGUGUUUCUCCUUGGGUAACCACUGUAUUCUUUAAAAAUCCUAAUCAGUUGCAAGUUUUCUAUUUUAUUACCUUGCAAUUUGCAUGAAGGACCCUUAUUUCCUGGCUCAGUUCCCUAAAAUGUUGCCUCCUUCCUGAGGAAACAAAAGAGAGAAAGUCUCUAAAUAGAGUUGCCAUCAUAUUGCCGCUUGGUUGCCACUGAUUUCUUUUUGAUGAAAAGUUGAUAUGAUUAUAUGUUGGACCAAAGUUAUCUAUUUUCAGAUGUGAUUAACUGCAGUUGAAUUUUGCGAGUAUGACUGUUCUUGUGUAACUUUUGUUAUGUGCUUUCAUGUCGUUUUUAGUCUUUUACACUGUGUUCUGUCUAUCUUUGUUUGCUAUUAUCCUAAGUUAGGAGACAAGGUGCCAUUAGGAGCAAUGUGACGUCAAAAUUCAUUUCCCUUUAGCCUUCAGUUCUACCUUUUCUUCCCUUUCUUUAUGUAGUUUUUGGGAGUUGGGGAUCACAGCGAUGAUAGUCGGUACAUGUGACUUGAAAGAUGCCUAAAAACUUCAAGAGCAUAGUGUUGUAUAAAUCUUUUGGAGAAAUUUUUUUGGUACAUUGAUGCCAACUUACAAUAACCCUUGCCACUACAACCGUGGCUUUGUUGGCUUAUGUAUGCACUCUCUUUGUCUUUAUAGGUCACCAAAUUCCUAAUGUCUAAUUCUUGGUUAUGGACUAAUAUAGUUGCUUGUUAUUGCAGUGCAUACAGAGCAUUGUACAUAGUGAACUGGAUUUAUCGGUACUUUACUGAAGACCACUUUGUCCACUGGAUAAGUAUGUACUCUUCUCUGUCUCCCUUCAUCUUUUACUCCAAGUCGGUAGCCAUGGGUGUAUGACGAGUGUGUCAAUAUAUCUACCCCAACACAUUUGUGAUAUACUAUGCUAUAUGUGUUAUUUCUAACACCUUGUUUACAUGAUUGCUGCCUUUCAGCUUGGAUUUGCGGUCUUGUCCAGACAUUGCUUUAUGCUGAUUUCUUCUACUAUUACUUCCAGAGGUAACCCCCUUUCUGACACUCUGGAAAGCACUUCAUACCUAUGUGAAUGAUUGCAACUUAUUUGAUUAUUAUGCCUGCAGCUUGAAGAACAACAUGAAGCUCCAAUUACCAGCUUGAGAUUUUAAUGGUGCAAGUUUUGUAGUAGCAUACAUAAACUUACAUCAUAUGGGUUCAAAUUUAUGAGUAUUUCAAUUAAUUUUAAUUUCACUAUGUUAUAUUGUAAUAUCAUGUAAAAAGUAUCAUAAAAGCAGGCAUAAGUUUUCCACCAAUUAGAACAUUUUGAAAAUUGAUGUCAAGCCCGAAAUGACCGUCACAAGUAAGCAUAUUAAACGUGUGAAGAGAAGACCUUAUUUUUCCACAUAACUAAAACUUUUUACACCAUAGGAACUUUCAUCGUCAUCAAGUUGGACAUGGAUGGAGCUCACGUAAAAAUAAUUUUUCAUAUAAAAACUAAAAACUAGAAAUUGACUUGUAAUAAUUCUCAAGGUUAAGGUUGACGUGGUCAAUAGUAAUGAACUUAUGUUUAAGGUUUGGGUUAUUUUUCUCAAUUAUAGAUUAGUAUUUUGUUCAUUGUAAACUUUGCUAACAAAAUUUAAUAUAUGACACAUAUCUGAUUUAAUUUAUUUUUAUUUUAUAAAACUUUCAUUAUUUGUUUUACUCAUUAAUGAAAUUUGGUGUGAAUACAUUAAAUAUUACCUUUUAUAUAUUUCACUCCCUCUUACUAUAUCUCAAUGGAGAAAUUGAAGGUCAUUCAAGGAAAUGGUAAUGUCCAUUUUCCACAAAACUAAAAUUUUCCACACGACAGAAACUUUCUUGGUCAAACAAGUUGGAUUUGGCUUCACCAAUAACUUAAUAAUCUGUACUAAAAUUUUCCACGCAAUAGAAUACGAACUCGUUCUCGUAAAUAUUUUAAAAAAUAAAAAAUUUAAUAUUAUGAGUUAACGAAUUAUCAAUUUAAUUAAAAAAAGUUGAAAGAUACAUUUUUUAAAAUUUUAUGAAAUUAUAUAUUAAUAUAAUUAUAAAAUUAUAGUUUUAACUUUAUAAAAUUUAUUAUUUAUCUUUGAUCUUGAAGAGAGACAAAGUAAAAUACCUAUUCUUGGAGCCAUAACGACAACUAGGAUUAUGAUUGCACAUUUUCUAAGUCUUCAUUUUUGUUAAUUAGGAAAGCUGAUGGGCAUCUCCACUAAGUUUCCACCCACAAGAAUAUACGUAUUAAUUUGUUUUUCUCAAUUUCCAUGAGGGGGGAUAUAAGCUUAAAGUUGACGUAGAAGUCAAUACUCAACAUUUGAAAGUUAAUGCAGUGAACUAUGUGCUUGUUGAUAUAUGAAAUGAUAUUUUCUUAACAAUUUCCUCCAACUAGUUCGUAGAUGGUGCUAUAUUACAUCACAAUGGGUAACCAAAUGUAUAUAAUUGAGAUUUUUAAGCAAAUAUUAUAUUUUAUCUUUAUCCAUGAAUAGUCUAAUAAUAAGGAUUAAUAUUUGGUACAUUGUCAGUGGAGUUUUUAAAUUCCAUAAGUAGGGUUAGAGGAUUGACACAUGCCAAUUUUUUAAUGUUGCUUGUGGGAUGCACUUGAAUUGUGGUUCAUAGAAGGAAAUUAUUAUAUAAAGGUUUAAUUCUACCAUAGUUCUUGUACUUUACUGAAGUUGUAGAUUUAAUUCCCAGACUUUAAUUUGAUAUUUUAGAUAUUUGUUAAAUUCAUAAAGUCCUACUAUUUCCAAAUUUGGUGUGGCAAACAUAUUAUCAUAGGUGUAAUAUCACUAAAAUUCAAAAGAAUGAGAAAUUUGUACAUAUUAUCAGAUGUCAAUAUCAAGUUGAGCAUUUCAAAAUCUAAAGUAAUAGUUCAAGUAUUUAUUUUUCCAUAAAACCAAAAUUUUCUACAUGAUGGCUUUUUUUUUGGCUAUUAGUUAAGAGGAAUUUUUUUAAUAACCCAAUUUAAUUAACUAAUUUAAAAAAUGGUUCAAGUAAAACUCAAGUCAUAUUAAAAAUAAUUAUUUAUAAAUUUUAUGUUUCAAAAACUAAUGAAUGUUCAAAGAAUAGUGAAUUAUUAAAGAGAAGUUAUAUGAUAAUGGAUUGUUUUAAAGUAGUGGUCUAGUAGAAAUAAAUAGUUUUUUAUAAAAAAAUAUUAUAUAAAUAAUUAAAUUUUAUAGUUACUCCUAUUUUUUUUAAAAAUAGUGAAUGUAAUAUUUUUUAAAAUGUUAAAUUAACUCAUGAUAUUAAUUAAAUCAAGAAAUUUUAUAAUAAUAGAGAUGAAAAAAACUAAAUUUUCAAAAUCAAAACCUAAAACGUGCAAGAAUAAAAGCAAUCUGAAGACUUAAAAUUUCCAUUAAUAAAACCAAAAUCAAAGAAGUAAAAUUUCCAUGAAUAAAACCAAAAAUGAAGACCUAAAUUUUCCAUUAAUAAAGCCAAAUCAAGACUAAGUUUGUAUAAGUGUAAGAAGGGUAUAAAGGAAACUCACAAGAAAGCCACAUGAAGAAUUUUAUAACUCCAACUACACGAUUUUAUGUCCACCUCUCACUUUUCAUAUUUUUUUUUGGCCAUUCAUUUUUCAAGAUUAACAUUAGCAUUCUUGUGGUCCGUUCAUCCUUUCCUAACCAAUUUCCACCAAGAGUUUUUGCAAUAAGGAAUUUACCUAAAUAAGAAACCUAGAUUGAUCCAAUUUUUGAGGAAUUAAUUAAUUAUAUAUUAUUUUUAUAUUAUAAUGAAUUAGUGGGAUGCAGUAUGUUCUGCUUGUAUAUAAAUAAGAAGCUUAGGCUUCUUUAGAUUAUAUACAUAUAGAAGUUAACAAAAAGUAACAUAUAGCUGAGAGAGAAGUGAAAAUAGAGAGAUGAUGAUGAUGGAGUGGAAAUGGUUAAGGUUUAUUAGGAUGGCAGUAAUGUUGUUGGUGUUAGAAGGAUGCAGAUGGUGUACUACUGAUGCUUGUUUGGAGCAUGAGAGAAUCGCUCUCUUGCAUCUCAAGCCUUUCUUCAAUUAUCAAAAUCAAUUGCAAAGUUGGGUUGAGGUGAAGGGUUCAGAUUGUUGUAAAUGGGAAAGAGUUGAGUGUAACACCACCACUAGGAGACUCAUACAACUCUCCCUUAAUUCUACAAGAUGGUUUGACAGUAUGGGAUACAAAACGGAUAAUAGGAAUCUCAAUGCCUGGUAUCUCAAUACCUCUAUGUUUCUUCCCUUUGAGGAAUUGAAGAGUCUUUAUUUGCGGGGGAAUGCCAUAAGUGGUAACCUUGAAAAUGAAGGUCGUGCCUCUAGUUUUUCCUUAAUUACAUCUUUUAUUAUCCCACUACUCUUACCAUCGUUAUUUUGCAAUUACUUAUAUUUUAUUUUAUUUUAUGGAAGAAAAGUCACUAACUUGUAUAUAUUUAAAAGAAUAUUUCUAUAGGCUUUGGAAAACUAUCAUCCACAUUGAGUAAUUUGGAGAUCCUUGACUUAAGUGAAAACUACUUGAAUGACAGCAUUUUGUUAUCUUUGAGUGAGCUUUCAUCUCUCUGGUAUUUAGAUCUAUCAGGCAACAAAUUUGAAGGAUCAAGCCAUCUAAGAGGUAAAUUAAGUUUGGUCUGGUAUUAGUUUUUAUUUGUAAAGUGGAGUUUGAGGAUGGUCUUCUAGUAAUUCCACUUUUGCUUUAGUAAAAUUUUCAUACAGCUAAGAAAGAAAAAACAAUUAACAAGUAAUUUUUAACUUUAAAAAUCAAUGUAUGUUCAUAUUCAAGGUAGACUGGUUUUAUAUGUUUCUUUUUUACUUUAAAACCAUUUUUUUUGUUUAAGGGACAGUUAAUGUUGCAAUAUGUCUUUGCUUUUAUCAUAUCAUGAAUAUAUAUAAUUGAUCAAUAUUUGGGAUUGAAUUUCAGGAUUGAAUAAUUUGACAAACUUGAAGUACUUGGAUUUAAGUUCGAACAGAAUUGAAAGCAUCUCAAACAAAGGUAUAAGUACAGUAUUUAUAUGUCAAUUCAUAUUAAAGGUAGACUGGUUUUAUAUGUUUCUUUUUUACUUUAAAACCAAUUUUUGUUUAAGGGACAGUUAAUGUUGCAAUAUGUCUUUGCUUUUAUCAUAUCAUGAAUAUAUAUAUAUAUAUAACUGAUCAAUAUUUGGGAUUGAAUUUCACGAUUGAAUAAUUUGUCAAACUUGAAAUACUUGGAUUUAAGUCGCAACAACGUUGAAAGCAUCUCAAACCAAGGUAUAAGUAUUUGUGCGUAGUAACUUUCUUGACUGACUAUUAUUCCAAAAGGCAAUGACAGACUUCAAAUGUAUUUUCUUUAGUGAAUUUUUAUUGCAAAAAUGGAGUAUUAUUAUUUAUUUAAGUUUUGUAGUAACUAAUUAUAUAAUAUAUAAAUGAGGUUUUCAAUGGCUCAUUAAAUUGGAAAUUAUUGAUAUAAGUUGGAAUUAUUUGAAGAAUAGCAUUCUUUAAAAUAAAUUCAUGUUGAAGGAAAAGUUGUUGCAAUAUGUUAUAUCAUGAAUAUAUAUAAGUAAUCAAUAUUUGGGA
rnacentral:lncRNA from 1 species